AAUGUAACAUAUGGAAACUUGGAGUUGCGAUGUCAACUUUGACCUAGAGGGUCAAAGUGAGGAUUGAGCUAGUUGGACAUCAUCCCCGAGUGAUUUGUGAUGCGUGUGAAUGAAUUCUGGAGAUAAAUAAGUGUUUCGGCGCAAAUUGGGCGCGAAACGAAAUAUAAAGAGAAUUUCGGAUUUCCGACGCUAACUUUGAUUAAAAGAAUUAAAGUAAGGCGUGAGGAUAAAUUGUGGUAUCUCCGAAUCAAUCGUGAAGUUUUGGAAAAGCCAAGGGUGUGCUUUCAAAGGGUUUUGAAGUGUUCAGUGCGAAGUGGUAGUGCAAAAAGGAGAAAUUUCUGCCAUAUAAUGAAAUUGGAGCUGAUUCUAUUGCUAAUUCGGCUCCAAUAAUGUCAAAGUGCAAAGGAAUUGCUUCCAAAUUGGAUUGGUAGCUUGUGAAGGUCCCUUGGUAUCUUUUGGACAUGUUUGGGUGAAAUCGGAGUGAAAACGGAAACUUUAGAAUUUUCUGUAAAGAACGGGACUGAGAAAAUUAGCAGAAAAUGCACAGUGUCAGAAAAUUAUGAAAAUUGGCAGAGAUGUCAGGAACAUUUUUAUGAGGCUAGAUUUGAAGUUUCAGAUUUUUCUGACACCUGUAGAGAGAGAAAUAGCAUCUGAAAGUUAUCUGAUAAAGAUUACAGUUCGGGACAGUUCGCAGUGACCAAACGGGGUCGAAACUAAAAUGUUAAAAUUUCAGUGGACUUGUUAAGUAAAAAUGAACAUUCCUGCCAAAUUUGAGCUCAAUCGGACUGUCGGAAGAGCCUAUGAAAGGUAUUUGAUCCGAGUUGCGCAACGGACUUAAGUCGAGGGGCAUUAUGGUAAUUAUCACCAACUUUAGUGGAAUUCCACUAAAUUCCCUGCUGCCAGAGCCCAUCCUUAUCCCCUCUGCAUUUCCCCUCUCCAGCCAGCAGCAUACGUAGGGAGAGAGAAGGAGAAAAGAAGGAGAAAAGAGAAGAAGAAGAAGAAGAAGAAGAAAAAUGAAAAAUAGAAGAAAGGUAAAAUUGCUAUUUGUUUUCCUCUCUCUCUUUGCUUUGUUCAUCUCCCUCUUUUUCCCUACUGCUGAAAGUAAGCAGCUGCAGCUUGGCCUUGCUGCUGUCAGCAGCUCAGCAGGAGAAGCAGCAGCAGCAGGCUGUCAACAACAGCAGCAGCAGCAGCAGCAGCAGCUUAGUAGCAGUAGCAGUAAGCAGCAGCCUCAGCUAAGCAGUAGUAGCAGCAGCAGCUUGGCUCAGCAGUGAGCAGCAGCAGCAGCAGCAGCUUGCGCACCAGCUGCUGUCAGCAGCCUGCGUAGGCCAAGCAGGAGCAGCAGCAACUUCAGCAGCUUAGCAGCAGCAGUAACAGCUACCUGCAGGCUGCAGGGAAGAAAGAAAAGAAAAGAAAGAAAGCAAGGAAGAAAACAGGAAAGAAAAGAAAAGAAGAAAGAAAGAAAAGAAAGAAAACAGGGAAAGAAAAAGAAAACCUGCAGGCUGCAGGGAAAGGAAAAAAAGAAAGAAAGGAAAAGAUGAGAAGAAAAAAAAUGAAAGAAAGGGAAAUGAUAGAGAGAAAAAUGGAAUUGAAGUAUUUGGAUAGUUUUUAUUAACUGUUUUGAGGCUCUUAGGCUAAUAAGAAUUGAAUUACGCUAUGUAAUUGUGAAAAUUGCAUUGAAAAGGGGUUUUUAUAGAAACUGACCUUGAUAAUGCACUUUUGCAGGAUAGAAGUCCUAAAGUGAAAUUGACCGCGUACAAACCUAAUUGGGGGUAAAAGAAACUUGCUGGCGAAGUCGGUUCGGCAAUCCGACGAGCCUACGCGAAGAUAUUGCCAAAAGAGCAUUUUCGACUACAAUAGUCACGAGCGCGGGUCGCGGCUCUUGGAAAAGUACUCGAAGCGAAUUUCUCCCAUUCCGGCAUCAAAGAAAGGUGGGUUGUGCUUACCGAAGUGAUUAGGUCACUUCCAUGCCAAAGUAGAUCAUGUUUUCAUUUGACGCAUAUAUGAGGAUAAAUGUCGACAUAUGAACAUUCAUGCUAAAUGAAUAUGAAUAUGAGUAUGAAUAUGAAUAUGAAUAUGAAUAUGAAUAUGAAUACUAUAUGGAUGCUGGAUGCAUAGAUCUGAAUGCAUAGAUACGAAUAUGAAUGCUAAAUGCGUGUGAAUAUGAAUGUAAAUACUAUGUGAAUGCUAUACGAAUGCUAUAUGAAUGCUAAUGCUAAAUUCUUAUGAUCAAAGAUAAGUUAUGCUAAUGCUACGUUCAUGUGAUAUAUAAUUGUUGAACCUGUAAAUGCCAAGGGCAUCUAAGUUAAAUAUGAAAUGUGAAUAUAUAUAUGCUAAAGCCUACAUACUAUAUGAAUGUCACUAUAUGCUAAAUGCUAAAGCCUAUGUAGAUGCCAAGGACAUAUAAGUUGAAUGUGAAAUGUGAAUAUAGAUGCUAUAUGAACGUUGCUAAUUCUAGUUGAUUCGAAUGGUAUGUAAACUAUGAACUUCAUGUGAAAUCCCUAAGUAUUGGGUAUAAAUCGACAACUCCAAUUGAGUAGAAAUCUAAACGGUAACGAGGUAAAUGAAAAUGUGCAGAUUAUAAACCUAGGCGUGGAGAACUAGGACAUUGAAUAGAUCGAGUGGCAUGAACCUAGAGUUAUUAAACCUAGGUUGGACAUUGAAUAGCUCGAGUGGCAUGAACCUAGUGCUAUUAAACAUAGGUUGGACAUGAAAUAAGCCUAGUGUUAUUGAACAUAGGUCGGACAUUAACCUAGUGUCAUUGGACCUAGGUCGAGUGUGUAAACCUAGAGUUGAGAUCUAGGAGAAAGUAUAUAAAACCUAGUGUAAGUGAACCUAGGUUAUGAUGUAAAGAACCACUUAGUAAAAGUAAACUAAGUUGUGAAUCAUAGUGGCAGUAAGACCACUAGAAAGUGAAUAGAAUAGACCUAGAAAGGUCGUCGACAUAGGGUAAAAGAGUAAACCCUUAAGUUGUGAAAAUGGAUUCCGGAAUCCCUAGGAUUGGUAUGAUGGCAGAAAUAGAAUCGAAACUACGGGAUCUGUUCUCCUCUCCCGGUAGUGAUUCAACGGGAUUGACGGUUCUCCUCUCCCGGUAUGCCAUGAAACAAGUGAAGUGAAUCGAAACUACGGGAUCGACGGUUCUCCUCUCCCGGUAGUGAUUCAACGGGAUUGACGGUUCUCCUCUCCCGGAGCUAUGGGUUUGACGGUUCUCCUCGCCCGUUGAGCUUGAGCGACUUAGGGUCACGGGGAUCGACGGUUGUCCUCUCCCUGUGAUGGACCUAGUGUCGCGUGGACUUAAGGCUGAGGUGUUGUGAGACGUCCUCCACCUCGAGCCUGACUUGACGCGGUACUCCGCGGUUGAUUGACUCAAGACCGAGUCGAGUGGCUAGAUGGCUAAGGUAAAGUAACCUUAGGAAAGAAUCGCCAGUGAGUACAGUAAGAAUAAAGAAUAAAGCAUAAAGAAAAGAAUAAGGAAAUAGCUAAUGAAUGAAACUAGCUAAGAAUGAAUAAAACGGCUACAAGUAAAGAAUGGCUAAUGAUAUAAAGUAGAAUCAAGUAAUCUACUUACAUGAAUUACAGGUAAUGCAUAUUGCAUAGCAGCGAGGCAAGGUAUGGUUUUAUUUAUCGCAUCGUUAAAUAUCUAUCUAUCUAUUGUUGAACUAACCUACUGUUGCCUCCUUUGGACCUGGUGGGUCGAGCUCUUCUCUUGGGUGGCCGUACCCACUGGGAACUAUAUUUAUAUAGUUCUCACCCCCGUGUUGUUUUGGGGGUACAGGUUACACGCGAGCGGCGCGGCGGCGCGAGGACAGGGCGUAGCUUCGUAGAUAGCGCCCCACCACUGAGACUGAGAUAGCAACACCCUGAAGAGGUCAAGUUCAGAGUUCAAAUGGAAAGAAACAAAAUUGUAGUAAUUUGUAUAAGUUUCAUAUUAACUUAAAAGCAUAUGUGGUUAUGUAAAUGUAAAAUAUUGUAAAUGUAAAAGAAUCUCUGAGAUGAAUACUUGUAAUAGCAUAGUUUGCACUUUAUGUUUUCGAUACAUAUGCAAUCUACAUACCUGCUACAGUUCCUGUUUGGAACCUCUUGUAUUGCAUUGUUUAGAUUGUUGACGCCUAGAACGUACAGGGGAGGCUCUGUCCGUUCGGCGGUCUGUCGACGAGCCCGAAUCCGACCAAAUAGGCAGGGCUCGGGGCAUGACAUGAACGGUCGGUUUCGGCCGAGCAGGAGGAGAAAAUGACUAGGAGGGAGUUAGAGGACAAGAUAGCCUCCCUCGAGACAAUCAUUAAACGAGAGAGAUGACCUCUUAAGGAGAGGGAGGUAGGAAUGGAAAGCGAUUCCUCGGCCGAGAUGACUAAGGAAUCCGAAGAAAAGAAACAAAGAAUUCAAGAAAAAUCGGCUGAUGAAGGACCGGCCGAUGUCAACAUGGUUUAUACUCUGCCGCAGUCCUUUAAAGCAGAGUAUACUGAGUAUGAGGAGAUAGAAGAAGAAGUUGGGCUCAAUGUGGCCCAAUUACAACUAGAGGAUGCCAAACCAGCAGAUGCGGUGGUUUUCGAUAAACCAUCGGCCAUACAGACGAGAUUCGUGAGGCCCUUGUUUAUUCAGGCCUUAAUCGAAGGUCGGCCAGUAGGCCAAGUCAUGGUAGAUGGCGGAGUGAUGGUUAACGUCAUGCCCACGUCAUUCUUCAAAAAGUUGGGCAAGAACGAAGAUGAGUUGAAGCCCACCGAUGCGAUCAUGACCGAUUUUACUGGAAGCGAUCAACAAACUCGAGGGGUGCUCACAACCGAGAUUACGGUAGGUUCUAAAACUUUACAAACUGCAUUUUUUGUACUAGAUGCAGAUAGCCACUACAACCUACUACUCGGACGUGAUUGGAUACACGCAAACGAAUGCGUGCCUUCUACACUCCACGAAAAAUUAUUCCAGUGGAUAGGAGAUAAGGUUGAAGAAAUCUGGGCCGAAGGACGGCCCUAAAUGGUGGACAUCAACGCAGAGGAGGUCGGCCACAUCAACUGGGCCGAUGCUGAUCCAGACCAAAUCUCUUUUGUAAAAGUUACUGAAGAGGGGGUUCAGUUAAUCCUCUCUAAAGACGAAGAAGCUAUGGUGGCAGCCGAAGAGCCACCAAGUUGGCUAAAAUGGAAUGUGAAGAAUCAAGAGCCGAAGCUUUAGAGGAGCUUCGGCAAGAAGAGCCGAUCGACAGGAUUGGCUGUGUGAUAAAUUCGGCCCAGCAGGCCGAUGAUGUGGUGUACAAGAAGAAGGCCGAAACAGACGAUAAUGAACAUGUAGUAAAAUCGGUUGUUAAAGCCGAUAUGAAAAAUAUGGGGAAGUCGGCUGUCACGCCCUGAGCCUCGCCUAUUUGGUCAGGUUCGGUACGCCGACAGACCGCCGAACGGAUAGAGUUUCCCCUGUACGUCCUAGGCGUCGCAAACAAUACAAUUACAAUAGGUUCCAACCAGGAACGAUAUUCAACAUACAACGAUUGCAUAAGGAAGGUAUCAAACAACAUAAACACAUCCUAAGUUAUUACAUUUAUUCAUUCAUCUCACUUGAUAUUAUUUACAUUUCUUUUCCUUUCAACUACAUUUAAACUUCCGAAUACAAUCCAAGUUGCAAUAAUUUAUUACAAGUUUAAUCCAUUCAUCUUGUUCUUUUUAUUUCCCUCUCCCCCUAGGCUAUGCCGACUCGGGGUACUGCUAUCUCUGGUCUCUGGGUAGGGCGCUAUCUAUGGAGCUACGCCCUCGCCUCGUGCAGCAGCGCCGCUCACGUGUGAACCUGUAACACCCCAAAACCACGUGGGGUGAGAACCAACUCCAUGGUUCCCAGUGGGUACGGCCACCCAAGGGAAAAGUUCGACCAAUAGGUCCAAGGGAGGCAACUGCAAGUUAGUUCAAUAAACAGAUAGAUAUAUAUCUUGAUUAUGCAACGAAUAAAACCAUGCAUUGCCUCACGAAUGCAAUAAUGUAAUGCUAUAUGCAAAUCAUGCAAUAAUGCAACUAUGCAACCAACUAGUAGUUCAUUCGAUACUACUUUCAAUUCUGCUAACCAUAACUCAUCCGUUUNNNNNNNNNNNNNNNNNNNNNNNNNNNNNNNNNNNNNNNNNNNNNNNNNNNNNNNNNNNNNNNNNNNNNNNNNNNNNNNNNNNNNNNNNNNNNNNNNNNNCCAGCGGAAGCAUAUCCGGUCGCGUGCACAGACCCGCCGUGUACACCACAACUCAAGUAUACACAAGGCGUCUACAAACCAUAUAGUAAAAGCAUAUAAUUCUAACUAGGUAAUCAGAGCAAGACUUUUAAGCUUAAACUUAUACAAUCCAAACCUUAAAACAGGAAAUAAGAACAAAGUACGAUUUACAAAAACUUAAUAUACAUCUCUGUACUAAACUAUAUAAACUGCUGGAGGUGGUCUAAUACACGUCCAAAAAGGCGCUAGCUAGCCGUUGACCCCUCGCCAGGAACCCUAGCCUUUCUCGCUGUAGAAGGCUCUGUAAAAACAACAACAACGAGGGCGUGAGAACUAUUAAACAAUAGUUCCCAGUGGGUAAGCCGCCGAAAGUGGCGAAGUACACCACUAGGUCAACUGUGGCACGAGUAGAUAGCAAUAAAUAAGCGAGUAAAAUGCAGAUAAUACAAUAAGCAAUUACAUUCAACAGAUAUUAAAGUAACUACUCAUGCUAUUUGCUCAACAAUAAAUAUACAUCAAUAAAUUGCAGGUAUCAAUUAUCAUGAUAGAUUCCAUCAAUCAUAUUACUUGACAAUUUAACCAAACAUAUACCAGAUUGUAUGCAAAAUAAUUCACUUUACCGAAAAUUACAGACGAUAUAAUGUAAUUACCUUUUUCAUUAGCAAGAAAUAAACAUAAUGUCAUUCAUUAUGUUGCUAACCAAUCAUGAUGUCAACUUCUAGGUUAUUCAUCGCUAGGCUCACUUUAGAUGUCAACUUUCUAGUAUGUUCAUCAAUAAGUUCACUUAACCAAAGACAUAAAGUAACUGUACUACUAUGUCCAGCUAAGGUUAAAGUACUUGACAUAACCCAAUUUUCAACAGACUUACACAAGGUAAGUUCAAGCCGCGCCGUGCCUAAUGGCCCCGUGGUAGUCAACAUCCCCACUCGAGGAAUGAGCCUCCCCCACGGCAUUCCAUUUCGGCGCCCACUUCGUACAUUUGCGAGCAUCUGUCACUAAGCUGUUCGGGAGUGCUGGCUUGGGGGGGAGCGACCCCGCAAGCGUGUGCAAACGCGCACAAUGGCAUGCAAGCCGUAGUCCAUAGUACCAGUCUCACAACAACAUCAUGUCCCUGACAUGGAAUCUCAACUCAAGCCACUCCGGAACGCGGGGCUUGGGGGGGCGCGACCCCCGCAAGCAUGUACGAAAGAGCAUAAUGGCAUGCUAGCUAUAGUCCGGGGUACAAAUAUCUCAACGACAUCAUGUCUCUGACAUGGAAUCUCAACUCGACCCAAGGUCGGCACUGUAGUACCCAAUCAUAAGUCACUAUCAACAACUUGUUGAUAUGAUUCUACCAAUAACUAGUAUAACUUGACAAGUUAAGGCUUUACAUCACACUCGUGAUUCUAUCAGGCUAUACCUGGUCAGUGAUUCACAACCUCUCACUACUCCUUACACAGAAGGAAAGUGGUUUACUAAUGUUCUGUUCAAAGACUCAUGGCACAUAUCCUGUAGUCCAAUAAAUCUCUACUCGACUAUACAAGUAUGUUAUCAUAUCCAAAUCUAGUUAUCUACUAGAUUAUAUUCAGUUGUAUAACAUUCGAGUUAUGCUUUCAUGCUCAAUUCUAGUUGUUUAACUAGAUCAUAUAUCGUAACAUGAAUUUCAAACAAAUCUAUCAUGUGAAAGUAGGAAUUAACAGGUCAAUACAAGUAAGGAAAAUAAACGACGGAACACUCUUCACAUGAUCUCUAUGCCAUUCACGAUGUUACCAUGAUAUGAGCAUACUCAAAUAAUUACCUUUACGUGAUGUAUUCAGAGUUUAACAAAGAUACUAAUCAUAUCAAUUGGCAUAGUCCAAUUCUAGGUACAUCGUUCCCUUUUAUUGCUCAGCUGAGCUAAAUGGUACCUUCACGAUUUUACCAUCAUAUCUACUUGAAUGACAACCAGUCCAAUUAUUUAUGCGAGCUACGAAUAUCACGAAUAUAUAGUAAUCCAACAGAUAAGAAGCGAUAAUGCGGUCGACCGCUUUCCCCCUACACGACGUUCCGCUAAUUCAACCCAUUGCGGUCCCAAAAGGGUCAGUGCUGCAACAUUUUGCUGCCGGUCACUUAACAUUAUGCUGAGUGAUAUCCCGCUUAAGCUCGAGCCAUGGGCCCCUAGGAGAUCUCAGCUGGACGUCCGUACGUUCGAAUAACCUCUACAAGGUAAUAAAUACUUCAAUAAAGCCGGAUAUGCGCCUAGUUAGCUCGCUUAACUACGUCAAACUCGAAAAGAGAAGGGUCGUCCAAACGCUUAGUGUAAUUUGAGAAAACCACUGGACCCUCCGACCAAACCUUCCACAAGGUUGAUGUCCAUUCGACUUUAACGACACUCCUUUGACUUAAAAGUUCUAAGGCUGAUAUAGAUAACUAUGAACUGCUGAUACUACGGCAAAACCUUUAACAAGCGUCGCUCGAACGUUGCCUGAAAGCCUCAUAGAGGCCGACUACACAUUUCCGAAAAUCUUCGAAUUAAACUCCAUAAUUGACUUGGGUUUUGUCCCUAAGUUCAAUAAUGAAACAUGAUUCACGUUUAACAUGGCUUUAACCUGUAAAGCCGGCAUCAAAACUACGCGAAAAGCACAAAGCAAAAGUCGUCGCAGCUCUGAGGCAACUCGUCCCAAGCCCUGAGGAAAACCGACCUAACUCGAACCACUAUCCACCCAGCCUGAAAGGGCUUUACCCACUUAAAGGGAGAUACAAAGGAAACUGUAUACUCAACUUCGAUAAUGCAUAAGAACACUUAUAUACAUAUCAAGUACCGUAAUUCUGUGCGUAAGUACACAUCUAGUAUAACCUAUACUAGCGUAAGGAUUGUCAUGACCUUUUGAGUACUAAUCAAGGGAGGUGUACCANGAGCUCCUGGAGUCGUCCUGGGAUCAAAUAGAUAGGGAUAGAAUGUGAAAUUACCAAAAAACCCUUGCUGCCACGUUUCUGGCAUUGUGUACCGGUACACGAUGUGGCUGUACCGGUACAGCAAGCAGAAAAAACACUGAUUUCGUCAGAUUAAUGCACUUUCUUACUUUUAACCCUCCAAUCACUCUCUAACUUGUCCAAAAAACUUAUCCAAACCCUUUAGAAUGUGUAGGGAAGUUUUAUGUACCUUUUCCCACGUUCAAAUUUCGUAAUUGACCAAAUUCGAAGCAUUACAAUUGAUAAUGCAUUUGCGAUGCACUUUUCCAUUUCUAGUUACUUACUUACUCUAGUAACUUAUCAAAAACCUUUCAAUAGUUUUGCAAAAGUCAUAGACCAGUUCCAAAAGCCGAUCCACCCCUCGAACUUACCAAGAGGCUCAAGAUUCAGUAUAUUACAUGGGGUGGCUUCAGGUCACCGGAACAGUGACCCGAACCCGAGACAGUGCACAAAAUAGCUACACUAAAGCUUACCGGACUAUAGGGAACUCGGGCACCACCAGCGACGGCCGAGAGGCAGGCGCGCCGGCAGAAGAAAGGUGCUGGCGACGGAGAAAGGUCGGGGCGCGCAAUGGCCGGUGACGGGAGGCGGCCGCUGUGGUGGGCAAUGAUGCCCUUGCCGCACAACUCGAGAAGAGCAUAGGCUUAGCUCGGUUGAUAGGGAGCUUUGGCGACGGGGUAGCCAGCGGCGGACGGGUGCUGUCGACCAGGUGGAGCCGACGUUCACGCUGGCCGGCGGCGGAAGGCGGCGGCGGCGGCGGCUGCGGUGACACAUCCCAAGCCCGUACGGGCUUGGCUCGGGCUCGGCUGAACGCAAAGGCCAUGGCGGCGGCCGGGGAGCCUUGGGGCGGCGACGAUGGGCCGCCGGAGACCAAAGAGAGGCAACAAGGUCGAUCCGGAGCUGCGGCGGCGCAAGGGGAAGGGAUUGGAUCCGCCUCAACCCGGAGUUGCCCAGGUAGGCCGCAGGCUGCCAGGGCGGCGACGGCGGCGCGUAGGGACAAUGGCGACCGGCGGACGGAGUCGCCCAAUGUCGAUGGAGGGUGGCACGACCGGUUCUAGGCAGGGGCAACAUGCGGGUUGAGUUCUAGCUUUGGGCUCGGCCGCAGGGAGCUAGCGAUGGCGGCGGCGGCCUGUGGGGACGGCGGGGACGCGCGCAGGGAGGUCGUCGGAGGUCUAGGAGGGCGACCGGGCCAACCUAGGGUGGCGGUGACUCACGGGCCACGAGUUCAACAGAGCUCAACCCGAGCUGGCCGAAGUAGCCCGCGGGUCGCCCAGGCGGCGAUGGCGGCGCGCGUGGACGGCGGGGGCCGGCGGGGACGACGUCGGAAGUGGGGCCUCGGCCGAGGGAAGUGGCAUGAGGGUGAGAUCUAGCCUAGUUGAUCUCGAGCAGGGUGAAAGAAGGAUGAGGGAGAGAAUGUGAUGAAGAAGGUUAGGUUCCGAUGGCCGGCGGCGUGCACAGGUAGCAGGAGCACGCACGACAAAGGCUGGGGAGGGAGCUGUGGACGGCUAGGAGGUUAGCUGAGGGAGAUGACCUCUAGGGUUAGGGUUUCACGCACGAAACCCUAAAGCCAAAAUAUAUACCAAGUGAAAUUUUGUAGGAAAGUCCUCCAAAGAAGAAUGUUUUUAGCUAGGUCCCUCCCAGCACGUGCAAUAUGCGCGAACGUACCCUCAUGUCUGAUCACGUGCGAUUUGGUACAUAAAAUAUUAUGACUUUUGUGAAGUUUCCGAUUUGUCACUUUCAACCCCUUCCCGAUCAUCAUGCAAUAUCCGGCGAUCCGUUCAUUGGAUUUCUGAACGGAUUAUGCCAGCACGUUCAACACGACCAAGUUAUCAAACUCACAGUUUGUUUUAUUCAAUUUGGUCGCCAAUUCGCGGGGAAAGUCAUCAUCUCUCUGAUUUUCCAAAACUCUCUUAGUGAUAAAAAUCCUUUUUCCUCGAAAACCAUGCAUCAGAUCUAAAAUCUGUCAGCGCCAAUGGUUCCAGAAUAGCUGAACCGUUCAAAACAAGCUAUUGGAUCGUUAUGAACGGAGUCCGAUACGCGCCAGAAGCCAAUUCUACUCAUCAGCCUCUCCGGAAAGCCGGAGUUACUAUUCACUUUAAGUGAUUAGUAUUGAUCGCGUAACUUCUCCAUUCUAACUCAUUUUCUCCUGAAACUUGACGAGUGCUUAUGUAAUUAAAUUACACACAAAAACAUUGUCAACAAAGAGUUUAGCUACACUGCCAAAACCUCAGUCCUUACACUACACUAACUCACCACUAAGCACACAUUAAAAUACACAUUAACUCACCCACUAUCACAUAGUAAUGAGCCCUCAUGAAUACCUAAUGAAUGCAAGGUGAUCCAAUGGGCUGCCAAUGUCCAUUGGGUUUUCACUAGUAGUUAUGGAGGUAUUAAUUGUAGUAGUUACCAGCCUUUUCAUCUCCCAUAAUAGGCUGCUGGUUUAGUGCCCCUUUGGCUGCCUACUUAGCGAAGUUGGGCCAGGGACUUGGUCGGACUGAAUAAUCACUAAGUCCCUGACAUUCUCCCCUACCUAACAUGCAGACGCCCUCGUCGUGCACCAAGCCGCUCUGCAUAGCCUUGCUCGCAAUCCAUUGUGCCUUUGCGCCCGCGCGGCCUUAAGCCGUGCUAUCGCAGUCUGCGUUCCCUUGUGUACCAGUUCCCAAUGCCUUGCCCCUUUAAGCGUGAACACCAGCUAGCUCGCUGCGCGAAAAAUUUUAUCAUUGAGCCCAAAUUGUCGAGUGUGCCUGCCCUCCGUGACACGCACGCACAUGCCACCAAGUUGCGGGAUGCUCCUUGAUCCCCUCGGGGUCCUUCUUAGCUUUGUGCUUGACAGAGCGACACGCCCCUCGAUUGGGUGCUAGUUGUUUCUGCAUCUCUUGAGACUUAACAGUCUAACCCUCACCGAGGCUCUCCUCCUAGAGGUCCUUAGCCUUCCUGCACUUCACCUUCUCACAAAGCUAUAAGGUUGUAAGGGUUUGAUCCUUCAUCGAUGGGGCUGGGCUUUGGUUGCACCCCUUUGCGUCCCCUGUAUCAUGACACUCUCCCCCACCUUUGGCCUCACUUGCCUUAGGUGGUUUGCCAUGAUCACUCUCAGUUCGCUUGAGUAGUGCCUCCCUCGUCUUGAGGUCCUCGACCUCCUUGACCUAGGCACCAAUGUCCUAAAGCAGUAUAUUUCGUGCAUCCCGCUCGUCGUUGCCAUAGAAAAUAUCCGCCUUAAACUUGUCCAGACGACGGCGGAAUGUUGUUAUGCUGCAACAAUAUCCUUCUCUAUCAAGUGAAGCCUCUCAUCCAACAAACUCACAGUUUGCAAAAAUGUAGAGGACUGCUCCUCUAUUCUCAUCAUAACAUCCUCCUGCCCUGCAGCCUCGCAUUGUACUUUAAGGAUGCAGCCUCCUUCGCUAGUGCCUGCGGCUCCUUUCUCCUUUCCCACUUGGUCUGCUUUAGAGGCUCAGUAGUUACAUCAAUGACAGCAGUAUCUGAUGACGACAUGGUUACUCACUCUAACCGGCUCUGAUACCAACUGUCACGGCCUUAGCAUUUUUUGCUCGCAAAGCCCAUGCAGCGUCCGUCUUCCUGCUCGAAGAUGGGCAAGCCUAACUCCUUAUUGCUAGCCUGAACCUACACACCCUAUGACUAAGUAUGCAAAAAAUAAGAGAAGAGAGAGGUAGAGGUUUCCAAAAAACUAAGUACCAUCAUUAUUUAGAAAAAUUGGACUACAAUACACAACUCCUCUUGUAUCUCUACCUCCACUUUGGCCUUAGCCAACCCGCCUACUUGUAGACUCCUAGAUACAAUGAAUUUAGCCUACACUAACUCACCACUAAGCAAACAUUAAAAUACACAUUAACUCACCCACUAUCACAUAGUAAUAAACCUAAAGCUGUCCAAAAUAUCCGAUAUACCAUACCUGAUCCGGACCAUACUUAGACCCUACUAGACCCAAACCGGACUUGAUAAAAAAUGGAUAGUAUACGGAUAACAAAAAUUAUCCAUUAAAGUUUCAAGUAUGGUCCAGAUAUGUUAUAUCUAUACCCGACUUGGACCCGACUCGAACCUGACUUUUUGAUGUGUAGGGUUCGAAAGAGUUUCCAAAUCCGGACCCGAAAUUGGACUCAGGCAUAGACCCAGUGAAAUACCUGAUAGUAAAUAAAAAUAUUUGAAGUUGAGAGAUCAAUUUUAAUAGGACUUAAAGAUGAAGGGUCUUUGUAUAUUUUCAUCAUAAUGAAAACCUUAGUCGCUCUAUUUACACUUUUUUUUUUUUACUCAUAUAUUUUAAUUCUAGUGGUUUAUUGCUUGAAUCUUUCUUUUGAGCGAAUUUUAUUGGACUGAAUGAAACUAAUUAGAACACGGGUUUUUUUAUAGUGAGAGGUUGAUGGUUUGUCCAUAUACUGCUUAAUAAAGUUUAUAAAAAAAUAUAUGCAUACAGGUAUCUGUACCCGAUCUAGACUCGAUCCGUACCCGAUCUAUAUCCGGUCUUAAGUGGGUAUAUAUGGGUAGUUAGUAUCCAAACCCGUUCAAACAGACUCGAUGGGUAUAUUAUUAACUUAAGUAUCUAGACCCGGACCCGAUCCGAAGUUAAAUGGGUAGGAUAUAUAUUUUUUUUUUCCUAUCCAUUUCUUUUUAGGGUACGGAUAUAGUAUAUCAACUACUCAGAUCCGAUCCAAUCCAUGGACACCUUUAAAUGAGCCCUCAUGAAUUCCUAAUGAAUGCAAAGUGAUCCCAAGAGUUGCCCAUGUCCUUUGGAUUCUGCUGGUAGUUAUGGAGACAUUAAUUACAACAGUUACUUACCCUUUUAUCUUUCAUAAAAGACUGCUGGUUUUGUACUUCUUUGGCUAUCUACUUAGCGAAGUUGAGCUAGGGACUUGGCCGGACUGGAUAAUCACUAAGUCCCUGACAGUUGGCUCACUAAUAUAGUUUAGUUCAUACUCUUAUUGAAUGAAGUGAAAAGCAUGCUACCUUUCUCUCUGAAAAUGAAAAAGAAAAUAGAAAGAAAGGAAAGAAAGAGGACCACACGUAUGUUGAAACUAGCUAGGCACCCAAUUGGCAACAAGAACAUGUGCCCCACUACUUAAGAAGAACCCUUUACAUUUGUUUGAGGAAUAAUUAAGAAAACGAACCGCAACGGGCGGAAUCAUGGUAUCAAUAGAAUCAAAAAGCAACAACUAGGGCUUUUCAAUUGUUUCCAACUUGGUUUGGAUAGAAAAAUAUAAUUUGGGCUAAUAUGUAAGAAAAGAGGAAAAAGCAUGCAUCGGAAUAGAACGCUUAAUUGAAUUAUCAUCUAUUUGAUGAUUGUUCUAUAUUCUAAUCUUUUUAAUUUAUUCAAAUGCAAUCAUACAAUUAGAAAGAAUAUUUUAUGUGAUCGACAUUGCUAUAUUUCUAUUAAACAAGUGGUUAGGUCAAAAAUUUUAUAAUUGAAGAGAAAUCAACUGAUUUAAUUGAAGAGUAAUCUUAUCUAUUAUUUUGUUUUUAAUUUAACAUAGUAGUGGCAAAGAGCUCUUUACGUCUGAUACUUUAAUUAUCAUUAAGGGCAAACUUAUGUCCAAUUGUUAUUAAUUUGAUUACUCAGUUUAUCUUUAAUCUCUUAAUUUUAUGGAUAAUUAAUUUAAUAUGUAACCCUACUAUGUUUUGAAAUUGCGAAUUCACCUCUGUAAAGCUUUUAUUAUAAAAAAUAUUCUUCUGCAAUUGCAAAAGUACAAAUUUGUUCCUUCGUACAGGUUUAAUCAUCGUUAGCCGAUCGACCAAUAAACUUUCAUGAUCAGCACUGUUAGACCUUUAAAUUUACGAUUUAUGUUUAUUUAGAAUGACAUAGUGUUACUAUGAAAACAUUAAAAAUGAUAAAUGAUGUUAAAUAUCACUAAAAAGAUAGUUAUUAAUUUAAGAGUAAAAUGGAUAUUUCGUGGAAGAAUCCUAAUUCUAGCCAGUAAACUAAUGGCAAGAGAUACAUGUGAUAACUACGUAACUUUGAAGGGAUACGUUUGAUAACUAAAAUAUUGUUUUGUUCGAGCACAAGUGAUUCUUGCUUAUUCUUGGAAUAUGUACAACUUCUAGGAUAAACAGAAAUUAAACAAAUUUUGCGUUUUGGAGGAGAAUCAAGAUAUUGAGAGGAAUAAAAAAAAAAAAAUUUGUUUUUGGGUAAUUGGAUUGGAAUAGUAGGAAUAAAAGUAAUUAUGAUUAAAAACAAAAUUAAUUUAUCUAUAUAAUAAGCAUCUAAAUAUUAAUAAAAUAAUAUUUUAACAAGUUCAUAAUUUAAUUAAUUUGUUACUAUAGAAGAUGAUGAAGAAUGAUCAAUGUUAAUUAAUGAAUAACUAUAAAAAAUAAAUCAAUACAUUAAUACUAAUUAAUUAUUUAAGAAUUUAUAUUUUUUGUUAAUAUAUUAAUUUGAUAAAUUACAAUAUUAAUUAUUUAAAUAAUUCAAACAUUAAUUAAUGAUUGAGUAAGCAGAUCAAAUUGUAAAUUAUUUAAUUAUCUAAUUAAUUAUAAAUAAUAAAUUAAUUACUAUUUAAAUACUUAUUAAUUUAAUAACUUAAAUAAGUAAUUAUUUAAUUAUUAAAAAAUUAAUUGCAUUACUUAAGAAUAUUUUAUAAUUAUUUAUAAUUUAAUUUGUAGAGGAAUAAAAUAGAGAAUAGCUUAUUCCACCUAAUGGAUGGAAUUACUAUUCUUUUCUCUUAAGGGGUUAUCCCGAAAUAAUUAAUUCGUUUAAGAGGGAAAUAGUAAUUCUUGGUGCUGCUCGGAAGAAUAAAGAGAAUAAAUCUUUCAUUUCUUGAAUCAAACUUGGCCUGAAGGAUCUUAUUACUUUGCAGGAAUACAUGUGUAAUUACUUUAUAGAAAGGGAUGAUCUAAAACGAAUUCUACGAAAGUAAUGAUCUAAAAUGGAUUGCCUGUAAAAAGUGUUGUAAUCUCCGCAAUCGCUUAUGGAAAGAUUGUAGAGAAAAAUAAUAAUAACAAUAAUAAAUAAAUAGAGAAAGAAAUGUUUUUGAAUAAUUUUUUUUUUUUGAGAGGUACGUAGCAUGCUACCCGCUUCGUUUAUUUCAUUUAGAAAUAAAAUUAGCUAGAAAUGUGAAUCAAUUAGGAUUCGAACUUAGAAUCUCAGGUACGAAUUUAGGAUCUCGGGUAUAAAUUAUCAAGCUUUUCGCCACUUGUGUUAGGGACGGUCGGUAAUAAAAGAAAUUAUUGAAUUACAACCUAAAAUGUGUUAUUUAUCUGGCACUCCUCUUUGAUAAUUCGUAUGAAUCAAUUAGUGCUUAACACUACCUUUCUUUUUUAUUAUUUUCUUUUUUCUAGGGAAAAAAAAAUGACGGCUAGAUGGUCAACUCGACCAAUGAAAUGGUUGACCAUAUAUACAUAUAUGUAAGUUAACUGCUUGUCCACAGAACUGCUCCGCAUACCUUCAACACAACGACUACAGGAAAAUGGACAAGAAGAUUACUUCGUCUUCCCCCUUGGCCAAACCAUAUCCUUGGGCCAUCACCCUCCUCCUCCUCCUCCUUCCCCCCUUCGCUCCUAGCGCUCUCCUACCUCCUCCCCUAUUCCACUGACUUCCGCCUCCCAUUCAUCGUCACCUCCUGCAGCCGCCCCUCCCCGACCGCCACCACCAAGGCCACCCCAACAGCCGAACCCGAAUUCCGCCUCCUCGUCGGCAUCCACACUGUCCCCGCGAAGUACCACCGCCGCCACGCCCUCCGCCUCGCCUAUUUCCUCCAGCAGCAACCUGCUGCCGCCCCCACGACUUGCCUCAGCAUCCGCUUCAUCCUCUGCAACGUCACCAAAGAAGAAGACCAGCUCCUCGUCGCCCUCGAGAUCAUGCACCAUGACGACAUCAUCAUCCUCAACUGCACUGAAAGCCCAGAGCGGGGUAAGACCUACACGUACUUCUCCAGUCUCCCUGCCAUGUUCGAAGGUGGCGAACAGCCACCUUACGACUACGUCAUGAAGACGGACGACGACACGUACCUACGGCUUGACGAGUUGGUUAAGUCUCUUAAGGGCAAGGCGCAGCGCUAUGUGUACUACGGAACGGGUCUACCGUUCCAAGAUAGGGAGCACCCUCCCUUCAUGCUGGGGAUGGGCUAUAUACUAUCGUGGGACUUGGUGGAGUGGAUCGCAUCAUCAGAAAUAGCGAGAAACGAGCCGAACGGGAUCGAGGAUACGUUAACGGGGAAGUGGUUGAAUAGCGGGGACAAGGCAAGGAUAAGGUAUAACAUGUUCCCUAAGAUGGAUGAUUACAGAGGGGGAGAAGGGAAAGAUUUUGAGGCAGAAACCAUUGCGGUGCAUCAGUUAAAGGAGGACUUGAGGCUGGUAAGGACAUUGAAACACUUCAAUGUUACCACGGGGCUCAAGGCCUCAAAGCUCUACCAUAUUCCUUAAUGAUUUUUUUUUUCUUUAUCUUAGGAGUUUUUUUUUUUUUUGUGGGCUUUUUUCCUGCUCUUUUUCUUGAGCAUUUUAAUUUUUAUGCUUAUCAUGUUGGAGGCUCUGCUCGGCUGAGCCAAAAGGAUAAGUAAUCCCCCAACAUUUAGAUUUGUGCGAUUUCUUUUCUUUUCUUGCUUAUAGUUAUUUCAAUUUAGUAACACACUAUAUGAAGUAGGUUUUUUUUUUUUUUUUUUUUUUGAGAGAGAGGUUGGUAGCACGCUACCCGCUUCGUUUAUUUUAUUUAGAAAUAAACUUAGUUGAAAAUGUGAAUCAAUUAGGAUUCGAACUUGGGUCUCGGAUACUAACUACCAAGCCCUUUGCCACUUGCUCUAGAGACGGUCGGUUAAUUAUGAAGUAGGUUAUUGAUCGACUUCUUUAUCGUAUCCAGCACUGUCACACCCCACACCCCGAAUUUGUAGCAGAAGCUACCGUGUGCGUCAAUAGACCGACCGCCAGAUGCACGGGGCUCGCCUUGUACAUCCGAAACGGUCAAAUCUGCCUCGUUAACAUUUCCAGAAACACACAACUAAUUAAUAGGUAUCAAAGUAUAGAGAGCACGUAGCAAGUAUGGCCGCUUGUACGAAAAAACGGUCUCAACAUCUGAUAUAAUGUCACUAACUAUUCAUACAUAUACGAUAAUCAUAACAAAUCACAUAAACAAACACAUCCCUCGCAGACCUCAACCGUAUCGCGUGCAUCAGCUGCUAUACAAAACUGGAUCUACAGGGUCUUUUUGUAGCUAUUUGUCAGGGACUUAGAAAAAUUUCUAUGCAGCCCGGUCCUUGGCCCAAAUCUGCUUAGCGAGUUCGGGUUAAAGACGGGUCGAAUUGGGUUGGCGAGUAGACUCAAACCCAACCCGCUGUGGAAACUCAAGGGUUAUGAAACUCAUGGGAGUUAUGGGUGACUCUUGAGCUUUUGGCAAUUAUGAGGGCUCAUUAUGUAUGCAAUAGUGGGUGAGUUAUGUGGCUAGUGGGUGAGUUGAAAAGGCUCAUUAGGCCUAUAAAUAGUGGGGUUGGCUAAGGCCAUGACACACAAGAGAGAGUGUGUUUGUAUGUUAUUUGUAGGUUGUAAUUCUCAUUUUUAAGUAGUGUAGUACUUAGUUUUUUUUUAGAAAACCUCUGCCUCUUUCUCUUUGUCAUUUUUCUUUGCAUACUUAAUCGUAGGACGCGAAGAUUCAGGCUAGUAAUAGGGACAAAGGCUUGUCCAUCUUCGAGCAGGAAAGGUGGGCGCCGCACGGGCUUUCCGAACGAAAACGCUAAGUCCGUGACAGUUGGUAUCAGAGCCGGUUCGAGUGAGGAACCAUGUCGUCAUCCGAUGAGGGAAUUGUCAACAUUGGGGGUGACCCUCCAAAGCAGCCCUCCAAGCGAAGUAAGAGCAAAGACCCUCAGGGAAUCACGAGGGAUUCGGCGUCUACGUUGGAGGACCGCCUUGUGCUGUUAGAGGACAUCAUCGCAAAAAUGGAUGAAAGGUACAUCGAGAUGGCGGAUACCUUUAACUCAUUCAACGAAGAUGUCCACAGCAUGGAGGAAAACGUCGCUACAGCUAUGGAGACAUUUCGAAGCGAACUCGAAAAGCUCCAAGCCAACAUGAAGAGUCGUGACGAUGAGCGAAAGAAACUGAUCGAGGAGCUUGUUGCUCGAGUCGACGAGGUCGAGGACCUCACGACAAGAGUAACGAUCCUUGAGAAAGCGGUGGCGCGUGGCCACGAACCCCAAAGAGAGACCGCUUCGAAGGUACGUGUCCCUGAACCUCAAAAUUUCAGGGGAACCCGCGAUGAGAAGGAGAUCGACAAUUUUCUGUGGCACAUGGAGCGCUACUUCAAGGCAUUGCGGCUGGACGACGAGGAGGAGAAAGUCCAGGCCGCGUCCAUGUACCUUGCUGAUGACGCGAUGCUGUGGUGGCGUCAGCGUUCUGCAGAAGCCGAGAAGGGCCAAUGUAUCUUGAAGACGUGGGAGGACUUCGUGCGCGAGCUUAAGGCGCAGUUCUACCCCGAGCACGUCGAGUACCUUGCGAGGAAGCAACUUCGACGGCUCAAACACACCGGGACGCUCAAGGAGUAUGUCAAGGAAUACUCCAAGUUGAUGCUGUCCAUCACCAACAUGGCGGAGGAAGAUCGCUUAUUCUUCUUCCUCGACGGACUCCAACCUUGGGCGAACAAGGAGCUUGUGGGACGCGACGUCAAGGACGUUGCCUCCGCAAUUGCCUUGGUAGAAAAACUGCCCGAGUACGAGUGGGCGGAUUCAACUCGUAGCAAGACGCCCAAAGCGAGCAAGGCUAAAGGUGGAGGAGACCGUCGCGACCAGAAGGAGCACAGGGGCUGCUAGAGGGGUCCUGUGUCGCCGCCGAAGAAAUUGACAUGCUACGUCUGCGGCGAGAACCAUUGGGCGAGGGACUGCCCAAACAAGAAGAAGCUGAAUGCUGUCCAGACCGAGCAGGGCAAGGGCAGUGCAGAACCGACGAAGAUGGGCGUGCUUAGGCUCAGGGCUGGCAAGCAGCAGCAAGCCCCUCAACAAGGAGCUUCUGUACAUCGAUGUGACCCUUAACGGCAGGGCCACACGAGCAUUGGUGGACACGGGAGCCACUCACAACUUUGUUGCAGAAGUGGAGGCCAAACGGACACUACAAGAAAAAGCGGUUCUAGAGGCGGUUCUCUAGAGGCGGUUCUUAUAACCGCCUCUAUAAAAUCAUAGUAGAGGCUGUUUUGAGGCGGUUUUUAAAAACCGCCACUAUAAAAUCGUAUUAGAGGCGGUUUUAUAGCGGCGGUUCCCACAACCGCCUCUAUAAAAUUGUUUUUUUAAAAAUCCGCCAUUAUUCGAGGCGAUGUUAUAGUGGCGGUUGUGGGAACUGCCUCUAUAAAAUCGUAUUAGAGGCGGUUUAGAGGCGGUUUGUAAAAAGACCGCCACUAUGAUUCACGUAUUAGAGACGGUUUAGAGGCGGUUUUUAAAAACCGCCUCUAAAUAUAAUUAAAAAAAAUCAAAACCCUAAAAUGUUAAAAUACCCCAUGUUUCCCCCUCAUUUUUUCCCCCUUUUUUUUUCCAGGAAACCGCCGCCCCCACCUCUUCCCUCUCCUCCGACUCUUCCUCCUCAACACCUCCUCCUUUUCCCCUCCCCCCUCACCUCCAUCACCCGCUGCCUCCACCUCCGCGCGCCGCCGCCGCCUCUAGCUCCGCAUGCCGCCUCCAGAUCCGCACGCCGUCGCCUCCAGAUCCGCACGCCGUCGCCUCCAGAUCCGCGACCGCCGCCUUCAGAUCCGCGACCGCCGCCUCCAACACCGCGCGCCUCCAAAUCUGCACGCCGCCGCGUCUAGCUUCGCGGCCGCCGCCUCCAGCUCCACGGCCGCCGCAUCCGUCCCCACCCUCCUCGUGAACGCUGGUAGGUCCCCUUACUGAGGUUGGUAUAUCUUAUGUUAAUGUCUUUAGUUACCUUACUGAGGUUUGGAAUGCUUUUAGUGAAAUGUUAUAUGCAUGUACUAACUUGAGUUUAUAUUAAAGUCUUUGUUAUAGAUAUUGGAAUUAAAUGAAUUCCAAUUUUAAUUAAGUCGUGUUGAACUUCUAAUAUUUUGCGAGCUCAAGCCCCCCUUAUUUGAAUAUUCUUUGAAAAAGAAAUAAAUAAAUAAGUAAUAAAUAAGCAAACAUGUCACGCUCCGGAUUACCACGUACGUUUCCUCGGGCGCGCCAACAGACCCGCCGUACACAUAGAAAUUUUUUGUGUAUACGAAGCGAUAGCCAAAACCUGCAAACAAAUAUAGCUACGACCAGAGGUAAUGAGCUGCUAAAAAAAAACUGAAAUAUAUCUAUAUAAAUAAAGGCCACUGUUCAUACAAGCUCCAAAAGUACAACCACAUCCCAGUAAGUACAACUAACGACUGCAUGUACAUGGUAACAUCCAAAACUACCUCUGUAGGGGUGCUCCUCUAGCAAAAAGGACCGAGGAAGAUAAGGAUCUAGCUUGCGACUUCCUUACCACGGUUAGAAUCAACAGCAGCAACAGACGAAGGCUCUGCAAAAAUGUGGCAACAACUGGGUGUGAGAACUACUGUAAAAUAGAGUAGUCCUCAGUGGGUACCGUCACCGACCCCAACGGCCCACCCACUAAGUCUACAGUAAGGUAUGCAAAGGAUAGUAAAGUAAACUGGAAAAAACUCUACAACUAUAUGCUAGCCGACUACCGUUAUCCAACCAUGCUCUUUGUAGACAUAGAAAUGCAUCCCUAGCUACACACUGACCCAAUCUCAAGGGACAGCCGACUGGCCCAUCCAGCUUGUACCCAAGCUACACCGCUCACCACCCACAGGGGUGGCCGGUCCAAGAACAAUGUCCAAACAGGACUGCUGCGACAUCAACGCAAGUAAAGCCUCACUUCGGAGCGGCACUCCUGGGAGCAACCCAACCGAGUAUGCAAGCGUGUCUCUGUCGAGCUCAAUCAAGCUCACAGAGGCUAUAGUCAAUGCAAAUGGGUUAAACUGGUCUAACAACCAAAACUCACGUGCUCUCGGUACAAUCUGAUACAAGAUGUAAAUAUCUGGAUUCACCGUCAGCCCCGAUGGCACCCAACAGUACGGAACCGUCCAAACUCUACUGUAAAACGUGCUCGGCCCCUCAGCACAAGCAUAAUCUUAAGCUACACUAGUCUGGGUAUCCAUAACGCACUAACAGCGGUUAUACAAAAGAACAACAGCAUCUGAAAUUAAUUCGGUUAACUUUUUAAAAAGUGACAGUGUAGGUUUAAUCAAUUUUCUCCUAAGUCAAAUCUCAAUUCAGCAUAUAUAAUGUCACGCCUCGAACCCGGUCCUAUUUGGCCGGUUCGAGCACGUCGAACAGAUACCAAACGGACAGCACCUGCCCUGUCCGCCCAAGACUACUCAACAAGUACUCAGCAAGUAUAUAAAUUUGCACAGCGAAAACAUAAAUAUACUUUGCUUGCAUGAGGGCAAGCAAUAGCCAAAGUGAAAGUACUAAAUUAAACAUCAUACAAGUAAUAUGAUUAACUUUUAACCAUAUACAUGCAUUCAAUCACAAGUUACAUUUACAUUCUUUUCAUCAAUUCUUCUCUUGAUACAUCACAUGAUAUCCCAAAAUAUAACUCUUUGCAUUUAAACAUAAACUCUUUUACAUCAUUCAUAUUCUUUCAUUUAAACAUCUAUAAUCAUCAAGUACAAAAGAUGAUAUACAAAAGGGUAUGCAACUAUAUAAAAUAAAGUCCACUCAGGUGGUCCCUGUCUAUGGCGCGAUACCUUUACCGCGAUCGUCGGCGGGCUCGCUUGGUCCCGGCUCAGUGAAAAUAGUAGGGUGAGAACUACAACAAAGUUCCCAGAGGGUUCGGCCGCCGAUCUCGCCGAUUUUCCCACUAGGUCUAAAUCAGGCAUAAUAGAAAGAUAGAUAGAUAGUAACCAACUAACAAAUGCAGCUAAUAUGCCUGAACAAUAUAAUCAAUGAUUAUGCUCAAAUAGAAUGCUCAUGAUGAAUGCUGGGUCACUUUCCAAUUCCCAAUCUCGUGGCUAACCCGUAGGUUUCGCCCUCAAUAAACUCACCAACUCAUAAUCCGAAGUAUCAGGGAGACUACUACGACCCGAUGAGACCGUCCUCUGGGGAGACUACUACGACCCAAUGACGACAACUCCGGAGCUCAUCGCUCGAGGGAGAGCUACCACCCUCCGAGCAAGGACUUAUAGGCGAGUAUAAUACAAUCCUUAACUAUAAGGAUUCUAUGUUCAAUCCAUUCCUUAACUAUAACGAAGCAAUACUCAUAUGACCCUUAACUAUAAGGUUGCUAUGUCAUUAUGUCAACAAUCACACUUACUUGCAUUUCUUUAACAUUUAUGAUGCCACACACACUAAGUAUUCUUUAACUCUUUUCAUGCAUUCACUUUACUCAUUAGUGUCACAUGCACUACAUGUUCUUUAUACUAAAACACUAAUGCCACACAUUAGUUGUUCAUCUCUAGCAUUCAAUAUGUUUACUAAUGCCACUCUAUUCAAAGCCCAACUCUAGCAUUCAUAGUCUUUACUAAUGCCACACAACUCUUAUGUCAUAAUGUCAUUUUGUUCUCAACUAUGUUCUUUGCCUUUCUAAGUUCUUGUCAUCAUUCAUGCAUACAUAGGAUUUCACAAAUUCUCACUAAUUUAUCAUCAUCUCACAUACAUUUGUACUCACAACAUGCAAUACAUACUCACAUUUCACCCUACAAUGCAUAAUAAUCAUAUAUAACCCAUGCUCAAGAAAUGACACUUUAGACAUAAAAGAAAAUUCAUCGAAUUCGGAAAGCACCACCCACCUUGUAUGGUUGUAAAGGUGCUACGGUUCAAUUCUCACAAUUUUUGGGCGCCAAUUCCGCGUGCUGCGGCAAUCUGUACCAAAACCGACCUUUUCAUCAAUUUCUUCGCAUACACUCGUCAGAUCACCGAACCGAGUUCAUAUUCUAGUUAGAAAUACCCCCAAUUAGGUUUCCACAAGGUCAAUUUGCCUUUAAACCACUCUAGGGCAAAAGCCCCAAUUUUGGUGCUCUAACAAUAUCAUUUGCCCAAUACCUUGGUUUGAUCUCUAAAACAAGCAAAUGCAAGCUUGUUGAACCUCUAGGAACUUAUCUAGAACCAUUUCUAGGUCAAUCAAAUCAUUUCUAGGGCAUACAAAUCAAACCCUAGAAAUCCACCAUGAAAGCUCAUGAAGGAAACAUGAAUUUUUAUGUGUUCAUGGCCUCUACAAGGUUUCUACACUUGUAAGAAGAUCAAAACCUAGCUUCCUAGGGUAUAAAACCAAACCCUAAUCUCAUUCUUACAAGAAACCCCACCUUAACCUAGAUGCCCACCAAGCUCCACCUUGUAGGAGAGCCCCCAAAGCCUUCAAACUCCAAAAAUCUCCUCCAAAUCCUUCUCCAACUCUUUCUCUUAGCUCCUUAGAGAGAUCUCUAGAGAGAGAAAGAGAGAAAUGAGAGAGAGAGGUGCUUGCUAUUGUGAACAGGUGGGAGGGGUGUGUGGGGUCUUAUAUGGGUUGCCAAAUUACAAAAAGACCCUCCCAAUCUUCAUAUUUGCAGCAGACUUAAUUCUGCUGCAAAGGACAUCUGGUACCGGUACAAGAAGGAUUUGUCACCGGUUACACGAUCGUGUACGGCCAAACCCGAGAGCUGGCUUCUCGGGUAAUACACUUGGUACCGGUACACACCAGGGGUGUCACCGUUUCGACAGCCUUUUUUACUCAAACCCGAGAGCUACUUCUCUCGGUCUGAUGCCUGGCUAGUACAAGGUCAAUGCAUUACCGGUAACAAAAGCUCCAGAAUUUCAGUUUUGCAUUGUUUCGCUUAUAUUUCACGUCGAGCAAUGCUAAAACAUUUCUAACUCUUUUAGAACUCAACUGUAACCCUUCCAAUAUUUUUGGAAUGUUAAAUGGACCUUGUCCAACUAUUUCUUUCGCACACUUUAGCCAAUUUGGCUAACGUUCGAUAUCACUACCGAAGUUUCGCUAUAUUACAUAUAAUUUAUUUAAAAUUCUAAGAGUAGGCUCCAAAUUCAGAUUUCAUAUAAACAUGCAAGACCAUGAAUUCGAGCUACUAAACACGAUGAACAAAACAACGAAAUACAUGCUGGCAUCUCUAUGACUUAGAAGGAAUUCCGACGAUUUCGGUAAAUAUUAACCCACCUAGUAUGCAAAUCCGACUACAAAUUAAAGCGAAACUCAGCAGUCACGUGCCUUCAGUCCCAAAUCACCAACAAGUAUAAGAAAUUCCAACAAAUCUCUGUUGGAUCGAGCUGAAUUAAAAAUUGAAUAAAAAAUCCAUCAAAUGUCUAUUCGGUUCAAAAAAAUUGAAAUUCAGCAUUACUCACCUCAAACCAGUUGUUGCAACUUAAUUCGCAGGUUCCUCUCUACCUCAGGAACACCCUAGAAGGAUCCAAUUGCAGCAAAAGGGUCCAAAUCAAAACUAAUUUUAAAAAAUAGUUGCUGUUGUCCCUGCUCCAAGGUUGCUGCAGUUAUCUCCAAGCUGCUGUUGGCUUCUAAGCUGCCAGUACUGAGUUGCACUUCAUUCUUGCUCCAACAACAAACCAACAGCAAAAUUGGGAAUUAGGACUUGUUCACAAGUGAUCUUAGGCCUCUUUACUACAAGAAAAACCUAUAUGUUCCCAAGAAAUUCCAUUACAAUUGAAAGAUAAAGGUCAGCAUUUCAGCUUUGACGAAAAACAGUUUUUCGAUCUUCAACCUCAACAAAAAAUUGAAUUUCUCAUUCACUUUACCUCCGAAUUGAUCAAAACAAGAUUCUAUACAGUAUAGGAUGAAGUCAAGAUCACUUCCAACUUUUUCAAAGCUCAGCUCCUAUAGAAAAUUUGAAUGAACUUUAACGAAUUCCAACAGUGGACGAAAUCUGCCUGAAAUUUCAGCAUUGAAACAAUCUUGAUCAACUUUAAAAUUAAAGCCACUAACCUUCAAUUCGAGCUCAAGGAAAGUACCAAAAUAUUCCCAGCCUCCCUCCACACAACUCCAAGUGUUCAAUUUUGAAUUUGGAGCAUCAAAAGACCAUAAAUUGAUCCCUAUUCCAUCAUUGAUCCUGCUGCCAGCCUUGUUCGAAUGGAGAGUAUAGCUUAGUUGGAAGCUUCUCCCCUUGAUACAGCAAAAGGAAUCAAAAGAGAGGGGGAAAAGAACCAAGGAAGAAGAAAAAGAACCAACUUAGCUUCCUCAAUUGUUGCUAUAGCAGCGAAGAUCUCCUUCAAGAUGCUGCUGUAGCUGAAGCUCCAAGGCUGCUAGCAGCACCUUGGUGCCUACGCAGGGGAGUUCACAGUAGGUGAAAAAGAAGGAAAAGAAUGGAGGGAGAAGAAAGAGGAAGAGGAAACUUAAGAGGGCUUCUCUCAGCCAACAGCAAGUGUCCAAACUCCCCAAUUUGGGGUAGUUGGGGCUCAAUCUAAUGUGCCUUAGGCACACUUUAGUAAAGCUACACUAGCUAAGAUUCAUUGGCAUUUGGAUUAAAAUUUGGUAUCAAUUUCGCAUCCAAUACCAAUCCGAUUGACCCCAACACUUCCAAUGUGUCGAUUAAAUCACGGACCGUAAUCAUUCCGAAAAUAACAAGUUGAUAUUCUCCUAGAACAUUACAAAGCAAGCAUACAAUGUAGUAUCCUUGGUUUUUGGUUUUUGGGUUGCUUGUAGAUUUCAACAUCUGAGGUUUGUCGACACAUCUGGAGAGUGUCGGGACAAGUCGGAGUCGUUUUGGUGCGAAAUAGACACAAAACGGACUCAGUGCGAUGCGAGAGCAGAGUUUUACAAUUGGAAUCUGCAAAGUGCGGGUUUUCAGUGUGGAGUACCGGUACCCCGGUGUAUUUCCAAACAGACUCCUCUCGGGUUGCACCAAUUUGAUGCUUAGUACCGGUACGGCAGCGGGGUGGUACCAGUACCCUGUGUGCGAGCUUGCAAGUUGAGAGACCAUUUGGAGUUGGUAAAAGGGUAGUAUUGUAAUUGUUGGUGGAUAAGGUUGCCACCUACCCCCGUCAUUGUUCUCAACUUAAUUAGCUGAGUGAAUGACACUUUUCCUUUUUCUCUUUAAUUUAGCUCGUGUGCAUAGUGGAGAGCUCGAGCUCGGGAGAUUUUCGUCGUCGUUUCGGAGGGCCGUUCGAGCAUGCGUGCGUCGUGGUAGCACCGUUGGAGGCCGAGCGAGCGCAUGUGUUCCUCUCCUUCCGACUUCUCGCCGUCGUUGGAUUAGCUUUUCGAGAUGGGUUAAUGUUUACCGAAAUCGUCGGAUUUCCUCCUAAGCCGGAGUUGACAGCAUGUACUUUUGGCUUCGUAUAUCAUGUUAGUAGCUUGAUUCGUAGAUUUACAUUGUUCUUAAAUGAAAUCUGAAUUGGAGCUUUAGAUGCUAGUUUUAUUAUACAUGUUGGACUUGGAAUUGACUUAGGAGAAAACUAUAGGUUCUAUACUGUCAUUUUCUGAAAACUAUCAGUUUAGCCUUAGGAGCUGUAGUUUGUUUGUAUCGCCGCAGUUUGUAAACGGUGGAUACCCAAAAUAGUGUAGAAUGAAUUUACACUCAUGCUGAAAUGCCGAGUUUAUUUUUACAGUAGUGUAUAGAUUGUUCCGGACUAUCGGGUGCUGUUGUGGUUGACGGUGGACCCAGAUUGCUAUUUUUGCAUCAAAUUGUGCCGAGGGCAUGUUUAUUAUGGUUGUUAGACCAGUUUGACCCUUCUACUUGACUAUAGCCUGUGAGAGCCUGAUUAAGCUAGGCAGAGAAACGCUUGCAUACUCGGUUGGGUAGCGUCCACGAGUGCGACUCUGGAGUCGGGCUUUGUGCUUUUGCGUUGUUGUCGUUGUGUCCUGUUAGGACUCGCUCUCCAUUGACGGCCCACCGUGGUGGUAAUUAGUGUAGGUUCGACAGACGGGACUGGUGUGUUCACAGUCCCUAGUGAGAUUGGGUCAGAGAUUGCAUUUUUCUUGUCACACCCCGGAGCCGAUUUUAAAAGCCUUUUUAAAAUUCAUUACCAUUUUGAAACAGAGUUGCAGAAGACGUGCCAAUUUUUUUUUUUCAACCUGGCCCACGUGACGUACAAAUCCGCCAUAAAUACAAAGUUCCUCUGUCCACUCGGAUAGAGUCUCCUUUGUAUUUGCACGGCGUACCAACUAUAAACACGAUCUCAACCACAACCUGCAUUUACCAAUCAACAACCAAUUCAUAAUAUGCAUUUCCAUUCAGCUAACGAUCCUUAGAGAUGAUGCAUGCCUCUAAGCACUCCUUAGGCGCUGGAUGAUGCAAUGCACAAUACAACAACCAUCCUAUUUAAAAGUGCUCCUCACACGAUAGCUUUUAUUUCUUUUAAACUCAAAUUCAUUCGUUCAUGAAAAUCAUUCAAAAACCUUUUAAAAACUGUUUCCCAUACGGAAACUCUAUUUUGAAAAUCAACUACCUCGAGGGGUAGAAAACCACGAUGCGUAAAUAUGUAUAAAUACACAAAUUCGAGAACAGAAUAUCCAUAAAAUCAAAACCAGAGAUCCACAAAAUCUCUAAUCAUGCAUAACGGAAAUCACAAACAUUCAAACAUCUAACUGAACCAUUUAUUAUUAACAACUACUAAAUGCGGGAAGAAAUAUAACCAGGGUGACGGUCGCUACUGCCGACUAGCUAGACCGUCCUCCCAUCGAGCCCAAAAUCUAACUCCUCGUCCGAGUCACCUGGGGGGGAUGGGGGGUGAGAAACUGCAACCAUGGUUUCUCAGUUGGUACAACAGAGCCACGAAGGCAAGCCGUAAUCACCGAAAACCAAAAGAGAUAGAUAAACAAAUAUAUAUGCUGAUAUGAAACAGAACUACAGAUAUGAGCAUGAUGUGAUAUAAGAGCAACUACAGUAGUAAUAGAAAUAGGAUAAUAACUGAGCAACAACGAAACUACUAUUGUAACCAAAAACUCAACUGAUCGGAUGCCUCAAGGGUAAAUAGUCCAAACCAAACCCAAUCUGAUGCUGCUAUAUUGGUCCGCAGACCUCAAGCGUUACCUGUCACAGAGCAGACACUGCCAUCUUAUUCAUGCGUCACCGACGACCUAUCCGGAUACGUACACCCCUUGGUUGGUGGCCAAACCAACCUAGUGUCUAGAAUACACAGUGCUGUGACUAAAUCAUGCUGAUAUGCUCAAAACGAAAACCGGCAAAAAGAGACCGGUGCCAUGGCCGAAGCUAGGUGCAAGGGCGUACAACGCCGAACCACGAUCAACCAGAUCGAAACACACGACAAAGGAGUCGAUGUGUUGCCUGGAUCCAAGGUCCACAGAGAUACAAUAUAUAUGCAACCUGCUCUACAUGUCUAUCCACAACUAUCCAAAUGCAAUCAAUGAGAUAUGAUAAACAAACAAUAAAUAAUCAACUGACAUGUAGAGACUACGAUACUGAUAUGAAAGAACAGAGGAAGAGUGAAACGAUCUCACCGACUACCAGCUCGAAGUACCCACCUGUCACUGUCGCGUCGGAACACUGGGUAGGCACAAAGUCUACCGGACCUAAGAAGAUCCACCAGGUCAGUAUCCAAACCACUAACCUAAAGCACGAGACUCACAAACCCCCCACACAAGAUCCCCGUAAUCGGUUUCCCAAAAUCGAUCACCAUAUCUGUAACACACUGGACCUUUACAAAUUGCGAGGUUCGAGUGUUUGGACAGUGUCCUGAGCUUUUCCAGACUUUCUGGUGGGUCGUUGACAGUGUUUCGAUCUAUGGCUCGUAUUCCGAGAAUCGUGGUUUAAAAUUGUGUACCGAAACCCGAAAAAUCGGAUUCUUGGCCAGCUCUCGGGUAGUUUUCUGGGGUCUUGUACCGGUAAAAGGUUGGUGGUUGUACCGGUAUAAGGUUGAUGGUUGUACCGGUACAGCCACCGGGCUUGUACCGGUACAGAGCCGAUGAACCCCGCCAAUCCGAGCCUCGGGUUAUGAUUUUCGUGGGGCUUGUACCGGUACAAGGGCCCGUGUACCGGUACAAGGGGACAUUUUUCGCACAGUCUGGUCUGCAGGGGUGUUUUUGCUUUUGUAUCUCUUCUAUUUGAACCCCCACGCCCCCUAGGCCUCCUCCUGAGCUUGGAACAGCAAGAGAGAAGGUAGGAGAGCCCUCCUCUUCAUCUUCUUCAUUUCCUUGAUUUUGGUUUGGGUUUUUGGUGAUUAAACCCCCUCUUUUGCUCUCUUUUGCUUCUUAGGAGGCUUCUUCACCGUUGGAGCUUGGAUUUGAGGCUUGGUGAGGGUUGAUCCUUGAAGUUUGAGAAUUUUGGGCUUGGAUUGAAGCUUCUAAGAGGUAAGUGACAAGAUCCUUUCCUCUAGUUUUGGAUUUUAAAGCUUUCUUUGAGAUGAAACCCUAUAUUGGAAACUUAGGGUUGUUUUUGGGCAUUUUGAUUCUAGGGCUUUUGAGGCUAGAUUGGUUGGAUUAGAACCUUCCUCUAGGCUAGAUUGGAAGGGUUCUAGCUCUCUUUUGGAGCUUUAGAAAAGAUUUCUCUCUUGAGGUGAGUUUUGACCCUUUUUGCUUAUGGUUAAUGAUUGAGCAAUUUGCUCUUCGUUUCGUUUGGGUGACCCUAUUUUUGAUGUUUCUAGGGUACUAGGAAGCUAGUGGAUACCUCCGUUCGGCGAAACGAAGGUUUCGAUUUUGGUGGGUUUGACCUGGCCUAUAAUAUGAGAAAUUCUCAUAUAUAGUGAUAUAUGUUUCGUAAAUUGAAAAAGCAUACAUAUUCAUACUAAAUGUAUUUAUUAUGAUUUUUGGAAUGCUUAAAAUGUCUAUGUUACAUGUAAUGAAAUUUUGGAUCUCUAUGUAGUAGAGAAUAGCGUAUGAAGCUUAUGCGGGAUUUUUGGCAUUCUCAUGUUGGAUCAUGUUCCUUAUAGUGUAAAUGAGCUUUGAUUCAUGCAUUUAAACCUAAGUUUAAUUGAGAUAUGAAAGAUAACAAAAUUGCCAUAUAGGGGCACCGGACUAGAACAUUAUGUGAAUUAGAAAGCUAAUGUCAUCAAGCGGCAUUGAGCUCGGGACAUGUGUGAACCUAGUGGAUAGGGCUAUUGAGGAAUGUGGAACAUGCUUAAAUAUUGAAUGUCUAAGUGUCAUAAAGGGGCACUAGACCUAGAGAAAAUUGGAACUUCACUUCGUGAUUUAGGACUAGAUCUUCGAGAUGCUAGUGACUAUACCAUAUUAGAGACAUGAUGAUUGGAUACUUGAGACGUUUACUAUGCUUGUUUGCCAUUUGUGCUCAUUCGCACAUGCUUUGAGGGUCGCUUUCUACAAGCCAGCACUCCGGAGUUAGCCUACGGGAUUUAUGUUUGCUCGUGCGGUAUUGAGAAGCCUACGGCGUCGAGUGGGACAGACACAUUCCAAGAGUAGGGAUGUUGGGCUACCACAGGCACUUAGGCGACAUAAGCUGGACUACCUUGGGUAGGUCCUUAAUGGGAAAUGAAAAUCGACACAGUGUAGCAUAAGUAAAAAAAAAUCACUACUAAAUAGAUUAUAGUAGUUGGGUUUCUUAGACAUGCUUAUAGCAUAGGUUUGGACUUAUAGUAUACUUGAUUAUAGCGCUCUUUGCACUUUGGUAUACUUGCUUGCCAUGUGAGAUCACACUAGUUUUGUGUUGGACAUAUUUGAGCAUGAUAGAGGCUGUGUACUACGCAUUGCCAUCAUAUUACUUAUAGCAUAGUAGUUUAUUCUAACAUUCAAUACAUGCUUUCAUAUCUGCAGUUUAAUUCCAGUUGAUUAUCAUAUCUACAGUUCUCUUUUGGGCCUAGCGGCGCAAUGUGCUGAGGUCAGUAAUUGCCCACUGGGAACUAUAAAUUAUAGUUCUCACGCCCCCUGUUUCGUGUUUUCUUUUCAGAGCCUUCCACACCAGGCGAGGCUAGAGACCGCGGAAAGAGCAUCGCCUCGAGCUAGCUCUUUUGUGAGGGACGCAUCGAUAGGUGGUCUACCUCUCAUUGUUUUUACUUUGGAGAGGUUGAGAGUUGUACCCAUGUAUAAAGACCACCCCUUUUGUGUACUUUUGAGACAGAUGUUGUAUUACUUUAUGUAUCACUUUAGUGAGUAGUUCUUUUCUUCCGCUUCUGUUGUUAGUAGUAGUAGAUGCUAUACUUGCUCUGAUAUCGUUAGUUGUUGUUUAUUCUUAUCUUUCAUAUCUCUUUGUUGUAGACGCCUUAUAUGUGCAGGCAUAUGGCGGGUCUGGGCACGCACCGGACAGGGCCUUCUCGGGUCCCGGGGCGUGACAGCUCUUGUGAAAUCGGUCAUGAUUGUGUCAGUGGGCUUAAGAUUGUCCUCGUUCUUUCUCAGUUUCCUGGAGAUUACUCUGUAAAGGACACUGUUAAUACAAUAAUUGUUUAAUUUUGUCAAUCUUGCGAAUAAAAUAGGGAAAAAAUAUUUGAGCCACAAUAGUCAUAAUUAAUUUUACUAAGGACGUUGUCAUACACUUAGUAGGAUUGGGGUACGUUCUGCCGUUUGUUGGUUAACUACUUACUUACGCAAUAUGACCAAUAACCGCAGCUUUUUUAUCGCUGUAUACCAUUUUGCCAAGCUCGGUGCAAUCGUUUGUUACCCUCGUUCUGUUUUCCACGGCGUACCAUGUGGUCCUUCACCCCUCUUCUUGCGGAUUUACCUUCUCGAUCGCCAAAUCCACCCUCGCCAAUCUCUGCACCACCCUCUCAAGGCACCGGUCGUUCCAUAGUCGGAUCCGUGUUGGGCUCUUAUAUAAUGAUAUUUAUCCUUUUUUGCGCGGAUACUAUCCCCAGGAAGUGUGCUCGUUCGCUGGUGUCGUUUAAAGUUAAAGAAAGUUAUGGGUCGUAAAUGCCGAAAAAUCCUAAUCACGUGUCUAAAAGAAAAGAAAAAGGAUGAAAAUUCUCGAAUCAAUUCUCGAAUUAAUCCACAAAUAAAUUCUCGAAAAGAUCCUCAUCUAAAUAGGAACAUUGUCGAAAACAUUGACGUGAAAAAGGUAGUUAUAUUUAUCAAACCGAGAAUGUUAGCUCGAACGAAAAAGCCAAGUAAACACUUAUCAAUCGCCUUCUCGGGACAACUCGGCUAGGGAGGAAUUGGCUUAGUAAACUCAGCUAUCACCGCGUAAGCUCCCAGUAGAGUCUUCGGCUUAACGUAAGUCUUCUUCACAGACUGAACCAGUUGCGGUACUGGGCCAGUUAUAGCGGGUCGUAAGCCAAAGAUCGGGUUAUUAAAAAACCAUGCGAACCACCCUCCGCGAGUUCAUGUAGGUUUGGAGUGGGUUUACCGACUACUAUUGUAAUACUUGGAGACUUUGUCCCGGCAAAGGUAUAGGAGUCCCUUGCUGAUCUGGUCAUUACGGCUUUUACGUUUAUUUGUAGUCUGCAACGAUAGCAGCUCUCCACUUUCAUCACCAGUAAGUCGUGUGGUUUUCGGCUCGGUGUGAGUUCUUGAGCCCGUUUACUGAGUUCAAGAAGUCUGAAACCUAGUCUUGUCGGUGGUUUCAUGGCGGGAAAGAUCUACGUCUUGACCGGCGUUAGUGCUGGAGUUUAUUUGUGUAGCGAGUAUAGCCCGUUGGCAAUCGGGUCUUGCUCGUCGGUAUGCCUCCAGGUGUUCCUAGGGACUGGUACGAUCACGUUGUUUUAGGGCAACGUGGCCGCCAGCGCCUCCGCGUUGGCGUAUACCGUGGAAAGGUUCGACGGACGUCCGGCCACUUACAUUUGUAUCCGAGUGUCGGUCUUUAGUGUACCCCAAACGGAGGAGGUGGUUAGAACGGACGAAUAGUCGGGGUUUUAUUCCUAUACUCUUGAUCCCUCGCCCCGGGAUUACGUUCCGUUCCUGAGUUGGGAUGUUAUAUCUUGAUACGUGGAGGAGAUUCCGAUUUACCCUAUAGUCAGAGCUGAGGGCGGGACCGUCAUCCUUUGUUACUCAACAUACAGUCUGUCUCCUCUUCUAGACCUUGUUUAAGCCACAUCCCCGUUUCGGUCGUUACGCCGGUUACAAGUCUAGGAGCUCAGGGUGCUUAUAUCUACGUCUUGUAGGAAUAGACCGUUUGAUUUUCUACGGCUUUAAACUAUUCAAGAGCGCGCUUCUCUGGCUCUUAUGCCAUCACGUACAGUCAGCCAAGUAUCGGGUCACGUAUCUUCGCCGGUAACUGGAUAAAAACUACGAGACUAACAAAUUAUGUAGUAAUUAGUUUUGUUGCAAAUGUACCAUGUGCUCGAAUGGACGGUUAAGGUAGGCUCUAACCCUGCUUAACUUCGCAUUCAAAGUGCUCAUUAAAAUAUCUAGUCUUGAGCUCAAUAGCUACCGGCUAGAUCGAUAUAUGUCUGUUUUCGGUCCUCUUGCCAGCUCUUUAUGGAUUUGGCAAAGUUCUAUUGGUUUUUGGUCACAAAACACUCUUACGAUCUCGGUGUCAAGCGGUUCUACCGUAAGUUACCAGAUGUGAAGUUUUAUUUUCUGAUAAAACUUCUGUUCAUAAAAGGUUUAGAUAAACUAAACUCAAAAGUCCAGCAGGUUUUACUCGUUAAGACUUUCCCCUUACUUCUACUUGCCAGCACAACCUCGGCUUUGUUUCCUACCCUGUUUCCUUUUCUGUUUUAGCAGAAAGAAUAACUCUUUUUGAGCCGAGUUCUACUCGGCUUGUGGAGAUCAUCCUUAUUCUUGAGCCGACUACUUCGGCUCCACAUGCAUCGAAUCUACCAUUUCUUGGUUAUCGGCAUAUUUACACACUAGGAAUUCGGAUGGUCCUGACCACUUAGAUUUUGUAACUAGAGCCACAUGUAAAUAAGCAAACUAUAAAGAUGUCGACUAGUCUAUAAACUAGCCAAUAUAUUUCUACCCUCCUAAUUUGAGGUUCUUCUAGUUUGUAAUGGAAAGCCACUCUUCAAUUUUUUUUCUUUUAUAAUCUUUACCGUAGUAAGUACCUCGGCGUUUUAAUUACCAACGUAUAGAAAGUUCUCCGUUUAUGUUUCUCUUUAUUUACUUCCAGUCGACCAAAAACGGUUGGUCCUUUUGUUCUUACCAUACCUUAACUGUUUUUGGGAAAAGGGUGCAUCCAGUUGUACCACCCGUUAUUCCCUUUCUUCGGUGAGGUACACCUGUUCAAGAUCUUCCUACACCGACUCGUUUUAUGAAGCUAAAACGUAAUUCACAUUCCGGUUUUAUUGCGCGGUUCUAAUCCUCCGUUAAUAUGAGCUUUUUUUCCUCAUGCCUCUCACCUUCCUCAAAUACUGGAAGGGACUUCUUACCUUCGUGUACGGACUCCGGUAUCCGCAAGGCCUGUUUACAAACCUCCUCCAGGUUACCGAGGUGCCUCAUCCAUUUGAGUCCCUUCCUGGUGUCCCUGGUCGGUUAAGUCUUCCAGGACUUAUUUAUGAUGGUCUGUUCCUUCUUUCGAUCGGUUCUCCCAAUAGGCUCCGCUGGAAAGACGUACGUCGUCUCCUUGGUCUCUAUAGCCCGGUACACCAUAGUUGUGGAUACCGACUCUAGGUUCGUUCUUAAACUUCCUUACUGGCUCCCCUCUAUCUUCAGGAGCCAGUUUCUAAUCAUUUACUCAAUUCCUAGGUCGGCACCGGUUCCGGCACCCUUUCCUCUCUUUAAGACUCCCUUGUGGAGUGUUACCAUUUCUGGGGCCGUUUGCACAACCGGUUAGUCACCAAGUGUCGUUUUCGUGGCCGGUCUACCAUACCCGGCUAAAACUGCUUUUGAGUUUUUGCUGCUGUUGUUUCUAGCGUUCGGCUCUAUUCUGUAAUUACCCUUCUCCGCUUCCCUUAGUCCGGUUUAUAUACCUUUGCUGGGUGUGUCACUAACGGGAGAGACGGGUAUUUCUUACUGUUGUUCCGCCCACCGAGUUUAUGGGACGGUACCAACUUCAGGGUCUAGGUCAGCCGAUACCAUCUCGACUGGUUCUUCCAGUGAGUAUUCCUCGAACUUCUUUUCUAGUGAAGAAACCUCUGGUAGCAGUUCGCCCUCGUCACCGGUUGGUUUCUCUCUUUCCAACUUGGUCUCUCACUUGGAAGCUAGCUUCUCCGUUUCCCAAAACUACUCUUUUCCGUCUUCUAGCCCUUCUCACGUCAGUUUUCUUAAACCGACUUUAUCCGUACCACAUGCGUAACGGCUCGAGUACAGCCCGUCUCUGCCUUAUACUUCUUCUCAACCGACACCGAGUCAAGGUUAGGCUCCUGCAGUUCUGCUAGCUACGCCUCCACAAACUUUCCGGUAGUGGGGUCGUCUGGUCUAAACACUCCGGAGACUUGUGGUUUCACAACUAUCUUCCUACCAGCCAACCGGCUCACUACAAUUCCCCCCCCCCCCCCCGUAUCACUUGCACUACAGGUGCAGUAAAAAANCCCUACAAGCCGGCACUCCGGAGUUAGCCUACGCGACUUAUGUUCGCUCGUGCGGUAUUGAGAAGCCUACGGGGUCGAGUGGGACAGACACAUUCCAAGAGUAGAGAUGUUGGGCUACCACAUGCACUUAGGCGGCACAAGCUGGACUACCUUGGGAAGGUCCUUAAUUGGAAAUGCAAAUCGACAGUGUCGAGUGUGUUAUAAUCACUACUAGAUAGAGAGUAGUAGUUGGAUUACUUGGACUUGCUUCUAGCAUAGUUUUGGACAUUAGAGUAGACAUACAUAGAGAGAGUAGUAGUUGGAUUACUUGGACUUAUUUCUAGCAUAGUUUUGGACAUUUGAGUAGACAUACAUAUAUGUAGCAUGCUAGGAGAUGUUGCUUAUUGUAUUCAUAUAUACAUUAUUGCCAUGAUAAAAUAUGAUCUUCAUAACUUCAUUAAGUAAACCGUGAUAUUUACUUAUGGGCAUGUAGAGACAUAUUGGUUGUGACAAAGUAAAGGUGCAUUGUUUUUAACACCAUGUUUAAUUGCAAUAUAGNGACAAAGUAAAGGUGCAUUGUUUUUAACACCAUGUUUAAUUGCAAUAUAGUAGCUUAGCAUUUUAAUUAUGCUCUCAUAAAUGCAGUUUAUUCAUUAUUAUUGCUCUUUUUGGCUUACCCUUUUCUUUCAGGGCCUAGUGGUGCAUAGAGCUGAGGUCAGUAAUUGCCCACUGGGAACUAUAAAUUAUAGUUCUCACGCCCUCUUUUCUCGAUGUUUUUCAGAGCCUUCCACGUAGGGGGAGGCCAGGGAUCGCGGAAAGGGUAUCACCUCGGGCUAGUGUUCUUCGCCGAGGGAUCGUUCGAUAGGUGGCCCACCUCUCUUUGUUUCUUUUUGUGAGAGGUUGAGAGUUGUACCAGUGUACUAGAGACCGCCCAUUUUGUACUUUGAGACAGAUAUUGCACUACUUCAUGGUUACUUUUAUUACUUAGUUAUGUUUCUUUUACUAUUGUUAGAGAUGAUAGAAUUAUACUGCUCUGAUAUCAUUAGUUGUAGUUCUUUCCUUUUGCUAUAUUUCUUGCUUUUACUUCCGCUUCUAUUCUAGAUGCCUUAUAUGUGUAGACAUAUGGCGGGUCUGGGCGCGCUACUGGGAGGGCCUCCGCCGGUCCCGGGGCGUGACAGUAACUCACCGGAAGUCCCGAAAACCACACCGGGACGCCGUUGGGACCCACUAAGUGUCCCGAAACUCACCGACUCGUGUCACGAGUCACCUGCUGCCCCAAAACACUCCGAUUUGAAUGUUUUGGCAGUAAACACAAGAUAACACCACUACACAAUUAUCGCCGAAUAAUUGUACGAAUCCGGGUUCCGAAAGUGUCUAUUUCGACAGCGGAACCCACCGUCGCUCACCCUUCAUCACCGAACCCACAAAGUGAUGAUGGUGACCAGCCAACAAGGCUCAGCGAUAAUUUACAGGAUAACCAAACCACGUCGGAAGAAAUCCGAACCGAACCGCGUCUUUUCGGCGAAUUUCGCCGAAAAAAGCGCCGGAAUCGACUUUUCGAUUUCCGCAAAAGCUAUCAGAUCAUGGACAAUCAGUCCAAAGGUCACCACACACACCAACGCACUGCCCACAGUAGCCACAAGGUGUACAAAUGCAUAAAAGUCCCUAUGUUUACAUAAAAUCCAUCAUUUUAUGUAAAUCGGGCGACUUCUAUGGCUCGUUCUCACAAACCGAGGACUUCUAAGUUUCGCCGUGACACGUAUUGACAGGUCUCGACGUGCCGGAGGCCAUGCUCAUAGUCUGGAGCACAACAGCUCACUGUGGGAAGCGCGGGAGCAACCCGAAAAUUCUGCGAACAGCGCGCAGUCGAGGAAAAACGCACCAAACAGAACGAUACGACAUCCGCUGAUCCAAAAUAAGGUGAGCACUGUGAUCAGCACUGAUCCACGAUCACCGUGCUCACCUCCAGAGGCAUCGGAACGGCCUUGGGUCGCCGUAAAAAUGCACAUAAUCCUAAAACAGCAGCCAAAAAGGCUCUAACGGAGCGACACCGCCGAAACAGCGGAGAGGAGUCUCCCCGACAGAAACUAAGGUGAGCACGAUGAUCAGCAAUUUGCCACUAUCACCGUGCUCCCUUUCGUAGAGAUCAGGGAGGCUCGGGAAGCUCGGAACAGCAAACCGCCAAGGAAUAGCCCUAUUUCGAGCUUGGCCGGAGCAAGCUUGCCCCGGGCGGCUUCCGGCAGCACAGCGUGGUGCGUGCGGGCCAGGAAUGGGUGCGAGGGAGGUAGGGAGUAUGGUGCUCACCUCAGUUGGCGGCGAGGAGCGGCGGCGGCGACGGCAGAACCAACCAAGCCCGCACAAGAUCCGGCUCGGGUUCCAAGGGCAGCUGCGGCCACGGCGGCGACCGGAACACUCAGGGACGGCGGCAGAGGGUUGCAGGAGGCCGGAGGAAAGUCGAGGAGGUAGCUUCGGGCAGCGGUGGCGCGAGGGGAAGGCCGCACGAUCAAUUUGGCCUGGGCUCGGCCAAGCCGGGCGCAGGAUGCAGUAGCGGCAGCAGCGACACGCAGAGGCGACGGCGGUCGGCGGGGAGGCUCGCCAGGGCACAGGGGCGACGCCGGAAGGGUAUAGGGAGGCGACUGCAGCCUCAGAUCUGUCCGCAACCCGAGAGAAAGAAAGAUGGAGGGAGAGGGAUGGAGAGGGAAGAAAAAAAGGUGGCUGAGGAGGCUGCGGUUGCUGCUUGCCGGCCGGGGCUCGGUCGGCGGCGACCGGGAGGCGUGUGGCUAGGGCAGGGAAGAGGGAUGAAGGUGGCUGGGGGUUAGCUCGAGCUAGGGUUAGGGUUCCAAGGUAGAAAACCCUAGAAUACAUAUAUAUAUCAAGGUGCAACUUUGCGAGUUAGCCCCCCAAACCUCAGUAUUUAGUACUGAGUCCUUCUCAGCGCGUGUAAAAUGCGCGAACACACUUCCACGUCCGGUUUCACGCAAAACGAUACAUAAAAUAUCGCAAAUUUUGCAAAAAUACCGUUUUGCCAUCACCGACUUCUCCUCGAACAACACGCAAUCUCCGCAGAUCCGCCCGUCAGAUUUGCAAACGGAUCACACCAGUGCGAUCAGCACAAAAGAGACAACAAAGCUAUGAUUUCUUUUCGCCUCGAUCCGUCACGGAUUCACGACGAAAUCCGAUCCAUCUCUCCAACAGAAGAACUACGCACAAAUACAAAUAAAACACAUAUUUUCGAAUUUUCUCGAAAUCCGUGCGUCAAACUCAAAAUCCGUUAGCGCCAUCAGUUCCAGAACAGCUAAACCGGUCGAAACGAGCUAUUGGACUGCUAUGAAUAGAGUCCGAUACGAGCCAGAAGCCAACUCUACGCAUUGAGCUCCCCGGAAAACUAAGUUACUAUUCACUUUAAGUGAAACUUGAAAAUCGCGUAGAAUCUCCAUUCUAACUCGUUUUCUUAUGAAACUUGACGAGUGCUUUUGUAAUUAAAUUACACACAAAAACAUCAUCGACUGAGAGUUUAGCUACACUGCCAAUAUCUCGGUCCUUACAUCAUCCCCCUCUUAAAGAAAGUUUCGUCCCCGAAACUUGCUCACAGGCAGGGGUGAUCCGACACACAACGAACUAGAACAAUACAUGCAUGCAAUGCCAAGAGGAGAUGCAUUAAAAAGAAAAGCAUGCUGUUUACUACGAUAAACAAAAUUAUACCUACGACCACGUCAGCCGACUGAUCAUCUUCCUGACGUGUCAUCAUAUAGGCGCGUCCGUCAGUUGUCUGGUGUACCUCCUUCACUUGACGGGAUAACGAUGGACGUCCAGACGAAGGGUGCGCCGUACUGCCACGAUCCUACCAUGGAGCUGCUGGAGUAGACGCUGCUGCAGACUCUGAUCCUGCUCCAUUGGUGCAAUCUGCCUUAAGAUGUCCGCGUUGGCCACACUUGUAAUAACGAUUGUGGCGCUUUGGGCACUCAUAAACUCUAUGAGCCUUGCCACAGAAGACACAAGGUGGGGUGCUCUGCCUUUGAGAUGUAGCGGGGGCACUGCUCAAUCCGGACUGCGUCUUGCGAUGCUUGGGUGGUCGCCCAUUGCUCGAUUGACCACCAACAAAACUCUCCUGUGCUCGGUUCCUAUCCUCAGUCUUCUCGAAUGCAUCUUGUUCAAUUUGAGCCUCAUCCAUAUCAUUCUGCACCAUCAGUGCCCGACCCAGACUCUCGUCGAAUGUCAAAGCGCCAUGGGACGCGAUAAGAAGUCGAAUACUGGGCCUUAGCCCUCUCGCAAACAUCCUUGCCUUGUGAUACUCAUCACGAACCACGAAUGGAAUCAGUGAAAUAAUACGAGAGAAGUCUCGCUCAUACUCUGCUACGGUACGACUGCCUUGCUUGAGACGCUCUAGCUCGCGCUCCAGAUUCUACUUAGUGCUAUCCUUGAAGUACUGCUCGUACAGGAGUCUCCGAAAUUCCUCCCAGCUUGGAUAGAUGCUCCCAAGUUUGCGCUCGAAGUGGCUGAUCCACCACGAAUACGCAUCCCUCUCAAGACAGUGAGCAGCUAGAGGGACGCGAUCCAGCUCCUCAAUGUGUAGAUCACGAAACAGUUUCUCCAUAUGAGUAACCCAACGCUCGAUCACCCAAGCGUCGUCGCUCUUUCCUGCGAACUUCGGCGGAUCGAACUUUCGAAACUCCACCAGCCUUGCCCUAAUGCGGGCGGCUUCCGUUGCAGGGGUAUCAGUACCCCCAGCGGAAAUCGUCGUGGUGGCCGUCGUCAUCGUGGCAGUCACGGCUGGAGCUACGGCAANAGGCGCAUGCGUCGCGGGAGGAUCCGCGUUCACCGGAGUGUCCUGUGCCGGAGGUGGGACCGGGGUAGCAGUAGCCGUAGCCUGCUGCUGCAAGAACUGCUGAAACAAACCAGAGAGGGUCCCCAGCUGACCCCUCAAAUCAGCUACCUGGGCCUCGAGCUGCUGGGUGCGAGUACCACGCAGCGGCUCCGUGCCCAACUGCUCCCCAGCACCCCCACUCGGAGGAGCACGAGUACUGCCGGAUGUCUCUGCACCAGCACGUCCACCACCACGACCCGGACGAGGGGGUCUACCACGAGCCAUCUGCAACAGAAAACACCGUCAAGUAAACCAAUCGACUCGACAUACAAACUCAUCGGGACUCAAACCCAAUACACCGCACUCACGUGCCUAUAUGCCUUUGGUCUUCCUAUGGGUCAACCUAACCAGUGGUUCAGUUAGAAAACUUGUAAAUGCAGUUGUAAUUAUUUCACACUCUGAUACCAUAUUAAUCUGUCACGCCCCGAAGCCGAUUUUAAAAGCCUUUUUAAAAUUCAUUACCAUUUUGAAAUAGAGUUGCGGAAGACGUGCUAAUUUUUUUUUUUUUUCAACCUGGCCCACGUGACGUACAGAUCCGCCACAAAUCCAAAGUCCUCUGUCCACUCGGACAGAGUCUCCUUUGUAUUUGUACGGCGUACCAACUAUAAACACGAUCUCAACCACAACCUACAUUUACCAAUCAACAAUCAAUUCAUGAUAUGCAUUUCCAUACAGCUAACGAUCCUUAGAGAUGAUGCAUGCCUCUAAGCACUCCUUAGGCGCUGGAUGAUGCAAUGCACAAUACAACAAACAUCCUAUUUAAAAGUGCUCCCCACACGGAAGCUUUUGUUUUUAAACUCUAAUUCAUUCAUUCAUGAAAACCAUUCGAAAAUCUUUUUAAAACUGUUUCCCACACGAAAACUCUAUUUUGAAAAUCAACUACCUCGAGGGGUAGAAAACCAUGAUGCGUAAAUAUGUAUAAAUACAUAAAUCCGAGAACUGAAUAUCCAUAAAACCAAAACCAGUGAUCCACAAAAUCUCUAAUCAUGCAUAACGAAAAUCACAAACAUUCAAACAUUUAACUGAACCAUUUAUGAUUAACAACUACCAAAUGCGGGAAGAAAUAUAACUAGGGUGAUGGUCGCUACUGCCGACUUAGCUAGAUCGUCCUCCCGUCAAGCCCAAAAUCUAACUCCUCGUCCGAGUCACCUGGGGGGAAUAGGGGGUGAGAAACCGCAACCAUGGUUUCUCAGUGGGUACGACAGAGCCACGAAGUCAAGCCGUAAUCACCGAAAACCAAAGGAGAUAGAUAAACAAAUAUAUAUGCUGAUAUGAAACAGAACUACAGAUAUGAGCAUGAUGUGAUAUAAGAGCAACUACAGUAGUAAUAGAAACUGGAUAAUAACUGAGCAAGAACAAAACUACUACUGUAACCAAAAACUCAACUGAUCGAAUGCCUCAAGGGUAAAUAGUUCAAACCAAACCCAAUCUGAUGCUGCUAUAUUGGUCCGCAGACCUCAAGCGUUACCUGUCACAGAGCAGACAAUGCCAACUUAUUCAUACGUCACCGACGACCUAUCCGGAUACGUACACCCCUUGGUUGGUGGCCAAACCAACCUGGUGUCUAGAAUACACAGUGCUGUGACUAAAUCAUACUAAUAUGCUCAAAACGAAAACCGGUAAAAAGAGACCGGUGCCAUGGCCGAAGCCAGGUGCAAGGGCGUACAACGCCGAACCACGAUCAACCAGAUCGAAACACACGACAAAGGAAUCGAUGUGUUGCCUGGACCCAAGGUCCAUAGAGAUACAAUAUAUAUGCAACCUGCUCUACAUGUCUAUCCACAACUAUCCAAAUGCAAUCAAUGAGAUACGAUAAACAAACGAUAAACAAUCAACUGACAUGUAGAGACUACGAUACUGAUAUGAAAGAACAGAGGAAGGGUGAAACGAUCUCACCGACUACCAGCUCGAAGCACGCACCUGUCACUGUCGCGUCGGAACACUGGAUACGCACAGCGUCUACUGCACCUAAGAAGAUCCACCAGGUCAGUAUCCAAACAACUAACCUAAAGCACGAGACCCACAAACCCCCCAAACAAGAUCCCCGUAAUCGGUUUUCCAAAACCAAUUACCUUAACUCACCGGAAGUCUCGAAAACCACACCGGGACACCGUCGGGACCCACUAAGUGUCCCGAAACUCACCGACUCGUGUCACGAGUCAUCUGCUGCUCCAAAACACUCCAAUUUGGAUGUUUUGGCAGCAAACACAAGAUAACACCACUACACAAUUAUCACCGGAUAAUUGUACAAAUCCGGGUUCCCGAAAGUGUCUAUUUCGACACCGGAACCCACCGUCGCUCAUCCUUCAUCACUGUAAUAACUGAAGUUUUUGGAUAAAUAAAAUUAAACCCUUGGUUGACGAUGUUUUUGUGUGUAAUAUAAUUACUAAAGCACUCGUCAAAUUUCAGGAGAAAAUGAGCUAAAAUGGAGCGGUUACGCGACCCGAACCGAUGACUUAAGUGAAUAGUAACUCCAGUGUUCCGGAUGAGCCAAUGAAUAGAGAAGGGUUCUGGUGCUCAUCGAACUCCGAAUAUAGGACUUCAAUAGCUCGUUUCGAAUGGCUCGACCAUUCUGGACCCAAUGGCACUGACGGAAUUGGGUUCUGAUGCACGGUUGUCGAGAAAAAGGGGUUUAAUGGAAAUUACAUAUAUUAAUAUAAAUGGUUAUAUGGGUGGAAACAAAGAGGGCUGGUUUUGAUGCUGAUCGGAGACCAAAUCGGACAAAGUAAAAUGCUAGAUUCGAUGCCCCAGUUGUGCUGAACGCGCUGGCGCAAUCCGUUCGGAAAUCCGACGGACGGAUUUUCCGGAAUCGUGAAAAGUCCGCUGAGAGGUCAAGUUGGCAAAACCGAUUAAUCGCGAAAAGGUCCAAUAUUUUAUGCGCGAUCUUACGCGAAUUCGAAUGUCGAGGGACCUAUACGGAUAAUCCACAUGUUGGCAGGGGGCUUGGUAAAAAGGUACUGGACUAGGAGGGGUUUUCUACAAUUAUUCAUUUGAUAUAAGUGAGGUUUUAGGGUUCAGCCAAGGAAACCCUAACCCUAAUCUUCCCCAGCUGCCCUAACCGCUCCACCUUCUCCUUGCCCAACUCGUGCUCACGCCCCGGCCGCCGGCGAGCUACUCCGGCCGCCGGAAAAGUCACCCCGGCUUCCUCUCGGUUUCCCUCUAGCCCCUACUUGCCAUACUUGUGAUUGUUGUGCUCGGGAAGGCAUCAAAGCCGAGCUCCACCCUCCCUUGGCCGAGGCUCUUCUCCGGCGUCCUCCCCCGCCGGCCCCGGCCACCCUCGAGCGCCGCCGGAGCCACCCCUGCUCCCUGCGGCCAGCUCGGGUCAGCCCAGACCGAGCCGGCUCGAGUUCUGUGUCCUCGCCUUUCUUCGGCCGCACCGCCCUCCAGUCGGCCCCGGCGCACCGCCCUCCAGUCGGCUCCGGCGACCCGGCGCGCGUGUCCCCCGCCGUCCCCGCGCGCCGCCGGCCGCCGCUGGAACUUCCUGUGGCCGCCCAGGCACGUGCGGGCCGAGGUCGGGCCCGCUAAGCUUCCAGGCGCUGCCGCAGCCCACCGAGGGGUACACCGCCUUCCCCUCGGCUUCCGGCGCCACACCGUAGCCGCCCCGACCUCCUCCGGCCGCCGCCACGCCGCCGGGAAGCCCGAACCCGAGAGUUAGUGGGAGGAGUGGAUCUCCGCCGCCGCGCCACCGAUUGCAGCCCGCCGCCGGCCAGCACCCUCCUCGGACCUCCCGGACCGAGUGCUCCCUCCUCCGGCCGGACCGCCCGCCUCCCGGCCGCCGGCGACCAACCCUAGCUCUCCUCGGGUCUGGUAAGGGUAUUUUAUGUUCCAGCAUUGUUGUUCGAGGUUCCGGUCUCCUUUCCGGUGAUCCGAUAAGCCUCCUAAGCUUCGAGAAGUGAGCACGAUGAUCUGCAACUCGUGCUAAACAUCGUGCUCACCUCCAACAGCGGCAAUGAUGCCCUGGUUUGUGAGUUAAUCGCGAUCUUCGCGCUAUGCGCGCAGUUUAUCAGAACUUCGCGUCGCUCGUGCGCGCACCGCAGUGGCCGGCAGUGCUCCGAAAGGUGAGCACGGCCUCCGACAUGCUGAAACCUGUCAGCGAGUAUGACGGUUGGAUUAAUCGACCUCUGGUUUGCGUGCACGGUCCCGAAAAGCCUAGAAAUCACAUGAAAUGAUGCGAUUUCAUGUAUCGGUAUGGGCUUUUAGGUUUUCGGCUUCGUUGUAGAUGCUGUUGGCAGCAUGUUUGGGCUAAGGAUAACCUCUGGAUUGAUCGUCCACGGCCCAAGCCCUUGCGGAAAUCUAAAAGUGAUUUCCGGAGCGUUUUCGGCGAAAUCCGCCGAUGGAACGCGGUUUUGGUUCGGAAUUCAUCGGACGGUGCCUCGUGGCUGAUUGUAGCGUCGCUGAGCCUUGUUGGCUGGUCACCCGCGUCGUGUUGGGGGUUCGAAAACGACGGGUGAGCGACGAUGAAGUUCCGGUGCGGUUUUCGGGACUUCCGGCUUAUUCGAUAAUCGGUUUUGGAAAAUCAGUCGUGGUUCUGGUGAGCGGGGGUUGUGAGUUAGCAUUACAUGUCAGUGGGUUUGACCUUAACCCGUUGGACCUUUCGUAGGUUCGGUCGCACCAUCUUCACAGUCGAGAGACCUUCGUCUGAUACGUACAGAUAGGUACUUCGACCCGACGUCGGUACAGUGGUGCACGCUCGGUGACGUUCCUUCCACCCUUCCUAUUUACAUUGCUUAUCAUAUACAUUGCUUAUCAUAUUAUCCUCGUAUUACUCUACUCGGUUGUUUCCAUGCUCGGUAUCUUGUGUAGGAGUAGAGUAGAUUUCUUCAGCAUAUGAUAUCUGUGAUCUGGUUGGUUGAUUCUCCUUUGUUGUAUCUAUGACCUGGUUGGUCGAGUUUCAUACUCCAUACUUGUGACCUGGUUGGUCGAUUUGGUUACAUGAUGACCCAUGCGGUCGAUGGGCCCUGGGGGGCAGGAUUGUCAGCUGGUUGCCGACGGUUGAUCAUUGAGCAUAUUGCAUUGAUCGCCCGAUACUCGUCGCAUUUCACGAACACUGGCAGUCUGAUCCACCGCAAGGAGUGUUCUUUUCCGAAAAAGUGGUUGAAUGGUGACAACCCGUGAGCCCUAAAGGGGUAAUAUGCACUGGAGAGUAGUUGUGGCAUUGGCUUGAGGUCUGCGGUGCUGACCAAGAGAGCAGUGGGUUCAGAUUCGGUACUUUUGAACUGAUUGUCCCGUUGAUGCAUACAUACAGUAGCUGUAGUUGUUCAUUUAUAUUCACUUCAGUACUUGUUUAUUUUAGCUACUGUACUACCAUUAUCCAUAUAUUUGUUUAUCUCCGUGACUAGUGAGUACCCCUCGCCUUCUUCGGCUUGCGGUACCCACUGGGAGGGGAGACAUGUUUACAUGUUCUCACCCCCCGCCCCCAUUACAGGUGACGUAGCCGGUCCGAGUGGGACAGCUGGUGAGGAACGGGUCUAGCGCACGAUAGAGCCUUCCGUCCCGUGGUUUGGUUUAUCUACCCUUACUCUUCAUGAUUAAAUAAAUAACUAACUUAGACAUAUUAUGGUUCAGUUUUAUUUUACUCUUUGGAUAUCUGAGUUUUCAGUUUGUUUUGGAAUGUAAUAAAGGGAAUUUGUGUUUUCUUGAAAUGGAAAUGGUUUUCUACCCCUCGUGGUAGCGUUUUGAAAAGUUAAAAGUUCCUGUGUAGGGAACAGUUUUCAAAAGGUUUUCUGUGGAUUUUGUAUCUUAGUAUUUCAAAACCUGUUUCUGUAGUUGGAAACAUUUUAACUGAUAGAUGUGGAUUUAUAUUUAAAUAGCGAUUGUAUAUUUGUGAAUCUGUGGUGAAUGGUGUAUGAAUGUAUAUCUGUGGUUGUUUGUAUAUUCAUCUGGUUGUGGCUGUUGUAUGAUUGAACUCUUGUACUUGCGACGCCGUGCAAAUACAGGGGAGACUCUGUCCGUGUGAACAGUGGAUUCCCUGUAUUUGUGGCGGAUCUGGCACACUCUGGGGUCAGAUUUUCAAAAAAAAAAUUUCAAACGCUUUUCCGCUACCUUUCAAACUAAAGGGGACCCCGAGGCGUGACAAUCACCAAACCCACAAAAUGAUGAUCGUGACCAGCCAACAAGGCUCAGCGAUAAUUUACAGGAUAACCAAACCACGUCGGAAGAAAUCCGAACAGAAGCUGCGUUCUUUCGGCGAAUUUUGCCGAAAAACGCGCCAGAAUCGACUUUUUGAUUUCCGCAAAAGCUAUCAGAUCAUGAACAAUCAGUCCGAAGGUCACCACACACAACAACGCACUGCCCACAGUAGCCACAAGGUGUACAAAUGCAUAAAAGUCCUUAUGUUUACAUAAAAUCCAUCAUUUUAUGUAAAUCGGGCGACUUCUAUGGCUCGUUCUCACAAACUGAGGACUUCUAAGUUCCGCCGAGACACGUACUGACAGGUCUCGAUGUGCCGGAGGCCGUGCUCACAGUCUGGAGUGCAACAGCUCACUGUGGGAAGUGCGGGAGCAACCCGAAAAUUCUGCGAACAGCGCGCAGUCGGGGAAAAAUGCACCAAACAGAAUGAUACGACAUUCGCUGAUCCAAAAUAAGGUGAGCACUGUGAUCAACACUGAUCCACGAUCACCGUGCUCACCUCCAGAGGCAUCGGAAUAGCCUCGGGUCACCGUAAAAAUGCGCAUACUCCUAAAACAGCAGCCAAAAAGGCUCUAACAGAGCGACACCGCCGAAACAGCGAAAAUGAGUCUCCCCGACAGAAACUAAGGUGAGCACGAUGAUCAGCAAUUUGCCACGAUAACCGUGCUCCCUUCCGUAGAGAUCAGGGAGGCUCGGGAAGCUCGGAACAGCAAAUCACCAAGGAACAGCCCUAUUUCGACCUUGGCCGGAGAAAGCUUGCUCCGGCCGGCUUCCGGCGGCACGGUGUGGUGCGUGCGGGCCAGGAAUGGGUGCGGGGGAGGUAGGGAGUGUGGUGCUCACCUCAGUUGGCGGCGAGGAGUGGCGGCGGUGACGGCGGAACCAACCAAGCCCGCACGAGAUCCGGCUCAGGUUCCAAGGGCAGCUGCGGCCACGGCGGCGACCGGGACACUCAGGGACAGCGGCAGAGGGUUGCAAGGACAACAAAGCUACGAUUUCUUUUCACCUCGAUCCGUCGCGGAUUCACGACGAAAUCCGAUCCAUCUCUCCAACAGAAGAACUACACACAAAUACAUAUAAAACACGUAUUUUCGAAUUUUCUCGAAUUCUGUGCGUCAAACUCAAAUUCCGUCAGCGCCAUCAGUUCCAAAACAGCUAAACCGGUCGAAACGAGCUAUUGGACUGCUAUGAACAGAGUCCGGUACGAGCCAGAAGCCAACUCUACGCAUUGAGCUCUCCGGAAAACCAAGUUACUAUUCACUUUAAGUGAAACUUGGAAAUCGCGUAGAAUCUCCAUUCUAACUCGUUUUCUCCCGAAACUUGACGAAUACUUUUGUAAUUAAAUUACACACAAAAACAUCGUCGACUGAGAGUUUAGCUACACUGCCAAAAUCUCGGUCCUUACAUUUCUACAGAUAAUUAGUGUUGGAUCGUGAUAGUAUAGUGGCAUAUAGCUGUAGAGUUUUUCAGCUUUCUUUACUAUCCUUGAGCAUACUUUCUGUAGACUUAGUGGGUGAGCCGUUGAGGUCGGUAGCGGUACCCACUGAGGACUACUUCUUUUUGCAGUAGUUCUCACACCCAGUUGUUAAUCCCUUUUUGCAGAGCCUCCUUCUUCGGCUGCUACUGUUGCAGAUCCUGAUCAUGGAAAGGGAGUCGUGAGUUAGAUUCCUUCCUAUUUUGCUGCUGAUGUAGAGGAGUACUAGCUGCAGGUAGUGUUGGUUUUUUGUUCUUGUACAUACUGAUGUUAGAUCCUCGCUGGAGCGAGUGAUAUUGUAUCUGGAGACUCUGUAUGUAUAGUGAACCGCUGUUAUUUAUAUAUGGUUUCGUUUAUACUAACAGCUCUAUACUACUAAUUAUAGUUUUGUAUGAUUACAAGUACAACUACAGCUAUCGUUUCGUAUACAGAAGAAAUUUCUUUAUAUACGGCGGAGUUGUCGGCAUGCCCAGGGAAACGAGUAAUCCGGGGCGUGACAUACAAAAAAUAAAUAAAAAUAAAUAAAUAAACAAAUGCAUUGAACGAACGAAUGUACGAACCAAUAAGUAAAUAAUAAAUACACAAAUACAUGAGUGAAUACUGAAUAAGUAAAUAACAAGUGAACAAACAACAAAUACAUGAGAAAUAAAUAAAUAGAUAAGUAAAUAGAUAAAUACAUAAUAAAAUUAUAUAACUACAUAAACAAAUAGAUAAAUAAGCAAGUAGAUAAAUAAGUAAAUAAGCGAAUAAACAAAUGAACCAAAAAUAAAUGAAACAGAUAAGUAAAUACAUGAAUAAACAAUAGAUAAAUAAACAAACAAUACAUAAAUAGUAAAUAAAUAGUAACAAAAUUAAUAUGAAAAUAGAUGAAAUUGAUAAAUAAUUGAAUAGCCAUUGCAUAAAUGAGUAAAUAAAUUCAUGAGUUAAUAAGUAAUUAAAUAAACAUAAAUAAGUAAAAAAUAAUAAAAAAAAAAGUAAACAUUAAUGAGUAAAGAAAAAAAAACAUAAAAAAAUAAAUAAAUAAUGAAUAAAUGAUUGAAUAAAUAACUAGAUAAAUUACAAAAUAAAUAAGUAAAUGCAUAAACAAACAACUUGUGUAAAUAAAAUAAAAUAAAUAAGCAAAUAAAUACAUCGAAUGAACGAAUGCAUGAACGAACGAAAAAACGAAUGUAAAAGGAAAUAACUAAAAGAUAAAAAGGUAAAUGAAUAAAUAAGCAAAUAAAUAACUAGAUAAAUAAUGUCACGCCCCGGGGUCCCUUUUAGUUUAAAAGGUAGCGGAAAAGCGUCUGAAAUUUUUUUUUUUUUUUUUGAUGAAAAUCUAACCUCGAGUCUGUGCCAGACCCCACAAAUAUAAAGUCCCACUGUUCACUACGGACAGAGUCUCCCUGUAUUUGCACGGCGUCGCACAAGUACAAGAGUUCAAUCAUACAACAACCACAACCAGAUGAAUAUAUACAAGCAACCACAGAUAUACAUUCAUACACCAUUCACCACAGAUUCACAAGUUUACAUUCGCUAUUUAAAUAUAGAUCCACCAUCUAUCAGUUAAAAUAUUUCCAACCACAGAAAUAGGUUUGAAAUACUAAGAUACAAAAUCCACAGAAAACCUUUUGAAAACUGUUCCCUACACAGGAACUUUUAUCUUUCCAAAACGCUACCACGAGGGUAGAAAACAAUUUCCAUUUCAAGAAAGCACAAAUUCCUUUAUUAUAGUUCAAAACCAACCGAACUCAGAUUUCCGAAUAGUAAAAUAAAACUGAACCAUAAUAUGUCUAAGUUAUUAGUUAUUUAUUAUGAAAGAUAAGGUAGAUAAAUCAAACCAUGGACGGAAAGCUAUAUUGUAUGCUGGCCCGUUUCUCACCAGCUGUCGGCACUCCGGACCUGCUACGUUACCUGUAAUGGAGGCGGGGGGGUGAGAACAUGUAAACAUGUCUCCCCUCCCAGUGGGUACGCAAGCCGAAGAAGGCGAGGGGUACUCACCAGUCAGGAGAACUAGAUAGAUAUAAGAGCUGGUAAUGAAAGCUGAUAGUAGGAGCUGACAAGUAUAGAUGUAGGUGAGUAAAACAGUACUAUAAUAAACAGAUAAAGAAGUACUGGAAAUAAAACACUACAGCUACUGUAUGCAUGCUCAACUGUCAUAACCUCAAAAGUACCAAUCUCGCUGCCCUAUGGUCCGGAGACCUCAGCAUGCCACACUACUCAACCUGUACCUGACCCUCGCAAUGAAGCCCCCUGGGUCAGAAGUAUAGUACCUGACCCUCGCAAUGAAGCCCUGGUCAAAGCAUAUACCCUCGCAAUAAAGCUCCUGGGCUCACGGUUGGCAAAUCCAACCCACUUUUCCGGAAAAGAACACCUCUUGGCGGUGGAUCAGACCACUGGUGUUCGUGAAAUGCGUACCUGCAGUGGCGAUCAUGUAGUAUGCUCAAAGAUCAUCUAUCGGCAACUAGCCGACAAUCCAAGCCCUCAGGGCACACCGACCGUAUAGGCCAUCAGCAACUAAUCGGCUACGUAAGUCAAGAUAAAACUGUAGCAACUCGACCGAAUAGGUCAUAGGUAUCAAAGUAGGGGAACCGCCCAACCAAAUCACAAAUAUAGUGAACAGAUAAAUCAACUCUACUCCUAAACACGAUAUCAACAGGGAAAUAACUGAGUAGAGAAAUGCAGAUAUAAAAGCAGGUGCAAGGCUCAAUAUAACUGUAAGAUAGAGUAAACAGUAGGGGUGAAGAAACGUCACCGAGCGUGCACCACUGUACCGACUACGGGUCGAAGUACCCACCUGUACGUAUCCGACGAAGGUCUCUCGACUGUAAAGACGGUGCGACCGAACCUACGAAAGGUCCAACGGGUUAAGGUCUAACCCACUGACAUGUAAUGCUAACUCACAACCCCCGCUCACCAGAACCACAAUCGGUUUCCCAAAACCGAUUACCGAAUAAGCCGGAAGUCCCGAAAACCGCACCGGAACUUCAUCGUCGCUCACCCGUCGUUUUCGAACCCUCAAAACGACGCGGGUGACCAGCCAACAAGGCUCAGCGACGCUACAAUCAGCCACGAGGCACCGUCGGAUGAAUUCCGAACCAAAAUCGCGUUCUAUCGGCGGAUUUCGCCGAAAACGCUCCGGAAAUCACUUUUCGAUUUCUGCAAGGGCUUGGGCCUUGGACGAUCAGUCCAGAGGUUAUCCUCAGCCCAAACAUGCUGCCAACAGCAUCUACAACGAAGCAGAAAACCUAAAAGCCUAUACCGAUACAUGAAAUCGCAUCAUUUCAUGUGAUUUCUAGGCUUUUCUGGACCGUGCACGCAAACCAGAGGUCGAUUAAUCCGACCGUCAUACUCGCUGACAGGUUUCAGCAUGUCGAAGGCCGUGCUCACCUUUCGGAGCACUGCCGGCCACUGCGGAGCGCGCACGAGCGACACGAAGUUCAGCUAAACUGCGCGCACAGCGCAAAGAUCGUGACUAACUCACUAACCAGGGCAUCUUUGCCGCCGUUGGAGGUGAGCACGAUGUUCAGCACGAGUUGAAGAUCAUCGUGCUCACUUCCCGAAGCUUAGGAGGCUUAUCGGAUCACCGGAAAGGAGACCGGAACCUCGAAAAACAGUGCUGGAACAUAAAAUACCCUUACCAGACCCGAGGAGAGCUAGGGUUGGUCGCCGGCGGCCGGGAGGCGGGCGGUCCGGCCGGAGGAGGGAGCACUCGGUCCGAGAGGUCCGAGGAGGGUGCUGGCCGGCGGCGGGCUGUAAUCGGUGGCGCGGCGGCGGAGAUCCACUCCUCCCACUAACUCUCUGGUUCGGGCUUCCCGGCGGCGUGGCGGCGGCCGGAGGAGGUCGGGGCGGCUACGGUGCGGCGCCGGAGGCCGAGGGGAAGGCGGUGCACCCCUCGGUGAGCGGCGGCAGCGCCUGGAAGCUGAGCGGGCCCGACCUCGGCCCGCACGUGCCUGGGCGGCCACAGGAAGCUCCAGCGGCGGCCGGCGGCACGCGGGGACGGCGGGGGACGCGCGCGCCGGGUUGCCGGAGGUUGCCGGGGCUGACUAGAGGGCGGCGCGGCCGAAGUGAGGCGUGGACGCAGAACUCGAGCCGUCUCGGUCUGGGCUGACCCGAGCUGGCCGCAGGGAGCAGGGGUGGCUCCGGCGGCGCUCGAGGGUGGCCGGGGCCGGCGGGGGAGGACGCCGGAGAAAAACCUCGGCCAGGGAAGGGUGGAGCUCGACUUUGAUGCUUUCCCUAGCACAACAAACGAAAAUGUGGCAGGUCGGGGCUAGGGGAGAGCCGAGAGGUGGCCGGGGUGACCUUUCCGGCAGCCGGAGUUGCACGCCGGCGGCCGGGGCGUGCGCACAAGUUGGGCAGGGUGGAAGUGGGGCGGUUAGGGUUUUCUAGAUGAUCAUGGCAGCCAAAAGAAUACUGGAAAACCCUAAAUGCCCCUUUUAUACAAGGUGCCACUUUGCGAGGAACCCCUCCAAAGUCUAAUAUUUACACUCCAGCCCCUGCCAACGAGUGGAUUAAGCUUUCAGGUCCCUCGACAUUCAAAUUCGUGCAAGAUCGCGCAUAAAAUAUUGGACGUUUCCGCGAAUAAUCGAUCUUGCCAACUUGACCUCUCAGCGGACAUUUCACGAUUCCCGAAGAUCCGUCCGUCGGAUUUCCGAACGGAUUGCGCCAGCGCGUUCAGCACGACUGGGGCAUCGAAUCUAGCAUUUUAUUUCGUCUGAUUUGGUCUCCGAUCAGCGACGAAUCCUGCCCUCUCAAUCUCCACCCAUAAACCACUUAUAUUAUUACAUGUAAUUUCCAUUAAACCCCUUUUUCUCGACAACCGUGCAUCAGAACCCAAUUCCGUCAGUGCCAUUGGGUCCAGAAUAGUCGAGCCAUUCGAAACGAGCUAUUGAAGUCCUAUAUUCGGAGUUUGAUGUGCACCCGAACCCUUCUCUAUUCAUUGGUUCAUCCGGAAAACCGGAGUUACUAUUCACUUAAGUCAUCGGUUCGAGUCGCAUAACUUCUCCAUUUUAGCUCAUUUUCUCCUGAAAUUUGACGAGUGCUUUAGUAAUUAUAUUACACACAAAAACAUCGUCAACCAAGGGUUUAAUUUUAUUUUCCAAAAAUUUCAGUUAUUACAAAUAAAUAAACAAGUACAUGAGUAAAUAGAUAAAUAACUAAAUAAAUAAAGAAGCACAUAAAUAAAGAAAUGUCACUGGUUGAAUAUAUAAAAAUAGUUAAUAAAUAAAUACACCAACACAUAAAUACUAAAUAAAUAACAAACUUUGCCCAGCCUCGAAAGGAAACAACUUUCUUCCUUCACAUACAACAAUACCCAAUCACUAGGCUAAUCCGUAGGUUUCGCCCUCAACAAACUCACCAACUCUCAAUCCCAAAUAUCGAGGAGAAACUCCUACGACCCAACGGGACCGUCCUCUGGGGAGAAACUCCUACGACCCAGUGAUGACUACUCCAGAGGUCAUCGUCCGAGGGAGAGCUACCGCCGUCCGAGCAAGAACUAAUAGGCGAGUAUGAUCCAAUCCUUAACUAUAAGGAUUCCAAAUUCAAUCCAUUCCUUAACUAUAAGGAAGCAAUGCUCAUAUGACCCUUAACUAUAAGGUUGUUAUAUCAUAAUGUCACUAUCUCUCUUUACUUGCAUUCUCUAACUUUCACUAGUGUCAUAUACACUACUUUGUUCAUUGUACUUGUUUACUAAUGCUACACUUGUUCUCUAACUGUUCAACUCUAGCAUUCAAUACAUUCACUAAUGCCACUCUACCACGAGUCCAUCUCUACUAUUCAUUGCAUUUGGAAAUGUCACACAAUCCAUAUGUCAUAAUGUCAUUUGUCCAAUGCCUUUUCUAGGUUCUUGUUAUUACUCAUGCAUACAUAGGGUUACACAAGUUCCAACUCUUUUACAAUCAUUUCUCAUGUAUUUGUACUCACAACAUGCAAAUAGAAGCUCUCAAUUAACCCUAUUAUGCACAAUGCUCAAUAUACACUUAUGCUCAAAAAUGACACUUUAAAUAUAAAAGAAAAUUCAACGUUUUCGAAAUGCACUACCCACCUUAUAUGGUUAUAGAGGUGCUACGGUUCAAUUCUUGAAAUUUUUGGGUGCCUAUUCGGCAUGUUGCGGCUAUCUGUACCAAAAAUGACGUUUUUGUGAAUAUCUUUGCGUACACUCGUCGGAUCACUGAACCGAGUUCAUAUUCUUGUUAGAAAUACCCUUAAUUAGAUUUCUACAAGGUCAAUUUGCCUUUAAACCACUCUAGGACAAAAGUCCCAAUUUCGGUGCCCUAACAAUGCCAUUUACUAAAUCUUUGGAUUUGAUCUCUAAAACAAGCAAAAGAAAGUUUGUUGAACCUCUAGAAACUCAUUUAGAACCUUUCCUAAGCCUUUCCAACCAUUUCUAGGGCAUAAAAAUUAAACCCUAGGUUUCUGCCAUGGGGCACAUGAGGAAAACUUGAUUUCAUGUGUUCUAUAGCCAUUAGAGGGUUCCCACACUUGUAAGAAGCUCAAAUCCAAGGAUUUAGGGCAUGAAAUCAAAACCCUAACCUUACUCUUACAAGAAAACCUCACGUUAGCCCAAAGCUGUCUAAGGUCCACCCUGUAGGAGAGUCCCCAAGCCUUCAAAACCCAAGAAAUCUCCUCCAAAUCCUUCUCCUUCACCUUCUCCUUGCUCCUUGGAGAAAUUUCUAGAGAGAGAAAGUGAGAAAUGAGAGAAGGGAGGGUGCUUGCUGUAUAAACCAUGUGGGAGAGGUGUUGGGGUGUUUUAUGAGGUGCUACCAUAGCUAGAAGGCCCUCUAUUUGUUUUUAUUUGUAGCAGACUUAUUUUUGCUGUCGGGUCCAUUGUGUACCGGUACAGGUUGGGUGUUACCGGUAACACGAUCGCGCAGAGGCAAACCGGAGAGCAACUUCUCUCGGUCUGCACUGUUGUACCGGUACAGGUACAAUGUUGUACCGGUACAAAAGCUCCAGACUUCUGUUUUUGCAACUUUUCGAUUCUAUUUUGCGCCGAUCGAUGCUAAAACCUUCCUAACCCUUCUGGAACUCGUUUUUAACCCUUCCAACACCCUUGAAAUGUCAGAUGGAACAUGUCCAACUAUUUCUUUCGAACGCUUUAGUCAAUUUGGCUAAAGUCUAAUAUUCUCUACCGAGUUUCGGUACGUUACAUUCUCCACCCCUUAAAAUUAGUUUCGCCAGUGAAACUAGCUUGAUUAAAAUCUAGAUCCAUACCUUAAUCCAGAUUCUCGAAGAGGUGGGGAUAAUGCUCUCUCAUUGCGCUCUCGAGCUCCCAAAUAGCUUUCCGAUCAUCAUGGUUACUCCAACGGACUUUAACAUACGGAAUCUCACAGUUCCAUAGUUUUCUUACUUCUUGAUCGAUGAUGUACGCCGGGAACUCCUCAUAAGUCAUAUCCCCUUGAAUCUCAGAUGGUUCAAACGAGAGAAUAUGCUCGGGAUCGUGAACAUACUUGCGGAGAUUUGACACAUGAAAUACAUCGUGCACUCCCGCAAGCCUCAGUGGUAAUGCUAACUUGUAAACCACCGCACAAACACGUUUCAAUAUUUCGAACGGUCCAAGAUACCGGGGACUUAGUUUCCCACGAACUCCAAACCAUUUAACUCAUCGCAUUGGCGAUACUUUUAAAAAUACACGGUCUCCAACCGCGAACUUUAUGUCUUUUCUACGCUUGUUGGCAUAGCUUUUAUGCCGAGAUUGCGCUGUAGCAAGUCGUUGGCGGGCAAGGCGAACGUUCUCCUCCGCCUCCUGCACUACAUCGGGGCCAAGGGCCACCCUAUCGCCCACAUCGCUCCAAUGAAUAAAAGAGCGACACUGCUUUCCAUAAAGGGCCUCGAAUGGUGCCAUUGCGAUACUCUCUUGAUAACUAUUAUUGUACACGAACUCUGCCAUUGAUAAAUGAUCAUGCAAUCCGCCCUUAUAGUCGAGUACACACGCUCGAAGCAUAUCCUCAAGUAUUUGUAUCGUCCUCUCCGAUUGCCCGUCACUUUAAGGAUGAAAUGUCGUACUAAAAUCGAGCUGCGUGCCCAAUGCAUCCUGUAGGCUCCUCCAAAAAUGUGAUGUGAACCUCGAGUCCCAAUCCGAUACAAUUGAUACGGGAACUCCAUGAAAUCUAACAAUCUCAUCUAGGUAUACUUGAGCCAACUUGUCUCCCGACCACGUAAUAUGAAUCGGUAGAAAAUGCGCCGACUUCAUCAACCGGUCUACUAUCACCCGAUAUCACGUGGCCUAGGAAGGUAACCUUUGAAAGCCAAAAUUCGCACUUCUUUAAUUUUUCAUAUAGCUUCUCUUUUCGGAGUAUUUCCAACACGGUCCUCAAGUGCUCCUCGUGUUCUUCCUCACUCCGUGAAUAAACCAACACGUCGUCAAUGAACAUCUCGACGCAUCGGUCUAACAAUGGUCGAAAAACUGAUUCAUCAAGUCGAUAAAUGCUGCCCGGGCAUUAAUAAGCCCAAACGGCAUUACCGUGAACUCGCAAUGACCAUACCGCGUACGGUACGCCGUUUUGUGCACAUUCUUGGGCCGUAUUUUCAACUGAUGAUACCCCGACUGAAGAUCUAUCUUUGAGUACACUCUCGACCCUUGUAACUGAUCGAAAAAAUCAUCAAUCUUGGCAACGGAUACUUGUUCUUAACUGUGACCUUGUUCAACUCGCGGUAAUCCACACAGAGUCGAAGCGCGCCAUCCUUUUUCUUCACAAAUAGCACCGGAGCUCCCCACGGUGACACGCUCAGCCUCACAAAGCCUUUAUCGAGCAAGUCUUGCAACUGUGCCUUUAGCUCUUUUAGCUCCGCCGGUGCCAUUCUAUACGGAGCCUUCGAAAUUGGCGCCGUCCUGGCAAUCAAAUCAAUAACGAACUUGACUUUCCGGUCCGGUGGCAAUCCCGGUAACUUCGCCGAAAAUACAUCCGGGAACUCACACGCUACCCGAAUACCACUAAGUUCCGGGUGCUCCUUUUGGGCUUCUACCAUUGUCGCCAAGUAAGCUACACAUCCACCCUUUAUCAUUUUCCUCGCCCUCGUCGCCGAUACUGCUGCCGCUAAGCGCGGGCUUUUACACGCCCAGUAUACUAACUUUUCUUGAUUAGGCUCACGGAAUGUGAUCACCUUACUUUUACAAUCUAUCACGGCAUAAUACUUGGAGAGCCAGUUGAUUCCCAAGAUUAUAUCGAAGCCCACAUCUGGUUUAACACCAAUAGGUCUAUCGGCAUAAUCCAAUCACCUAUCUGUACUGAACAAAUCAAGCACUCGUCAUGAACGCGGAACGAAUGCUCUGGAGUAUUCACCGACCAAAAAUCCUCAUUAUGUGUGAUCUCUAUGUCAUGAGAUUUUGCAAAUGAUGCACCUAUGAAUGAAUGUGAUGCACCUGUGUCGAAUAAAGUUCUAGCCCUAGUGCCUUUAAUCAAGACAAUACCUGCCACGACGUCAUCAGGAACUGCAGGCUGCUCCUCCACCUAAGGGGCAAAAACCCGCCACUCGGUGCUCUAGAUGCCUCCGGCUGACGCGAUGCAGACAAGCGUCCAGCCGACAUCGCCGGUGGAAACCCCGCCAGCUGUCUCGGUGUAGAAGGAACUGAUGCCACCGUCAGUGCAGACAACGCCAAACUCGGGCACCCCGGGCCAUGUGCCCCACUUGGCCGCAUUUGAAGCACUUUCCUUCGCGUUGCGGGCAAGUUGCCGGUUGAUGCUCACCGCCACAAAUAACACACCGAGGAGGCCUCUAACUCUUUGACUGCUGUCGGGGAUACCGAGGGGGCUUCUUUGCAUUUGGCCGGCCCGCUCGCUUCUUUCCUUUGUCCCUCGACUCCGCCAUAGCCUCGCGCUCCUCUCACGCGUAGGCGUUGCCAUGCUCCGCCCACAAAGCUCGAUCAAAGACCUCCGCAAAGGUCGUAAGCUUGAGGAUUUGCACCGCCUCAUAGAUUCUCGGCCUAAGUCCUCGCAAGAACCAAUUGGCCCGGUCCCAAUCAUCUCGAACAUCAUCCGGGACGCAAUCGAGUGGGAGAACUCCUGCUCGUAGUCCGCUACCGAGCAAUCUCCUUGCCUUAGCUAGCGAAAUUUUUCUUGUAGCUUUCGCUUCACCGUGUCGGGGAAGUAGUUUGCAAAUAUCGCCCUCUUAAACUCCUCCCAUAGCAUAGGCAGAAGAGCGAAGGACCGAUCCCGCUUCACCCGCUUCCAAGACACCUUCGCCGCCUUCUCAAUGCAAUGAGUGGCGAGGUGCACCUUGUCCUUCUCAGAGGUAUAUAGGUCCUUGAAAAGCGUCUCCAUCGAGUCGAUACCCGACUCCACCAUCGAUUGCUCUACCUUUUCCCCUUCAAAGAUAGGUGGGUCGAACUUCUUGAACAUAAUGAGAGCCGCCAAUGCACGCUCUCGCUUCGCCUCUAUAGCCGCAUCAUCGGGAUUUGACGUUCCCGAACCGGCCGGCACCAUCGUGACUGGCACGGCCGCCGCCGCGACAUCCUCAGCCGCACCCGGCACCACUGCAGGGGCCGCAAGGUGCUCGGCCUCCACGGACGCCGCCGCUUGCUGUCGCUCCAAGGCCUCUUGAAGCCUUUGGAUCUGCUCCUCUUGGCGUUGAACAGACUCCGCUUGUUGCCGCACUACACUAAUAAGCGCGGCCAUCUACUCCCAAAGCUCCCCGUCGCCACUUGCUCCAGCUUGCACGGGAGCUGCACUCGGUUUCUUGGGCAUAGAUCUCGUUCGCGGUCGACCACGAGGCAUCUUAGGUCGUCCACGAGGUGGUAUUGCUUCCUGAAAUGAAGCAAUUACAUUAGUUACUUAACCAACAUAAUCGAAUUUACACAAUCCGGCGAAAGCAAACAAGUGUAUUUAUUUUCAUCCCAAAGUAUAAUGUCGUCGGCCGCCGAUCACAACAAAAGGAAUAGAAAAUAAAUAUCAACUUAAAUUUAGUCCCUAACCACAUUAGAGACGUACUAACAUUAACCCAAUCAUAAGCUUUCGCUAUUCGUUGAUUCCACGUCAUUCACGUUUCCUAGAUCCUUAAGGUUUUUUAUUCCUAAGGGUCUCUAGGUCCGUCCUAUACUUUCAUUUUAGGCUCUUUAUACGCUCUGAUACCAUUAUAUCUGUCACGUCCCGAGCUCGGUCCUAUUUGGCCGGUUCGAGCACGUCGAAUAGAUGCCGAAUGGACAGAGCCUUUCCUGUCCACCCAAGGCUGAACAACAAGUACAAAUAGAGUACAAAUUUUGCACAUGCGGAAGUAUACAUAAUGACUUGCACGAGAGCAAGCAAUGGCCAAAGUGAAAGUACUAAGUAAUCAACAUACAAGUACUAUGAUUAAAUUUAAAUCAUAUACAUGCAUACAACUUGUACAUUUGCAUUCUUUUCUUUAUCAUCAUUUCUUCUCUUUUACAGCACAUGAUAUCUCAAAAUAUAACCUUUGCAUUGAAACAUAAAUCCUUUUGCAUUAAACCAUAAGCUCUUUUACAUCAUUUAACAUGUUCAUAAUACUAAAAUUAUCAAAAUACAAAAAAUGAUAACUAAAGGGUAUGCAUCUAGCAAAAUGAAACCGACUUGAGUAGUCACUGACUAAGGCGCGAUACCCUUACCGCGAUCAUCCGCCGGCUAGCUCGGUCCCGGCUCUGUGGAAAUAGUGGGGUGAGAACUACAACAAAGUUUUCAGUGGGUUCGACCGCCGACCUCGCCGACUUUCCCACUAGGUGAGUAUGAUCCAAUCCUUAUCUAAUAGGCGAGUAUGAUCCAAUCCUUAUCUAUAAAGACUAAUAGGCGAGUAUGAUCCAAUCCUUAUCUAUAAAGAUUCCAAAUUCAAUCCAUUCCUUAACUAUAAGGAAGCAAUGCUCAUAUGACCCUUAACUAUAAGGUUGUUAUGUCAUAAUGUCACUAUCUCUCUUUACUUGCAUUCUCUAACUUUCACUAGUGUCAUAGACACUAUUUUGUUCUUUGUACUUGUUUACUAAUGCUACACUUGUUCUCUAAGUGUUCAACUCUAGCAUUCAAUGCAUUCACUAAUGCCACUCUACUACAAGUCCAUCUCUAGUAUUCAUUGCAUUUGGGAAUGUCACACAAUCCAUAUGUCAUAAUGUCAUUUUGUUCAAUGCAUUUUUUAGGUUCUUGUCAUUACUCAUGCAUACAUAGGGUUACACAAGUUUCAACUCUUUUACAAUCAUUUCUCAUACAUUUGUACUCACAACAUGCAAAUAGAAGCUCUCAAUUAACCCUAUUAUGCACAAUGCUCAGUAUACACUUAUGCUCAAAAAUGACACUUUAGACAUAAAAGGAAAUUCAACGUUUUCAUAAUGUACCACCUAUCUUAUAUGGUUAUAGAGGUGCUAUGGUUCAAUUCUUGGAUUUUUUUGGUGCCUAAUCCGCGUGUUGCAGCUAUCUGUACCAAAAAUGACGUUUUUAUGAAUAUCUUUGCGUACACUCGUCAGAUCACCAAACCGAGUUCGUAUUCUUGUUAGAAAUACCCCUAAUUAGGUUUUUACAAGGUCAAAACUCCAAUUUAGGGCAAAAGCUCCAAUUUCGAUUCCCUAACAAUUCCAUUUGCUAAAUCUUUGGAUUUGAUCUCUAGGGCAAGCAAAAAAAAGCUUGUUGAACCUCUAGAAACUCAUUUAGAACCUUUCCUAAGCCUUUCCAACCAUUUCUAGGGCAUAAAAACUAAACCCUAGGUUUCUACCAUGGGAGCACAUGAGGAAAACUUGAUUUCAUGUGUUCUAUAGCCAUUAGAGGGUUCCCACACUUGUAAGAAGCUCAAAUCCAAGGAUUUAGGGCAUGAAAUCAAAGCUCUAAGCUUACUCUUACAAGAAAACCUCACCUUAGCCCAAAGCUCUCAAAGGUCCACCUUACAGGAGAGUCCCCAAGCCUUCAAAACCCAAGAAAUCUCCUCCAAAUCCUUCUCCUUCACCUUCUCCUUGCUCCUUGGAGAGAUUUCUAGAGAGAGAAAAAGAGAAAUGAGAGAGAAGAGAGUGCUUGCUGUAUAAACCAGGUGGGAGAGAUGUUGGGGUGUUUUAUGAGGUGCUACAAUAGCUAAAAGGCCCUCCAUUUGUUUUUAUUUGCAGCGGACUUAUUUUUGCUGUCGGGUCCAUUAUGUACCGGUACAGUCUUGGUGUUACCGGUAACACAAUCGCGCAGAGGCAAACCCGAGAGCAAUUUCUCUCGGUCUGCACUGUUGUAUUAGUAUAGGUACAAUGUUGUACCGGUACAAAAGCUCCAGACUUCUGUUUUCGCAUCUUUUCGAUUCGAUUUCGCGUCGAUCGAUGCUAAAACCUUCCUAAUCCUUCUGGAACUCAUUUUUAACCCUUCCAACACCCUUGAAAUGUCAGAUGGAACAUGUCCAACUAUUUCUUUCGGACGCUUUAGUCAAUUUGGCUAAAGUCCAAUAUUCUCUACCAAGUUUCGGUACGUUACAAGCACUUUAUAAAGUCUUAAGUGUAGUUAAAGUAUAAUGUACAGUAAAAUAUACUACCUUCAAACCUACAUGACAAGUCUUUUCAUAUAUUUGCAAAGCUUGUGUGGAGUGAAGACGUUUUGGCACGAAUUUGACGCGAAAACGAGUGUAAGAAGGUAUCACGCCCCGGGACCCAGCGGAAGCCCGCCCGGCGCGUGUCCAGACCCGCCAUAUGUCUAAAACAUAUAAGGCGUCUAAUAGCAACGAUAAUAAAAGCAGUAAUAAAAGACAUCUAGGAGUAUCAAAGCAUGAUAUAAUACUAAGUUCUACAAUAGAGAAAGGAACACAAAGCUGGAAUCCACUAAUAAAAGCAUAAAGUAAUACAAAGAAAAUCCCAAAUACAAGUGCUAAAGGUAGAUACAUAGGUGGUCUCUAUAUAUGGAUACAAAAACUCUCACUCUCUCAACUAUAAAAAGAAAGAGUAAACCACCUAGGCAAAGAACCGCUCCUCACUAGCUAGCUAUGCGAUCCCCUUGCCGCGAUCCCGUGUCUCCGCCGGUGCAGAAGGCUCUGAAAGAAACCACAAAAAGAGGGCGUGAGAACUAUUAAAAAUAGUUCCGAGUGGGCAAUUACUGACUUCAGUGAAUGCACCACAAGGCCCAAAGCUACAAGGGAAGUGGUCAGUAACUAUGAAAGCAAUAAAGCGAAAGGUAAGUAAAAGUGUAACAUACUAUAACCAGAUGUCUCUACUUAGCAUGAUAGGCAUAAGAAUAAGCAACUAUACAUAAUGUACAUCGAUGUGUAUACAUGAAUGCUCAUAGGUAUGCAACCAAUACGAUGUCCUCAAUGCAAUUAGUAAAGAUGUCAUUGUUUACAUUUCUAGUCGAUGUCCAGUCAAUACACUAAGUCAUCAUCUGUCCACAUGUCAUAGUGAAUACUCAAAGACAAAUCUAAAGAGACCUACCCGAAGGCUGUCUAUGACCCUGAGACCCACCCGUAGGCUGUCUGGCCGAUGNGCGCCGAAGUGGAUUGCCGUGGGGGAGGCUCAUCCCUAGAGUGGGGAUGUUGACUACCACGGGGCCAUUAGGCACGGCGCAGGCCAGACAGCCUUCGGGUGGGUUUUAUAUGAUUGGGACUUGGUGACAGAUCAUGCUACGUGAACUGUAUAACUGUUAAUGUGGACUUGGACUAGAAUAGUAAACAAUGACAUUUUUACUAUUACAUUGUGGACUUUGGGUAGUUGCAUAAUCACGCUUUAUAUGUUGGGUGUUCAUGUGCAUAUAGCUUGUAGUUGUUUUCUUACUUAUGUAAAUCAUGCUAAGUAGAGAUAUCAUGAUUAUUGGGUACUCGUUUAUUUAUUUAUUUACAGUGCAUUUAUGCUUUUGUUAUAGUUGUACACUGACCCUCUUUUAUAGUUUCGGACCUAGUGGUGCAUUUCACUGAAGUCAGUAAUUGCCCACUGGAAACUAUUAUUUAAUAGUUCUCACGCCCCUGUUUCUAUAUUUCCUUUUCAGAGCCUUCAGCACAGGCGAAGGCACGGGAUCGCGGCAAGGGUGUCGCGUAGCUAGCUCGCGGAGAGUUCUUUUGCGCUAGAUAGUUACUCCUCCAUUUUAUAUUUUGAGAGAGAUAAAGAGGUUUUGUACCAUGUAUAGAGAGACCACCUUGUACUUCAUUUAGCACUCGUUAUGGGAUUCCUGUUGUACUUACUCUAUAUUUUUAUUUAGUGGACUUUAAGCUUUAUUUUUUUUUUCUCGUUAUAGGACUAGUUGUACAAUGCUCUGAUAUCACUAGAUCUCUUUGUAUUAUUGUUUUAUCUAUCGAAAUUUUGUAGACGCCUUAUAUGUUUUAGACGUAUGGCGGGUCUCGACACGCGCCGGCGGGUAGGCUUCCGUUGAGCCCCGGGGCGUGACAGAUUAAUUUGGUAUCAGAGCCUAGGGUUGAGUCUUAGGAAACCUAGUAAACCUUAGGCCGAUUGGACUAUAGAAAAUAGGCUCGUGAGAGACGAGAUCUAUUCGACUUGUAAGCGAAAGUAUCUAGAUUGGGUAUCUUGGAUAACUCUAGAAAGUGGAGUUAAAUUGAAGUGUAUAACUCCUAACUUCGCGGAGGGUUACGUUGGCGGCCAACAACGUAACAUCGGGAGUUAGUGGUGAAGAACACUUCCUUACUUUCGCAUGAUUUGGGUAUUGCUUAUUAAGCGGGGAUGCGAUAGCGUGGGUUUUACUAACUUGCGCUUUUAUGUUUUGUAGUGACGAUGCCGAUUACUUGUUCCCAAUCUGCCGGGGCGGACAAUGCGGCGAACUUUGAGGAGGUCGAGACCUCCGCUAUCUCCGGAUCUGGCGAGAUCCGUGAGUUGAGGAGCCAGCUUGCGACCCUCACCGACUUAGUCACUCAGCAGGCGGAGGCGGCCCGACAGCAGACUGAGGCGGCGCGCCGACAGGAGGAGCGGAUGAAGCGCCUGGAGGAUCUACUUCUGCAGCAGGCAGCAGCUUCUAGGGAGACGCAGGGCCCUACACNNNNNNNNNNNNNNNNNNNNNNNNNNNNNNNNNNNNNNNNNNNNNNNNNNNNNNNNNNNNNNNNNNNNNNNNNNNNNNNNNNNNNNNNNNNNNNNNNNNNNNNNNNNNNNNNNNNNNNNNNNNNNNNNNNNNNNNNNNNNNNNNNNNNNNNNNNNNNNNNACGAUUGAUUGCAAGAAUCGCACGGUUACUUUUAGAGAACCGGGGCAGACGGAGGUGGUAUUUAGUGGAUGCCGGAGUUCGCUAUUUGCGACGACGAUCAGCUCGUCUCGAGCUAGGCAGCUGAUCAGCAGAGGUUGUAUAGCCUACCUGGCUAGUGUUGUGCUGAGGGGCGAGGAUGACACCCCUAGGAUCGAGAAUAUCCUGGUGGUACGGGAGUUUCAGGAUGUGUUUCCAGCUGAGCUACCGGGUAUGCCUCCUGAUAGGGAGAUUGAGUUUGUGGUAGAUCUCGUCCCUGAGACUACCCCAAUCUCAAAGGCACCCUAUAGGAUGGCACCGGUAUAGCUGAGGGAGCUAAGGGCACAGUUGCACGAUUUGCUGGAUAAAGGCUUCAUUCGAUCGAGCGUUUCACCCUGGGGAGCACCCGUUUUGUUCGUCAAGAAAAAGGACGGAUCACUUCGCCUUUGUGUGGAUUUUCGUGAACUCAAUAAGGUCACGAUCAAGAACAAGUAUCCAUUGACGAGGAUCGACGACUUGUUUGAUCAGCUUCAAAGAUCGUAUGUGUAUUCCAAGAUAGACUUACAGUCGGGAUACCACCAGUUAAAGAUUAAAUCCGAUGACGUUUCAAAGACGGCUUUUAGGACACGGUAUGGACAUUACGAGUUCACAGUUAUGCCGUUCGGGCUUACUAAUGCCCCGGCNNNNNNNNNNNNNNNNNNNNNNNNNNNNNNNNNNNNNNNNNNNNNNNNNNNNNNNNNNNNNNNNNNNNNNNNNNNNNNNNNNNNNNNNNNNNNNNNNNNNNNNNNNNNNNNNNNNNNNNNNNNNNNNNNNNNNNNNNNNNNNNNNNNNNNNNNNNNNNNNNNNNNNNNNNNNNNNNNNNNNNNNNNNNNNNNNNNNNNNNNNNNNNNNNNNNNNNNNNNNNNNNNNNNNNNNNNNNNNNNNNNNNNNNNNNNNNNNNNNNNNNNNNNNNNNNNNNNNNNNNNNNNNNNNNNNNNNNNNNNNNNNNNNNNNNNNNNNNNNNNNNNNNNNNNNNNNNNNNNNNNNNNNNNNNNNNNNNNNNNNNNNNNNNNNNNNNNNNNNNNNNNNNNNNNNNNNNNNNNNNNNNNNNNNNNNNNNNNNNNNNNNNNNNNNNNNNNNNNNNNNNNNNNNNNNNNNNNNNNNNNNNNNNNNNNNNNNNNNNNNNNNNNNNNNNNNNNNNNNNNNNNNNNNNNNNNNNNNNNNNNNNNNNNNNNNNNNNNNNNNNNNNNNNNNNNNNNNNNNNNNNNNNNNNNNNNNNNNNNNNNNNNNNNNNNNNNNNNNNNNNNNNNNNNNNNNNNNNNNNNNNNNNNNNNNNNNNNNNNNNNNNNNNNNNNNNNNNNNNNNNNNNNNNNNNNNNNNNNNNNNNNNNNNNNNNNNNNNNNNNNNNNNNNNNNNNNNNNNNNNNNNNNNNNNNNNNNNNNNNNNNNNNNNNNNNNNNNNNNNNNNNNNNNNNNNNNNNNNNNNNNNNNNNNNNNNNNNNNNNNNNNNNNNNNNNNNNNNNNNNNNNNNNNNNNNNNNNNNNNNNNNNNNNNNNNNNNNNNNNNNNNNNNNNNNNNNNNNNNNNNNNNNNNNNNNNNNNNNNNNNNNNNNNNNNNNNNNNNNNNNNNNNNNNNNNNNNNNNNNNNNNNNNNNNNNNNNNNNNNNNNNNNNNNNNNNNNNNNNNNNNNNNNNNNNNNNNNNNNNNNNNNNNNNNNNNNNNNNNNNNNNNNNNNNNNNNNNNNNNNNNNNNNNNNNNNNNNNNNNNNNNNNNNNNNNNNNNNNNNNNNNNNNNNNNNNNNNNNNNNNNNNNNNNNNNNNNNNNNNNNNNNNNNNNNNNNNNNNNNNNNNNNNNNNNNNNNNNNNNNNNNNNNNNNNNNNNNNNNNNNNNNNNNNNNNNNNNNNNNNNNNNNNNNNNNNNNNNNNNNNNNNNNNNNNNNNNNNNNNNNNNNNNNNNNNNNNNNNNNNNNNNNNNNNNNNNNNNNNNNNNNNNNNNNNNNNNNNNNNNNNNNNNNNNNNNNNNNNNNNNNNNNNNNNNNNNNNNNNNNNNNNNNNNNNNNNNNNNNNNNNNNNNNNNNNNNNNNNNNNNNNNNNNNNNNNNNNNNNNNNNNNNNNNNNNNNNNNNNNNNNNNNNNNNNNNNNNNNNNNNNNNNNNNNNNNNNNNNNNNNNNNNNNNNNNNNNNNNNNNNNNNNNNNNNNNNNNNNNNNNNNNNNNNNNNNNNNNNNNNNNNNNNNNNNNNNNNNNNNNNNNNNNNNNNNNNNNNNNNNNNNNNNNNNNNNNNNNNNNNNNNNNNNNNNNNNNNNNNNNNNNNNNNNNNNNNNNNNNNNNNNNNNNNNNNNNNNNNNNNNNNNNNNNNNNNNNNNNNNNNNNNNNNNNNNNNNNNNNNNNNNNNNNNNNNNNNNNNNNNNNNNNNNNNNNNNNNNNNNNNNNNNNNNNNNNNNNNNNNNNNNNNNNNNNNNNNNNNNNNNNNNNNNNNNNNNNNNNNNNNNNNNNNNNNNNNNNNNNNNNNNNNNNNNNNNNNNNNNNNNNNNNNNNNNNNNNNNNNNNNNNNNNNNNNNNNNNNNNNNNNNNNNNNNNNNNNNNNNNNNNNNNNNNNNNNNNNNNNNNNNNNNNNNNNNNNNNNNNNNNNNNNNNNNNNNNNNNNNNNNNNNNNNCCGGUUUGUGUCUCACUUUUGGAGGAGUCUGCAGGACGCCCUUGGCACUCGAUUGGACUUCAGCACUGCUUUCCACCCGCAGAGUGAUGGACAGUCGGAGCGCACUAUUCAGAUUUUAGAGGAUAUGCUCCGGGCUUGUGUGAUAGACUUCCAGGGAGGAUGGUCGCAGCAUCUACCUAUGGCGGAGUUUGCUUAUAACAACAGUUAUCAAGCAAGCAUCAAGAUGGCGCCCUUCGAAGCACUUUAUGGACGGAAGUGUAGAUCGCCGCUUCAUUGGAGUGAAGUUGGCGAGAGACUGGCUUUAGGCCCUGAUGUGCUCCAGGAAGCGGAGAACAAAGUUCGCAUUGCUCGGGAGCGUCUUGUGGCGGCACAGAGUAGACAGAGGAGCUACGCUGAUCGACGGCGGCGAGUAUUGGAGUUCCAAGUUGGAGACCAUGUUUUCUUAAAGGUCUCGCCGACUAGAGGAAUAAAGAAAUUUAGGAUUUGGGGAAAGUUGAGUUCCCGUUUCAUUGGACCGUAUGAGAUUUUGGACCGUGUAGGCCCGGUAGCGUAUAGACUUGCUCUACCACCGAACCUAUCAGGUGUACACGAUGUCUUUCAUGUAUCGGUCCUCCGGAGGUACAUUCACGAUCCAGCUCACGUCUUGGAUGCUAUACCAGUGGAGCUGCAUGAGGAUUUGAGUUUCGAGGAGCAACCUGUGAAAAUUCUAGCUCGCGAAGUGAAGAAGCUGCGGAAUCGGGACAUUCCGUAUGUGAAGGUUCUUUGGAGCAAUCACGGGGAGCGAGCGGCUACGUGGGAGCUGGAGAGCGCUUUGCAGAAGCGCUACCCUCACCUCUUCCAGGUGGAGUCUUGAGGUACGUCGCAUUUUGAGUUUCGCGAACGAAACUCCUUUUUAGGAGGGGUGAAUGUAACAUACUGGACCUUUACAAAUUGCGAGGUUCGAGUGUUUGAUCAGUGUAUCGAGCUUUUUCAGACUUUCUGGAAGGUCGUAGAUAGUGUUCCGACUUAUGGCUCGCAUCCCGAGAAUUGUGGUUUUAAGCUGGUGCCAAAAGCCCAAAAAGAUUGGACCUUGGUCAGCUCUCGGAUAGCCUGCAGUAGAGCUUGUACCGGAACAAGACUGGUCUUGUACCGGUAUAAGGUUGAUGGUUGUACCGGUACAACCAUCGGCCUUGUACCGGUACAGAGCCGCAGACCCCGCGAACCGAGCCUCGGAUUUGCAUUUUCGUGGGCCUUGUAUCGGUACAAGGGCCCGUGUACCGGUAUAAGGUGGCAGAGUUUGAGCAGUUUGAUACUGCAGGGGAUUUUUUCGCGAUUGUAGCCUAUCUAUAUCAGUCCCGACGCCCUUGGGGACUCUCCCUGAGCUGAGAUCACAGGAGAAGAAGGUAAGGGCUUCCUCUCUUCUUUCCCCCUUAGAUUUUACUCUUUUUUGCUUGGAUUUAGGAAGCUUUUUGCUCUCUUUUGCUUCCUAGAGCAUUUUUCACCUUUGGAGAGGGCUUGGGGCUUGGUUUUGAGCGUGGUAGAGGAACAAUAUUAGAAGUUGUGGACCUUUGAGCUUGGAUUGAAGCUUCUAAGAGGUAAGCAAGUUGUUCCCUCCCUCUAGAUUUUGGUUUUGAUGUUUUAUAGUAGAUGAAACCCUAGAUUGUGAUAUUAGGGUUUAUUUUGGGUAUUUUGAAUCUAGGGCUUUUGAAACUAGAUUGAGUCGAUUAGAGGCUUCCAUUUGGUUGGAUUGGAAGGGCUCUAGCUCUCUUUUGGAGCUUUAGAGGAGAUUUUUGCACUAGAGGUGAGUUUUCCUCACCUAUGCUUAAUUAGCUUAAUGAUUGAAUUAGUUAUUAUUCGUUUGGCUCGUAUGACACUUGUUUUUAUACCUAUAGGGUACUAGGAGACUAGAGGACACCCUCGUGGGAGCGAACGAGGAGUUUCGUUGUCAUCGGUGGGUUUGGCUUCGUGGAAAUAGGGCGAAAUGGCCCCUAUGCUUUUUCUACUUGUCGCAAAAUAUUUUUAAAUUCAUUUCUAUGCUAAAUGAAAUUUAUAUGAAUUUUAGAGCACUUAAAUGCAUGCCUUAUGUAUUAUGAAAAUUUCACUAUAUACUAGAGCUAUAUGAGUAGAAUGUAUGCAUACGGAAAAAGUGUUUAUUUUGUAAGUGAAAAAUACAUCUCUUAUGAGGAUUAUGAUUUGGAACAUGUACUUUGGAAUAUAGUUGUCAUGCUUUGACAUAGAGAACAAGAGUGUCAUCAAGGGGCACUUGAAAUUAGUAAACUAUUAAACUGCAAUAUAGAGACAUAUUGAUAGGCCACUACAUAUCCGUUAUAUUCCAUGUUAGAGACAUGAUGACAUAAAGAUAGGCUAUUGAGAUACUUGAUAUAUUCCAUAUUGUUAGACAUGAGGACUUGGUACUUGAGACAGAUCAUUGCUUGCUCGCCAUUGUGCUCAUUCGCACAUGCUUGUCAGGGUCGCUCCCUACAAGCCGGCACUCCGGAGAUAGCCAUCGCGACAUAUGCUCGCCCGUGCGGGAUUGGGCGCCGAAGUGGAUUGCCGUAGGGGAGGCUCAUCCCUAGAGUGGGGAUGUUGACUACCACGGGGCCAUUAGGCACGGCGCAGGCCAGACAGCCUUCGGAUGGGUCUUAUAUGAUUGGGACUUGGUGACAAAUCAUGCUACGUGAACUGUAUAACUGUUAAUGUGGACUUGGACUAAAAUAGUAAACAAUGACAUUUUUACUAUUACAUUAUGGACUUUGGGUAGUUGCAUAAUCACGCUUUAUAUGUUGGGUGUUCAUGUGCAUAUAGCUAGUAGUUGCUUUUUUACUUAUAUAAAUCAUGCUAAGUAGAGAUAUCAUGAUUAUUGGGUACUCGUUUAUUUAUUUACUUACAGUGCAUUUAUCACUUUUGUUAUUGUUGUACACUGACCCUCUUUUAUAGUUUCGGGCCUAGUGGUGCAUUUCACUGAAGUCAGUAAUUUCCCACUAGGAACUAUUAUUUAAUAGUUCUCACGCCUCUGUUUCUAUGUUUCCUUUUCAGAGCCUUCGGCACCGGCGGAGGCACGUGAUCGCGGCAAGGGUGUCGCGUAGCUAGCUCGCGGAGAGUUCUUUUGCGCUAGAUAGUUACUCCUCCAUUUUAUAUUUUGAGAGAGAGGAAGAGGUUUUGUACCAUAUAUAGAGAGACCACCUUGUACUUCAUUUAGCACUCGUUAUGGGAUUCCUAUUGUACUUACUCUAUAUUUUUAUUUAGUGGACUUUCAGCUUUAUGUCCUUUUUCUUGUUAUAGGACUAGUUGUACAAUGCUCUGAUAUUACUAGAUCUCUUUGUAUUAUUGUUUUAUCUAUCGAAAUUUUGUAUACGCCUUAUAUGUUUUAGACGUAUGGCGGGUCUGGACACGCGCCGGGUAGGCUUCCGCUGAGCCCCGGGACGUGACAGAAACGAACAACAGAUUGCUCAAACAAUAACCAUUUCGGGCCAGGGUUGAAGAAAACUCACCGAUUGCGAAGGAAGCUCUCACGAUCUACAAAUAGGAGUUAGAGUCCUUCCAAUCUAACCUAAACAAAGAUUCUAAACCCAUCAAAUAGGUUUCAAAGCCCUCAAAUCAAAAAUCCCCAUUUUGUGGCAUUGAAUGCUUGAGAAUGAGAAUGAAACACUUUAUGUGUUAUGACAUUAGUGAGUUGUGGCAUUGGCGAACAUGGCAUCCUCUUAGUGAACAUGGCAUACUCAAAGUUGUGGAUUGGAUCAUACUCACCUGUAAAUCUUGGCUUGAGGCGAUCGCACCCCCUCGAGCGAUGAGCUCCAGAGUAGUCAUCACUGGGUUGUAGCUUUCCCAGAGGACGGUCCCGUUGGAUUGUAGGAGUAUCUCCCCGAUAGCAGAGAUUUAGUUGGUGGAUUUUGGGGCGAAACCUCCGGGUUAGCCGAGAGGAUUGUGUAUUGGAAAUGAAAAUUGGCAUGCAGUAUGAACAUCAUAUAUUGUUAGCAUUCUUGUUCAGACAUAUUAGCUGCAUUUAUUUAGAAUGGUUAUCUAUCUAUCUGCUUCUUCUAAUUAUGCCUGGUUUAGACCUAGUGCGAAAGUCGGCGGGGUCGGCGACCGAAUCCACUGGGAACUUUCUUGUAGUUCUCACCGCACUAUUUUUACAGAGGCGGGGCCGAGCGAGGCGAUCGAGGACCGUGGUAAGGGUAUCGUACCCUAGAUAGCGACUACCCGAGUAUAGUUCAUACCUUACCGUUGUCAUCUUUUGUAUAUGAUGAAUAAAGUUGUAUAAUUGUAUAAAUGAUGUAAAUGCAUAAAUGGUUUACAUUUUAGACAAUGAUCAUGUGAUGUAUAAAUGAAAAGAAAGUGAAUGGAUGUAAUUUAUUGUAUCCUUGUAUAUGAUUAAAAGUAAUCAUGAUACUUAUGUGUAUGUAGUAGUUAUAGAACUUUCAGUUUGGAUGUUACUUGCCUUCGUGCAAGCCAUGUAUAUUUAUGUUUUCUCUUGCGCAAAAUUAUAAACAUGUUGAUAUUGUAUUGAGCCUUGGGCGGAUAGGGGAGGUGUUGUCCGUCCAGCGUCUGUUGACGUGCCUGAACCGACCAAAUAGGUGGUCUCGGGGCGUGACACAAGGACUGAUGCCUUUUGCGGAAUCGAAUAUCGAUUUUGGUGCGUUUUUCGACUAAAUUCGCAGGCAAAAUCCGGUUUUAUUUCGGAUUUCAUCUGACGGUGUUAAAAUGCUCUGUGUUUGGUCGCUAAGCCUUAUUGGCUUGGUUACUUAUGUCGUUUCAAGGGUUGGAGACGACAGGUGAGCGACGGUGAUUCCGGUGUCAAAAUUGAUACUUUCGGAAACCCGGAUCGAAACGGUUAUUAGAUGAUAAUCAUUUCAAUGUGGGCCUAUGUAUGUGCUGCCAAGACACCUUUAUAAUUGUAUUGUGUGGCAGCGGGCAACUCGUGGCACGAGUUGGUGAGUUCCGGAACUUUUCGUGGGUCCCGGCAGAGUUCCGGUGCGAUUUUCGGGACUUCCGGCAAGUACGGUAAUCGAUUUUGGAAAACUGAUUCCCGUGGGUUUAAUUGUGGGAUUGUGAGUUUGGUAUUAUAUAUAUGUGGGUUGGUUUCUAACCCAGUGGACCCUCCGUAGGUCUGGUUGACGAUCUUCCACAGUCGCGAGACAGGCACAUUAUUCGUACAGGUGGGUACUUCGACCCUGAGUUGGUCUAGCGGUGCACACUCGAUGAUAUUUCCUCUACCUUAUUUCUCUUAUUACAGUUGUUUACCAUUGUUGAGCCUGACACCUUGUGAACCUUUAUGUAUAGCUCUACUUAGUUUUUUUCUAUACUCGUUAUCAUGAUCUAUAAGUAAAGCGGACAUUGUUUGGAUCUCGUCCAUUGUGACACUCUUGUCGUUUGAUGAUCUAUGAAGUCGGUACACGCUGAACGGUAGGAUUGUCGGCUAGUUGCCGACAGAUGAUUAUAAAUUACACUGAUCCAUGAUUUGACAUUUACGUGACCUAGUCGGUUGGUUUUCAGGACUCUUGUCAUUUGAUGACCCAUGAGGUCGGUGUACCCUAAGAGGUAGGAUUGUCGACUAGUGGCUGACGGCUAAUUCUGGAUUAUAUUGAUACAUGAUGUGACAUUCUUGUGACCUUUUGGUCAGUUCUUGCGCAUACAUUUUAGUUGAGUGAUCAGUACUUGCAUACCUUUGGGAGAAUGUUGAAUUGUUCCAUCCUAAUUGACCUGAGUGAUCGGUACUUGUGUUUGCUUGCGGUUCAAUUACCUAUUGGUCGGUGUGCCCCGAGGGGCGGUGAUCAUCGGCUAUUAGCCGAUGGUUAACUAUUGAUCAUAUCUGCAUCAAUCGCCACAGCGCGAGAGCAUUUCACGUACAUUAGCGGGUUGAUCCCCCGCAGGAGGGUGUUCUUUUCCGAAAAAGUGGUCGUACAUCCGACCCGUGAGCCCAGCGGUAUUCUCUUUGGUAACGUUUAGUUCAGGGAUAAGCAAGAACUAGCUGUUCCAGGGAUAGAUACAAGUAUGAGGAUUAGAGUAAUUUUGUUUUCGGAUGAAAAUAGAUAUAAAGAUAAGUAUAAAGAUGGAUAGGAGAAAAAGUGUUUGGAUGGUAUUUGGGGAUAAGAGGAUAGUGGGUUGGUGAAAGUGUAAAAUUACCAAAUUACCCCUACUGAGAAAAAGAGAAUGGUGAGUGGUAGGAUUGAUAAGUUUUAUUAUUUUAAAUUCAUAUGUACAUAAAAUAAUGCGGGUAUUUUUUACCCAUUAUUUUUUAACCAAUACAAUAAUAAAAAUAUCAAAAUAUAACACAACAGGUGUUAAAAAGACAUACUCAAUUUUCGAACAGACGUACAAACAGGUAUAUGCAACUGGCGCAAAUUUCAAAUUGUAACAUAGCACAUAAUAAAUAUUCGAAAUUAACAUGAUAAUAUUGAAACACAUUACAUAAAAUUAUUACACAUGGUAUUAAUAUGUAGUCCUACAACCAAAUCAAAGCAGUAUUCUUCAGGAUCGAUUAUUCCAUAAUUGGUCAGUAAUAGAGCGCCGCAAGGACUCCCUUCGUGUCGUACCAUCACCUCCACCUGGAAUAGGCUCUGGAUCGCCAACAUCGCCCUGAGGGGCUUCUUGCUCUAGUUGUUCUACAAAAUAUCUAUCAUUUCCUUAUUGUCGACGAAUAAAAUUAUGCAGCACAUAACAUGCCAUAAGUAUCAAGCAUUGAACUUUGAUGGAAAAUGGAGUUGCUUGAGUUAAAAUCUUAAACCGCUUCUUUAAAAUACCAAAACUCUUCUCUACCACAUUUCUCAAUUGCGCAUGCCGAUGAUUAUAUAAAUCCGGAGGAUUCUGAUGCGUGCGAGCCCGCGUAGAAGUGUCAAAUUGGCUGAGAUGAUACCGCUCAUCCCGGUAAGGUGCUAGAAAUUGGUCAGUAUUUGCGUACCCCAAAUCCACCAAAUAAUAUUUACCUAUAGCAAUAAAUAGAGUAUUUGCGUAAUUUUUUGUAUAUGAAUAAAUAUGUGAAUACUUAUCAAUAUAUUAUCAUUUACUUUCGAGAACUGUAAAACCCCCGUAUCGCACGCCCAUCGAAGAACACGCAUAUCUGCAGCCGAUCCUUCCGAACCAAUGCAAAUGAAGAAGAAAAUAUGGUCGAAUGAUACGGCAGCCAUCAUAUUUUGUGACGUAAAUCCCUUGCGACAGCGAAAACACGAUUGCCCACUCUUUUCGACACACAGGAAUGUGUGUUCCGUCUAUCGCUCCAAUUGCAUUCUACAACAUAAAAUGAAUUCUAAAAUAUUUUAUAGAAAUAUACAUUUGCAACGAAAAGAAUUUAUACUGUUAUGCCAACUUACCUUAAAUGGAUGAAAAUUUAUAUUGUCCCGAAUUCUUGGAUGCGUCGCCACAUUACUUAGUGGCAAAUUCAUGUAUUCGCCCUUCAGUGUUACGAGCGCGCGUAGCACAUUGUUGAAGUGUCAACUAAUUGUCUCUCCCGAAUACUGAAAUGUUUCUGCCAACACUCUAUUUCCCACACCAUGACCGACACAAAAUAGAAAUAUUGCUAACUGCUCAUCGGCUGUCAUACGUCGUGUUGCUCGUAUCAAAUCUCGAGCAAGCAGCAUAUCACGGAGUGCCAUAAAAUUUGUUGUUGACAUACGAAAGUGCUGGUACCCUCUAUCUGGAUGACCAUUGAGAAGAUCAGUAACUAAUUCAUGCCCUGAAAAAGGACGCGUUCUACAAGGCCGUCUGUGCAACGUGUUAGCAGCAAAUGUAAGAUAGUCCUGCUCAUAAAGUAUCACGAAUACUUAGUCCCAGUAAUCAUCAUCUUCAUUAAGCAAUGUCAUAAUAUUUGCUAAUGUUGGCGACGAGAAUACAUAACGAUUCAGUAAUUCACCCAUUUUAACUGUAACGCAUAAAAAAGGAUAAUCAACACACUGAACCUAAUUGCAAUCACAAUGACGCCAGUACAUAUUGAACAAUACAUUACUCACUAGAUCUUAACAUGCAUGAUAUAACAAGUUUUUCCAAAUAACAUAGGUUAUAAACUGGUGAUUAUGUCACAAUUAUGUUAUAAUCUGCGAGGAAGCAGCCAAAAUCAACACAUAAUGCAACAUAAUACCAAUGCACAUAAAAGGCACACACGCAUGAUGCAACCUAAAGUACCUGCGAGAUAAAAGUGAUGUCUAAAACCAAAUAUACAACAGUAGAAAUUAGCGACGGUUAUCUAGAAUCCCGGAAAGUCAGACCUAUGGUUAAGGUUAUGCACGCCAACUUGGAGAUCAAUUCACACAAGUGCAAGCUCAUCAUUCAGCGUCAUAAAAAGUUGUCUAUCCGACUCAGCCCGCAAUGACAUCCCAACCGCAAUGGCACGUAUAUCCGUUCGGCGCACUAGAUUAAAAACUCUGCUCAUACAAACGUCAAUUGGUGGAAUUGUCGAUUGACUACCCUUCGCUAUAUUUAUCAUUUCUCGUGCAAUCUCGAGCUUUUGCUUCCCGAUCUUUACCAUCUCAACCAAUGCCUCUGCUCCAAGGUCACUCUUCUUCUUUCUCCCGGCAGAGGAAGUACAUUCUUUGCGUGUCUGUGCAGAGGGUGGUGGGGACCUAGGUCGUUUACCUGCCGAGCUAUGUCCAGAUCCACUAGCAUAACCUCCGACAGCCGGUUGGCCGAGAGGUGGGAUAGAAGAACGCGAAGAUCUGCACUGCCCGCCGGUUUCAUUACCGCCGGUGCCUGCCUCACCUGAUUCAAACAAAACGGGUAAAACAGAUGAAUAGCAAACAGUCUAACAAGAGUAAUUGUAUCAUUCUCACUAGGUGAAGACGACGAUGAACUAACAACAGUAGGUGGUUGCAUUGUUUUUUACGACAUCCCGUAGUGGCCGGUCGCCACAGUUGAUCUACACAAAAAGGCAAUACUGUUAUAAGCAGGAAAUGGUUUAUCCCUACACUUCGCGUAUGCGGGAUUCGCCUUAAUCAAAAGUACCUUACAUUAGAACUAGAUCAUAAUAUGGUUAAAGGAAAUAAGGUUUGUAUGUACUAUAAUAUGAAAUCUUACCGCAAUUACUGCAUCCCACUCAGUAGCGCCACCAGCCGUGGGUAUAUUGUUCACAGUGUCCCAACCCUAACCGCCAAGGUUAGCCAGUUUGUCGUAUAAUAUGUAGAGCCUCUUCAACACCUUGAGGCGAUUACUGAUAUGUUGUUUUGUCAAGUUUUGACCAAUUUGUGAGUUAAAACCCUGCACGAUUCUAAUCCACGCAAUACGAGUAAAACUACCCCCAACGUAGUUUUCGAGUGCGUGCUCCUCCAUCAAAAUACUCAACAAAAUACUAUCAACGUAAUCAGUCCAAUUGGCGAUGUAGCUCCUUAUUUGAUUGGGCCGCCUGCUUGAACCCUCUACAUCACAACCUGGGGUCGCAUUAUCCAUACCCCUUGGUUUAUUUUUAUUUGACUUAGAAAGAAUAUAUUUGGGUCGCAUCUGUAUGUGGAUGACAUACUAUUUUAUUCCCCUCAAUACAACGUCGUUUAGGAAAAUAAAAUAUAGACAUUGUACCAGUAUAGCAAAAUAUUAAAUAUCUGAGCAGAUCAUCAUGCAUAAUCCAAUUUACAAGACAAAAGAGAAAUAUGUGAUGAGUAUAAGAAAACCCUGCCUGAAUAAACUUUAGCACAAUUGAUUUCUCUGUUGGAUAAACCAAGGCAGCAACGCUGUGACGCGUUGUGGCUCAGAGAGUCCCCAAUUACCAUGGGGCUGCACAAAAUAUGACUUCCAUGUCGUGCCAACUAAUGGUAACGAAAACAGGCAUCAUUGCCAAUUCAAUCAACAAACCGAUCGCUAUACACAUGUAUUCCAUCAUUUAAUUUCAAAUGCCCACAAUCAAGAUUAAAAUCCGAACAGGUCUUAAUGUCAAAUAAAAAAGUUUUACCUUCGAAUACCAGUAGGGGAGUAAGAGCAGGUGUGACGCCCUAACUUCCCAGGGGUCACCCAUCCUAGGACUACUCCCGUCCUAGCAUGCUUAACUCUCUUAACCUCUUGGGCCUUGCCACCACCCAAAAUGCUUAAACCGGAUUAAGAGUUUAGCCCUAUUAUAUCUCAUAUAUAGGACUAUCUGGGGUCUCACAGCAGGGGUACGACAGUGGCACUAGAAUGCAACCGAUCGAGCCAACGAUUUCGCAAACCAACAAGCUUCGGUAAAUUUUACUUUCGAGGACUCACGGGAGAGAGAGGUGGAGAGAGCGGAACCGGGUGCAGGGGAGAGGGAGCUCAAUGAGGGAAGGUGGAGAGGGCGGAACCGACUGCAGGGUAGAGGGAGCUCGGUGAGGUGAGCGCUGCAAGUAAGGCCGCCGGAAACCCACCGGCGGUGUAGAUCCGCCCUUGGAUCAUAUCAGGGCUGUCGCAAACCCACUGGAUUUGGAAAAACCACGGGCGCCGACGGGCAGAGGCGAAGAGAGGGAGAUGACUCACGGGAGGGGUAGGUGGAGAGAGGAUCCGGCAGGAGGAGAGAUGGAACUCGGUGAGGUGAGGUGAGGUGGAGAGAAAGGAAAAGGACCGAUCCACGUCGAGUGGGUGUAGGGGUGCAAGAAAGCCCGCUGGAAAGCUACCGGCGGUGCAGAUCAGCCUUGGAUCGCACAUUUCGCAAACCCACAAGUUUUGAAAAAACCACCGGCGCCGACGGCCGAAGGCGAAGGGAAGGAGAGGACUCACGGGAAAGGGAGGCUGUAGAGAGAGACGACCCCGCGGCGGGAGAGAAGGAGCUCGGUGAGAUAAGGUGGAGAGAGGGGAACCAGCUGCAAGAUCUCAGCAAGAAAGAGCAAGAGAGGGAGCUUGACCUUGUGACGAAGAGGGGAAGAAGAAGCCAGCAAGGGUAUUUUUGGAAAAAUCCAAACCGGGGCACACAACGACAAAAAGGGGGUGGGAACUGUUGUUCCCACCGCCCCUCACUUAUCCCGAUGGUCCCACCACCUAAAAAGUUGUUUGGGGAUAAGCUUGGGGAUUAGAGCUAAUCCCCCAGCUUAUUCCAUUCCCAAACACUGCCUUUGUGUUAGGGUUACAUGUCAGGAAUGAGCAGGUAGUGGCUUUUGCCUGAGGUCCUUAGACCGACACGGCGGUUUAGAUUGGGUAUAUUUGGUCUAUUCGUCUAGUUGACGCAUAUGGCUAGUUAUAUUCUUUUGUAUUGUUGUUUACCGCUGCAUCAUUGCUACUGUAGUUAUUAUAUCCAUAAACGCAUUUUGUUUUACUUUACAGUAGCAGUAGUUACAUGUUCUAUUACUAGUCCCUUUCCUUUCGGUAUUAUAGCUAUUGCAUUUGUGAUAGCUACUCAUGACUUUAUUUAUCUCUUCCUGUACUGGUGAGUACUUCUUGCCUUUGUCGGCUUGUGGUACCCAUUAGGAGGGAAGACAUGUGUACAUUUUCUCACCUCCUACCUCCUUUCAGGUGACAUUACGGGUCCGAAUCGGGACAGUGCGUGAAACGCGUAUCUAGCGGUCGAUUAGAGCUUCCGACCCGGUGGAUUUAGUUUAAGCUCCUAACUUAACUUUCUCAAAUAAAUGACUUAGAUAUUAUGGUUCAGUGGGUUUUCAGUUUAUUUGGAUUCACGUGAUUUUGUGAAAUUAAUAAUGUAAUUAUGAUUUUUCAAUGAGAUUAUGAAAAUAGUUUUCUACCUCUUGUGGUAGUAUAUUUUCAAAGAAAAAGAGUUUUCGUGUGUAAAACGGUUUUAAAAAGAGUUUUAUUGUUUUUAUGACUCCUAAUAUUUCAAAAUAAGUUUCUGGGUAUGAAACGUUUUAAACUAAUAGAUGUGAAAUUAUGAGUAUCUGUGAUGGACGUGAAUGAUGUAUGUGAAUGGUGAUUGUAUGUGGAUGUUCACAUUGUGUGCUCGUAUCUUGUACUUGUGCGACGCCGUGCAAAUAUAGGGAAGACUCUGUCCGUGUGAACAGUGGAUUCUCUAUAUUUGUGGCGGAUCUGACGUCCUCUGGGGUCAAGAUUUUCAAAAAAAAAAAUUGGGCACUUCCACAUCAAUUUUAAAUCCAAAAAGGGACCCUAGGACAUGACAUGCUGAAAGCUGCUGUAGCUGGUGCAGGCAGCACAAGCAGCAGGAGCUGCAGCUACAGCUGCAACAACAGCAAAAGCUGUUUGCUGCAGCUGCAAGAAAAGGGAAGGAAAAAAGAGAAAAUGAGAAUGAGAAAGAGAAAGAGACAGAGUAAGAGAGGGAGGCCAAGCGUAAAAAUACGCGCCUUUAGCUUUGAAAUUGGUGUUCUUUGGUGGAAGAGAGUAGUGGAGUGCAUUAUUUGCUCUAUUCAAAUCAAAAUAGAGGGUAACUAGAGUAAAUUUGACGUGAAGCCUGAUAAAAGAGGUAAAUUAAUGUGAUGAGUUGAAUUAAGGUAAGUGGAAGAAUUUCAUCAUCUGCUUCACAGAGUGCCAUGCCAUUAGCGCUUUGCCGAGCUCCUCUACCAUUUUUUUUUGUCUCGAAACCACCUCCACUGGAUUAUGAGGUAAAUUGGCUAAUUCUUGACAAAUCCAACUUUCAUUACCCGAAACGCCAAAUUACUGGAUUUCAGUUCUUUCUUGGCUCACUAGCACCCUCGCUGAGUUCAGUGCUUCCUUAUCCGUAUGAGAUGUAGGCCGAGACACGAGCCGAGACAUGAGCCGAGUAGUGUAUGGGAGAUGGACUCUUGCUACUAUUGGAUUAGCGAUCGAGGUGGAUUCCAAGUCGUCGAAAAUGACGAAUUUCCUUCUGUGUCUAUUUACAUGCACAUGCAUAUGUAUAUUCGUAUAUAGAUUGGUAAAGAGUUAUGUUAGCAUAAAUUCCUCACAAGUGUAUAUGUGAGAAAUGAUCUAUGCAUGAGCAUUGAGUCGAGUGGGCAUAACAUAUAUUUUCUAUACGUGAUUAGAUAUGUCGAUAGAGAUAAUAUUAGCAUGAAAUUAAGUAGAGACAUAGUGAUUUGUUAUCAAUAUAGUAACUUGUUUUUGUAUGUGUAUAUAGUGAUAUAAUGACUUGUUAUCAAUAACUCAUACUGAAAAUUCUAACCACGGUCAUGGGAGGCCAGUUGACAUCUUAUGCAUUUUAGUGAGUCAUCAAUUAUCCAUUUACAGUGUAUAUGUCAUAUAUGAUGUGGUAGAGGCCGUGGGUAGCACAGCAGUAGUGUGCAGAUGUUUGGACAUAGAGAGAGAGAGAGAGAGCACAUGAAUAUUCUAUUGUGACAUUCGAUUUACUGUUUACUCUAUUUAUAUCGAGUACAUUGGAUUGAGUACUUGUGGUACUUUUCACCAUCAUAUAAACCAUAGCCUGCAAAGUCAUAUUGAGUUUGACAGAGUUACGUGCUAUUAGAUUCGGUAGGAGUCGCUCCCCUUCGAGUGCCCGCUCCGGAGGCUGGCCAGUUAUAACAGAGAUAUGUGCCCUUGGGAAGACGACCCACCUGCGGGAGUGGUGUUCGGACUUGGGGCAGAGCCUAGGUGUCGAUGGUGCACCUGCGGGAGCGCAAUCCGGGCACUAGGCGGGCGCAGACUUGACCGGACCUAUGACCCGAUCGUUGCGAUUAGGUAUGUUUACAGCAUUUGUUUCUUAGUAGUAGCAUUGAUGCAUACAUUGCUCAGCUUCUUUCCUUUUCUUUAACUAUAUUUUUAGGGAUAUGAUGGUUCAGCUGGUACAUAGAUUUGUUUAUAUGACUUUUAGUUUUGCACUUUCUAUUACUUUACAUUUACCUAUACAAGUCUGUAGUGUCUAUGGUGUGUAGCGGCCUGAGAGACUUCAGCAUCUGUGAUUUGUCGACACGUCUGGUGGGUGUCGAGUCGAAGUCGUUUUGACACGAAAUGGACGCACAACGGAUUCAGCGCAGUGCGAGAGUGGAGUUCUGACAUUGAAAUCUGCGAAGUGCACGAUUUCAGUGUUGAGUACCGGUAUCUGGAAGGAGUACCGGUACCCCAAAAGGAUUAUAGAACUAAAUGCUCUCGGGUUUGCGCGGUAUGAUGCUGAGUACCGGUACCUGUUGUUGAGUACCGGCACCGAGCUUGAGUAACAGUACUACAUCGGGUUUGUACCGGUACCCAGCGCGUGAGAUUAAGGAAAGAGGGCCGAGUAUCGGUACCCAAGUUGAGUGCCGAUACUCCAAAAGGUAAAUUGAGUUGGUAAAGAGUAUUUUGGUCAUUUUGAUUGUCGAUAAGUCCAACUGACCCCCAGCCUUCUCUCUUUGUGCCUGAAGGUGGAGAACUCAGGUUAGCUUCUCCUCCCUCUCUCUCUCUCUAGCUUCUUUUCUCUUCUCGUUGGGAGCUUGAAGAACUAGCUAAUGUUUCUUUUUGUCGUCUUGGAGGUUCACACUGUGUCGUGGUUGAGUCCGGGUCAGGCCGUUGAAGGUCGAGUUAGCGCGAGGGUCCUAUCGACUUCUAGCCGAUGUUAGACGAGCGUUCGAGGUGGGUUAAUGUUUACCGAAAUCAUCAGAAUUCCUUCUUAGUCAUAGAAGUUGCAGCAUAUGUUUUCUUAUAUCGACCAUCUUGAUUAGUAGCUCGAAUUCGUAGAUUUGCAUUUUUUUUUUUUUUUGAAAUCCGAAUUUGGAGCAAUAUUUAGUGAUUUUAGAUGAAGUAUAUAUGAUGAAUUGGGAUUUGACUUAGGAGAAAACUCGUUAAACUUACAUUGUUAUUUUUCAAAAAGUUACCAGAUUUAGUUUCAGGAGCUAUUGUUCUUUUGUAUCAGCGCUAUUAGUGCGUAGUAGAUACUCAGAUUAGUGUAGGAUGAUAUUACGAUCGUGCUGUGGGGGCUGAGCUCGUUUUACAGUAGUGUUUGGACUGUUCUGUACUGUCGGAUGCCGUCGUGGUUGACAGUGCACCCAGAUGUUUACAUCUUGUUUCAAAUUGUAUUAAGGGCAUGUAAGUUUUGGUUGUUAUACCAGUUUGACACAUUUGCAUUGACUAUAACCUGUGUGAGCCUGAUUGAGCUCGCAGAGACAUGCUUGCAUACUCUGUUGAGUCGCGCCCACGAGUGCCGCUCCGAAGUGAGGCUUUGUAUUGAUGUCGCAGCAGUCCUGUUUGGACAGUAUACUCAGACCGGCCACCUGCGUGGGUGGUGGACAGUGUAGCUUGGCUACAGGCAGAAUGGGUCCGUUUGGGCAGCCCUUGAGAGAUUAAGUCAGUGUGAUGCACGUCUAUGUCUACAGAUAGCCUGUAUUCGUCACUGAUAAUAUAGUGGCAUGUAACUAUAGAGUUCUUUCCAGCUUUUUCUACUAUCCUUUGCAUACCUUACUGUAGACUUAGUUUGGAUUUUAUGUACAUAAUGUUAUGUUGUUGUUGUACUCGCCGAAGCGAGAUGGUUCCGUGGCUUCUGUAUGUACAGCGAACCUUUAUGUUUUUAUAUACAUAUUUUAUUUAUAGCAGCUCUUUACCUCUUGUAUAGCUAUAUUUUCUUACAGGUACAGCUAUCGCUUCAUAUACACGAAAAAUUUCUAUGUAUACGGCUGGUCUGUUGGCGUGCCAGAAAAAACGUAGUAAUCCGGGGCGUGACAAGGUCACACAGCCAGUUAGUCAUUUACUGUGGCACGAAAAAACGUGGUAAUCCGGAGCGUGACAAGGUCACAGCCAGUUAGUUAUUUACUGCACUUUAUAUGUAUCUGCUCAGCUCAUAGCCAGCUAUUUCUUUACUGUUCUGUACGGUUAUUCAUUUACCAUAUAUUUACUGUUCUUUCAUUAUUCUGGCCUCCAGUUGACCUAGUGGGAAGAUCGUGCUUAUCGUCGACCGUACCCACUGGGAACUACUGUUUAGUAGUUCUCACACCCUUUUGUGGUUUACUUUUCAAGGGUACGUAUACCGACAGUUGAUCGUGGUAGGAGUAAUCGCUCAGUAGAUAACAUCUUCUACCGGCAUGCCUAUACAUUAGAGGACCACAAGAUAGAGUACGACUUUGUUAAAUCUUGUAUGUUGGCAAGUUUCGUGAAGUGAGUCGGAGUCUUGAAGGAUCGGUGCGUAUCGUCGAAGAUCGAAAAAUCCAAAACUUCGAAGAAAUGGAAAAAUAAAUCACGGCGUGAAUCACGAUACCCAGGUAAGUUUUUAAUUCUUGUUAUGGUGAUUCAUAUUUAGUUACAGGCAUUAGAAUCAUAAACUCAAUGUUUACUGGAUUACAAAGUGCGUCGGAACUUUGCGAAACUCGAAACUGUGAAAAAAUCAGAUUUAUACAAAGUGUACCGGUACAACAUCAGAAGUGUACCGAUACAAAUUGUAUUCCGGUACAACCAGCGACAUAUCCAGUCACAAUGUUUCGCAGGAUUUUCUCUUCCGUCAUCGUGUAACCGGUAACAGCUCAAAAGUGUACCGGUACACAAUGUAAAAUUCUGAAAACUUUCUAAUCCGACUCCAAUUGAUUCUAAAGUCUAUAAAUAAGCUAUUGGGCUUCUCUAACUAAUUAAGCAUCAUAAGAAUACAUGUUUGAGAAACCCUAGGGGCUAGGAUUUCGUCCAAAAUCGAUUUUUUACAAAAUAGCCUCUUUUAGGUCAAUUCGAGAUAUCGUAAUUCGAAAUCUUAAUGUCGAAUUGAUCUAAGACUUCGUUUAGAGUUUGAUCCCUGAUUCUUCAUCAACAUUCUAAGCGAAGGAUCACCAUAGCAUGAUGUUUUUCAUGGAUGGCGUCGUGGAUUCGGUGUGAUUGAAAGCGAUUCGUGGAUUCGGAUCGUCGGCUCGUGGAUUCGAGUGGCGUUCGUGGAUUCGGACGUGUGCGAGACGUUCGUGUAUUCGAAUGUGAAGGCAUGGACAACCCGGAGGAUUGCGCGAGAUUCGUAAGAGGUUAAAAGAAGUCGAGUCCGUGGAGUCGGUAAUCACUUGUAAUCUUUUCUCUCAGUGAAUUAUUUUUCGCGUGUUGGUCCCGUGGGUUUUUCUCCAAGUUGGAGUUUUCUCACGUAAAUCUCGGUGUGAUUUUUAUUUUUCGCAUUUAUUUUUAUCGCAUUAAGAUUUGUGGUUUUGGGCUAUUACACCUAUUCACCCCCCUCUAAGUGUUAGUUACAAUCUAGAUAGAUCCUUAGGUUACCCCAAAACUUACAUUGCAUUACCUACCAGCUCUGGCGAAGGCCAGAGCUUUGUAUAUGUACUUUUCUUUUAGGGUUGAGUUUUAUUUCAUGAAGUACAUGAUGUAUAGCAGUUUACUUUGUAGAUAAUGCUCUGAUACAUAUCGUUUGUUUAUUUCAUGCCUUAUUCUGGUUCUUGUGAUCUGAAAAUAUUUCCGUUUAACCUCUUGGAUUACCUUGCCCUGUUCUAUUGUGUUGCUGCUUCGUUCAGACAGAGGAAACUAUGUCCGUUCUAUCACGGGGUUAGCUUUUUCGCCUUGAAAAUUCUCGCGCGGCGCUCAAGUGUCGCACACCCGAGCCAGCCUUCUCGAGUUCUCUACACGGACAAGUCUCCAAACUUAACAACGGAAUACCAAUCCAAGCUUUUUGCCAAGCUUGCUCCUCUGCGAGACUUAUAGCCCAACCCUUCGCUUGUAAUCAAACCCCUCAUCGGACUCCUCGAGUUCCCAACGAGCAACCCCAAUACCGAGAUUGGCCACCAAGCUAGGUGCAUCCCAUCUCGUCAACCAAACCCUCUUCGAGAGUGCUUCGUAGCCGAAUGCCUUGUUGCCUCCAUCACAGCCCAAGGACAUUGCAAGUUCUCCCCCAACUUGUCUCACUAUGAGUCUAGCCGAGCGUCCUGCCUCACCAUGCAUUCCGCUCCCACAACUUGCCCUGCACGCCGCUCGCGUCAAGGUUCGGGUUCCGCCAUAUCACAUGCCACGAAGGGCACUCAUAAACAUAUAUCCUUCACGUCGUGCCUCAUGCGACUGACAACGUCCACGGCCAUACCGCAUACGCGGCCUGCUUGCUCGGUCCAACGGCAUACAUCCGAAAAGCCACCCAAGCGUGCGCCACAACCUCGCCUGUCUCCCAAUGCCAGUGACCUAGCGUGACACCCCGCACGCCCAUGCUUCGCACUUCCGUGCUUCACAUCCAACUUGUACAGCUCUCGUGUCCCAUCGCUCCUGGCAAGAGAACCAACAAGUCCACACCGUGCUUCUCGACCGUCCCCACGACCCUUACUUUUCCAUGGCGCUCCGCGGACUCGAUUGCCAUAGAUUCGCCUCACAAGACCCCAUAUAAACGAACCGGCCUCACUCCGCAUUGCUAGCCACUUGCCCCAUCCUUGGCUCGACCAUGCCUGGCCGCUCAUACCAUUGGUGCAGUCUCUCAAGGUUCACUCUACGGAUACCGAUACCGCUUGCCUCAUUGGGUUCUGCCCCUCCAGUCUCCUAGGCAUUCUGCCUUACGAAUUCUCCAUCGGCGUGCCUUCCUUUAGCGAGCCUAUGAGUUCCGCCUUCGUUGGCAUUCGUGGGCACCGCGCCCCACGAAUCCCCGCUAAGCACACUUGCUUUCGCAAGCCUUGUCCUUUACGGAGGACCAUCCGUCGCAAGACUAUCCCUCAUCCGCUCGUACGCUCCACUACAAAGAUCCAAGCCGGCAUAAGGUAGUGCAAGCGAUCCUAAGAGGAAAGCCUCCCGGUAUUCACCGCUCCGUAAUGUCGUCGACCUCUCGUGUCUCCGACAUUACCCUAAGCCCGUGUCCCUUCAACCGUCCAAUACCCGGUCACACGGAACGCUAGGCUUGACCACUCCGCUAGCCAAGGAAUGACCCAUGUCCUAUAAAUCGACGGGGGAGUCGGGACUACUUACGAAGUGUCCACCCCUCCUCUAUAUACCCUAUAAUGCAUCCAUCCAUUUGGCACCCCGGGAGUACAAAGGUGCUCACUGAGGGGUACAUUUUGAGACCCAGCAUGCGGCACCAAAUUCCUAGUCAUGGCACGGGCCAUUGCUAGGGAGUUGCCUCCGUUGACUUGACAGCGACUCCCACAUGACGAAACGCCUCAACUCCGCAACUCCAUAACUUCGUCGACCCAAGUGCCUACCAAAUGUGGCCCCCAAGGAAGUCACGAUCAAGUCCCAGCGAUCGACCCGUGACAGUUCGGAUUUGGUGGGUCUGUUGACGUUCCCGUGCACUUCCGCUGUGGACUCGAGGCGUGACAAGAGGACAAUUCUAAUGCAUCUAAAAAGAUCAUAUUCUAAAAAAAGUUUGAACGCUUGUCAUGUUGAGAUAAGCAUGCAUUUUAUUCAAAACAUACCAACAUAAUGAUUGAAACAAUGGCUAUUGCAUAUUUUUGAGAUUUACUACACAUUUUUUCUUUCGCAGUAAUAAAAGCUAUGCGAACCAAUUGGUCUGCCAAGUCUGUCAAAUGCAUUGUGCAUAUCUUGAGAAGUGUAUUGUGCAUAUCUUGUUUAAAUCACUAGAACUCUCCAAUAGAAUGCACGUUACCUAAUGUUAUUUUGGUAUUUCUUCACACUUAUGUGUGCCAACUCUUGUGAAGCCUCUCAUCAAUUAGCUUAUAACUUUGUAGCCAACAUUGAAUUAAUGAAAAAUGCUUGGAUGGUAAUAAAUAGACAAUUUGAAAAAUCACAUCCGUUUUCAGAAUACAAAUAUGAAAAGAUAACAAGAAAUAAUUAUCAGUAAGCAUUUUGCAUGAGUAUUUGUAAUAGCCCUCACUCAAAAGAGCAAAAUUUGAUACAAAGAUGACAGCGAAACAAGUGAAUCUAAUACUUACCGGGCAAUGAAAAUGCUUGUCNUGAUAAAUGAUUGAAUAAAUAAAAAAUAGAAAAAAAUAGCAAUAGAAUAAAUUAAAUAGUAAAUAAAUAAAGAGAUAAUCAAAUAACUUGAAUAAAUAGAAGAACAUAAAAAAAGAAACAAAAUAUGUUGAAUGCACAAAUGAAUGAAAGAAUGAAUGAAGAAAUAACUAAAUAAAUAAAUAACUAUAGGAUAAAUAGGUAAAAGAAUAAAUAAAUAAAUGAAUAAGUGCAUGAGUAAAUAGAUAAAUUGCUAAAUGAUAAAUAGGUAAAAGAAUAAAUAAAUAAAUGAAUAAGUGCAUGAGUAAAUAGAUAAAUAGCUAAAUGAUAAAUAGGUAAAAGAAUAAAUAAAUAAAUGAAUAAGUGCAUGAGUAAAUAGAUAAAUAGCUAAAUGAAUAAAUAAGCUUAAAUAAUUUCAUAAUCGAAUAACUUGAAUAAAUAAAAUAAGUAAUAAACAAGCAAAUAAACAAAUAAACAUUUAAAAAAAUAAAUAUAAAUAAAUAAAUACAUGAGUGAAUAAAUAAGUAAAUAAAUAAACAAGUGAACAAAUAAAUACAUGAGAAAUGAAUAAAUAAAUAAGUCAACAAAUAAAUAAAUAAAAUAUACAUAAAUACAUAAACAUAUAGAUAAAUAAACAAACAAACAAAUAAAUAAAUAAAUAAAUAAGCAAAUAAACAAAUGAACCAAAAAAAUACGAAAUAAAUAAAUAAAUAAGAAAAAAUAAAAUAUAAAUACAUAGAUAAAUAAGUAUAUAAAUAAAUAAUAGAUUAAAAUAGAAAACUAAAUGGACAAACAAUCAUAUAAAUAAAUAAUUAAUUAAAAAUUAUAUAAAUACAUAAACAAAUAUAUAAAUUAAUGAAUAAGUAAAUUAGUAAAUAGAUAAAGAAGUAAAUGAUACAUAAACGAAAAAAUAACUACAUAAAUUAUUGAAUAAGUAUAUGAGUAAAUAGAUAAAUAGCUAAAUGAAUAAAUAAGCUUAAAUAAUUUCAUAAUCGAAUAACUUGAAUAAAUAAAAUAAGUAAUAAACAAGCAAAUAAACAAAUAAACAUUUAAAAACAAUAAAUAUAAAUAAAUAAAUACAUGAGUGAAUAAAUAAGUAAAUAAAUAAACAAGUGAACGAAUAAAUACAUGAGAAAUGAAUAAAUAAAUAAGUCAACAAAUAAAUAAAUAAAAUAUACAUAAAUACAUAAACAUAUAGAUAAAUAAACAAGCAGAUAAAUAAAUAAAUAAGCAAAUAAACAAAUGAACCAAAAAAAUACGAAAUAAAUAAAUAAAUAAGAAAAAAUAAAAUAUAAUUAAGGAGCUUACAGAAUUAGAGUAAAAAGACCAAAUCUUCUCAAAGCAUUUUUAGGCCAAUUCAAAAAAUUAAAAAUAUAAAACGAGUUGAUAAAUAAAUGAGGUGAAUAUAUAAAUAGCAAAUUAGGCAAAUCAAUAAAUAAUAACAAUAUAGACAACAAAUGAUAGAUAAAUAAUAAAAUAAAUAAAUAAUUAAUACAAACAACAAGGCAAACAAUGGAAAUCAAAGAAAAGAUUAAAAUAGUUAAUUUAAAAAGUUAAUAUUAAAACAAAAUAACAUAUAAACAUUUAAAAAUAAAUGAAUUAUUGAAAUAGUAAGCUAAAUAAAUAAAUGAAUAAUGAUGUGAAAGUCAACAUAAUUAAAAAAUAUUAAAUAAAUAAAUAAAUAAUUGCACAUGCACAAACAACGAGUAAGAAUGAACAAAAAAUUAAAUAAAUAAUUACGUAUAUAGAUAACAGAUAAGUAUAUAAGUAAUUGAAGAAGAAGAAGAAUGAAUAAAUAGUCACAUAAAUACUAAUACAUAAUAAAUAAAUAUAUACGUAAAUAAAUGGAUAAAUAACCAUUUAAUAAAUUAUAAAUAAAUUUUAAAAUUAACGUAAUUAAAUAAAUAAAAUAUUUAUAUGUAAACAUUUCAAAUUUAAUCAAUUCAUAGAUAAAAAAAAACUAUUAAAAUAACAAAGAUAAGUAAUAAAUAAAUAAAUAUUCAUAAUUAGAUAAAGUAAAUAAAGUUAGAAUAAUGAAUAAAUGAUAAGUAAUUGAAUGACAAACAAAUAAACACUAAAUAAAUAAAAACUUCGUAGAGGAAGUAAAUAAUAAAUUUAGAAGGCAUAGACAAUUAACGCACUAGAUGAAAUAAAUAAAUAAAGUAAACAAACAACAAGCAAAUAUUUAAAUUAAAUAAAUGAUGAAUGAAUCUGAUAAGUUUACAUAAUAAACCAAGCGAACCAAUAAAUUUAAAAAUAAUGGAAAAAUAUAAAUAGAAAAAUAAGUUAAUAAACAAUAUAAUAGAUCAAAAAUAAUAAAUACUAAAUAGAUAAACAGUCAUAUGAAUAAAUAAAAUUAAAUAAUAUAUAAGCAAUAACAAAUAGAUUAAUAAAACAAGUAGAUAAAUAUAAUAAUAGGGAAAUGAAAAACGAGACCAUAAUAAUGAAUAGAUAAACAGUCAUAUAAUAAAUAAAUAAAUAAAAUAAGCCACAUAAACAAAUAGAUAAUAAACAAGGUAGAUAAAUAAAAUAAAUAAGGUAAAUGAACAAACAAACAAGAAUAAAUAUGAUAUUAAAUAAAUAAAUAAAUAACAUUUAAAUUUUAAAUAAAUAAAUGAUAGAAAGUAAGUCAAUUUAAUAUAAUACAAUGAAUAAUGAACAGGCGCAUCAAUUAAAAAUAUAAAUUAAAUGAAAAGCAGUCGCAUAAUUUUAAAAUAAAUAAAUAAAUAAUAUGUUGAAUGAACGAAUCACACAAAAAAAAAGAAAGAAAUUAAAUAAAUAAAUAUACUAAGAACAGAAAAGAAAAGAAAAAAAUAAAUAGCACAUAAAUAGAUAAUACUAAAAAGUAAUAUCUAGUAAAUAGAUGAAUAAUAAUGAUUUAAUGAAUUAAUUAAUAAAUUCAUAAAUUUAAUUCAGUCAUAGUUAAUAAAUAUAAUAGUGAAUAUAGACAUUUUAUAAUUCUAAUAAAAUUAAUAACCAAAAAAAAGAAUAUAAACUAGUUAAAAUAAACAAAGAUAAGUAAAUAAAUAAAUAUUUUCCGUAAUUAGAUAAAUAAUAAUAUGAAAUAAGUAAUACAAUAGACAAACAAAUAAACAACUAAUAAAUAAAUAAUUUGUAGAAAUUAAAUAAUAAAUAAAUAGAUAAUAGAAUGAAAAGGAAAUUAAAAUAAAUAAAUUGGCACAUAAGUCAGUAAAUAAGUAAACCAAACAAAACAACAACAAAAGACUAAAUAAAUGCGAAAUAAAUAAAUAGAUAAAAUUAAGUUAUUAUAAAAAGUAAAUAUAACGAUCGUAAACAACAUAAUAUUUAAAUAAAUAAAAUGAAUGAUAUGACGAUAGUUAUACAUUAUUAAACAAAUAGACCAAAAAGAAUAAGAAAUGAUAAUAAAUAUAAAAAUAGAUAAAUUAAGUAAAUAGAACAAAUAUAGAUGCUAACUAAUAAAUAAUAGAUUUAAACAUCAUAUAAAUAAAUAAAUAAGCAAAUAACAAAUAAAAACCAUAAGAAUAAAUAAUGCACCUAUAUAAUCAACUACAUAAAUAAAAGUAAUAGUAAAUGAAUGCAUUAAACAAUAGAUAAAAACAAAUAAUAGUCGAAAUUAAUAAGAAAAUAGAUGAAUUUGAUAAAUAAUAAGUGAAUAUACAAAACAAAUAAAUAGUUUAAAUAAAUAAAUGAUGAAUGAACGAUAAGUUGUACAUUUAAUAAACAAAUGAAUAAUGAACAAAAAUAUAACGAAAUGAUGAACAAAUCGUAAGAAUAGAUAAGAAGUAAUAAACAAAAAUAAUAAAUCAAAAAGCUAAAAGUAAUAGAUAGAUAAAAAUUCCAUAUAUAAUAAUAAAUAUUAAAAAGUAUAUAAGCCAUCAAACAAAUAGAUAAAUAAAAAAUAGAUAAUAAAUAAUAAUAAAUAAGCAAAUGAACGAAAUGAACCAGAGAAUAAUAAUAAUAUAAAGUAAAUAGAUAAAUAAAAUAAUAAAUAAAUACUAUGCAUAAACCGAAAAGAUAAAAUCAAAUAAUAAUGAAAUGAAAUUAAUAAAGAAAUAGAUGAAUCUUGAGAAAUAAAUGAAUGAGAUAAACAAACAACGAAAUAAAUAAUAAACAACAAAACAAAUAAUUAAUAAUAUAAUUAGACAAUAAAACAAUAAAUAUUAAAUAAAUAAAUAUAAAUGAACGAAGUUAUACAUUAAUAAACAAAUGAAGAAAAAUAUACGAAAUGAUAUAAAUAUAUAAAUAAAUAGAUACAAUAGUAAUAAACAAAUAAUAGAUGCAAAAGCUAAUAAAGAAUAAAUGGAUAAACAACAUUCAAAUUAAUUAAUAUUAAAAAGUAUAUAAGCCAAAAAAUUAAUAUAUAACAUGUAGAUAAGUAAAUAAAUAUAGCAUGUUGACAAUAAACAAAGAAUUAAAUAUGAUUAAAUAUCAUAGAUAAUAUAAAGUAAUUAAGUAAUGCAUGCAUAAAUGAUUAGACAAUGAAAAAUAAUUAAUAAAAUUAAUAAGAAAUAGAUGAAAUUGAUAAGAAUUGAUAAACAAAAAAAAGCAAUAUGAAUAAAUGAUAAUAAAUCAAUAACAUUAAAAAAGAUAAAACAUUAAUGAGUAAACAAAAAACAUAUAGAAUAGAAUUAAUAAAUUAUAACAAAUAAUUGAAAAGUACCGCUAAAUGAAAAUAAAUAAAGAUAAUGAGAAUAAAUACAUAAUCCGAACACUUAAAUAAUUAAAAACAAUAUAAAUUAAUAAUAAAUGCGUCGAAUGCACGACACGAACAAAGUAUUAAGAAUAAACUAUAACUAUAAGAUAAUAUAGGCAACAUGAACAAAAUAAAAUAAUAAUUAAAUAAAUAAAUAAGAUAAGUAAUGAGAAAAGCGAAAAUAGACCCUAAAUAAAUAAUAAAGCUUAAAUAAUGCAUUCUCGAACAACUUGACUAAAUAAAAUGUUAACUAAUACGCAUAAACAAUAAAUAAAAUAAACAAAUAUAAUGAAUUAAUAAGAAAUGAUAAAAAUGAUAAAUGAUUGAAUAAAUAAAAAAUAAAAAAAAUAGCAAUAGAAAAUUAAAUAGAAAUAAAUAAAUAGAUAAUCAAAUCUUGAAUAAUAGAAGAAAUUAAAAAAAGAAACUAAAUAUGUUGAAUGCACAAACGAUAUGAAAGAAUAAAUGAUAAGAAUAACUAAAUAAAUAAAUAACUAUAGGAUAAAUAGGUAAAUAGAAUAAAUAAAUAAAUGAAUAAGUGCAUGAGCAAAUAGAUAAAUAGCUAAUGAUAAUAGGUAAAGAAUAAAUAAAUAAAUAUAAUGUAUGAGUAAAUAGAUCAAUAGCUAAAUGAUAAUAGGUAAAGAAAUAAAUAAAUAAAUGAAUAAGUGCAUGAGUAAUAGGAGAUAAAAUAGCUAAUAUGAUGAAAAUAAGCUUAAUAAUUUCAUAAUCGCACAUAACUUGAAUUAAAUAAUAAUAAGUAAUAAAGCGCAAAUAAACAAUAACAUUUAAAAAAUAAAUAUAAAUACAAUAAAUACAUGAGUGAAUUAUAAUAAGUAAAUAAAUAAAACAAGUGAACAAAUAUAUUACAUGAGAAUGAAAUAAAAUAGAAUAAGUCAGACAAAUAAAUAAAUAAAAUAUACAUAAAUAAGACUAAACCUAUAGAUAGAAUAAGAAAACAAUAAUACGAUAAAUAAAAAUAAGCAAAUAAAAAAUGAACCAAAAAAAUACGAACUAAAAUUACAUAAAUAAGAAAAAAAUAAAAUAUAUAUAACAUAGAUAUUUAAGUUAUAAAUAAAUAAUAGAUUAAAAUAAAAAACUAAAUGGAAAACAAUCAUCUAAAUAGUAAUUAAUUAAAUAUAUAUAUAAUACAUAAACAAAUAUAUAAAUUAAUGCAAUAAUAAUUAAUAAAUAGAUAAAGGAAGUAAAUGAUAAUAAACAAAAAAAUAACUACAUAAAUUUAUUGGAAUAAGUAUAUAGUAAAAUAGAUUAAAUAGACUAAGUAAAUAAAUAAGCUUAAUUAAAUUAUAUCGAUAAUUGAUAAAUAAAAUAAGUAAUAAACAAGAAAAUAAACAAUAACAUACAAACAAUGCAAACGUAAUAAAUAAAUAUGAAGUGAAUAAAUAAGUAAAUAAAUAAACAAUUAAACAAAAUAAAUACAUGAGAAUAAAUAAAUAAAUAACCAAUAAUAAAUAUAUAUAUAUAUUAUAUAUAUAAAUAUAUAUAUAUAUAUAUAAUCAUAUAUAUAUAUAUAUAAAACAAAUAGAUAAAUAAACAAGAAAUAAAUAAACAAGUAACCAUUUAAUUCGAUAAACAAUAAUAAUAAAUAAAUAAUGAUUAAAAAAUAUGAAAUACAAUCAUUAGAAUAAAAUAAAUAUAAUAUAAUGGCAAAAACAAUAGAUUAGAAUACAAUAAAGAAAUGAACAAAUAAACCAAAAAAUAAAUAUGAUUAAAUGAAAGUAGAUAAAUAAGGUAAAAUAAGUAAAUUACAUUAUAAACAAUAGACUAAUAAAUAAACAAAUAAAAAAUAAUAAAUAAUAAAAUUAGGUAAAAUAAAUACGUCAAAUGAACGUACGAAUUAACAAAGAAAGAAAAAGAAGAAAUAAAUAACUAAAUAGCAUAAACAGCGUAAAUUAACAUAAACGAAAAAGAAUUACUAAUAAUAAAUAAAUGAUAAGUACAUUAACUUAAUAAUAAUUCAUAAUCGGACAACUUGAAUAAAUAAAUAAUAAUAAACAAGCAAUAUAACAGUAUAAACAUACAAAAAAUAUAUAUAAUAAAUUAUAAUAUCAACCGAACAAAUAAAUAUAGGUAAUGCGUGAAUAAAUAGUAAACAAAUCAACGAGGAACCAAUUAAUAUAAUAAUAAAAUUAAAAAUAAUAAUAUAUACUAAUAAUAUAUAAAUGAUAGAUAAAUCAACAAGCAGAUUAAAUAAAAAUAAGCAAAUAUAACAAAUGAACCAAAAAAUACGAAAAUAAUCAAAAUAAUAAAUAAAAUAAUAUACACUAGAUAAUAGAUAAUAAUAAAAUAAAUAAAAAAUAAUAGAUUAAAAAUAAAAAACUAAAUAGAUAAACACCAUAUAAUCAUAUAAAUAAAAUAAAUAAAUCAUAUAUAAAUAGAUAAAAACAAAUCGAUAAAUAAACAAGUAAAGAAUGAACAAAUCGACCAAAAAAUAAAUAUGAUAAAUAAAAGAUAAAUAAGUAAUCAGUAAAUACAUGUAUAACAAUAGAUGAAAUAAACAAAAAUAACAAAAUUAAUAAGAGAAAAUGAUUAGUAUGAAAUUGACAAAUGAGUUGAUAAAUAAAAAACAGCAAUUUGAAAAAAGAUAAAUAAAUUAUAAUAAGUAAUAAAUAAAUAAGUAAACAUAUAAUAAGUAAAAUAAUAAUUAAAGAAAGUAAACCAUUAAGUAAACCAAAAUAAUAUAAAAUAAUAAAUAAAUAAAUUUAUGAAAAACUAAAUGAUUGAAAAGACAACUCAGAUAAUAAAGUAUAAUCAAGCAACUGAAUAAAUAAAAUAAUAUACAAUUAGUAAAUUAAAUACGUUUCGUACCNNNNNNNNNNNNNNNNNNNNNNNNNCAUAUACAUUAGAUAAAUAAGUUUAAAUAAUAAUAGAUUAAAAUAGAAAAACUAAAUGGACAAACAAUCAUUAGAAUAAUAAUUAAUUAAAAAUUAUAUAAUACAUAAACAAAUAUAUAAAUUAAUGAAUAAUAUAAUUUAAAUAGUAAGGAAGUAAAUGAUACAUAAACGAAAAAAUACACUAAAAAAUUAUUGAUAAGUUAUGAGUAAUAGAUAAAUAGCUAAAAUAUCAAAUAAGCUUAAAUAAUUCAUAAUCGAAUAGUUGAAUGAAAUAAAAUAAGUAAGUAAACAAGAAAAUAAACAAUAAACAUACAAAAAGCAAACGUAACAUAAUAAAUACAUAUUUAGUGAAUAAAUAAGUAAAUAAUAAACAUUAAACAAAAUAAAUACAUGAGAAAUAAAUAAAUAUAUAACCAAUAAUAUUUAUAAUAUAUAUAUUAUAUAUAUAUAUUAUAUAUAUAUAAUAUAUAUAUAAAAGAAAUAGAUAAAUAAACAAGCAAAUAUAAAACAAGUAAACAACAAAUUAAUUCGAUAAACAUCAAUAUAAAUAAUAAAUGAUUAAAAAAUAUAAAUACAAUCAUUAAAAUAAAAUAAUAUAUAUAAGUUGGGCAGAAGGAACAAAUAGAUUAUAAAAAUAAGAAGAUAUGACAAAAUAAACCAAAAAGGAAAUAAAUAUGAUUAUAAAUAAAUAGAUAAAUAAUAAAUAAGUAAAUAAUUAUAAACAAUAGACUAAUUAAAUAAACAAAUAACAAAUACUAAAAUAUAAAUAGGUAAAUAAAUACGUAUAAUGAAGUACGCUUAAAAAGAAAGAUGAAGAAGAAAGAAAUAAAUAACUAAAUAGAUAAACACGUAAAUUAACAUAAACAAAAAAUUACUAUAUAAAUAAAUGACUAAGUACAUUAGCUUAAUUAUUCUAUCGACAACUUGAUAAAUAAAUAAGUAAACAAGCAAUAACAAUUAAACACACAAAAAUAUUAAUAUAUAUAUUACAUUCAACACGAACUCAGACAUAAAUAAUAGGGUAAUCGAGUGAAUAAUAUUAAACAAAUAAACGAGGAACAAAUUAAAAAUAAUAUAAAAUAAAUAAAUAAAUAAUAAUAAAUUAUGAUUACAUAAAUAAUAAGAUAAAUAAACAAGCAAGAUAUAAUAAUAAAAAGCAAGAUAUAACAAUGAUGAACCAAAAAAUACGAAAUAAUCAAAUAAAUAAAUAAAAUAUAUCAUAUAAUAGAUAAAUUAAUAUAAAUAAAUAAAAUAAUAGAUUUAAAAAUAAAAAACUAAUAGAUAAACCAAUCAUUAUAUAUAAAUAAUAUAAAUAUACUAUAUAAAUAAAAUAAACAAUCGGAUAUAACAAUAAGAAAUGAACAAAUGACCAAAAAAUAAAUAUGAAUAAAUAAAUAGAUGAAAUAAGUAAACAGUAAAAUACAUGUUAAACAUAUAGAUAAAUAAACAAACAAAUAACAAAGAUUAAUAAGAGAAAGAUAGUAUGAAAUUGCAAAUGAUUGAUAAAUAAAAAUAGCAAUUGAAUAAAGAAGAUAAAUAAAAUAAUAAGUAAAUAAUAAAUAAGUAAACAUUAAUAAGUAAAAUAAUAAUAAAGAAAGUAAACCAUUAAGAGUAACCAAAAAAUAUAAAUAUAAAUAAAUAAAUUUUGAUGACUAAACUAAAAUGAUGACAACUAGAUCUUAAACAUAAAUCAAGCAACUGAAUAAAUAAAAUAAUAUAAUUAGUAAAUAAAUACGUUAGUAACAAAUAAUGAAUUGAAGAAAUACAUAAAAUAAACUAUAAGAUAAUAGGCAAAUGAAUAAAUAACUACGAAAGAUAAAUAAUGAGUACAUGGGUAAUGGAUAAAUAGCGUAAAUAAAUAAUAACUUAAAUAAAUUCUAUGAAACACUUGAUAAUUAAAAUAAUAUAAAUAGGUAAAUAAAUACGUCGAUGAACAAUGCGAAAAAAAAAAAGAGAAUGAUGAAGAAAUAAAUAAAUAAUAAAUAAAUAAACAAUAAUAUGAUAAUAUAAACAAAAAAAUAACUACUUAAUAAUGAACAAGUACAUUGAAUCAAGAAGAUAAAUAGCUAAUAAAAAAGAAGCAAUACGAUAGAUAAAUGAAUGUCAUUUAUAGGUGAAUAUAUAUAAAUAGAUAAUAGAAAAAUGAUAAGAUAAUCAUACAUAAAAUAGUCGCACCACAUUGGAAUGUAUCAGCUUUCUUCUUCAAUCAACGCGCCGCCAAAAUAAGACCCAUAUUGCUCCAAAUUUUUCUCUCCAACCUAUACAUGUAAUAACUUCCUAAAUUUCAAGAUGCAUAUAUAAAGAUCAAACACGCAGACGAAGCAUUAUCUUCUCUUUCUCCUCUGGAAACGAAAAUCCUACGAAGCAUAUACGCAAGCACUAUAAGCCAUACAUUAUCGCAAAGGAGAUCAGAUGCGCGCUCUUCAGAGCAACGAGGGAACCCGGGCAGCCCAAAACAGGACUAAGAUACAAACUUGAGAGAAUAUAGUAAAGAACCAAUAGAAUCCAGAGAAACGAAUUUUACAUUAAAAGUUCGGCAAAGCAAAAGGAUGCUAUGGAGAGAUCAAAACGUAAUGGGCUAUUUAACCGAAAGAAAUCAGUACUUUCCUUUUUACAGAUCAAAAGGCAGGGGCACCAAAUAGCCGGAGAGGAUGACUAAGAAACAUUUUGGAAAUGAAAAGAAACCCAAUGCAAAUCAACAGAAAACUACUUUGAUUAUUAAACCUUCCUUAAGUCAAGAUCUUUAAUAAACAUCCAAAUCAAACACCUGUACAGGAUUAUGCUCUUUCAGAAAAACAAACACCUAUUUGGAAGCAAAAACAGAAGCCUAAAAGCCUAAACGAGACUAGAGAUACAAAUUGGGAAAAAGAAGAAAACCCAAAUUGAAAAGCAUUUAUAAAGUCUAAGCCUUAGUUGAAGCAUAAUUUAUACAGUCUAAGCAAAUGAUAGUAACAUCACUUGAUUCGUUAGAUUAGCUUAAAAUUGAAGAUUGAAGAAAAAAAAAAAAAAAAAAAAAAAAAAAAAAAAGAAGAAAAAAGGUGCAUUCACGUCGAUUCUUCACAACAUAUAGUCACACAACAAAGCAAAGUUAAUGCACUUUCCACAGUAAACAACUAGGAAAAUAGGAAGAGAGGUAAUAAUUCCAAUUUGAGUCGAAUUCACUAAUUAGGUGAAGGUAGAUUUAUAGUAAGAAUGCUGCUAAGCCGAGUUCUCUGCAUUAGGACACAUUGCAGCUUAUUCACAAAAGCUUGCAAGUCACUUCAGAUUUAUCUUAAUAUUCAAAUAGUUUGAUGUGGAAAAGACUUUAUUAAGUGUCUAAGUGUAGUGAAGCCAUAUGUACAGCAGAAUAUAUUACCUUCAAUCUACAUAGAACAAGUUUUCCAUUAAUUAAUUCGGUAAGAGAUUAAUUCUAUGAGAGCAGCGCAAUUCUUAAUGAUCUAAAAAGCAUCAUGUUCUAACAGAAGUUUGAAUGCCUUGUUAUGUCUUGAGAUUUUACAUACAUCUUUUAUUCAAAACCAACCAACAUAAUGAUUGAAACAAUGGCUAUUUGUAUAUUUUUGAGAUUUACUACAAUAAUGUUUCCUUUUCGCAGCAAUGAAGCUAUGAGAACCAAUUGUUCUGCAAGUUAUGUUCUCUGUUUGGGUCAAAUGCCUGUUUCUGAAAAGUUUGUAAUGGCAUUAUCUGUUCAAAUCAAUUCCCUAAUAAAAUGCAGGGUACGCCUAAUGUUAUUUCGUGUAUUUCUUACAUCAUGUGUUGCCAUCUUGUGAGCUCCAUCAUCUAUAAGCUGUAGGCUUGCCCAGCCAAAUCUUAUAUUAAUGGAAAUAUACUUGGGUGGCACUAAAUAGACAGUUUGAAAAAGCAUCCAUUUUCAGAAUAACAUAUGUGAUAAGACAAAAUGAAAAACAAUUAUCAGUAAACACUAUGCCAUAAGUAUUAGUAGUAGCCCUCACUCAAAGCAGUAAAAUUUUGAUCAAAGACAUGAUAGUGAAACAAACGUGAAACCUAAUACAUUCGAGGCACUAAAAAUUGUUGUAUGUAAGCUGCUGUUUAAAAUGUAGAGCUUGUCACUUGAUCUGUAUAGAUACAUCUGCUGUCGCCAGAUUGAGGUUUUAUACAUUUUACAACAAAAAUCAAAAAACUACCUAUUCCACAAAAUCAAUGUUUAUGUUGAAUGUUGUUUUAAAAGAUAAGUAAUAGAAGAAAUAUUAUUUAUAUAAGUAAAUUUAAUAAACAAACAUUAAAAAAUAGGAUACUAAAUAGCUAAAUAAAUAGAGUCCAGCUGGAUGCUUCUAAUGACAUAGCAAAUGGUGAUACUAAAAUAACUUUUCACAUUAAAUCAACCCUUUAAUAUUUCUUACCUCUUGAUCGAAUAUUAUUCGUACACUAUCACUAACCUAGCGGGAACACUAUCAUUCAACUCAUAUUCUUCAUCCAAGAGCUUACAAACUUAGAGUAAAAGGCCCAAAUACUUCUUAAAGUAUUUUGCCAUUCAAUAAUAGAUUAACAUAACGAUCCUGUUGAUAAAUAAAUGAUUGUGAAUAUAUAAAUAAGUAAAUUAAUCAAUUAAUAAAUAAAACAAAUGAGAAGUAAAUAAAUAAACAAAUAUGUAAUUACAUAAACAAAUAGAAAUUAAACAUGAUUAGAUGAAUAAAGCACAUAUUAAACAAACAAACAAACAAAUAAUGAGAAAUAAAUAAAUAGAUAAUGAAAGUUAUUUAAAAAGUAAAUAUAAAAAAUAAAAUUUAAAUAAUAAAUGAUAAUGAAUGAUUGAAAAGUCAAGAAACUAAAUAAAUAAGGAGAAUAUGAAAAACACAUAAUGAAAAAAAUCUAAAUAAUAAAUAUGCUGUAAUGAACGAUCUGCACAAACAAACCAAAGAUGAACAAAUAAACAUUUAAGAUACGCUAUAUAGAAAGAUAGAUAAAUAGAUAGAUAGAUGUAUACAAGUAAACUGAAUAGAAGAAAUAAGUAAUAAUAGCACAUAAUAAUAAAUAACCAUUUAACGAAUAAUAAAUCAAUUAAAAUAAUCAGAAAUUAAAUAAUACAGAUGAUGUAUAACGUAAAAUUAUAAUUUAUAAAUUAUAAGUAAAAAAAAGAAAAAACUAUUAAAAUCAAAAGAAGAAAUAAUAAAAAUUUAUUAAUUAGUAAGUAUAAAUAAAAAUUUAUUAUUUAUAAAUAUAAAAAUAUAAAUAAAUAGAUGCAAUAAGUAAUGGAAUAGGACAAAAAAUUAAUUAAACUAAAAUAAAUUAAAUAAAUUCUUGAGUAAAUAGAAUAAAUAAAAUAGAUAAACAACUUGAAUGGACAAAAGAAUAAUAGAAUAACUUCGUUUGAGAUGAGUAAAUACAUAAAUAGAUAGGAUAGAACAAUGGCAAUGGGAUCAAGAGGGAUCAUAACUUAGGUACGUCACUCAUACUAAGUUUGAUUUCUCCAGAAGGGGCGCAGCAGCGAGGCUGAAAUAUGCGCACAACCCUGAACCGGAGAAGGUGAAGAGGGAUUGCAUUUGGCGACGUUAUCUUCACCAAGUGUUAGAAGUCGAUCCCAGUCGAUAAACAUCACUCGAAUAUGCCUUAAAAGAUGCAUAAAAGCAAUCAAAUAUUUGGUAAAAACUCCAAAAACACAAUGAAGAAGCGGAUUUUGAGGGAAGAGCCGUUGAGAUAGCUCGAUAGGAUGAAGCAAUGGAGAGAAAAAAGAAGCCCCUUUCUUCUGGGCCCAUCGCUGUACGGGAGCGAGAGAGACGAAGAGAUUAUGUUAAGGGCGAGGCUAUUUGGUUUUCUUGAAAUCCACCGACAAGUUUAUGAAACACUUGCGAAAUUAUAGUACGCAAAAUAUAUGUCGAUAAAAAAAGUAAUAAACUAAUAGUAAAAUAACAGUAAGAUAAUUUAUAUAAGAAAAAAUAAAAGGUAAUACAAUAGACAAAUAUAAAUUAAGAAUAAAUAAAAAAAUAAUCACAAGCGUAGAUAACCUGUGACUCAUAAACAGACUAAAUAAAUAAAUAAACGAACAUUUAAGAUGAGAUAAAACACAUAUAGAUCAAUAAAUGAUAUAUAAAGACUAUAGAUAAAUAAAAUAAAUAGUAAAUAAAAAAGAUAAAUAAUGCGCAAUUAAAGGAAUAGAUAACAGUCAUAGUAAAUAAGCAUACAUGUAAAUUAAUAAGCAUGUGAAUAAAUGAUGAUGAACGAAAUUGAAAAAGUUAAAGUGAAAUAAGCUAAUAAAAUGAAAUAAAUAAUAAAAAAGUGUUCAAUUACAUAAGUUAUAGUGGAUAAAUUAAUAUUUAAUACAUAAAUAAAUAGAUAGAUAAGCUUAUGUAGCUACACAGAAUAAAUCAGUAAACAGAAUAUAAAAAAUCAAUACAUGCAAGAAAAAGUAGAGCAGCUAAACCACAUUCUCCUCAUUAGCUAAGACUUUCAUGCGGAAAGAAUAAAGCAGUAAACUAAUACAAAGGAUGUGUGAGAAAAGGUUAAUAGCUACUUACAAGCAUGAAGAUACGAACUUUAAAGUUGUUCUAGGAAUUGCAUUUAGCACACUUUCAUAAUAGAAACAAAAAUCAGAAAAUACCUGCCCACAAUAUUUGGAACGUUGCUGAAUGUUGGUUUCAAAAGUAAUAAAAUAAGCCAAAUAACAAAUAAGCAUUACAAAAAAUAAAUAUAAAAAUAAUAACUUUAACGAACAAUCGAACACGAGAACAAAUAAUAGAUAAAAGUAAUAAUACAUAAAUACAUGGUAGAUAAUAAUAAAAGGCAAGUGUACAAACCAAUAGUCAUGAGAAAUAACGAAAUGAAUAAAAAUAAGUAAUAAAUAAAGUAGAAAUAUAAGUAAUCUAGAACAAGGGUAAAUAAAUGAGAAAAUAAUAAAUAAGAAGCAAUCAACAAUGAACCAAAAAAUAAAAAUGAUGAAAAAUUAUAAUAUAUAAUAAGUUAAAUCUCUUUUUGGGAAAUAAUGAAUGAAGAAAUAAAUAAAUAACUAUAAGAUAAAUAGGUAAAUGAAUAAAUAACUACAUAAAUAAAUGAAUGAGUACAUGGGUAAAUGGAUAAAUAGCUAAAUAAAUAAAUAAGCUUAAAUAAAUUCAUAAUGAAACAACUUGAAUAAUUAAAAUAAUAUAAAUAGGUAAAUAAAUACGUCGAAUGAACAAAUGCACGAAAAAAAAAAAAGAAUGAAUGAAGAAAUAAAUAAAUAACUAAAUAAAUAAACAGAUAAAUGAAUACAUAAACAAAAAAAUAACUACAUAAAUAAAUGAACAAGUACAUGAAUAAACAGAUAAAUAGCUAAAUAAAAAAAGAAGCACAUAGAUAGAUAAAUGAAUGUCACUACUAGGUGAAUAUAUAUAAAUAGAUAAUAGAAAAAUGAAUAAAUAUAUCCAUACAUAAAUAGUCCCACCACAUUGGGAAUGUAUCAGCUUUCUUCCUUCACAUACAACACGACAGCACAAGAAUAAGCCACCCAUAUGCUCCCAAUUUUCUCCCAACUAUACAUUAAUACUUCCUAAAUCAAGAUGCAUAUAUAAAGAUCAAACACCAGACGAGCAUUAUCUCCUCUUUCUCCUCUGAAAACGAAAAUCCUACGAAGCAAAUACGCAAGCACCUACUAGCCAUACCAUUCAUCGCAAAGGAAUCAGAUGCGCGCUCUUCAAGAAGCCAAAACCGAGGGAACCCCGGGAGCCCAAACAGGACAUAAAGAUACAAACUUGGGAAAAAUUAGAAGAAACCCAAUAGAAAUCCAAGAGAAACCAAUUUUACAUUAAAAGUUCGCAAAGCAAGAUGCAUAUGGAGAGAUCAAACACGUAAUGGGCAUAUUAUUAACCGAAAAGAAAUCAGAUACUUACUACAGGAAAUCAAAAGCAGGGGCACCCAAUAAGCCGGAAGAGGAUGUAAAGAAACAACCUUUGGGAAAAUGAAAAGAAACCCAAUUGAAAUCCAACAGAAAACUACUUUAUAUUAAACCUUCCUAAGUCAAGAUCUUACAUGAAACAUCCCAAAUCAAACACCUGACAAGGAUAUCAUGCUCUUUCGAAAACAAACACCCUAGGAAGCAAAAACAGAAACCUAAAGAAGCCUAAAGAAGACAUAGAGAUACAAACUUUGGGAAAAACAGAAGAAACCCAAUUGAAAAGCANUCAUCAAUUAGCUUAUAACUUUGUAGCCAACAUUGAAUUAAUGAAAAAUGCUUGGAUGGUAAUAAAUAGACAAUUUGAAAAAUCACAUCCGUUUUCAGAAUACAAAUAUGAAAAGAUAACAAGAAAUAAUUAUCAGUAAGCAUUUUGCAUGAGUAUUUGUAAUAGCCCUCACUCAAAAGAGCAAAAUUUGAUACAAAGAUGACAGCGAAACAAGUGAAUCUAAUACUUACCGGGCAAUGAAAAUGCUUGUCCUAUUAGUUGUUGUUUAAGAUGUAUCGCUUGUACACUUGCUCAACUCGACAAUUCUUUAUCUAAGAGCUUACAAACUUAGAAGUAAAAAGACCAAAAUACUUCUCAAAGCAUUUUAGCCCAAUUCAAAAAUAAAAAUAUAAACGAGUUGAUAAAUAAAUGAGUGAAUAUAUAAAUAAGCAAAUUAGCAAAUCAAUAAAUAAACAAAUAGACAAACAAAUGAUUAGAUAAAUAAAUAAAUAAAUAAAUAAUUAAACAAACAAACAAGCAAACAAUGAGAAAUAAAAAAAUAGAUUAAAAAGUUAUUUAAAAAGUAAAUAUAAAAAAAAAUAAACAAAUAAACAUUUAAAAAAUAAAUGAAUUAUUGAAAAGUAACUAAAUAAAUAAAUGAAUAAUGAUGAAACAGUCACAUAAUUAAAAAAAUAUAAAUAAAUAAAUAAAUUAAUGACGAAUGCACAAACAAACGAAAGAAUGAACAAAAAAAUUAAAUAAAUAAUUACGUAUAUAGAUAGAUAGAUAAGUAUAUAAGUAAUUGAAAAGAAAAGAAAAUGAAUAAAUAGCACAUAAAUACUAAAUACAUAAAAAAUAAAUAUAUAGUAAAUAAAUGAAUAAAUAACCAUUUAAUAAAUUAAUAAAUAAAUUUAUAAAUUAAUCAGUAAUUAAAUAAAUACAAAUAAAUGUAUAUGUAAACAUUUCAUAAUUUAAUAAAUUCAUAGGUAAAAAAAAUAAACUAUUAAAAUAAACAAAGAUAAGUAAAUAAAUAAAUAAAUAUUUCAUAAUUAGAUAAAUAAAUAAAAGUUAUGAAUAAAUAAAUAAAUGAAUAAGUAAUUGAAUAGACAAACAAAUAAACAACUAAAUAAAUAAAUAACUUCGUAGAGGAGUAAAUAAAUAAAUAGAAGAUAGACAAUUAAACGCCUAGAUGAAUAAUCAAGGAUAAGUAAAUAAACAAACAACAAGCAAAUAUUAUUAAAUAAAUAAAUGAUAUGAAUGAUAAGUUAAUUAAUAAACCAACGAACCAAAAAUAUAAGAAAUAAUGAAAAAUAUAUAAAUAGAAAAAUAAAGUAAAUAACAAAUAAUAGAGUCAAAAAUUAAUAAAUAAUAAAUAGAUAACAGUCAUAUAAAUAAAUAAAUAAAUAAUAUAUAAGCACAUAAAACAAAUAGAUAAAUAAACAGUAGAUAAUAAAUAAUAAUAGGGAAAUGAACAAACGAACCAAAUAUAAUAGAUAAACACAUAUAAAUAAAUAAUAAAUAAUAUAUAAGCCACAUAAACAAAUAGAUAAAUAACAAGUAGAUAAAUAAAUAAAUAAGUAAAUGAACAAACAAACCAAGAAUAAAUAUGAUAUAAAAAAUAAAAUAAUAAACAUUUAAAUUUAAAUAAAUAAAUGAUAGAAGAAGUAAGUAAUUAAUAAAUAAAAAGAAUAAUGAAACAGUCGCAUAAUUAAAAAAAUAUAAAUAAAUGAAACACAGUCGCAUAAUUUUAAAAUAAAUAAAUAAAUAAAUAUGUUGAAUGAACGAAUCCACAAAAAAAAGAAAGAAUUAAAUAAAUAAAUAAUAAGUAACAGAAAAGAAAGAAAAAAUAAAAUAGCAUAAAUAGUAAAUACAUAAAAAGUAAUAUCUAGUAAAUGAUGAAUAAAUAAUGAUUUAAUGAAUUAAUAUAAUAAAUCAUAAAUUAAUCAGUAAUUAAUAAAUAUAAGUGAAUAUAGACAUUUUAUAAUCUAAUAAAUUAAUAACCAAAAAAGAAUAAACUAUUAAAAUAAACAAAUAAGUAAAUAAAUAAAUAUUUCGAUAAUUAGAUAAUAAUAUAAAAAUGAAUAAGUAUAAUACAUAGACAAACAAAUAAACAACUAAUAAAUAAAUAAAUCGUAGAUGAGUUAAAUAAAUAAAUAGAUAAUUAGACUGAAAGGAAAUAAAAUAAAUAAAUUGCACAUAAGUCAUAAAUAAGUAAACAAACAAAACAAAACAAACGAAUAAAUAAAUGCGAAAUAAAUAAAUAGAUAGAAUAAGUUAUUUAAAAAGUAAAUAUAAACGAGUAAACAAAUAAAUAUUUUAAAUAAAUAAAUGAUGAUAUGAACGAUAGUUUAUACAUUAAUAACAAAUGAACCAAAAAGAUAAGAAAUGUAUAAUAAUAUAAAAAUAGAUAAAUAAGUAAAUAAACAAUAAUAGAUCAAAAGCUAAUAAUAAUAUAGAUAAACAAUCAUAUAAAUAAAUAAAUAAGCAAAUGAACAAAUAAAACAAAGAAUAAAAAAGAUUGAUAUAAAUAACUACAUAAAUAAAGUAAGAAGUAAAUGCAUGCAUAAACAAUAGAUAAAUAAACAAAUAAUAGUUGAAAUUAAUAAGCAAAUUAGAUGAAUUUGAUAAAUAAAUGAAUGAAUAAACAAAAACAAAUAAAUAUUUAAAUAAAUAAAUGAUGAAUGAACGAUAAGUUGUACAUUAUAAAAACAAAUGAAUACAUGAACAAAAAAUAUAAGAAAUUGAUGAACAAUAUAUAAAUAGAUAAAGAAGUAAAUAAACAAUAAUAAAUCCAAAAGCUAAAAGUAUAAUAGAUAAACAAUCAUAUUAAAUAAAUAAAUAAUUAAAAAGUAUAUAAGCACAAACAAAUAGAUAAAUAAAAAGUAGAUAAAUAAAUAAAUAAAUAAGCAAUCAUGAACAAAUGAACCAGAGAAUAAAUAUGAUAUAAAUAAAUAGAUAAAUAAAAUAAAUUAAAUAAAUUACAUGAUAAAAAAAGAUAAAUAAACAAAUAAUAAUGAAAUGAAAUUAAUAAGAAAAUAGAUGAAUUUGAUAAAUAAAUGAAUGAAUAAACAAAAACAAAUAAAUAAAUAAACAAACAAACAAAUUAAUUAAUAAAUAUAGAUAGACAAGUAAACAAAUAAAUAUUUAAAUAAAUAAAUGAUAAAUGAACGGUAAGUUAUAAAUUAAUAAAGAAAUGAAGAAAAAAUAUAAGAAAUGAUAAUAAAUAUAUAAAUAGAUAAAUAAGUAAAUAAACAAAUAAUAGAUCAAAAGCUAAUAAAUAAUAAAUAGACAAACAAUCAUACAAAUAAAUAAAUAAUUAAAAAGUAUAUAACCACAAAAAAAUAAAUAAAUAAACAAGUAAAUAAAUAAAUAAAUAAGUAAAUAAACAAUUAAAAAAAAUAAACAUUAAUGAGUAAACAAAAAAACAUAUAGAAUAAAUUAAUAAAUAUGAACAAAUGAUUGAAAAAGUAACUGUAAAUAAAAAUAAAUAAGAUGAUAAAUAAAUACAUAAUCGAAACAACUUAAAUAAUUAAAACAAUAUAAAUUAAUAAAUAAAUGCGUCGAAUGCAUGAACGAACAAAAGUAUUAAGAAAUAACUAAAUAACUAUAAGAUAAAUAGGCAAAUGAACAAAUAAAAUAAUAAUUAAAUAAAUAAAUAAAUAAGUACAUGAGAAAGCAGAUAAAUAGCUAAAUAAAUAAAUAAGCUUAAAUAAAUCCAUUCUCGAACAACUUGACUAAAUAAAAUUUAAAUAUACGCAUAAACAAUAAAUAAAUAAACAAAUAAUAAUGAAAUUAAUAAGAAACAGAUAAAAUUGAUAAAUGAUUGAAUAAAUAAAAAAUGAAAAAAAUAGCAAUAGAAUAAAUUAAAUAGUAAAUAAAUAAAGAGAUAAUCAAAUAACUUGAAUAAAUAGAAGAACAUAAAAAAAGAAACNNNNNNNNNNNNNNNNNNNNNNNNNAAUGCACGAAGAAACGAAAGAAUGAAUGAAAAAAUAAAUAAAUAACUAAAAAGAUAAACAGGUAAAUGACUACAUAAACGAAAAAAUAACUAGAUAAAUAAAUGAAUAAGUACAUGAGUAAAUAGAUAAAUAGCUAAAUAAAUAAAUAAGCUUGAAUAAAUUCAUAAUCGAACAACUUGAAUAAAUAAAAUAAGUAAUAAACAAGCAAAUAAACAUAUAAAAAUAUAAAUAUAAAUAAAUAAAUACAUUGAAUGAAUGAACGCAUGAACAAAUAAAUAAUAAAUAUAUAAAUACAUGAGUAAAUAAAUAAACAAGUGAACAAAUAAAUACAUGAGAAAUAAAUAAAUAGAUAGAUAAGUAAAUAAAUAAAAUAUAUAUAUAAAUACAUAAAUAGAUUUGAAUAAAAAAAUAAUAUAAAUAAUAAAAUACGUCGANAAAUGAACCAAAAACAAUAAGAAAUAAAUAAAUAAGAAAUAAUAAAAAAAAUAUAAAUAGAUAAAUAAGACAUAAAUAAAUAAUAGAUUAAAAGUUAAUAAAUAAUAUAAAUAAACAAUCAGAUAAAUAAAUAAAUAAUUAAACAAAUAUAAAUACAUAAACAAAUAGAAAAAUAAACAAUAAAUAAAUAAAUAAAUAAGCAAGCAAAUGAACAAAUUGAUGAAAAAAUAAAUAAGAUAUAAAUAAAUAGAUAAAUAAGUAAAUAAGUAAAUACAUGUAUAAACAAUAGACUAAUAAAUAAACAAAUAACAAAAUUACUAAAUAAUAUAAAUAGGUAAAUAAAUACGUCAAAUGAACGUACGCAUUAACAAAGGAAAGAAAGAAUGAAGAGAAAAAUAAAUUAGUAAAUAGAUAAACACGUAAAUUAUACAUAAACGAAAAAAUAACUAUAUAAAGAAAUGAAUAAGUAUAUUAAGCUUAAAUUAAUUCAUAAUCGAACAACUUGAAUAAAUAAAGUAAUAAACAAGCAAAUAAACAUAUUCAUUUCUUUAUAUAGUUAUUUUUUCGUUUAUGUAUAAUACAUAAAUAGAUAGAUAAAUAAACAAGCAGAUAAAUAAAUAAAUAAGCAAAUAAACAAAUGAACCAAAAAAAUACGAAAUAAAUAAAUAAAUAAGAAAAAAUAAAAUAUAUAUACAUAGAUAAAUAAGUAUAUAAAUAAAUAAUAGAUUAAAAUAAAAAACUAAAUGGACAAACAAUCAUCUAANUAAAUAGAUAAAUAAGUAAAUAAAUAAAAUAUAUAUAUAAAUACAUAAAUAGAUAGAAAAAUAAACAAGUAGUUAAAUAAAUAAAUAAGCGAAUAAACAAAUGAACCAAAAACAAUAAGAAAUAAAUAAAUAAGAAAUAAUAAAAAAAAUAUAAAUAGAUAAAUAAGACAUAAAUAAAUAAUAGAUUAAAAGUUAAUAAAUAAUAUAAAUAAACAAUCAGAUAAAUAAAUAAAUAAUUAAACAAAUAUAAAUACAUAAACAAAUAGAAAAAUAAACAAUAAAUAAAUAAAUAAAUAAGCAAGCAAAUGAACAAAUUGAUGAAAAAAUAAAUAAGAUAUAAAUAAAUAGAUAAAUAAGUAAAUAAGUAAAUACAUGUAUAAACAAUAGAUAAAUAAACAAACAAAUAACAAAAUUAAUAUGAAAAUAGAUGAAAUUGAUAAAUGAUUGAAUAAAUUAAAAAAACAGCAAUUGAAUAAAUGAAUAACUAAAUUCAUAAUUUAAUAAGUAAAUAAAUAAACAUAAAUAAGUAAAUAAUUAAAAAAAAAAGUAAGCAUUAAUGAGUAAACAAAAAAAUAUAAAAUAAAUAAAUGAUGAAUAAAUGAUUGAAAAAUUAACUAGAUAAAUAAGUAAAUAAAUAAAUACAUAAUCAAACAACUUGAAUAAAUAAAAUAAUAUAAAUAAGUAAAUAAAGAUGUCGAAUGAAUGAAUGUGCGAACGAACGAAAGCAGGAAUGAAGAAAUAAAUAAAUAACUAUAAGAUAAAUAGGUAAAUGAAUAAAUAACUAGAUAAAUAAAUGAAUAAGUACAUGACUAAAUAGAUAAAUAGAUACAUAGCUAAAUAAAUAAAGAAACACAUAGAUAGAUAAAUGAAUGUCACUGUGUGAAUAUAUAUAAAUAGCUAAUAAAUAAAUAUAUCAAUACAUAAAUAGUAGAUAUAUAACAAACUUUACCGACCCUGCCACGAAGGAAACAGCUUUCUUCAUUUGCAUACAACACAACAGCACAUGAAAAAAAAAAAAAAGAGCCACCUUAUAAUUCAUGCUUUGGGACUCUAAAUCUAUAGUGGUUCACUAAAUAACCUACAGGUAAAAUCCUUCAGUAGUUGAGAAAGAAACAUAAAAUGAAGCAACAUCACUGGAUUCGUAAAGAUUUGUUAAAAUGAAAAGGAAAGAAUAAAAGGUGCAUUCAAAUCAAUUCUCCACAAGAUAAUAGUUCACACGACAAUGCAAGUUAAUGUAACUUCCACAGUAAAAAACUUGAAGGAAAGAGGUAUAAUUUCCUAAUUUGAGCUCAGAAUCACUAAUUAGUGGAAUAGAUUUGAGUGUCACCUGAUUAGCUUUUAUAGUAAGAAUGUGCUGAGGACUGAGUUCUCUGAUUGGCAUAUUGCAGCUUCUACCCACAAAGCUUGCAAGUCACUUCCAGAUUAUCCAGGUCAUACAAAUAGUUUGAUCGAAAAGCACUUUAUAAAGUCUAAGCUUAGUUGAAGCAUAAUGUACAACAGAAUAUACUACCUUCAGACAAGUCUUUCCAUAUAAUUAAUUAUCUGUAAGAGAUUAAUUCUACGAGAGGACAAUUCUAAUGCAUCUAAAAAGAUUAUAAUGCAUCUGAUUAAAAUGUUCAUGUUCAAAAGUCUGGAUGCUUGUCAUGUUGAGAUACAUUGCAUAAUUUUUAUUCUAAACAAACCAACAUAAUGGACAAAGCAAUGGAGAAGAAAAAGGAGGCCCUUUCUCUCCCCCAACGCCUAAUGAGCAAUGAGCAAGAGAGAGUAAAGAGAUUGUGUUAAGACGAGGCAGUUUGGUUGUUUUCAAAUCCAACGGCCGAGUUUACGAAAUCUCAUGAACAUAUAUAGGUUGAUAAGUAAAUAAAUAAUUAAUAGGUAAAUAAAUAAAUAAUUUAUAAAUAAGUAAAAAAAAUACGUAGGUAAUUGAAUAGACAAAUGAAUAAAUAACUAAUAAAAAAAGAAAUAAAUUGGUAGAUGAGUGAAUAAGUGAAUAGCUAAAUAAAUAAAGACAUACGUAUAAAUGAAUAAAUGAAUAAACAUCAAUAAUAAAUAUAUAAACAAAUAGAUAAAUAAAUAAAUAGUAAAUACAUAAAAGAUAAAUAAAUGAGCAAAUAUAAAUAAACAGAUAAACAAUCAUAUAAAUAAAUAAACAUGUAAAUUAAUAAAUAUGUGAAUAAAUGAUGAAUGAACGAUUGAAAGAGUAAUAAGUAAAUAAAUAAAUAAUUAAAUAAUUAAAUAAGGAACUAAAUAACUCAAUAAAUAAAUAAAUGGAUAGAUAAAUAAAUUUAUAUACAUACGUACAUAAAUAUAGAUGGACUGAUAGAUAGAUAACUGUGUAACUAUACAAAUAAAUCAGUAAACAAAUAAAUAAAUAUACAAAUACAUGCAGAAAGAAACAAACUUUACAUUAAAACUUCCUAAAUCAAGGUGCAUAUACAAAGAGUAAACACAAGACCAGCAUAUCUUUCUCCUUAGAAAACAAAAACCCUACGAAGCAAAAACACAAACACCUAAUAAGUAUAUUAUUCAUCGCAAAGGAAUCAGAUGCACGCUUCAAGAAAUCAAAACCAAGGGAACCCCGGAAGCCCAAACAGGACAUAAAGAUACAAAUAUGGGAAAAAUUAGAAGAAACCCAAUUGAAACCCAAGAGAAACCAAUUUUACAUUAAAAGUUCGCAAAUCAAGAUUCAUAUGGAGAGAUCAAACACGUAACGGGCAUAAAAUUAACCGAAAAGAAAACAGAUACUUACUACAGGAAAUCAAAACCAGGGGCACCCAAUAAGCCUGAAGUGGAUGUAAAGAAACAACCUUUGGGAAAAUAAAAAGAAACCCAAUUGAAAUCCAACAGAAAACAAUUUCAUAUUAAACCUUCUUUAAUCAAGAUCUUACAUUAAACUUCCCAAAUUAAGAUGCAUACGCAGAAAUCAAACACCUGACAAGGAUAUCAUGCUCUUCCGAAAACAAACACCCUGUGAAGCAAAUACAGAAACACCUAAUGAAUGGCAUAUCAUUCAUUCGCCAAAAAGGAAUCGAAUGCUUACACAAGAAAUUAAAACCGAGGGCACCCAAGAAGCCUACUAAGGAGGGCAAAAAGAUACAAACUUUGGGAAAAACAGAAGAAACCCAAUUGAAAACAACGCGAAGUGGGGAUCAGAGGGAUCAUCACUUACGUCCUCAUAGGAAGAUUGGUGAGAAGGUGCAUUGCGAAGGCAUGUAGUAAUACAGCCUCAGCCUACUGCUCCGAGGGCGAUGAGGUGGAAGUAGCAAUCAAAAAAACCCAGAAAAGAACCUAAAAUAGAUUGCCCAAAGAGCAAAUCAAAUACGACAAAGCGCAACAGAGAACAAAAGGAAGCAGCGAUUCAGAGGGGGAGGAGCUCGUCGUUGAGAUCGCGAUGGGACAAAAGCAAUGGAGAAGAAAGAGACCUCUGUGAGUUAGGACGUAGCGAACCUGGCUAAGGCUUCAAUAAACUAACGACGGCCCAAUUUGGUAAUUAUCUCCGUGAAAAUAUACAAGGCCGUUUGCGUCCGAUCCGAAUGGAUGGAUUCUAGAACCUUACCCGCUAAUACAAUAAUUAAUUCUCCGAAGUGUGUCACUCACCUCACUUGAAGCGACACACUUAAAUCAUCAUAAAAUAUAAAAAAGAAAUACAUCAUUAAACGAAUAAUAGAUUAAUUGUAUAAUAAAUAACAAAACACAAACCAUAAAACAAUAUAAAUAAAACAAACGGAAUGUAAACAAACAAUAAAUAACAAACUAAAUAAAACAUGUAAACAAAUGAUGAAUAAAUAUGAAAACUAAUAAAAAAUAAUAAUAAUUAAUAAUUAUUAAAUCUAAAUAACUCAGUGUAAAAUAUAAAAUAAUAAAAUAUAUACAUACAAAAAUAGAUAGGAUGUAUAAAUAAGAUAGAUAAUAAACAAUAAAAAGUACAACAAAUCCACAAUAAAUAAAUAAAAAGCAGAGUAACGUGAACAAAUUAAAAUAUUAGAUCGAGUUAAUAAUACAUAGCAAAAUAGUAAAUUAUAAAAAGUCAGAUAAAUAAAAUAAGGGAAUAGUUGAAUAAAUAGUACAAGUUAUUACAUCCUCCUUUUUUUCAUGCGUAAACAGAUCAUUAAUCAAAAAUAAAUCAAAUUAGAAAAUAAUAAAAUAGGUUGAAUCAAAUAGAUAAGUUAUUAGUCAAAUAUCAUAAAUCAAUGAAUAAAUAAAUAAAGUAGUAAGCUGAUAUAAAAUAAAUAUUAAAUAAUUUAUAAAAAAAAAAACAUAAAUAAGUUAUAAAUAAAUAAAUAAAUAAUAAUAAAUAAAGGUAAACAAGUAGUAAUGUAUAAAUAAAUAAAUAAGUAAAUUACUAAAUAAAGAAAUAAUUUAUAAAUAAAUAAAUUGAGGUAGAACCGUUAAUAAUAACAUUGAAAAAAGAUCUAGCGCAUACAACAUUCACAGGAAAGUUCACAUUGAUAUUCUGCAAAAGAAGAUAGAAAAGGAAAAGUUGAUUGACUGGCUUCCUUCUUACAAAAACAAUAGAAAAAACCUGAUCUGCGUUCAUCGCAAAACGGGAAUCCUAUAAGCCAAAACACAAACACCUAGUGGGCAUAUCAUUCACUCGCAAAGGAAAUCAGAUGCCGCUCUUCAAGAAAAUCAAAACCGAGGGACCCAAAUGCCCAGAAUCACACAUGAAGAUACAAACUUGGAAAAACUAGAAUUAGAAGAAACCCCAAAAUUGAAAUCGAAAAGAAACCAAUUUUAUAUUUAAAGUUCGCAAAUCAAGAUGCAUAUACAGAGAUCAAAUAAUCCUUCUCCUCCAAAAACAACAACAAACACCCACCCUGUGUAGCAAAAACACAAACACCUGAUGGGCAUCACAUCCACCGAAAAAGAAUCAGACACUUCGCUCAAGAAAACCAGUACCAUAAAGAGGACAUAGAGAUCAAAGGUUCCGUAAAAGAAUCAGAAGAAACCCAAUUGAAAAAAGAAAAAAGAAAAAAGAAAAAACGCGAAUUGGGAUCGGAGGGAUGAUAACUCACGUCCUCAUAGGAAGAUCCGGCGGUUCCUUGAGGGCGACGAGAUGCGAUUUCGCUCUCCUCCGACGAAGUAGAAGAAGCCGCAGUCCGUCAGCAACAAUAUAAAACCCAGAAAAGAACCUGCACUUGAAAAAGAUAGCAAAGAUAAGCAAAUCAAAUGCGACAAAGCUAUACAGAGAACCCCAAAAAGAAGAAAAAAAGAAAAAAAAAGAGGAAGAGCGAUUCUGAGGGGAGGAGCUCGUCGUUGAGAUCGCGAUGGGACGAUGCGGCGGAGAAGAAAACAGGAAACCCGUUCUCGAUCUCAACCGUCGCCUUCUUUAAUUUCUUUGCGAGGAGGGAGAGAGAGAGAGAGAGAGAGAGAGAGAGAGAGGAGAGGGUCACUGGGCGCGUCGAGGCGAUUUAAUCGCGAACCCAUUUAUAUAUAUAGAGAGAGAGCGAGAGAGAGACGUUGUUGGUCCCAGUCCGACUCGUAUUAUGAGAACCUUUACUUAAUUAGUGCGUGAGAUGAAUUAGUGUCGCGCCACGUCAGCUUGUAGCGGACCACUUAAUUAGAUUUCUUUCGAAAAAAUAUAAGACCCUCUCACAUGUUAACCUUUUUAUCUGCGUUAUUAUAUAAUUAGUUAAGUUACAUUUUAAUUCAAUUUACUGAUUUUAUUAAUCGCUGAUUGUUUUAUUUGUUCUAGUUUUAUUGUUUACGAACUGUUACAGUCACUAAAAUUUGAUAAAAUUACUUAUAAAUUUAAUAAAAUUUUUAAUUUAUUUGAUCAAAAUUACUUCAUUUUAUUUUAUAAAACUGGUGACCGGCCAUUUUUCAAAACAUUAAGACAAGGCAAGUUAUGGUGAAACAAAUACUAACAACACCGAAACACACUUACAACAGGAUAAGAUUUAGCAAAACAAACAACAAGGACAUUUCACUUUUAGACAGGCGACUUCCCUCAAAACAAACAACUAACAGUAGAUAUUGACUUGAGAAAAAAUUAAUUGCACUUGAGUUACACCCACAUUCGAGCUUCAUCAAUCCAAACAUUCCCUUAUUGAUGUCAACUUCCCAAACUCUGUAAACACGCAUCCGCUUUACAGUGGAAUUUAAACUCAGUAUGAAAACAGGAAUAUAUACAAACUAGCAGGUAUCCUGAUAGUGUUCUCAAAAGAAGAAAGCUCAAAAGCAAUCAAGGGCGUUGAGAUCAAGGAAUCUUUUAAUUAUACUAUUUGACACAUUCUCCAAGACCCACGUGGCAUACCUCUCCGUUCUCCAUUCCACGUGGCGACAGACCUCUUAUCCAACUCUACAACUGACUCUCUCUCUCUCUCUCUCUCUCUCUCUUUUCCCUACUCUUCUAAGGCUGUCUCUCUCUCUUCAACUACCACACUUUCUCUCUCUCUCUCUUCCCUCCCCCAUCAGGCGGUGCUCCUCUCUUUCUCUCUUCCCCUCUCUCUCUUUCUCUCUUUCUCUCUUUCUUUGUCUUUCUCUCUCUUCCUCUCUCUCUAUUUCUCUCUUUCUCUCUCUACAAAAUUCAUGUCAUCCCACUCAUACCCCCUCCAAAGCUCUAUAAAUAGCUCAGAGUAGACGAUCGGAGGGGCGGGCGGUGCGAGAGCGGAUCGUUCACACCCAGUUGCACAUUACAUUAAAAAAAAUAAAAAAAUAAAAAAAAGUGAAGAAGAAGGAGAUGGGAGCUAUAUAUAUAUAUAUAUGAAGAGAUAAAUUACAUCAAUAUAAAUAUUUUAUAUUGAUGUAUGGGCGGAAUUAUCUCUGAGGGUUUUUCAUGUGUAUAUAUACCUAUAUAUAUGAUUGAGAGCGGUUUGUUAUAUAUAAUUUGUUCAAGAGUAAUAUUUUAAUUCUUCUUUUUAUUAGUUUCAUCCACUUCAUUUUUUUCUUUUAUCGCUGGGUGUUGAAAGAGUCUCCGUCAACCUCUUUCGCCAUUCGUGCUCGUAGGAGGAAUUCCGGUCGUGCCUUGCGUUGUUUCAAUUAAUCCCCAUGAAAGGACGGAAUAGUCUUAGGAUAGUGACUCGCACGCUUCCGGAAAGAUCAAAUCUUUAUUUGGAUUUUAGCGUUUAUCAGUAAGGUGCUGUUUUAUUUAUUUCUAUCACAAAACUAGUUUAGUAUUCUAAUCACAAUUGGAUUUUUCAUUGCGGGUUUUCCCCAACAAUACCGGUAUUGAAGCAAAAUCUGUAAAAAUAGAGGGAAAAAACUCUGCUCCAAAGCUCGAAAAUUCUGAAAACGGAGAGAGUUGGUUCCACUUCCUCAAGCACGACAGUCUUUAUUCUUUUUUUUUCUUUUUCCUCUCCAUUGGGCAUCUCUGCAAGGUCCCACUUUGCCAUCUCUCUCCUCUCCCCCUCCUCCUCCCCAGUCAAGUUGUACCCUUUCUCUUUUCCUGCUCCAUCCUCAGCCUUCUCAUUGUCUUCCUCAUCUUCGCGUUGCCCAAGAAAUUUGACGGCCUGCGCCACCUGCUUCAAUGAUGCAGUGAAGGUAGUUUGCGCCCUCCUAGUCUCUAGAGUCCAUAAACUCUUGCGUUGACUGGGCCUGGCUCACGUGAUGACCUUUGCCUCUUUGGUCUCACCGGGUGUCAUCUGUAGACUAUUCUUGAAAAGAUCUUUUCAUUUGUAGCUUUUUCUCUUUCUCAAUUCCGUCACAUCCCUUUUUCGUUAGGGUGACGUUUCUUUGCCCUGUUCGAAUUGAACACGGAUGUGCCAUCAGAUUGACGGUGAGGACAUGUGCUCAAUGCAGAAAAAAUAGAAUGUACAUGUUGAUCCAAACAUUAUCAUAGUAAGUUUUCUAUGUUCUCUUGAGAUGCAUCAAUCUAAUGAAUCUUUUUUUUUUUUAACUCUCGGCGAUCUUUUACUAGGCAUCCAAAUAGGCCCUUAGCUUGUAACAUUUUUUUAGCAUCUAUGUUUUUUUUCGAAGAAAAUGCCUUAAUGCAACCAACUGAUUGCAUUGCAAGCAGCAAUUACAACAAGAGUAGAUUAGAGCUACUGGCACAUCCUAAUCACAAAAGAAUUUAAUGGUUACAAAAAACAAAAAGGAAAAAGGCUACACUACUAGGCGAAGGCCUUACUUCUUAUUUUACAAUAUUGUUUCGUUUAUAAACGAAAAAAAUGAUUAUAAGUAUCAGCGAGGCUUGUAUCUUGUUUUACUUAGUUUCGUUAUUACGGUCAUUAUUAAGGUUCAUCAAGCAUUGUUUUUUGGACAAGUAUUCUUGAUUUUUUUGUUUUAUAUUUAUGAAUACAUCAAACUAGGUGAAGAGAAUAUAUAUCCCAUUACCGGAUGCAAGUGUACGAAGGCUACUUCUGAAAAAGCAACUUAAAGGACAAGCAUUUUCAUUGCCCAGUAAGUAGCAGAGUUCACUGGUCAUUUCUUUUGCGAUGAAAUUUUACUGCUUUGAGUGAGAACUACUAAUACUCAUGCCACAGUUUCACUUAGAAUUGCUUUUUUUGUCUUGUCUUUCCAUUGUUUGUAUUCUAAAAAUGGAUGUACUUUUUUCAAACUGUUAUUCUUGCCAUCGGCAUUUUCCAUUGAUACAAUGUUGGCUACAAGCGUAUAACAGUUCUAAUUGAUCAGAGGGCUUCGUACAAACAAGGCUUUGGAAGUGUUUGCCGAUGUUUGCGAACAUGUAUGUAAAGUUGUAAACACGCAUGAAAGUGGGUGAGCAUGAAAGGCACCCACGGACACAGUUGUGAUCCUUUUAUGUGGAUUAUUCACUGAUUCAGCAUUCUUUCAUCGUUCAUUAUGAAAUCUGCAUAGAGGACAGUUAAAACCGUUUAAAUAUCUUGUCUGAAAUUAUACUUGUCAAUGCUUUCUGCUAACUUUCUGUGAACUUUGUUGUUUGUUUUUUUUUUAAAUUUUGGUUUAUUGCGCAUUAUUUCUCCAUGAAGCCCUCUUUACCUGGUUGAAGAGCAUUAGGUACUUGGUUUUGUCUGAAAUAGUCUUUCGUGAAGAAAGGAUGAGAUAGACCUAUUAUGUUAGGGUUGAAAGUUCUCAAAGACAUCCUUGUGAUAUUUUAAACGGCCAGUGAGAGGAAUUAAUCCUGGAAGUAUUUGUAAGUUAACCUCAAAAUAUUGCAUGCAUGUACAUGUUUAGUGUUCGGAGAAAUACCAAAAUAAUGCGAUGUAGCCGGUGUUCUAUCAGGGAGUUUUGAGCGUUUUGAAAAUGAUAUAAAAAUCAAUUUUUCAAGAAACCAGCAUUUGAGACACUUCUCAUUUUGGAUUGCUUUUGUUUCAUUGCUGCUAAAGGAAAAAUGUGUGAAGAAAAUCUCAAUAAUAUAAAUAGCCAUUUGUUUCAGUCAGUUAUGUUGUAUUGUUGCUGAAUGAAAUGGAGCAGUGUAUCUCACAUGACAAGCAUUCAGAUUUCAAACCUUUGUUAGAACAUGAGCUUUUUUAGAUGCUAGAAUCAUCCUCUCAUGGAAGAACUCUCUCUUACAGGCAGUGAUAUGGAAAGACUUGUCACGGAGACCGAAGGUAGUAUAUUCUACAGUACAUUACUGAUCUAUCGAUUAACCUUUUUAAAGUGCUUUUCAAUCGAACUGUUUGUAUGAUUAGGAUACUCGGGAAGUGAUUUGCAAGCUUUGUGUGAGAAGCUGCAUGAUGCCAAUCAGAGAACUCGGUCUCAGCACAUUCUUACAUAAAAAGCAAUCAGGUGACCACUCAAAUCUAUUCCGCUAAUUGGUGAUUCUCUGAACCAAAUUAGGAAAUUAUUACUCUUCUCCUUCUCAAGGUUUUUUAUUGUGAGAAGUUACAUUAACUUGCUUUGUAGUGCGAACUAUCACCCAUCAUGGAGAAUUGACUUAAAUGCUCCUUUUGUUCUUUCAUGUUCAUUUUAACAAUCUCCUCCAGUCAGCGAUGUUACUUCAUUUUAGUUUUCUUCUCAACUUCUGAAGGAUAGCGAACACACUGUUGAUUUAGACUCCUACUAAAGCAUGAAUUAUUAGUGGCUCCUAUUUCUUUUUUCUUUGUUGUUGUUGUUGUGUUGUUGUUUCUUUAUAAUAAUGAGGGGCUUAAAUCCUCUGAUGCUAUUGUGCUUAUUGUGCUGUUGGUGUUCUCCACUGGUCUUUGGGUGAUUCCUUAGAAAAAAGGCACCUUACAAAUUAACUCUCAGAGUGCCUUAUUAGGAAAGUUAAAAAUAGGCCAGUAUUUAUAUUGCUUUAUACAAAACAGAGAUGUCCCACUUUGUUGGAUCGAUAAAUCUAUUAUAUUGUUAACACGGACAGGUAAAUCCAAGUUUAAAAAUAUCGGCUUGCAUCUUUUUUCAGGUGAGACCACUAAAGAUUUGAAGAUUUUAAGAAAGCGAUGACGGUCAUGUAGACCAAGCUUGCAGAAGAGCAAGUGGCGAGAGAGCUCGAGCAGUGGAAUCAGGAAUUCGGUCCAAUUGAAAGUGUCACUACUUUUAAGGACUGUGAAGUUGCAAGCAACAAUUUUUAUCGUAAUGUUGAUGCAUGUAUAUGAGGGUGAUCUACUCUAAUUGGCAUUAGAUCAUUUCUUCAUCGUCGCACUUUGCUGUCCCUCCCAUUCGAAGCGCAGAUAAACGAGUCGUAUUUCUUCCUCCCUGUGGUUGGCUGCGGGGAGUUUAAUUCAUGUACAGAAAUAUAUAUGCAGGAGUUACUUUUCAUUUCUUGUUCAUAGAACCACAGAAACCCCCUUCUUCGUAUUAAAUUAUUACUCACAAAAGUGAAAUAUUUUGUGAAGAUUCACAAUAGCACGUCUACCGUCUGCCCUUGUUCAGGUUGUUUCAUAUCAGAAUGUAUACAAAUAUUAGUUUCACUUAGUAUAGGAUCCGUCUGCGAACGGGUAUAUAAUAUUUCAACUAAUUCAAAUAUAUAAUUAUUAAAAAUUAAAAUAAAAAAUAUUAAAGUAUACAAAUUAUAAAAUAGUCUUAUAUACAUUAAAAAAUAAUUUGUUAAUUAAUAUUUUUUUAACUUUUAAUAUUUAUAGGGUUGAAUUAUUUAAUACUUUUAUUAAAAUUUUGACUAAAUAUUAUAGGCUAAUUUGAUAAAAAAUCCACUUAUUUUGGGCUUUUGCAAAAUCGGGCAAUCUUUUUCGUUUUUGCAGAUUCGGUCCGCUUUUUUCAGCAAACUGACCAAAAUACUCUUAUUACUUUUUCACUUUCUCUUUUCUCUCCUCUUGCGUUCUCCGUCGUUCUUUUUUUUUUCCGCCGGAAAAAAAAAAGCGAAGCCAGGCAGAGCAAUUUUUUUUUUCUCUUUUUCUUUUUCUUCUCUUCUUCCUCCUGCUACAGCACUUUUUUUUUUCCUCUUCUUCUUCUUCUUCUUCUUCUUCCUGUAAGAGCACGGGGCGCGCCACGGCGACUUCCGGCCUCGCCAAGCAGUGUUCACCCGGCGCGUUCUGCAGGGAGGAGUCGCACCAGCGAUCGCGAGCGCCGCGGCGAGGGUGGGCAGCGCCGGAGGCGUCUCCAGCGUGGAGCGGUGGGAUGUUCCCGUAGCCGAGAACGUCGCGCAGCAGUCGAGGGCGGCGGUCCGCCACUGCCAGUGCUCGCUCGGCGGCGUUGGCCGCCGUCGCGAUCUCCGACGCUUCUUCUUCCGUAAUGGGUGUAAUUGGUGCACGCGGGCCGUGCACGCGAGCGGCCGAGCGGGCACGGGGCGUGUGCGGCUGCUUCUUCUCGGAUCAUAAUGAUGUAAGUGUGCACGUAUUACACCAUUAAUGGUGUGUAAUGGUGUAAUACACCAAUUAACAUGUGUAAUGGUGCCACCAUUAACCAUUACAUGGUGAAAUUACCACCCCAUUUAAUGAUGUGGUAACCAUUACACCAUAAUGGUGAAUAUUCACAAUUUAAUGGUGUAACCAUUUAACCGUUAAUGGUCGUUAAUUACACCAUCUUACAUCAUUAACCGUUAAUGGUGUAAUUACACCAAUUAACACCAUUAAUGGUGUAAUGGUGCUAAAUUACACAUUCCAACCGGUGCCGCGGCCCGCGAGCGAGAGUUUCCGCGGGUGGAGCUCCGGCGCCGCCGCAGUGAAGCAUGGUCUCGGUCCGGCCGCCGGGCGGUGGCGCCUCCGCAGUGAAUAUCCACCGCUCCCCUGGAGACUGGCCCCUCCUCCCUCCCUCCGACCAUGUCCUCCGAACUUCUCCCAGAUCCUCCCUCGACCAUCGUCUCGACUUCCCAGACCCAGCAGCGAAGCCGAAGCAGAAGCAGAAACCAGAAGCGGGGCGAAGGAGGACGGGGCUCUCCCUCACCGCACGGUCCGCGUCGGCCGUAGUUGCCACGCGAUGCGCGGAUUGUCCGCAGCAUCCGUCCCUCGCGACGCCGCCCCCGCGGCGGCGAGCGGCGGGCGAACCGUAGGUGCGACCGGGAGGCGCCGCGGUCAGUGGGCGGGGGCGGGGGAGGAGACGCUGGCUCGGUUUGGGAGGCGAGAAGAAGGCGAGACGCCCGCGGUGUCAUCCCGCCAGCCCGCGGAUCUCGAGGCGGCCGGCGGCGGCGGGGGGCGCCGCCGACGAACGAGGCCGCGGCGGGCCCGCGGGGGGGCAAGACGAGGGGCGGGUCCGGCGGCGCAGCACGCGCUGAAGCUCUGCCUGCGCGAUUGCCCCCACCGAGCCGAGCUCUGCCGCGGAGCUCGGGGGGCACCGCGCACGCACGGGCCGGUGCACGCGGCGGCUUGCGGGCUUCGGGUCGGACGGAGGCGCGGGGAGGUCUGGGUCGGCCGGCUUCGAGAUCAGCGGUGCCGCCAAGCCUCCCUCCUCCUCGCACGUUCGCCGCGGAGGAGGGCCACGUCGAUCCGGCGAGCCUGCGCGGGCGUCGCUGUCCUGGCUGGCCGGUUCUUCUCAUAAUGUGUAAUGGUGCACCAUUAUUACCAUCUAAUGGUGUAAUUACACUAUUAACACCGCGUUUUGAAUGCGUUGGUAAUUUACACCAUUAAUGGUUGUAGAUGGUUACACCCAUUAAUGGUGGAAAACACCAUUACACCAUUAGUGGGUAAUGGUGUAAUUACACCAUAACGGUGCACGCGCCCGCGAGCGAGCUGCGGGUGAGCUCCGCCGGGCGCAGCCACGAGGAGCGAGAUGACGAUCCGACGGCGGCGCGCAGCUGCUGCCUGCUGUGGAAGAGGAUGCGGCGCGGGGCGGCCGGCGUCGUUAGAGGAGCGAGGGGAGGGAGAGGGCGAGUGCCGCGGAGACGGAGGCGAGGGAGGGUUUGUUACGCGUGGAGUCGUCGGGCUUGUGGCGCCGAAGAAGCAGACGCGGGCCGCAGCCGGUCUCGUUCUCUGCAGAGGCGGGUGCGUACUGGCUGGGUGGAGCCAGACUCGAACAGCCGGUCACUAGAGGGAAGAAGAGAAGAAGAAGAAGAAAAGAAGAGGGGAAAAAAAAAGGUGCUCCAGCAGAGAGGAAAGAAGAGAAGAAAAAGAAAAAGAGAAGAAAAAAAUGCUCCGCCUGGCCUUCGCUUUUUUUUUUUCCGCGGAAAAAAAAAAGAACGAGAGAACGGAAAAGAAGAGAGAAAGAGGAAAGAGAAAAGUAAUAAGGGUAUUUUGGUCAGUUUGCUGAAAAAGCGGACCGAAUUUGCAAAAACGAAAAAGUGGCCAUUUUGCCAAAAGCCCAAAAUAAGUGAAUUUUAUGCAAAUUGGCCAAAUUUAUAUUGGUCAUUCUGUAAAUAAUUUUUUUUAAUUAAAAAACUAAAGUUGCAGAACUGAUUUUAAAUUAAUGAUUAGAUAAGAGAGAAAGAGAGAAAUAGAGAGAGAGAGAAGAGAGAGAAAGAGAGAAAGAAAGAGAGAAAGUGAGAGAGAGAAGAGAGAAAAAGAGAGGGAGAGAGAGGAGAGGAGUAGCGCCAGAUGGGGGGAAGAGAGAGAGAGAGAGAGAGAGAGAGAGAGCUGUAGAAGAAUAGGGAAGAGAGAGAGAGCCAGUUGUAAGAAAAGUGUGAAAGCCCAAGAUUUCCAAACAUAUAAACAUGCAUUUUGAUUUUUCAAAAAUUUAUAUUUUUAUCUCUCAAGUUUCAAAAUUAAUGCACUUAACCCUCUUCUGCCAGACUUUUUUUUAAUUGUUUCAUCUAUUUCAUAUAAUUUAUACCAAAAAUUCUUUUAAAUAAUAAAAUAUAUUAAAACAUUUAUAUAAUAUAUAUAUUUAUAUAUUAUUAUUUAUUUAUUUUCUUAGAGCAAGUAUAUAAGAUCAAUUUGACUAUUUCUUUUUUCCAAUUAGCGGCAUAAUUUAAAAAUAUUUUUAAAUUUUAAGAAAAUAAAAUAUAAAAAUUUUAAAGUCAGUGGAUAUUUAUAAAUUUCUUUUUUAAUAUUUUAGCCAUUAUUAUUAUUAUAAGUUUCAAGAUUUAGGGCAUCGCCAAUCGCACCAUUCUAAGAAGCUCGAGUUAAGUCGCGGUCCAAAUUAAGCUAAUUCGUACCCAGGUGACGUUCUAAUUAAAAACGAGGAACGUUUCCGACCCGGUCUCGACCCCUAGCCCGACCCAGAACGUGACGCAGUGAUCUCACCGCGCGUGACUAUGCUUGGAAAGCAAGUCCUCCGCGCAGGAUCAAACGGACGGCCGAGAACCCCCGAGGAGAAGAUAUUUUUUGUCUCGCGCCAGAAACUUCCCCCGCACCCCUCGGGCCGCGUUGUGCUGCCGGAGAGAGAGAAGAGCGGACGAAAUUAAGGAAAGGGCUUGAAGUCUUUGACAGUGGUGGAGCCGGGGGCAGGCGGCAGCGGGUCAAGCGGGUGGAGGCUUGGGUCGUUGACGAUGGACACAGCGGCGGCAGCGGGUCGAGCGGCUCGGGCUGCGUUCGGCUUGGGCUUAGCCGGCGCCGAGCGGAAACGGCGGGGAUGCGGCAGCGGCGAUGGCUAACAGCGGGCUUGGGUGGCGGCGGCAGGGUACGUGGGCAGCGGCGGCAGACGUGGGGGACACGGCGGCGGCGACGGCGGACGUGGGGACGCGGCGGCAGCGGCGGCUCGCCUCUGUUAACUAUAUAUAUAUAUAUAUAUAUAUAUAUAUAUUAUAUAAUAUAUAUAUAUAUAUACUANNNNNNNNNNNNNNNNNNNNNNNNNCAUAUAAUCAAGUUUUUGAAACCCAAAAUUCAGCUAUAACCACCUGAGCCAACAAAGUGUACAGAAAGUAAAAUCUACCUGUCCUCUGACUUAAUAUUUGUAGUCUCUCCGCAACUUGCCCCUGCCAUUUUGAUAUCUUUUGCUGGUAAGUCUUAACCUGCAUCUUCUCACUGUAGACAUAACCAGCAAACAAAUAGAUUUAGAACUUCUCAAAAAGGGAAGAAAGCCCCAUAACCCUCUGAAUUUUGUGGGAUUGUAAUCGCUAUCUGAGUUCAAAAAGUCACAAAUUACUGAGAUGAACAAUCAAUUUGUCUUAGGGCUAUAUGGUAUUGGGCGAGGGGUAUCCACUGCCAUAGCAUCAAAAGGAAUUGGGACAGAAAUAGAUAGAGAUAUGCUCCUACAUUUUACGAUGGGAGCAUAGAAAUCAUAUCUUAACACUGGUAGAAAUAAACAGAAUAUGUUUUAACCAUAUUUCUUCACUGUACGCAACUCAUUCUAACUGCAGUUUCCUAAUAGUAUCUGAGUUUGGAUGACAAGAGUUCAGAUAGAAGUCUGACAUUGUUUUAUUGCCACACGGCAAUCAUGGGCGGAAAUUCAAAUUGUGCGAUAGACUAAGAUUAAUUGAUUGUUCAGAGAGCAAAUUCCAAAUUUUCUUUUAAGCAUCAAUUGGUGAUUUGUAAUUCGGCCAAAGUUCAAUGGCACAUUUCUUUUCAAACAUGAAUUGUAGAGUAAACUCUCCCAACACAAGAACAGCAAUUUAAGAAGGAUCGAUUGAUUGAUCAGAAGAUAAGAUUUACACGGAGGAGAGGGCGUCGGGGACUCGGACGGCCUUGGAUUCGAGCAUGACGCGGAGCGCGUUCUUGUAGUGCGCGACGGCGUCGUCGGCGAGGCCCCACUCCUCGGCGCGCACGGCCUUGUCGAUCUCCUCCUUGGCCAGCUCGAAGUACCCCUUCAACUUCAGCGCCGCCCUCUCGCCGACGACGUUGGAGGGCCCCGCGGCGGCGGCGGCGGCGGCGGCGGAGCUCUCCAUGGCGCGAUCGGAGCCGGGCGCGAGCGGAUUCGCGGCAGCGGCGGCGGAGAGGAGGGAGGAGAAGGAAUUGAAGAGAUCCUUGAUGUAGCUCAUGCGAGUACGGCAGAUCGGGUGGGAAAUUAGGGUUAGGGUUUGAUUAAUUCUUGAGGACCGAAGGAGAGGAAGGGAUGCGGUCGAAAGAAAUCAUGAGGAGAGAAAAUUAACGAAUCUGAAGGAAAUCGUCUACGCGGCCGAUCGAGGGCGCGUAGUUGAUUCGUUGCACAACUCGCACCUUCAAUAGAGAUUUUCUAUUUGCGAUAGAGUUUUUCUAUUUGCAAAUGCCGGGUGCGUUCACUCUUUGUCCAUCAGUCGCUUUCGAGCAACGCCAGGGGCACACCAAAAAGUAUGUCUAGAUUAUACACUCGAUCCGUUGGGCCUUUUUUUCAUUUAACCUCGCAAAAAAACAAAAAAGAAAAACCCUAAUGACCUUACCAAAUUUAUAUUUACUAAUUAAGAACCCACGCUUCACGAUAGACGAAAAAUUUACAAUAAAUAAAAAAUAAUAAAUAAUAAAAAAUUUAUUUGUGUAAAUUUUUGUAAUAUUAAAGAUUAAAUCAAGUCAAAGAACAUAAUAAAAUAGAUAUCCAUCCAUUAAUCACAAAAAUUCUAAAAGAUGCAUCAGCAAUAAACAGAAUAAUUUUAUUAUAUUAUCAGGGUUUGCUCUUGCUAUUGAUUCGGCCAUCAUCUUCUGUAAACCUAUGAAGUUAUCAUAGUAAAAAAUAUAUAUAAGUUUAAUUGAUAAAUAAUUAUAAAGAACUUAUUAAAUCGAUGCAGUUGUAGUGGAAUUACCUAAGACGCUUUCUGCUUGGCUGAACCACAUUAGAAGUGAAUAAAAAGAAGUAAAAUGCAGGCUAUUUAUUAGUAUAACUAAGUAGACUUAAAAGGACCAGAAAUUAAAAAGUUCAUGUUUUCCGGGUACUCGCAAGUACCCAGUUAAUUACCCCCUCUCGCUAUAUUCAGGCGACCUCCGAUUAAACUGAUCAUAAUAAAAAAAAAAUACUCUCUUUUAAGUAAUAAUAUUUAUUUUUUUUUGAUUAAAUAAUAAUAAUAAUAAUAAUGUUAACAGAAAGUAGGUUAUAAUAAGUACAAUAGAAUUGAUGAUAAUCUUAUAUUACCAUGAUAAUAUUUUAAAGAGAAACUCUUUUUUUUUUUUUGGUUACGCAAAAAUAUUUAGUAAUUUUCGACUUAAAAAAAGGAUAAGCAAAUGCAUACAUUAAAUAAUUCACAACACUUAAUCACUCAUGCCUUUCCUUUUUUUUUUCUUUUUUUUCUUUUUUUUUUUUUUACGGAACAGCUAAAUGAUGCUCAUAUAAAUGACAUCUAAUUUCCAAAAUAAUCAGUUAUUAUGUAGGAAGGACAGGAAAAGUAAGCAAAAUCAAAUAAAAUAAAAUAAUUUCAAUUUGCAGAUAAGUCCUUCUUUCUUUCUUUUUUUUAGAGUAGUACGAUAGUUCUAUUAGUAAAGGGAAACUAUAAAGUACAUUUUAUUUUAAGCCUAACAAAGAAAUCACCCCCUUUUAUUUUUUUGUUUGCUUGGCUUCGAAGCAAUGGAGUGGCAGCUGUUUAGGUGAUUUAAGUCGGCAACAGCAGCUUGGGCAACUUAAGCUGCAAUGGCUUAGGUGACGUCGACGAUGGACACAACGGCUUGGGCGGUGGACACAGCGGUGGACCGACGAUGUUAACGGCUGUGCCCGCCGCCGACAUCACCCAACGCCACUGAAGCCGCCGUUGGCCCUUCGUCCACCAUCGUGCCAGCCGUUAACACCGUCGGUCCGCCGCUGUGUCUACCGCCCAAGCCUUUGUGUCCAUCGUCGACGUCACCUAAGCCAUUGCCGCUUCAGUUGCCCACGCUGCUGUUACCGACUUAAAUCACCUAAAUAGCCGCCACUCCAUUGCUUCGAAACCAAGCAAACAAAAAAAUAAAAGAGGGUGAUUUCUUUGUUAAGCUUAAAAUAAAAUGUACUUUAUAGUUUUCCUUUACUAAUGGAACUAUCGUACUAUUCUAAAAAAAAAAAAAAGGACUUAUCUGCAAGUUGAAAUUAUUUUAUUUUAUUUUAUUUUGCUUAUUUUUCCUGUCCUUCCUACAUAAUAACUGAUUAUCUUGCAAAUCAGAUGCCAUUUAUAUGAGCAUCAUUUAGCUGUUCCGUAAAAAUUAAAAAAAAAAAAGGAAAGGCAUGAGUGAUUAAGUGUUGUGAAUUAUUUAAUGUAUGCAUUUGCUUAUCAUUUUUUUAAGUCGAAAAUUGCUAAAUAUUUUUGCCUAACCAAAAACAAAAGAAAAAGAAAAGAGUUUCUCUUUGAGUAUUAUCAUGGUAAUAUAAGAUUAUCAUCAAUUCUGUUGUAUUUAUUAUAACCUACUUUUGUUAACAUUGUUAUUAUUAUUAUUAUUAUUUAAUCAAAAAAAAUAAAUAUUAUUACUUAAAAGAGAGUUUUUUUUUUUAUUAUGAUCAGUUUAAUCGGAGGUCGCCCGAAUAUAGCGAGAGGGGUAAAUUAAUCGGGUACUUGCGAGUUUCCGGAAAGCAGGAACUUUUUAAUUUCUGGUCCUUUUAAGUCUACUUAGACUAAUAAAUAGCCUGCAUUUUACUUCUUUUUAUUCACUUCUAAUGUGGUUCAGCCAAGCAGAAAGCGUCUUAGGUAAUUCCACUACAACUGUAUCGAUUUAAUAAGUUCUUUAUAAUUAUUUACCAAUUAAACUUAUUUAUUUUUUUUACUAUGUUAACUUCAUAGGUUUACAAAAGACGAUGGCUCAAUCAAUAGCAAGAGCAAACCCUGACAAUAUAAUAAAAUUAUUCUGUUUAUUGUUGAUGCAUCUUUUUGAAUUUUUGUGAUUAAUGGAUGCACAUCUAUUUUGUUAUAUUCUCAGACUUGACCUAAUCUUUAAUAUUACAAAAAUUUACACAAAUAGUUUUUUUUGUUGUUUUUUAUUUUUUUAUUUAUUGUGAAUUUUUCGCCCGCCGCAAAGCGCGGGUCCUUAACUAGUUAGACAUGAUUUUGUAAACCUAGCUACUAUUUAGCAAGCUCAUGACCACAAACGGCCCAAAAAUAAUUUUUUUUUCUUUACAAAAUUAUAUUUAUGUGUUAUUUUUAUCAGUUAGUUACAAAAAAAAAAAAAGCAAACGUGAUUGACCGAGUCCAAAGGUUUAAAUGCAAACGUUCAACACCGUACAAACAAUGGAGGUGAAGUAAAUCAAGGGGAAGGUCAUCGAUCAUAUCAUCGCCCUUCCUUCGUGCCUAGAUAUUCAUCGAUUCAAAAUAUUUUAUCAAUAAAAAAUUUAAAAAAUAUAUUAAAACUAAUCUACAGAUAACUUUUUUAUAAAUAAUUGAAUUUUGAGUUAACUCUUUAUUUUUUUUUUAAAAAAAUUCUAUUUUGUUUCUUUAAAAUUUAAAAUUGUGAUGUUUAACUUAGUAUUAUUAUAAUUUCGCCAUUAUUCUGUGCAUAAAUUGUGUGGUACAAUUGAACAAUCAGUAAUAUAUAUACUCAUUAAAUUCUUAGAAGUGGUAAUAAAAAAAAUUAAUUAAUAAAUAAUUGGAAAUCUCUUUCAUAAAGUUAUAUUAUUUAAGAGAAAAUAUAUAUAUAUUUUUGUGCAUUUCCAUAAUUUUUAAGGAUAUAAUAACUAUCUUUGGAAAUUUUUUGACUGUACCGUACAAUUAUAUGUAUGAAUUAGUGACGAAAUUAUAACGUGCAGAGUUAAGUGCUACUUCAAUUCUAAAUUUUAAGAUAAGAAAAUAUAAGCUUUGAAAUGACAGAGAAGGAAAAUAAAACAAACAAAUAUCUAUAGAAAAAGGAUUUCUAAGUUUUAGUUAAUAUAAAAUCUUCAUGUUUUUUAAAGGAGUUCAAUUACUCCACUGAACAUCAGGAUACCAAUUUCAAAAAUGUAUUGUAAUACCCUUUUAAGUAAACUUUAGCUGCAACUUUUCCUAAGUCAAGACAUGUCUGAUCGACAAGAGAAAGUAUAAAAUGUGAUAGUCACAUAGCUAAUGUGGCGUCUCUAACCAAUUAUAUUUUGGUUCACCAAUCUCACCAUAAUAUAUAAAAGUUUUUUUUUUUUGUACUUUAAGAGUUGUGAUUGACUGAAUAAAUAUGAUGUGGUGUAGGUGUUGACUGAUGUUACUUAUCGGUGUAGUGAAAAGACUAAUUUUAACAGCAUUCUGCUCUUACCAACAGGCAAUAGAUGAGGAGGUCUUCACCUAUUUUCAUCUAUAUCUGCUUAGCAGCCCACUACAGUUCAAUCAUUCCUUACCUGGGGCUAUCUAAUACACUCAUACUAACUAGCAUCCGAGAAAUACAAUGGCUCUAAAAAAGAUUGCAGCAGACUGGCAUCUCUCAUAAUAUUGAAAUUAUUUUGCGAACUAAUUCACAGGCUAAAAGUCACCAGAAAUUAAGAACAAAUUUUUUAUACACUUGGUUUAUACCCCUCACCCUCUUCCUCUCUUUACCCUCUUUCCUCUCCAAAACCAGCCGACUCUCACUGCUGCAGCUGUUAUUUUCGUCCUUUGCACAGUACGAACGACAAAAUAGCGGCGCAAAAGAACUCUUGCGCCGUUCCCAAAUCCCGAGUUUUCGAAUCCUGCCCCUCCCAUUCGAAACCCUAGCUCCUUCGAUCAGGGAGAAGGGUUGGUGGCCACGGCGCUCUACCUCCUCUUUGAUGUAAUAACUGAGAUUUUUGAUUUAUUGAUUAAACCCUUUUGUUUGACGAUGUUCUUGUGUGUAAUAUAAUUAUAAGUGUACUCGUCAAAUUUCAGGAGAAAACGAGUUAAAACGGAGAAGUUACGCGACCCGGAAGUCUGACUUAAGUGAAUAGUAACUCCGGUUUUCCGGAGAGGCCGCGGAGUAGAGUGGACUUUCGACGCGUAUCGGACUCCGAAUAUAGCCUUCUAAUAGCUCGUUUUCAACUGCUCGACUAUCCUGGACCCAAUGGCACUGACGGAAUUGGAUUUGGAUGCACGGAUUUCGAGAAAAAGGGGUUUAAUGGUUUUUGCAUAUACGAUCGUACAUUGCGUGGUUUUGCGUGGAACCUUGAGGGAUGGUUUUGUCGCAAAUGGAAACCUUUUCGGUGAAAAAAUGCUAAUUCGAUGCGCUAUGUAUGACUGAUGCGCUGGUGCGAGCGAUAGGAACAUCCGAAGGAGCGGGAUUUCGGGAAUCCAGAAAAAUCGCGAAGGGGACUGAUUUGGAAAUGGUCAUUCCCGAAAAGGCCUAUAAUUUUAUGGCAAUCGAAUUGAGAGUUUUUCGAACAUCAGAGUGGACAUCAGGCAUUGUGGACUUGAUGGUAAUGAUAGCUGGAUAAUGCUGAUUCGCUUUCGAGGGGCGUUUUCGCAAGUAUUUCCAUAUCUUUAUAUAAGGUGAUCUUAGGUUUUUGACCAAAACUAACAGCUAGAACACCCAGCUCACCUGGCACCCAGGCCCGUACCCCCCUUCGCGGACCCUCCCGCAGUGUCGUUCGCCGAUGUCCGCAGCACCCCGGCGCCGGAACAGGCCUGCAGGCCACGAUUUUCAUCCUUCUCUGAACCACUCACCACUGCUUAAGCUUUGUGCCUGAGAGGCAUGUUAGCCCGAUGACACCUUCCUCUCGGUCUCGACGGCACGCACUCACCUCACUGCCCAGACCUCCCCCGUCGCCGCUCGCGCGGCAGCCCAACCCGAGAGGAUAUAAGUGUGGCGGCCCGGAUCUCCGCGCGGCGCCGGUCAGGGAGGCCGUGAGUUUCGCGAUGCUGAGCGGGUCGCGCAAACCCGGCGUGACUGCCCGUACCGGCCAGACUCCCCGGACUCCCGACAGCUGCCCAUCCCGACCGGGAGUGCCGCCUUUUCCGAUAGUGCGGCCCUAGAUCGACAGUCGGUGAGUAGUUAUAAUUUUGUUGCCAGCAGCUGGCUGGUUUUGCAUUACGGUAACCUUUCGUGAAACGAUGGAUCCUGGCCUGGAGGUGAGCAGGUGAUUGUGGGACGUGUGCUGAACGUAUGUCUCAACCUCCAUUUAGGCCUAACGUCCCUGGUUAGUAAGAAUAAGGCUGUUAUUCCACAGUGUGCCAUUGAUACGCUGAGGUUCGAGUCGUCGAUGCGCCGCGUGGUUCUGCGAGUGCUCCGAAAGGUGACACGGCUCAGCAUGCUGAAACCUGGAGCAAGUGCGAUGGCAACCUCGUAGAGUACUGUUUGUUGUAGGACCGUUAGAGCAUGAAAUCACAUAAAUAUUCGUUCCUGGGCCAUUAGAGGAAUGCUUUUUGCGUUUCGCUUGUCAUGCUGUUUGGCAGGAGGUUACAGUUAAGAUAACCUUGGAAUGAUCGUCAGGCCCAAGCCCGUUGCGGAAAUCUAACGUCAUUUCGGACGUUUUUCAGGGAAAUACCCGAUAGAUACGCGUGUUCGACCUCGGAAUUCAUUCGCGGUGCUCGUGGUUUGAUUAUUGAGGCGUCGCUAGACUUGUGGCUGUCACCCGUGUCGUCUGAGGGUUAGAAACGACGGCUGGCGAUGAUGGCAGUUCCGGAGUACGGUUUUCGGGACUUCACGCGUGGUUGCGGAAGUUGGUUGAGAAACCGAUUUUCCGAGGGUUAUUAUUUUGGGAUUUGUGUGAGAAAUGAUCGGUUAAUUAGUGUUAUUGUGGUUAGACUCUAACGCCGGUGGAUCGCUUCGUAGUCGGAUCGCUUCGCUAUCCGCUUCAGCGAGACCAGUUUACUUUAUCGGGGGUACUUUUCGAUCGAGUCGAUAAGUGGUGCAUGCUCGGUGAUGUCUCAUUUACUAUCUUUGUACAUCGUCUAGUCAUAGUUGCUUAUCAUCUUAAAUACAUAUUGAGCCUUGCAACCAUACACUGUCUUUAUUACUUGGGCCGGUUUUGCCUAUGCUAGUAUUCUGUUAAGAGAGGUAGAGUAGAUGGCAUUAAGUAUAUAUACAUAUUAAUGUACCUGAUUGGUCGUUCCCUGUUGGCAUCGGACUCUGGUUGUCGUUCGUUACUUGUUACGUACAUUGACCUAUCUACGGUGUUAGUUGUACUUGAUGAACCUAUACGCGUUAAUGCGAGGGGCAGUGAUUGGGCUGUUGCGACGGUGCUGAUUGAGCAUAUCAGAUCGAUCGUCCACUCGUUUGCAUUUCUCACGAAACGACAGGGUCUGAUUCACCGCAGGCGUGUCUUUCCGGAAAAGUGGUUUGGCUUGCCCCCCAUCUGAGCUCGAGGUUACGACUGGAUAUGCAGGUUGAAGUGAGUUGGCUUAACUGAGUUCUGACAACAGGCAGGUUUAGAUUGGGUAUCUUUUGACUAUGACAUUGAUGCAUACAUAAAGUAGCGUAGUUCUUAGCUUGUACAUUAGUUAUUACUUGUACUUUCUGUUCUGUAUCAAUUAGCUUAUGUAGUUGUUUACUUAUGUAUUGGUUGAGCCUCAUGUGGUGGGCGUACCCUCGCCUGUCGUUUCGUAACCACUGGGGGAGACAUUUACAUGUUCUCACCCCACGCCAUUACAGGUGCGUCGAGUCCAGAGUGGCGCAGGUAGAGGAGGCGGUAGUGGCGUAUAGAGCUCGUAACGCCGUUUGUUAUCUCUUUAUCCUCUUGCUUGACUAAAUAGUCAAUUUUAUAUGGUUCAGAUUUAUUCUGUACUUGGUAAUUGGUUUUCGCAUGGCUUUACACUAUUGUGAUAAAAAAAAGGUUAUGGGCUUUUCACGUAAAAUGGUUUUCUACUCGUGUAGCGCUUAUUUAAAAGAAGGUUUUCGUAUUCGAUACAGUUUUAAUGUUUCUACCCCUCGUGAGUGUUUUUAAAAAUACAGGUUUCCGUGUGGGAAACAGUCUUAAAAGAAGCUUCCAAUGGAUUUCUGAGACUUAGUAUUUCAAAACUUUUUCCGGGUAGGAAACGUUUCAAAUGAUAGAUCUGGAUUUAUGUUUAAAACUAUGAAUACCGUCGUGUUAUGAAUGGUGAAUGUAUGGACGUCUGUAUGUGCGGUUGAGGUUGUAUGUUCAUAUGGUUGUGGUUGUAUUCUGGUUGUACUCUGGUUGUAUAAUUGUACUUGUGCGACGCCGUGCAAAUACAGGGGAGACUCUGUCCGUGUGAACAGUGGAUUCCCUGUAUUUGUGGCGGAUCUGACAUACUCUGGGGUCAGGUGUUUCAAAAAAAAAAAUUUAGUCGUUUCCGCUGUUUUUCCAAACUAAAAAGGGACCCCGGGGCGUGACCUUUGUGUCGGCACCGGGGUAUUCUCUCUUCGAGGCGUACGGCCUCGACGAGAUCGGCCAAAACACCUAAGCCGUGCGCACUUCGUCCUCGACUUCACGCACUUCAGCAAGUCAUCAAAUUCGUCAGCUUCUAUAGAAUCGCUUUUUUGUAGACAUCUCCUCCUUCGACCAAAUUAAGUUUGCAGCGCUGCAGAAGUCGGCGCCGAGAUCUGCAUGAGGCGGCUGUUGUCGGUGCUGUGUCUGAGGCGGACGCCAACUUCUGCUUCUUCUCCUCCUUCUUCUUCUUCUCCUCCUUCUUCUUCUUCGGGACAUCAUCGCCCUGUACCCAUCUCUUUCCCUCUCCCCAUUUUUUCCCUUCUCUUCGCAUUCGAAACUCUUAAUUAAUUAUUAAUCAUUAUUAUUAUUAUGAAUUUUUUCUAUAUUUUUUGGACGGCGGGCUUCACAGGAUCGUCGGGAUCCGAUCAGGGGAUGGUUGUACUCUUGCGAUCUCCGGGAUUCGCGUACGGCGCGACGGGAUUGGCGGUGCAGUGAAGGAAAAAGGGCGAUCCCUCUUUCGUUUCUUCUUUCUCCCUUUAUUUUAUUUUAUUUUAUUACUAUUAUUAUUUGAGAUCGGGGAAGAGAGAGAGAGAAGGAGAGAGAAAGAGAGAGAGAGAGAGAGAGAGAGGCAUCGGAGUAGCACAGUACAGGGGAUUGGGGAGGAGCGAAGGCGCUAAGAAGAGGGGACCCACGGGUCAGAUGGAUGAGAGAGGGGAAAAAAAAUUAUUGGGGCCCACAUCCAAAAUCAAGGGGAAGCUGCAAAACGGUUAAGGGUUCGCCCUUUAAUGUUAUUGUAUAGAUACUAGUGCAGUGACCCUCACGAUGCAGCGGGUAAGUAAUAUUCGAUAUUUAACUUAUAAUUGUUGAUUAUCUUCGUUACAAGAUAAAUAACAUAUCAUACUUGCAACAUAGAGAACAAAAAAAGAGUAAAAAAAAUAGAACUAUAAGAGAAUAAAAUUUGAUGCAUAGUUAAACUGAAUAAAUAUUUGAGAUCUUACAAAAAAAAAAGGCUAAAGAAAAACGAAAUAGUAAAUACAUAAGAAGAAUUAAAAAAUUUUGAGUAACAAACAAAUAAAAGCAUAAGCAGUUAAUCAACAACAGCAUGAGGGACCAUAAAUACAAUAAAACUGAGAGUUGUAGAAGUCGAGGAAAGAGUGCAAGAGUUGGCUGUAAGAAAAGGCAAUAGUCAGUAAAGAAUUAAAGAAAGAAUGAAAUAGGACUAAUAGGAAAAGUCGAUUAAAAAAUAUUACUAACUAGCUGUCCCAAAAAUAUGCGAUUGCAGUAGUACAAAAAUCAAAUGUAGCAGCAACUUACAAAAUUAAUUAGAAUACAUAAGUUGCAAAACUUAUAGUCAAAUAAUUUUAAACAAGAAUAGUAAGAAAACACCAUCACAACAAUCGAAAAAAAUAAUAUACAUAACACACUGGUUGUAAUUAUUUCGCAAUUGUCAUCCUGGUUAAUUUACUGUGUAAAAUAUGAUUUAAGCCGAUAGAUAAGUUAAACUGACAAAUAGGGCUGACACAAAUCCCAUACAAAUCCAUAAUUAAGCAAAAUAGUUAAACUGACAGGUAUUUCGCACAAAAGCCCAAAUAUAAAGAAAUUCUGACAUGUCGACAAAAGGAAAUGGAAUUUAAUUAGAAAGUAUACCUGCCCAAAUUAAGAAAAUACCUCCACGUGGACUAAAACAAACCUGAUUUCGUCAGAAAUUAUAUGUAAAUAAAUGGAAGGUAAUUAAAAAUAUUUGGUAUACAUAAGAAGGAAAGAAUGAAUUAGAACUAAUAGUAAAACUGUAAUAUCUUUUUCCAACCCACAUAUAUAGUAGAUGAAACAAUAGUAGCAAAAGAUCAAGUGAAGUAGCAACUUCGAAAAUUGAUUAUAAAAGUAAAAAAAAACAUCAUCACAACAAUCGAAAAGAUAUAAAGUGAAAUAAAAUGAAGGAGCAGCUCCUAAGGUUAAGUAGAAGCUAGAGAAAUAUCAGCAAGAACUUGUAGUAAGAAACGAUACAGAAAAAAAGGGAAAAAAAAGGCAAACACAAACUAAUGAUAAAAUAUACAUCAUAAGGAGCAUAAGCAGUAGUAGUAGAAAUUUGAGUAAAUCGAAAAAGAUCAACAGGUCAUAAAAUUCUAUUUUUACUAUAGGCUCAGACAUGUAAUGAGUAUUAUCAAUAGUCAACAAUAGUAUUUUUUUCAUUUCAAAAGUCUUCGAGAAAAGGUGCUGCGUAUAGUUAUAUAUGUUCUCAAUAGCUUAUGUAUCUCUUGAUGGGGGUAAUCACUGGUUGCAAUUAUUUAAUAACUGCCAUCCUAGUUGAUACUCAACCGGCAGAGAAAUAGAGUUUUUUUUGCCGCAAAUAAAAUUUUUUACGAAGGCAUAUUAUAUGGGCAACAAGAAGGGACCGCAGAUAAUGAAUACGAACCAUUUUCGUGACUGGAGGGGAUGAAUAAGCCGAAACGAAACGUCCCUUAGGGGAAUGGCGCGACGAGACCCCUUCUGUUUGAUCUACAAUGAACUGUCAGACCCUUUUGAUCUAAAUUUGUCAACCUAUUAACUUACAAGUAAUAAUACUUCUAUACUAAGAUAUACUUUAUUGUACAUAAAUACUCACAGCCAAAAUACAGAACAAAAAAAAAGUAAAAAAAUACUAAAAUAAGUGUUGGAACUAUUUACUAUCGUCCAAUCCAUGCAUUGCUAAUAUUUUUAGAGCUAUCUAAUUCUGCAACCAUCACAAUUAGCAAGAUAUAACAUCAAAACAACUCAGUAUUAAACCUUACACCGGAUCAAAACAUAGAGGAGGAACAUCAAACUCACCUUGAUGAGGAUCGUAUCGCCACAGAAAAGCUAGAGCUUCUCUAUGGUCUCCGGAUUCAUUGAAACGGCAGAGUUGUCGUCGUUCGUCGCCUCAUCCACAACCAACCUAUUCGCCGCCUUCUUGCACUCUAGGAUCGCGGUGCUAUAAUCCCUCUUCGUACCCUUGCUGCAAGAUUUUUCCCGAUCAAAAAUAGAUCAACAUUAGAACCCUAACCCUAAAUCCCCACUCGAUCAACACACAAUUUAGUAGAAAAUAGGGGAAACUUAUGGAUUGGAGGAGGAAGAAGCCUCGUCCUUGUUCGCCAUUGCUGAUGAGCACAGGAGCUGAGAAGAGAACGGGAUCGAAAAGAAAGGAGACGAAAAGCUUUGUGAGAGAUCGACGGGGAGGAUGAGGGUAUUUAUAAGCGCUAUGCUUUGUUACUUCGGGCUUGGGUUUAGCAUUCCAGAGAGGGAACAGGAGUCGGAGCAGCAUCGAGGGGGCGAACGAAACGAAGCGUCGCUAACGGGAACGGGCGGAACGGGAAGAAAGCCUGACCAUGAACUCGGCCCAACAUUCCGUCCAGAGAGGGAACAGGAGUCGGAGCGGCAUCUAGAGGGGCGAGCGAAGGAGCCGAAGCGGAACAUCGGGUGGAAGACGAAGCAGAGUAAGGAGGAAAAUUAAAUAGGAAGCGGUGUAGGGAGGAAAAAAAAUUUGGUCGGGUGGGCCCCACCCACUAAUUAAUUAAUAGAAUAACUUAAGAUGACAGGUAGGGCCCACAAAAAUUAAGUUAAGCUAAUACUGCCACGUGGACGUAGAGAACGGGCUUUCAUAAGGGUUAUAGAUAUAAAACUUUUUUUCUUACUACGCGAGCGUCACGUAGGCAAUUUUAAGUUGAACAUGAUAAUUUAAUCACCGUGUUUAAACACCGUAAUUAACUCACCGUAUUCAUAUUCACACUCUAAUCCCUUUUUUUAACUUAGCAACGGUUGGUGCCAAUACAAUAGCUCCACAUGGUAAAACAGUGCACAGUAUAGCUAGAAACUACAAAGCUAGAGAUAAAUGACAUUUGGUACACCGGGAGCAAAGAAUAAAUUAUAUCAAACCAUAGGUAGUUUGAGCGGUUGAGAUCGGCUUUUGGUGGCCCACGAAAUUAGGGAAGUGGCCGAUCAUGUAAAUAACUGAAUAACAAUGAGCGGAGUAUAAAUAAGCGGGUAACGCCUGGAAGAGUGGUCUUUUCCCUGCGAUCAGAAGACCACUUUUCAAUUGUACGCAUUUUCUUAGCUUUUCUUAGGAGUAGUUUACUUAUAAUCUUUUCUUUCUCCCCUACAUUUGCCGCUUUUCUUAGGAGUAGUGUUAUUUCUUGGGAGUAGUGUUAAGGUAGAUUUUCUUAAGCCACACCGGCAUCUUUUUGUACUUGUUUCGAAUUUCAAGCUAAUAUAUAUAAAAUGGCAUUUAGCUAUUUAGCCGACCCAAAGAUAUUGCGCAAUUCCUAAUUCGGCUUAUUCAGCCGAAUCGACUCUAUAGUAGGAGAUUUCAAACUUGACUGAUCCGAUCCCUCAUCAGCCGAAUCGCUUAAUCUGUCGAAAAGGCACAAACUUCGAGGGUCAUCACAUGUCGCCGUUUCACAUCCCUGCAUGCUUCUCUAGGGAAAUUCUUGACCGGGUGAAGGGGUACGAAAUUCGACUCGCAGCAAUUUUUGGCACGCCCGGUGGGACAUCGUCUAGGUAAAUUUGUAUUUUCUUUAUUACAAACUAAUGGCUGACAAUAAUACCAUGAAUUUCCGCAAUAGAAUCGUUCAACGCAAUUUUGGGAACGACAGCCAGUAAUACCGAGAAUGUGGUCGAGCGUCAUGCAGUCUUGUCAGUCGAAGGUGAGACUAGCGGUCAAUCAGACCAGCAAGAGCCAAGUGUGGCUCAGGCGCUCGAAAAGAUGACACUGGUUUUACUAGUUUUAGACCAAAAUAGUCACAUGAGUAUCGCUCGGUUAGAUGCAGUUUUAGCCGUUAUCACGACUUCCAAUGACAACAUUGCUCAAAUUGGGCAAUUAUUAACACGAAAUGAACAACCGAUAGUAGGUUUAUAAGGACCUGUAGAUACACCGGUGUUACAAAAUUUCGUGACACCGACAAACACUCAGCCUCAGGGGGCACCUUUCCAAGCUGCCUAUAGACCGGCUACUUUAAAUGUCGGUCAACAAUCUAAAGUGGCAUGGGGAUUACCUCCUCCACUAUCGUUACCGGCUUACCAACCCCAAAAUAUGGGAAUUAGAGCUACAGGGGCAAGCUGUAACAUACCGAACUUCUACAAUCAUAAAGUUUUGGUGGGAACCAGCUUAAAAAACUAUUAAAGUAGUUCCAGCGUAGUUUGGAGAGCAUUCGAGUAUUCUCGGCACAAACUGGAAAAUCGACAACCAAACCUACGGAGGGUCCACCGGGUUAGUACCUAACCCACAUAUAAAAACACUAAACUCACAACCCCACACAUGAUCCUUUGGGAAUCGGUUUUUCAAAAUCGAUUACCGUAAUUAGCCGAAAGUCUCGAAAAUCGCACCGAGACUCUGCUAGGUCCCACGAAGUGUCCGAGACUCACCGACUCAUGCCAUGAGUCACCCGCUGCCACAAAACACUGUAAUAAAGGUGUCUUGGCAGCAAACACGAAGUCUCACAUUGAAACGAUUAUCGUCGGAUAAUCAUUCCGAUCCGGGUUCUCGAAAGUGUCGUUUUCGACACUGGAAGCCACCGUCGCUCACCCGUAGUCUCCGAACCCCCAAAACGACAUUAGUGACCAGACAACAAGGCUCAGUGACAAAAAGUAACUCACUCUAGCACUGUCGGACGAAAUCCGAACUGAAACCGCGUUCCGUCGGCGAAUUUUGCCAAAAAACGCAUCGAAAAUCAAUAUUUGAUUUCCGCGAAGGACCUUGGACCUUGGACUUUGGACAAUCAGUCCAGAGAUCACCGGCCACCUACACAUACUGCCCACAGUAGCCACGAAUUGCACAAUUGCCGAAAAGCCCUUACUAUUUCAUAAAAUCACAUUAUUUUAUGUGAUUUACUGGGUUUUAUGGGUCGUUAUAGCAAACCGAGGGCUUUUGAGGUCGACCGAGACAUGUAAUGAUAGGUCUCGACGUGCCGGAGGCCGUGCUCAUGAUUCGGAGCACAACCGUCCAUUGUGGAUAGCGCGGGAGCAACUCGAAAAUCUGUGAACUUCGCACAUUGUGCAUAAAUUGCGCUUAUCUCACAAAUCAGGGGCUUGCUGACCUCAAAGAAGGUGAUCACAAUGGUCAACACUAAUCCAAGAUCAUCGUGCUCACAUCCAAAAGCAUCAGGGUGCCCUCGGAUUGCCAGAACAGUGAUCGCAAACCAAAACAGUGCACAAACAGCUUAAUAAAAGCUUACCGGGCCUAACCAGUGCGGGCGCGCCGGCGGUAGGUGAGUGCGGCAGGUGGGGGAGGGUCGCCGCUAGCGCUGGCUGACGGCGGGAGGUAGUGGCGGCGGCGCUGGGGUAAUGUAACAUACCGAACUUCUAAAGUUAUGAAGUUGCGGUGUAUGUUGGCUUGGAAGAGUUAAAAAUGAGUUCUAAAAGAGUUAGAAGGGUUUUGGCAUCGAUCGGCGCGAAAUAGAGUCGAAACAGAGCCAAAAACCAAGUCUGGGCAAAGUGUACCGGUACAACCAUUGAGUUGUAACCGGUACAGCAAAGUGUACCGGUACAGCAUUGAAAGUGUACCGGUGCAAAUGCUAUGAAACCGAGAAACUGCUCUCGGGUUUGCUUCUGCAUAAUCGUGUUAUCGGUGACACGGAAAAGUGUAUCGGUACACUUUGGGCUGACAGCACAGAUUUAGUCUGUUGCAAAAUAGAAUGUUUUGGGGGCUUAGUUGCAAUUAUUGCACACCAUAUUAGACCCCAAAUACCCUCCCUCUUCACAGCAGCCAUCUCCCUCCCUCUCUCGUGUCUCUCUCUCUCCCUCAACCGUGAGCAAGGGAAGGAAAGGAGAAAGAAGAAAAGAGAAGGAAAGGAAGGAGAAGAAGAAGAAAGAGAAGGGUUUAGAGGCUUUGAAGCUCUCCUACAAGGUAUAGCUUGGGAUUGCUCUUGGGCUAAGGUGAGUUUUUGCAAGAACAUUUCUAGGGUUUGGAUUUCUACCAUAAUACUUAGAGUUUUGGAGCUUCUUACAUGCUUAGAAGCCUCUUGAGACCUUAAAACCAUGAAAUCCAUGGUUUUCUUCAAAGUGCUCUAAUGGUGAAGCUCUAGGGUUGGCUCUAAACACCCUAAGAAUGGUUCGAAUUAUUCUAAAUGAGUUUCUAGAUAUUGAACAAGCUCUCUUUUGCUUGUUCUAGAUAUCAAAACCUAGGAUUUAGUAAAGGGCUUGGUUAGGGCACCAAAUUUGGAGCUUUUGCCCUAGAAUGUUUCUAAGGCAAAUUGGCCUUGUAGAAACCUAAUUGGGGGUAUAACGAACGCGUUGGUGCGCUCGGUUCGACAAUUCGAUGAGUAUACGCAAAGUUAUUGACAAAAUAGCAUUUUGUCAUACAGAUAGCCGCAACAUGCGGAAUAGACGUCUAAAAAUCAUGAGAUCGGAUCUGGAGCAUCGUGGUAUCAAGGAAUAAACUCCAGAAUGGACGGAUCGCGGAUUGGUGGCCGUUCAGGUGGUCGCGCGAGAGUUCGGGCCGAACUGGGUCACGGGUGCCGCGGGAGGCCGAUUGCAAGUGACUACAAGCAACCGGAACGUGUUUUGAGGUGGGUUGUGUUUACCGAAACGAUUAGGUCGCCUGUAUGUCUAAGACUAGUGCUUACUAUUGAUGCAUGUAAUGGUAGCUAGUGGUAAAACACAUCAAUGCAUAAGGUGAAAUGCUAUGUUAGGCUACCAAAUAAUGCAUAUGGUCAUAAUGUGAGAAUGCUAAGUAAUGCAUAAUGACAUAGUGUAGAUAAUGCUAAGUGGAAAGCAUAAAGUAAAUGACAUAUGUUAGUCAUGUUGCAUGUAUAGAAAUGCUAAUGUAAGAAUACUAAGUGAAUGAAUAUUGACAUGAAAUAAGAUUGCUAAAGAAAAUAUAUGAUAAGCAUGUUAUUGGGAUGCUAAUGCGGAAUACUAAGUAAAGGACAUAUGUAUACAUAUAUAGAUCGAGUGGCACCGAACCUAGUGUCAAGGACAUAGGUUGAACAAGAGUAAUAUUGAACCUAGUGUUAAUAAACAUAGGUUGAACAAGUGUGGCAUAUAACCUAGCGUCAUGAACCUAGGAUGGAUAAGAGUGAACGUGAACCUAGUGUUAAUGAAUAUAGGUUAAACAAGAAUGGCAUUAAACCUAAUGUUAGAGAACAUAGGUUGAGAAUGAACCUAGAGUCAAGUCAACCUAGGUUAUGAGUUAAAGAUAUUGAACCUAGAGUUAAAGUAAACCUAGGUUAUGUGAUAAAAGUGUUAGCCUAGUGUCAAGUGGACCUAGGGUGGAAAGAACAUUGGACCUAGAUAGGUCGACACUAUAGGGUUAAGACCAACCCCCGAGCUAUGUGGAAUGGAUUCCGGAAUCCCAAAGUUAUGGAACACCCAAAGUGGUGUUGGGCGUGUGCGACGAUUUUGCCGUCCGGGGCCAACCAUUGACGUGGCGUGUGCGACGAUUUCGCCGCCGGAUGGUUAUGCCGAGUUGUGGAUUAUACCGCCGCUUGACUUGAGCCAUUGUUGUGGCGUAUGUGCGACGAUUUCGCCGCCGAGUGGCUCAGUCAUAGAGUGCGGCAAGUUGUGGUAGGCUGAGGUGCAUGUGAGAGUUCCUUCACCUCGAGCCGACAGAGCGCAGAUUAUCCGCAGUUGAUUGACUCAAGAUCGAGUCGGGUCGCAUAAAGGACUAAGGUAAGAGUAACCUUAGAAAAGAAUGGCCGAUGAGUAAAUUGUAGCUAAAGAAUAAAGAAUAGCUAAAGAAUAAAGAAUAGCUAAGAAUAAAGAAAGAGUUGCAAGUAAUAAAGAAUGGCUAGCAAUAAAGAAUGAAAACGAUAGAAAGUAAAAUCAUUUAUUCUACUUGCAUAGUUGCAUAGUUUCAUAUUGCAUAUCGCGAGGCAUGACAUGUAGUUCAAUAUCGAGUAAAUGUAUAAAUAUCUGUUUUAUAUUAUUGGACUAACCUGAUGCAGUGCCUCAUUAGAUCUAUUGGUUGAACUUUUCCUUUGGGUGGCCGUACUCACUGGGAACCAUGGAGUUGGUUCUCACCCCACGUUGUUUUGGGGUGUUUCAGGUUCGCACGUGAGCGGCGCGGCAGCGCGAGGCAAGGGCGUAGCUCCGUAGAUAGCGCCCUACCCAGAGACCAGAGGUAGCAGUACCCCAAGGUGGUCUAGCUUAGGGGUUUAAAGGACAAAGAAUCAAGUUGUAAUAAAUUGUAUUGACUAGAUUGUAUUUUGGAAGUUGAAUGUAAAAGAAAUCUGUGAUGUAAAAUAUAUGUAAGGUGAAUGCUUGUAAUAGCAAGCAGUUUUAUGUUUUUGAUACUUCCUUAUACAAUCCUUGAUUGAAAUGUGUUCCUGGUUGGAACUUCGUACAUUGUAUGGAUUGCGACGCCUAGGACGUAGAGGGAAAACUCUGUCCGUUCGGCGGUCUGUUUGCGUGCCCGAACCCGACCAAAUAGGUGGGGCACGGGGCGUGAUAGGUAACCUGCACCCACACUGGUUAGGCUCGGGUUCAGGAGGUCGCGGCGGCCACGAAGGUGGCUGGGGAGCUCCGUGGCGAUGACGGUGGGUUGCCAGAGGUCAGAGAAGGGCAAGCCAGGUGGCCCUGAGCAGCAACGGUGCGAGGGGAAGAAGAUAGCUCAGCCUCGACCCGGUGCUGCCCAGUUUGACCAGAGCUUGCCAAGAUGGCAACGGCGGCACUCGGGGACGGCGGCGACCGACUGGGGAGGUCGUUAGGGGUCGGGGUGGCUGUCAGAGGAGGAGCCUGAGCGUGUGAGGCCUCCAUGGUAGAAACUCGGGCAGAGAAAGGUGAAGGUAGUGAUGAAGAUGAUGGAGGAGAGGGAGAAAGGCUGAUUUCAGCGACCGACGGCCUGCGUAGGUGGCCGGGGCGCCUACGGCUAGGGCAGGGGGAAGAGAGGGAGGCGGCUAGGGCUCAACUGAGGUUGCUAGGGGGCUAGGGUUAAGGUUUGCUUCAUGUAAACCCUAAUAGCCUAUAUACAAGGUGGUUUAAUUGUGCAUAAGUCCACUGAAACUCAGUAUUUGAUGCUGAGUCCCCCAUAGUGCGGGUAAAAUGCACGGAUAUACCUUCAUGUUCGAAAUCACGCAAAACGAUGCAUAAAAUAUAGGGUGUUUUGUGGAUUUUUUGUUUUGCCAAUUUCGACAUCUUUGCGAACAUUUUGAAUUUUUGGGAGAUCCGUCCGUCAGAUUUGCGAACGGACUAUGCUAGUGUGUUCAGAACAACCGGGGCAUCGAACUCACGAUUUUGUUUUGCUCGAAUUGAUCGCCGAUUUGUGACGAAAGCUAUACUCUCUCCAAUUUUCAAAAACCACACAUAUAUAUGUGUAAAUCAAAUAAACCCCAAAUUCAAAUUCGAAGUUGAAUUCCCUACCAUUGGUAGGUACCUAAAACAUCCUCCACCCUACUCCAAGACACACGCAUGGAGCACGAGAAGUUUUACAACGCAAGAACAACAAAGAACAAAAACCCUCUUUGCGAUAAAAUCCUUUUUUCUCGAAAAUCGUGCAUCAAAAUUCAAAUCCGUCAGUGUCAUUGUGUACAGGACAGUCGAACUAUUAAAAAGUGCUAUUGGAUCACUAUAAACGAAGUCCAAAACACAGCAAAAGCCAUCUCCACUCAUUGGCCUCUUCGGAAAAUCCGAGUUACUAUUUACUUUAAGUGAUUAGUAAAGGUUGCGUAACUUCUUCAUCCUAACUUGUUUUCUUCUGAAACUUGAUGAGUGCUUAUGUAAUUAAAUUACACAUAAAAAUAUCAUCAACAAAGAGUUUAGCUACACAGUCAAAUUCUCAGUCCUCACACACAAUCAUCCCAACUGUACAAUUCUUGAUCCAACAAUCGAAAAGACGGAAGCAUCAAAUCAUCUAUAUUUUCGGUAGCAUAGUAGCUCUACACACACACACACACACACACACACACACACAUAUUGGUUUUAUUAUUUGCUUUGGCUUGAUAUCUAAUUAAUUAGACUAGUGCAGGGCCCGCGCUUCGCUGCGGGUAGAUUGUAUUUCAAUCAAUUGACAUAUAUAGUAAUUAAACUUAUAAGAUUAAAAAAUGAUAACUAAAUAAAAACAUUAUCAAAUAGUGUUUCGUACUAUCAUGCCUCGAAGUCACAGCGGAAGCCUACGGGACGCUAACAGACCCGCCGAACGGACAGGGUCUCCUCUGUCCGAACGAAGCGGUAAGUCCCAGGUAAACAAGGAAAUAUAUAGCCAAAUACGACAAGCAAAUCAGUACCAAAAUCAACAAAACUACGAGAAAACUAACGAUAAGUAUCAUAGCACUAUACAUCAGCUGAACCACUAUACAGCAAGAAACAAGUAACAAAGAUACAUAAAUCCACACCGAAAACCAAGUACAAGUUAUUGGCCCUGGCCCAUGCCAAUCCAAAAGAAAGUAUAGUGGCUCAUUAUCGGGAGGUCUGUUAUAGGCAAGUAUGGUGGUAGGAAGGCUAACUAGGCGCAAUUCCCUUACCACGCUCAGCGGACGAUACACCUGUCACUGAAAAAGGAGACCACAAAAGGGCGUGAGAACUACUAAUAGCAGUUCCCAGUGGGUACGAUCGACGAUAACCAUGACCCUCCCACUAGGUCUAAAUAAGCAAAAGUAAAUGAAAGAGCGAUAACUAAGGAAAGAAUAGAGAGCAAAGCUGCAGCAUAGUGUAAAGUAAGGAUCCACAUGUAGAAAAGUAAACACUUGUAUUUAUAUUCCGUGACAUAGAAGUAGAGUGGUACUGACACUUGCAUUUAUAUUCAAGUUAACCUGAGUGGUCGGUGCCCAUGUACUUAUAAUGUAAUUAAUCUCACACUUUCCAAUUGACCAGAGUGGUCGGUUGCGUAUUCGAGAGGAUAUUGAGCUUGUCCAUCCUAGUUGACCUGAGUAGUCAGUACUUAUGUUCCCGUAUAGCUUCGAUGACCUGUUGGUGAGUGUGCCCCGAGUGAUGAUUGUCGGCUAUUCACCGACGGUUGACUAUUGAUCAUAUUCGCAUUGAUCAUCAUAGCUCGAGAACAUUUUACGAACACUAGCGAUCUGAUGCUCACAGGAAGGUGUUCUUUUCUAAAAAAGUGGUUCGUUGCCAACCCGUGAACCCAGCGGCCAUUGCUAGGGUUAUAUGCCAGACAAAGCAGUUGUGGCUUGCCUGAGGUUCUUGGAUCGACACGGCAGUAUAAAUUAGGUACAUUUGGACUUUUCAUGUCACGCCCCGGAUUACCACGUUUCCUCGGGCACGCCAACAGAUCCGUCGUAUAUAUAGAAAUUUUUCGUGUAUACGAAGUGAUAGCCGUACCUGUAAGCAAGUCAUAGCUACAACCAAGAGUAUAGAGCUGCUAGAACUAAAACAUACAUAUAUAGAACAAAAUGGGUUCACUGUACAUAUACAGGUCUACAACACCUCCUCGCUCCAGCGAGUAACACAACAACAACAACAACAGUAUGUACAAAAACUCAAAACUACCUCUGAUGGGUGCUCCUCUAGCAAACGACUAGGGAAGGGACGGCUCUAACUCGCGCCUUCCUUGCCUCGAUCAGAAUCCACAACAGUAGCAGCCGUAGACGAAGGCUUUGCAAAAAGGUACCAACAACUGGAUGUGAGAACUAUUAUAAAACAGAGUAGUUCUCAAUGGAUACCGUCACUGUAACACACUGGACCUUUGCAAAUUGCAAGGUUCGAGUGUUUGAUCUGUGUUCUGAGCUUUUUCACUUUUUCUGGAGGAUCGUAGACAGUGUUCCGACCUAUGGCUCACAUCCCGAGAAACGAGGGUUUUAACUUAGCCCUAAGGUCCCCAAAGAGAAGUACUUAGGCUGCUCUCGGGUUGAGUUCUGCAGGGUUGUGUACCGGUACACCUUAAUGGUUGUACCGGUAUAGAAGGUUAAUUUCAGCCAACCCGAGCCUGGGUUUGCGCGUAUAGGGUUUUGUACCGGUACACUUUUUCGUGUACCGGUACACAAUGUAGUUCACAGACUGCUUAUUUUUGGAGGGUGUUUUUGCAUUUGUUGCUUAUCUAUAAAGCAUCCCACGCCCCCUCUAGGUCUCCUUGUGUUGAGAACAGGAUAAAGCAAGGUAAGGGAGCCCUCCAACCCUUCUCUUUGAUUCCGUUGAUUUUGUUGGGAUUUUUGAAGUUUAAUUACUUCAUUUUGCUCCUUUUUGCUUCUCGGUGGUAUUUCCACAAUUGUUGAAGGCUUGGAGCUUGGAGUUGAGCUUGUUAGGGGAGAGAUCUUUAACCCUUGUGGAUUUUGAGCCUUGUUUGAAGCUUCUCUUGAGGUUAGUAACAUGAUUCUACUUUUAGAUUCAUGUUUUGAUGGUUUCUUUGAGAUGAAAUCCUAGAAUGGGAAUUUAGGGUUAAUUUUGGGGAUCUUGAUUAGAAGCUUUUGGAACUCAAUUGAUUAAGUUAGAACCUUUGUUUAGGUUGGAUUUGGAGAGAUCUUACUCUCAUUUGGGAUUUAAAAAGGGUUCUUUACACUAUAGGUGAGUUUUACCCCUUUUCUUGAGGUGUUUAAUGUUUAACUUAUAUGUUGUUCGUAACGUUCGUAUAACUCUCCUUUUAUUACCUUUAGGGUGCUAGGAGAAUUAUGGGCAACUUCGUUCGAUGAAACGAAAUGGUUGUAACGAGACUUGGUGGGUUUGGCCUCACCAAAAUGAGAUAAAUUUCUCAUUAGUUGUUUAUACUUGUCGUAAAAUAAAACUUUAUGCAUAUUCACGCUAGAUAGAAUAAUUGUGAAUUUUAGAAUGCUUUAAAUGCUCAUGUUAUGUACAAUGCAUAUUUGGAUCUCUAUAUAGUAGAGAGUAUUUAUGUUGGACUUAUGCAUAUGGAUAGCAUUCUUAUAUGUGAUUUGGGAAUAUGUUUCAUACGAUGAAUAUGACAAGUGCAUUAGACUCUUGGACUUGAACUCAUGCUUGGCAUAGGAGAAAACAUAAUGUCAUAAAGAGGCAUUGGGCUUGGAAUUGAUAUAGUAAGCUAAUGUCAUAAAGAGGCAUUGGGCUUGGAAUUGAUAUAGUAAACUAAUGUCAUAAAGAGUCAUUGGGCUUGGAAUACGUAUGGACUUAGUAAAUCUAAGGUCACAAGAGACAUUGAAAUUAAUGUGUGGUUGAAUCUUACUUUGGGACAUUGGACUAAACCUUUAGGGUGCUAGUCACUAUUGCCAUGUUAGAAACAGGAUGAUCGGAUUCUUGAGACGAUGAUCAUGCUUGCUUGCCAUUUGUGCUCAUUCGCACAUGCUUGUGAGGGCCGCUCCCUACAAGCCGGCACUCCGGAGUUAGCCUACGCGACUUAUGAUCGUUCGUGCGGUAUUGAGAAGCCUACGGGGCCGGGUGGGAUAGACUCAUUCUUCGAGUGGGAAUGCUGAGGCUACCACGAGCACUUAAGCGGCACAAGCCGGACUAUCUUGUGUAGAUACUUAAUUAAAAAUGAAAAUCGACACGUAGUCAUACAAGUAACAAUCACUACUAGACAGUUCAUAAUAGUUGGAUUUAUUGGGCUUUUGGACAUGUAGUAUACUUGAUAGUAUUGCUUUUGCAUUAUAGCAUACUUGUUUGCCAUGUUGGAGCAUGCUAGUCAUGUAUUGGUAUAUUGGACUAUGAUAGAAUAGAUGUACACCAUGUUGACAUUAUGUAUAUUUGUGGCAUUGUAGAUUAGCAUUUCAUUACAUGCUUUUCAUAUUUGGAGCUUACUAGUAGUUUCUUUUAUCUACUCAUGCUUUUUGGCCUAGUGGUGCAUUUUGCUCAGGUCAGUAAUUGUCCACUGAGAACUAUAAAUUAUAGUUCUCACGCCCCCUGUUUUAUAUUUUAUUUCAGAACCUCCCACUCCGGGAGAGGCUAGGGACCGCGGCAAGGGUGUCGCUUCGAGUUAGCGAGCGAGGGAUCUUGCUAGGUGGAUCAUUUUCUUCUUUUAUUUUCGUUGGAGAGAAUGAGAGCGUUUGUACCCUACAUAGAGACUACCAUUUUGGAUAUUGUAGUACUUGUAUUUAGGAUAGUUUGAUGUAUUCACUCUAUAUUUUAUCUUAGUUAUUAGUUUCCUUUCUCUCUACUUGUUGUUAGAAUUUAACUGCUACUUGCUCUGAUAUCUCUAGAUACUUAUUUAUUCUUAUCAUUUAUCGCUAUUGUUGUAGACGCCUUAUAUGUGCAGGCAUAUGGCGGGCCUGGGCAUGCUACCGGGAGGGCCUCUGUCUGUCCCAGGGCGUGACAGUCACCGACCUCAACGACUCACCUACUAAGUCUACAGUAUUGAUAUGCACAGGAUAGUAAGGAAAGCUGGAAAACUCUACAGCUACAUACAUCUAUACUAUCGCUAGACUGUAGACAUAAACAUGCAUCACCAGCUACCACUGACCUAAUCAUACGGGCUGCCCAAACGGACCCACCCCGCUUGUAACCAAGCUACACCGUACACCACCCACGGGGAUGGCCAGUUCAAGAAAAAGGUCCAAACAGAAUGGCUGCGACAUCAAUACAAGUCAAAGCCUCACUUCGGAGCGACACUUGUGGGCGCGACCUAACCGAGUAUGCAAGCGUGUCUCUGCCGAGCUCAAUCAGGCUUUCACAGGUUAUAGUCAAUGUAAAUGGGUCAAACUGGUCUAACAAUCAAAGCUCACGUGCCCUGGGCACAAUCUGCAAGAUACAGAAAUCUUGGACCAUCGUCAACCACGGUGGCAACCGACAAUACGGAACAAUCUAUACUCUACUGUAAAACGAGCUCAGCCCCUCAGCACGAGCGUAAACUCGCCCUAUACUAAUCUGAGUAUCCCGUACACACUAAUAGCAGGGAUAGAAAAGAACAACAACUCCUGAAGUUAAAUCUGGUAACUUUUAAGAAAAUGACAGUAUAGGUUUAGUGAGUUUUCUCCUAAGUCAAAUCCUAGUUCAACAUGUAUAAUUUCGUCUAAAAUCACUAAUUUAUGCUCCAAAUUCAGAUUUUAUAAAACAUACACAUCGAUGAAUUCGAGCCACUAACAUGAUGAAUAAAGCCAAUAAAACAUGCUGACAAUUCUAUGACUUAGAAAAAAAUCCAACGAUUUUGGUAAAUAUUAACCCACCUUGAGCGCCCGUCCAACGUCGGCAAAAAGUCGACAGGAGAAUUCCGCGCGCUCGCCCGACCUCCAAAGGUUCACCCGAGACGACCCAUGCACACGAACGGUCCUCCUAGCAAGCGAAGACUCCACACGAGCUCAACCCUCGACCUCCCCAAUGCACGGCGUAUACCAGCUAGAGAGAGGAAGAGGAGACGUAUCCUGCUCUCUAAAAGCUCCCUAUGCAUUUAUAUAGUCCGGGUUAGGUUGGGAUGAACGACACAUCAAAAGGACCAAAAUGCCCCUUAUCAACUCACUUUUCCACCUGAAAUACCGGUGCUCAGCUUGAAUACCGGUACUCAGCCCCUCAAUUCGCACUCUCGCGCGCUGGGUACCGGUACUAGCCCGUUGCAAUACCGGUACCUGAGCUCAAUAUCGGUACAGAACAACAGGUAUCGGUACUCAGCAUGAGACAUGCGCAAACCCGAAAGCAUCGAAUUCUGAAAUCUCACUAGGGUAUUGGUGCUUCUCCCCAGGUACCAGUACUCAACACUGAAAUCUUGCACUUUGCAGACUUCAGUGUCAGAACUCCACUUUGGCAUCGCGUUGAGUUCGUUUUGCGUCCAUUUCGUGCCAAAACGACUCCGACUUGUCUCGACACCCACCAGAUGUGUCGACAAGCCACAGAUGCUGAAAUCACACAUACUGCUAAACGCAAGGAACACUACAUUUCAUCCGGUUGACGCAUAUAGCUAUAGUAGUGAUUGCUGCAUGCUUGCUUACAGUUCAUCGCUUUUUACAUUUACAUUGCUACUAUAGGCCUUUUUUUACCUAUACUUGGUUACCGGUGAGUAUGCUUGCCUUCAUCGGCUUGUGGUACCCAUUGGGAGACCCUUGUUGGUUUCUCACCCCUAUUUCUUCACAGGUGGUAUGGGUGGGAUUGGUUGGGACACACCGUGAUGCCGUAGCUAGUAGGCGGUCUUAGAUGUCUCGAUCUAUGGUAUAUAUUUUGACUAUACUCCAUACUUAGCAUAAAUAUACAUGUGAUAGCAUAGUUUACCCUUACACCUGAUAGUAGAUAUUUAUUUGUGGUUCAAUUUGACAUUCUAUACUUGCGGAUUUUUGGAUGAUACACUUAUGAGGUUUUGGAUACUUGUAGUUUUGAAAAUCUUGUGGCUUCAGUUUUGGUUUUCAAACGUGGCUUCCUACCCCUUGUGGUCGUGUUUUCAAGAUAAAGGUUUCCGCGGGAAAUGACUUUCAAAUGAUUUUCUUUGGACUUUCUACUUCUUGUGGUAGUAUUUUCCAAAAUAAAGGUCCCUAAGUGGGGGACAGUUUUCAAAAUAAUUUUCUACGAUUUUUCGUUGAAGUUAGGUUUUCAAAUGAAGUUAUCGUGUGGGAGACAUUUUCAACUAAUAGGAAUGAAUGAAUGAAUGUGAAUGGAUGUGACUAAGGAUGAUUAGAUGUAUAUUGGUGUUGAGCCAAUUAGGCGCGGACAUGUGGUACGCCGGUUUUCCCUUUAAAGGCAUAAAUCUGGCCGUGCACAAGGAGCACCAGAAAAGUUUUAAAGUAAACCGUCGUGCCAAUUGAAGGAAGUUACAGUAACCGCAAGCAGCUGCAUGCGGUUCCGAUCGACUGGAGGUGGUCCGGAAUAUUAGGAGAUAGUGGCCGAUCGUGUAAGAGCAAUAACUGAUCAAGGGGCGAUCUAUAAAUAGAGCAAUAACGCCCUAAAAAAGGGUCUUUUUACCUGUGAACAAAAGACUACCCUUAAUUCCUCGCAAUUUCCUACAUUUUUUAGGAGUAGUCUACUUGUAAUUUUCUCUUUCCCGCAUUUACUGUUCUUACUAGGAGUAGUUUUAAGUAGAUCAACUGAGUCUGCAUGCCAUCCGGCACACUCGACCUCUGUACUUCUCAUCAGUGAAUAUAAAGGCAUUCGGCUCAUUCAAGCCGAUCAAUUCCUUUGCUCUAUAGCCAUUCGGCUCCUCGGCCGACUUCAGCUCUUGCUUUGUCUGUACAUUCGGCUCAUCCAGCCGAACCGAAUUUAGUGUAGAGUUUCGAACCCGGCAGAUCCGAUCCCUCAUAAGCCGAAGCUUUUGAUCGAUCGAAGGGCGCAAACUUCGAGGGUCAGUACUAUAAGCCGUUUCCAUCCCGACACGCUUCUCGAGGAGGGUCUUUGACCGGGUCAAGGACCGGGGAUUUCGGCUACCAAUAAUUUUUGGCACGCCUAGUGGGACACAUUUGAGGUAACUUUUAUUUUUUAUUAAUAUAAUGGCUGAUGAUAAUACCAUGAACUUACGUAAUAGGGUCGUUCCUAGAAAUUCUGGGAGCGAACAGCCCGACAAUUCAGAAAAUGUUGCCAAACGCCAAGCGGUUUUGCCUGCUGAAGGUGAAACUAGUGGCCAAUCCGGCCAGCAAGAGCCUAGUUUGGCUCAGGUGCUUGGGCAAAUGACUUGAGUCUUGCAAGUUCUAGAUCAAAAUAGUCAUGCUAGUACUGCACGGCUAGACGCAGUGUUGGCCGCAAUCACGGCCUCUAAUGAGAAUAUUGCUCGAAUAGGGCAAUUAUUAACUCGUAAUGAACAACCGAUAGCAGGCUUACAAACGCCUGUGAUGACACCGGUGUUACAAAAUCCCGUAACACCGGUAAAUGGACAACCCCAAUACCAGGGGGCACCUUACCUUGCAGCUUAUAGACCGGCUGUCGUUAAUGCCGGUCAACAGCCAGAGAUAGCAUGGGGGUUACUGCCUCCUCUACCAAUAGCAGUAUAUCAGCCCCAAAAUGUAGGGGCUAGGGGGCAGGUUCCAAAUGUACAAGGAGUUAACCCUGUGGUACAAAAUUUCGGUCUGCCAUGAGGACCGAAUCCAGCAAAAGCGCAAGUCCCCUUACAGGGGAUUAAUAAUAAAAUAUAUGCACAGAUCGAGGAAGCCAUCUGAAAUACCUUCGGAGUAGGCGCAAGACCGGCAAUGCGGCCUGUAUUUAGAUCACCUUAUCCUGCGAAUAUAGACACAGAACAUCCAUACUCGGCAAAUUGAAAAAUACAGAAGUUCGACAAGUUUUCUGGGGAUGAGACCCAAAAUACGGUUGAACAUGUUGCACGGUUCACGGCACAAUGCCGAAAAGCCGCAGCAGAUCCAUUUUUAAAGUUAAGAUUAUUUAACACCUCACUAACCAAGACGACGUUCACUUGGUAUACAAGUUUGCCGGCUAAUUCCGUCCGGGAUUGGGACGAAUUAGAAGGAAAAUUUCAUAAACAAUUCUAUAGAACCGAACUAGAAUUAUCGGUUGCCGAUUUGGCUCAGUUCAAACAGAGAACGGGAGAAUCGGUUGAGGAAUAUUUGAACCGAUUCAAGAUGGUUAGGAGCCGUUGUUUUGUGAGAAUGCUAGAGUUGGAGUUUGCCAAAAUGGCAUUUAACGGAUUGCAUUUUAAAAUUAAAGAUCUUUUUGAAGACAAAUACUUUUCAAAUCUUUUCGAUUUGGGAGUUCGGGUUCCUCAAUAUGAGCAAUUCCGAAAAGGAAAUAAUGAAGAUAGGCCCAGAUGGAGCCGAAACAAAGAGUGAAACAAAGGGAAGGAGAAAAUUGUCUCAUUCCUUGAAGAGUCUUCGGCUUAUGAGGAGCCGAAUUCAUCUGAAGAGGCUGAAGAUUUGGCUUAUGAAGCCGAAGUAUAUACAGCCGACAUUGUAAAAAGUCGACAGCCAUACAAAUGUGCUUUGCUGAAGCCCGCUAAGUCAAGCGAGGCAAAAGCACGGGUGUCGGCAUACACAUAUUCGUUUGAUGUAUCAAAGACCGAUCUAAUUUUUGAUUGGUUGCUAAAAGAUGGUUGAAUUCAAUUGCAGGAGGGUCAAACAAUACCUCCUGUGGAAGAAUUAAAACGUAGAUGAUAUUGCAAAUGGCACCACUCAUGGAGCCAUAAGAUAAAUGAAUGCACUGCCUUUAAGAGGCAGAUUCAAAAAGAAAUAAAUGAGGGUCGACUCAUAUUUGCCGACCAAGAAAAUAAAAAUAUGAAAAUUGAUAAGAAUCCUUUUCCAUCCGAUGUCAAUAUGGUGAAUACGAAAGGAAAAAGUAAAGCGACUGCAAAAAGGCAGAUCCAAAAAGAAAUAGACGAGGAUCGGCUUAUUUUAGCCGAUCAAGAAAAUGAAAAUACAGGAAUUGAGAAAAAUUCUUUUCUGUUACAGGUUAACAUCGUGAAUGCUAAAGGAAAAGAGAUUGCGGACAAAAAGACCGCAGAAAAUAUUGCGCACGCCAAAAGGAACCUUCGGUUUUGUGUAAGAUGCAAAGCCGAAAUGACGAAAAAAGAUUGGGAAGCCAUUAUCAAUGACAAAAAGAAAGGCAACGAAUGGAAUGAAUUGAUGGCAUUCCCCGAGGAAUGGGAUGACAUUCCUGAAGGAGAUGAUCAAGAAGAGGAUGGCUCAAAUAAUACCUCCAACGAGACGGAACCGGAAGUCAUUUCGGUUCAACACAAAAAAGAUUUAUUGAUGCAGAAAGUUUUGCAUGACUACUACCAUAACCGAUGAGAUGAACCUUAUAGCCGAUGGAGUUAUCCAGAAAAACCAUUCGGCUCAAAGCAAAGGUUUCCUGGGUAUCGGCCGCACUGGCAGCAUCAAGCCAGGCCGAGACCAGAACCGGAGUUCGAAUGAAUGACUGAGAGAGACAUAGAAUUCCUUGGUCGAAGAUUGGUCAAUAAGCUCGGCAUUCAGCCCUGACCGAGACCUUGAGAAAGAAGAGAAAUCUUAAAAAAUUAUUUAAGAACAGUGAAAGUACCGGCAAAUGUGCCGGUAGACAAGUGGCAUGAAGUCGAAGUAAAACCAUCGGCCAGAUGGCAAGGGCUGAUGUUAACAAAGACACAAAAACGCCGGCAGCAGAGGAUGCAAGCCGAGGCGAGGCAACAGUACGACGAAGCGAAAGGGAUAAGACUGAAUGUGUGGAGACGGCCUAAUGAACCACCACAUCUUUUUUGCAUGAUGCGAGACAACCACGAGGCAGGUGGCUCAUCGCCUGUUCCUUGGUUGAAAUCGAAAAUUGAAUAGCCGGUUUCGGCCGAGCAGGAGGAGAAGAUGACUAGGAGGGAGUUAGAGGACAAGAUAGCCUCCCUCGAGACAAUCAUUAAACAAAAGAGAUGGCCUCCUAAGGAGAGGGAGGUACGGAUCGAAAGCGACUCGGCUAAGACAGCUAAGGAGUCUGAAGAAAAGAAAUAAAGGAUUCAAGAAAAAUCGGGUGAUGAAGGACCAGCCAAUGUCAACAUGGUUUAUACUCUGCCACAAUCCUUUAAAGCAGAGUAUACUAAGUAUGAGGAGAUGGAGGAAGAAGUUGGGCUCAAUAUGGCCCAAUUACAAUUAGAGGAUGCCAAACCGACCGAUGCGGUGGUUUUCGAGAAACCAUCGGCCAUACAGACGAGGUUCGUGAGUCCUUUGUUUAUUCGAGCCUUAAUCGAAGGUCAGCUAGUAGGCCGAGUCAUGGUGGAUGGCGGAGCGAUGGUCAACGUCAUGCCCACUUCAUUCUUCAAGAAGUUGGGCAAAGAUGAAGAUGAAUUGAAGCUCACUGAUACAAUUAUGACCGACUUCACUGGUAGCGGUGAGCAAGCUCGAGGAGUGCUCACGACCGAGAUAACGGUAGGUUCUAAAACUUUACGAACUGUAUUUUUUGUGGUGGAUGCAGAUAGCCACUACAACCUACUGCUCGGACGCGAUUGGAUACACGCAAACGAGUGCGUGCCUUCUACCCUCCACGAAAAAUUAUUCCAGUGGAUAAGAGAUAAAGUUGAAGAAAUCCAGGUCGAAGGACGGCCCCAAAUAGUGAUAUCAACGCAGAAGAGGUCGGCCACAUCAAUUGGGCCGACGCUGAUCCAGACCAAAUCUCUUUUGUAAGAGUUACGAAAGAGGGGAUUCAGUUAAUUCUCUCUAAAGACGAAGAAGCUAUGGUGGCAGCCGAAGAGCCACCAAGUUGGCUAAAAUGGAACAAGAAGAAUCAAGAACCAAAGUUUCAGAGGAGCUUCAGCAAGAAGAGACGAUCGACAGGAUCGGCUGUGUGAUAAAUUCGGCCCAACAGGCCGAUGAUGUGGUGUACAACAUGAAGGCCGAAACGGCCAAUAAUGAACAUGUAGUAAAAUCGGUUGUUAAAGCCGAUAUGAAAAAUAUGGGGAAGUCGGCUGUUAUAGCAGAAUGUGAUACAUCAAAUGAAAUGAUUAGGCGAACAACUGACUUGAACUUAGAAGAAUCGCCUAUCAAAGUCGGUAAUAAAAAGUUGGAAACUCAGGAUCCACUUAUCGAAGUAAACUUGGGAUCCAAUGGACACAAGCAGUUGACCUAUAUUAGUGCCAGACUUUCGGCUCAACAACAGAAGGAGCUGAAAGAAUUGCUGAAGGAGUACAAAGAUUACUUUGCCUGGAGUUAUGAAAAAAUGCUAGGUCUAAGCCGAAAAGUUGUAGAACAUAGGCUACCUAUUGAAAAAUGAUAUAACCCUUACAAACAGCCGGCUCGUAGGUUUGAGCCGAGUAUUGUACUCCAAAUUAAAAAUGAAAUAGAAAAUCUUUUAAAGACUGGUUUUAUUAGAGCGGCUCGUUAUAUUGAUUGGGUAUCCAACAUAGUUCCAGUACAAAAAAAGAAUGGCAAAUUUAGAGUUUGCAUUGAUUUCAGGAACUUAAAUUUGGCUACACCUAAAGAUGAAUACCCAAUGCCAAUAGCUAAUAUAUUAGUAGAUUCGGCUGCCGAUAAUAAAAUCCUGUCUUUUAUGGACGGCCAUGCCGGCUAUAAUCAAAUUUUCAUUGCUGAAGAAAAUGCAGCUAAAGCAACCUUUAGAUGUCCAGGAUCUACUGGAACCUUUGAAUGGGUAGUCAUGCCGUUCGGUUUAAAAAAUGCCGGAGCUACUUAUCAAAGAGCAAUGAAUUUUAUUUUUCAUGAUUUGAUCGGCAAGAUGUUGAAAGUUUAUAUCGAUGAUAUAGUUGUGAAAUCCAAAUCACAAGCCGAACAUUGGGUAGAUUUAAAGCUCGCCUUUGAAAGAAUGAGAAAAUAUAAUUUGAAAAUGAAUCCUUUGAAAUGUGCUUUUGGAGUCUCAGCAGGAAAUUUAUUGGGAUUCUUGGUACAUAAAAGGGGAUUGAAAUCGAUAAAAAUAAGGCGAAAGCUAUAUAAGAAUUGCCGUCAUCAAAAAGCAAAAAAGAAUUGCAAAGCUUAUUGGGAAAAAUCAAUUACUUGUGGCGAUUUAUAUCGAAUUUGGCUGGUAGAAUAGGGGUUUUCAUUCCGUUACUUCGGCUAAAAAGUAAAGAGGAAUUUGUUUGGACAGAAGAACAACAAGUAGCAUUUGAAAAUAUAAAGAAAUAUUUAACAAAUCCUCCAGUACUUAUGCCUCCUAAAUAAGGACGGCCGAUGAAACUAUACAUUUCGGCUACAGAGGAUAAUUUGGGAUGUUUGUUGCCCCAAGAAAAUGAAGAAAAAGAGGAACAUGCCAUUUAUUAUCUAGCCGACGGUUAUUAGAUACAGAAAACAGAUAUUUGGCUAUCGAAAAAUUAUGUUUGGCUUUAUAUUACUCUUGUUCAAAAUUAAGAUAUUAUAUUUUAUCAACUGAAGUAUCGGUAAUAUGUAAAACCGAUCUGAUAAAAUAUAUGAUAUCUAAGCCAGUUCUGAGAGGACGAAUUGGAAAGUGGAUGUUAGCCUUAUCUGAAUUCUCCCUCAAUUAUGUUCCGGCAAAAGCUAUUAAAGGACAAGCGAUAGCUGAUUUUCUGGCUGAUCAUCCAUGUGUUGAAAUCGAGGAGCCGAAACAAAAUUUAAUCGGCUGUCAACCUUGGAUACUUUACUUUGAUGGCUCAAGAACAGCCGAGUCCGCGGGAGCUGUAAUAAUUAUACAGUCUCCUGAGGGAUAUUCAUGUCAAUUUUUUUUUAGCUAGAUUUCGGCUGCUCUAAUAAUUAAGCCGAAUAGGAGGCCUUAAUAAUUGGCCUCGAGAUUUUACAAAAUUUAGGAGUUAAGUCAAUCAAGGUCAUCGGUGAUUCACAGUUAGUAAUUAAACAAGUGAAUGGAGAAUACCGAUGCGAAAACCGGAAUUUGCAAAAUUAUUUAAGAAAAAUAAUAGAAUUGAUAUGCAAUUUCGGAGAAGUUCAAUUUAAGCAUAUGAUCAGAGAGAAAAAUGAACAAGCAAAUGAAUUAGCCCAAUCGGCUUUACGGUAUAAGGAACCGAAAUGAGGUCUAAUAAGAAUUGAAAGAAGGUUGUUACCUUCGAUUCAUGUUCGAGAGCCGAUUAUUGCUCCUAUAGAGAUGAAAGAGGAUUGGAGAAAAUCCAUAAUUGAGUAUUUAGAAGACCCCAACAAAAAGGUCGACUAUAAUAUUCGAAGAAGAGCACUCGGCUAUUGUUUGUUAGAUGGACAGCUCUACAAGAGAACAGCCGAAGAAAUAUUAUUGUUAUGUUUAGGGCCUGAUGAAGCUUUAUUGGUGAUGGGGGAAACUCAUGAGGGUUUAUGUGGAGCCCAUUUAGCAGGAAAAAGAUUAAGAUGGAUAAUUCGGCACUUAGGUUAUUAUUGGCCGACUAUGCAUCAAGAUUGCAUAGAAUAUGCUAAGGGUUGCCAAGAUUGUCAAUUUCAUGGAUCGGUACAGAGAGUUCUUGCUUUUGAGAUGUAUGCUAUAAUUAAACCGUGGCCUUUUCGAGGUUGGGCCAUGGAUUUGAUUGGAGAAAUUCAGCCAAAUUUCUCGGCUUGUCAUAAGUUUUUAAUAGUAGCCGUUGAUUAUUUUACCAAGUAGAAGUGAAACCUGCUCGAUUGGUCACUUAAAAAGAAAUUAUUGACUUCGUUGAAGACUCAAUAAUUCAUCGCUUUGGGAUUCCCGAGACGAUCACAACCGAUCAAGGAACAAUGUUCACAGGAGGUCAAAUCCAUGGCCCAACCAGCAGAAGAAAUGUCUGAUCGAUCGGCCAAGUCAAGUGAAAGUGCGCACAGCCUAUCAAAUUGUUCUGGAUUCUGAGCCAAAUAUGGGAGACCUUGACUAUAUAAUCGUAGAUACUCAUCAAAUUAUUGUUGAGUGUCUAACGACAUCACAAUGAUAGUUGAAUCAUCUCCUUCAUUAGAAUUUGGGCUCGAAACUAAAAGAGAGUGAAGAGUUACAGACAGAGGAUCUUCUGGAAUAGACGAUGAAGCUUCAGGAGGCAAAUGGGCAAAUGAGUCUCUGUUCGUGCUCCUUCAACGCCCUUUUCCAAAGGUGCAUUCACAUUUUCUCCUUCUGUUGUUGGCAUUGGUGAUGCUGCACUAUUUGUUGGCAACUCUUGGGUCUUUCCUUGAGUUGCCCUGUUCUUUUCUGCUUCUUGCCUCUUUUUGAGGCGAGCUUCACGACGGAGUUGCCUAUCCAUCUGCGUCUUCAAAGAAGGAGCAAAAUGGAUUCUUUCAGGAGAAGACUGUUUUAUUAGGAGGAAAGAAUAAAUAAAUGAAGAAACAAAAAGAUUGAGUAUAGAUAACCAAAAUUGGUUUACCUCAAUCUCAAUCGGCUCGUUCGAAACAGAGCUUUGCUCGGCAGCCGAAGAUGAUACUUCAGUUCUUUCUUUUGGAGCAUCAGCCAAAGGUGUUUCUUCGGCUCUUUUUUCUGAAAUUGUAACCGAAGGUAUUUCUUCGGCUCUUUUCUUUAAAAUAUCAGCCGAAGAAACGCCUUCGGUUUGUUGGGAAUACGAAUACGGUCUCUUGACGACCGACUUGCGCCGCUUUGGAGGCGGCGGAGUAGAUUGUGUAGUUUCCGUCGGCCUUUUCUCUGAAGCUGGGACCGAUGGAGAAAUCGGAAUUAACUACAAAAAAGGAAAAGUAAGCACUAUAUAUACCAAGAAAAGAAAAUUAAAAGAAAAGCAUGGUGUAUUACAGAAGAAGGAGGGAUAUCGGAGAUAUGAUCGGAAAUCUCUUCUGAUGCUUCUUGUAGUACAGAUGAAGCGGCGGUAUUGUCCGGAAGACAUUUGCUUGAAAAAGGCACUAUAAAUAGAAAAUAAAUAAGCAAGAAUUAUGUCGAGCAGAAAAUUUUCUAUAAGUAAGAGACAUACCAAUUGGGCGAAUAGUUUUGCGGUGUGCUUGUGAAGUAGACAAAUUGAAAGUAAUAUUGACAAAACGAUCCCAAUUAACGGUGUAGCGGAAACCUACUACUCCUGUACAAUUUGGCCUGAAGCUUAAUAAUUUGAAGAAUCGCAGAAGACGAUUCCCCAUGGCCGAGAUUCGAUCAGCAUCGACUAUGCUUUUGGUGCGAGGACGAUGAACGGCAGUAUUGGCCGUAAAGAACUUAGUUGGAGCAGGGAUUGCUUGUGUAAAUCUAAAUUGACGCGCUGCGAACUGGGGGGAGUAAACCUCAGUACUGGGCAGUAGUUUCGAGUGCGAUUUCAAACCAACGUGCAAAUCCCUUAUAGCCAAAAAAGAGUACCAGACAUCUGAAUGUUCGUCGGCACGGGAAGAAGCAGUUUCACUUUGAAUGGCCUCAUACCUAGCUAAAAACCAAGGUGGGACGGUGACACGAUCAGCAAGAGGAGACCAAGAAAUGAGGAAAUGAGGACCUGAUUCAUAAAAAGCCUUGAAAUAUGUGAUAAAAUCAAGAGGGUUGCCUGAUGUUAACGGCUGAGGACAGCCGAGAGCAAGCCCAUAAGAGUCAAAAUGAGCAGCCGAGUCUAGAUCUAGAGGUUCUCGGCACAAUUUAUGAAAAUAAAUUUGCAGAAACAUUUGCAAAAACCCAAAACACCACAUCCCGAGCUAAUUGUUACACCAUCUCCAGAGGGUAGUGGUUUAAUGGAAUCAAAGAUUUCCCUAUAGACGAAGGCAAGAAAAUAAGGCCCUAGAGCUAAUCUAUCGCCGUUAGAUAAACCAACGGCGAUUGGUACAAAGUUCCGAUUAAUUUUCUGCGAACGAGUACAGAAGAGAUUGUGGCAUAACCAAUAUAGGAGGAACGCUGUAUGUUCUUUCCUAGUGACAGGGGCAGGGGAUUCGCCUGCAAACUUACGGAGGAACUUGGAGUAAGCCAAGUCAAUGAAGUCAUUGAGGUCAAGAUGAGCCUCAAAGUCAGACACGUCAUCAGGAUUAUAAGCCAUAGAGAUGGUAACGCCAUGAGGACGCAGUCCAACGAUAGCGGCUACGUAAAAAAGAGUCGGAGUAAGAGGUCCCCCUCUGAAAAGAAAAACGUUGGAAACAGGGGACCAAAAACAGAGAGCAGAAGUUAACAGAAGGUUGUCGGCUACAGGAGGCUUCCUAGAUAGCCGAAUAGCUUCAUAAAUCCCGAUUUCCUUUCAAGAAUUACCAUAAACAGCUUCCACUCGGUCCAACCAAUCCAAGUAAGCAUCUGAAACACCCGGCUAAGUUCGAAGACUUUUUCCUGUCGAAGCCGAGGAAUACCAGGAGUGAAGAUCAAUGGAUUUAGCUAUAAAUGGAAGACCAUCACUGGAGUAAGGAAAAUCAUCAGGAGUUGGAUCUUCAGUAAAGGAGGGACCCAAGGUUAAUCUAGUGGGGUCUAAAGAGAGAUAUGGUUUAAGUAAAGUAUAAUCUAGCGAAGGACGAGUAGGUAAAGGCGGGAGCGGCGCCAUUACUCGAAGCGAAAAGAAACUAUAGAAUGAAGCAGAAGCCUGAAUGAAAGAAUGAAGAUUAAAAAAAAUCGGAGAAGACGAAGAAGAAGUAAAGAGAAGCGAAAGAGAAGUUUCGCCGGAAAAGACGAGGAAGAAAUAAAAAGGGGAUAGAAAAGACAAAGGGAAUGAGAAGCUUAGGAAAGAAAAAAAGAUCGUCGCAUCGAACCAUUGCAUCAAAACGAGUUCCGAGGUCGGCUAUAAUGAUGAAUAGACGACCGUAAUUAAGAUGACCUAAUUAAUGCCUUAUAUGAAACAAAAAUAGGGAGCGAGAUCGGGGCUGUAAAAAAGAAAAUGGACGGCCAAGAUUGAACCGUACAGAGGAUCACGCCUCGGAUUACGUCAGUUACUCGUACAGAGAAUUUGAAUUUAAUUGGACCGAGAACCACGCCUCGGAUCGCGCUUGUUAUUGAAGCGAUGGUGGGAUUUGGCAGCAGAACAAGUGGACGGUUGAAACGAAACCGUACCAAGAGUUUGAAAAGUAAUCGCGCCUCGGAUUACGCCAGCUACCGAAGCGUUAUUUCGAAAGCUGCCGAGGGGGCAAUUGUUGAGCCAAUUAGGCGCGAACAGGUGGUACGCCGGUAUUCCCUUCAAAGGCAUCAAUCUGGCCGUGCACCAGGAGCACCAGAAAAGUUUUAAAGUAAACCGUCGCGCCAAUUGAAGGAAGUUACAGUAACCGCAAGCAGUUGCAUGCGGUUCCGAUCGGCUGGAGGUGGUCCGGGAUAUUAGGAGAUAGUGGCCGAUCGUGUAAGAGCAAUAACUGAUCAAGGGGCGAUCUAUAAAUAGGGCAAUAACGCCCUAAAAAAUGGUCUUUUUCCCUGUGGACAAAAGACCACCCUUAAUUCCUCGCAAUUUUUUGCAUUUUUUAGGAGUAGUCUACUUGUAAUUUUCUCUUUCCCGCAUUUACUGUUCUUCCUAGGAGUAGUUUUAAGUAGAUCAACCGAGUCUGCAUGCCAUCCGGCACACUCGACCGCUGUACUUCUUAUCAGUGAAUAUAAAGGCAUUCGGCUCAUUCAAGCCGAUCAAUUCCUUUGCUCUAGAGACAUUCGGUUAGAAGUGCAGUACAAAUUCAAAAUUCAAACAAUAAAUGUCGAAAAAUUUAAAAAUAAGUGGAGAAUUAGGCAAUAGUUUUGAAAAGAAAGUACAAUUAUUUUAUGAAAAUCUCUCUGUUGCGACCACAUAAAAUUCAAACUAGAGAUUGUGAGAAGAGAGGAGGAUGACAUCAAGAAGAAGUAUCAUCAACCCUAAUAUUCUACGUUUUAUUUUUCUUACAUAGGAGUAGGCGUAACCUAAUCUAGCAAUAGUGAUAUAUAGAAGCCCUGGUCAGUGGAGAACUGUCCUUUACCAAUCGCUCACAAUUUCUCGAGCCUUCAUUGGACCACCUCACCUUUUGUUGCCGAAUGCUUUCCCAAGAUGCACGCUUUUGUCAGGUGUAGAAUACCACUCCGAUCGCUAUUCUUAUGUAGUGAUUCUAUUAAGCUCAACUUUGGCUUGGAUCAACGGCCGAAACUUGAAAGCCAAAGAAGUUUCUAGACUUCGGCUUGUUUCUAAAUGUCUCAAGGCUGUCUCUCAAGAAUUAAACUUGAUCGGACUGUUUUCUUUCAGACUUACGUCUGAAAUAAAGUUAGAUUUUACCUCUGUAUCAAAUAAUGUCACACUCUGCGAUUUUAUUUACUAACACUGGUAUUGAAGAAAUAAAAAGAAAUAUACUAACAGACCUAAUUUUACCUGCUUCGUUUACUUUAUUUAAAAAUAAACUUAACUAGAAAUAUGAAUCAACUAGUAUUCGAAUUUGAAACCUCGAUCAUCAAGCCUUUUGCCACAUGAUCUAGGGAUGGUUGGUUUGGUUGAGGACUGAAAGUUAAUCCCCAAAAAUUUAUAAUUUGUAUUUACAAACGAAUCAAGAACCGAAAGCUACCUAGUAACCCGAAUCGGACCCCGCGCUCGCGGUUCAUCGCAAACCAUGGGGGUUCGCUCGCGUCUUCUCGCAGUUUCUACCUCAGCUCUCCCCCAUCGAAGCCUCUCCNNNNNNNNNNNNNNNNNNNNNNNNNNNNNNNNNNNNNNNNNNNNNNNNNNNNNNNNNNNNNNNNNNNNNNNNNNNNNNNNNNNNNNNNNNNNNNNNNNNNGUUGUAGUUCUCACCCCACUAUUUCCACAGAGCCGGGACCGAGCGAGCCGGCGAGCUACAGAGGUAAAGGUAUCGCGCCUUAGUAAGAGGCCACCAAAGUUGGGUUUCAUUUUGUAGUAAAGUACCCUAUGAUCAUCUUUUGUAUUUGAUGAUUUAAAAUGUUAAUGUAUAAAGCAAAGAAAAGAAUGUAAAGCUUAUUUGAAGUAGAUGUGAUAUAAAAAGAAAUGAUGCAAUGUGUAAUGAAGUACAAGGAAUCAUGAAUGUAAAUGGAUGCAAUGUAUAUGAUCAAAAACGAAUCAUAGUACUUGUAAAUGUUUAGUUUUCCUUUCUUUCACUAAUGGCUAUUGCUUACCCUCGUGUAAGCCGUUUGUGUAUGUUUCCGCUAAUGCAUUUCUUGUUUGAAUUUGUACAUGUGAUGAGCCUUGGGCGGAUAGGGGAAACUCUGUUCGUUCGGCGUCUGUUUGACGUGCUCGGGCCGGCCCAAAUUGGUAUCGGUCCCGGGGCGUGACAGAAAGAUUUUUCUAACAAUUUUAGAUUCCGGGAUCUUCUCUCCCAAGUUAGCACAUGUAUUGAUUAUGUCUUGGAGUCUAGUAAAGUAAUCGGUAAAAGAUUCAUGCUCAUCCAUUCAAAUAGAAUCAAAUUGACUUGUCAACAUGUCACGCCCUGUAAUAUACCGAACUUCUAAUUUAUGAAGUUACGAUGUAUGUUAGCUUAGAAAGCCAUUGGAAUCAUUCCGGCGAAGUUCGGAAGCAUUCGGGUGCUUCGGUGCGCAUAGGGCGCGAAAACGGAACCCGGAAGGCUAUGUUGGACCGUUGACUAAAUCCGGCAUUAGCGUGGAUGAAAAGAUGAUGAAAACAUGUUUGAAAACAUGUUUGGAGAGUCUCGGUUCGAUUUGAAAAGAAACGGAGGUCAAACGAGUGAAAACGAGCGAAAACGGAGUGAAAAAGGAUAAAGGCUGAAAAUGCUGAAAAUUUGGCUAAGUCUGGAAUUCUGGCCUUUCGGGGACCGGUCUCUCACCGCAAGGACCGGUCUCAGAACCCCGAAAAUGCCCAGUUUGGGCUGUUGCGAGGGAAGCAUUGUGGAGGGGCUUAAGUGCAAAAUGGCACUUAUGAGAGUGUAUAGAGAGGAUCCUUUCUCUCUUUNNNNNNNNNNNNNNNNNNNNNNNNNNNNNNNNNNNNNNNNNNNNNNNNNNNNNNNNNNNNNNNNNNNNNNNNNNNNNNNNNNNNNNNNNNNNNNNNNNNNNNNNNNNNNNNNNNNNNNNNNNNNNNNNNNNNNNNNNNNNNNNNNNNNNNNNNNNNNNNNNNNNNNNNNNNNNNNNNNNNNNNNNNNNNNNNNNNNNNNNNNNNNNNNNNNNNNNNNNNNNNNNNNNNNNNNNNNNNNNNNNNNNNNNNNNNNNNNNNNNNNNNNNNNNNNNNNNNNNNNNNNNNNNNNNNNNNNNNNNNNNNNNNNNNNNNNNNNNNNNNNNNNNNNNNNNNNNNNNNNNNNNNNNNNNNNNNNNNNNNNNNNNNNNNNNNNNNNNNNNNNNNNNNNNNNNNNNNNNNNNNNNNNNNNNNNNNNNNNNNNNNNNNNNNNNNNNNNNNNNNNNNNNNNNNNNNNNNNNNNNNNNNNNNNNNNNNNNNNNNNNNNNNNNNNNNNNNNNNNNNNNNNNNNNNNNNNNNNNNNNNNNNNNNNNNNNNNNNNNNNNNNNNNNNNNNNNNNNNNNNNNNNNNNNNNNNNNNNNNNNNNNNNNNNNNNNNNNNNNNNNNNNNNNNNNNNNNNNNNNNNNNNNNNNNNNNNNNNNNNNNNNNNNNNNNNNNNNNNNNNNNNNNNNNNNNNNNNNNNNNNNNNNNNNNNNNNNNNNNNNNNNNNNNNNNNNNNNNNNNNNNNNNNNNNNNNNNNNNNNNNNNNNNNNNNNNNNNNNNNNNNNNNNNNNNNNNNNNNNNNNNNNNNNNNNNNNNNNNNNNNNNNNNNNNNNNNNNNNNNNNNNNNNNNNNNNNNCUGUUUCUCUACUAUAUAGAGGUUCAAAAUUAUCACACCAAAAACGUAGGCAUGUUAAGCAUCCUAAAUUCACGAUAAUGUAUCUAGCCAGGAAUGAAGAAUAAUCAUUUUAUAAAAGUAUUAAACCAAGAAUUCGAGAAUUUCUCAUAAAUAGGCUAGGUCAACCCACCAAAAAUCGAAAAUUCGUUUCGGCCGAACUGGAGGUUUUCUACAAGCUUCCUAACCAGCUAGAACAUCAAAUGGGUCACCCAACGAAACGAAGAGCAAAAUAGCUAAACAUUACCUGGACAGCAAAAGGCCAAAACUCACCUCACAAGCAGAAAAUCCUUCUAAGCUUUCAAAGGGAGUCUAGAAUCCUUCAAUCGAGCCCAAGGAAGGUUCUAACCCAAGAAAUUUACUCCAAAGGCUAGAUUCAAAAUGCCGCAAAAUAACCCUAAAGUCUCUCUAGGGUUUAUCUAUAAAAACGCUCAAAAGCCAUCUAGAGGGAGAGAAGUGUUGUACUCACUUAGAAGCUUUACCAAUCAAGCUCAAAAGUCUCCAACUUCAAAGAUCUUCCCUCAAUCAGGCUCAAGACCAAGCUCCAAGCCUUCAACCAUGGUGGAGAAGCCACCAAAAUGCAAAAGAGAGGAAUCAAACCUUAAAUCCCAAGUAAAAAGGGAUAUAAGAACCAAAGAGAAGAAGAUGAGGGAUGCCCUACCUUGUUCUCCACGGUUCCCAGCUCAGGGGAGGCUCUAAGGGAUAUGGGAGAUGAUAUAAGAAGGCCACAAAUGCAAAAACACCCCUGCAGUUUCGAACUGUGCGAAGUCUGCCGCCUUGUACCGGUACACGGGCCCUUGUACCGGUACAAGGUCCACGAAAUCCAAACCCGAGGCUCGAGUUGCUGGGCUCUACUGCUCUGUACCGGUACAAGCUCCGAUGGCUAUACCGGUACAACCAUCAACCUUGUACCGGUACAAGCACAACCUUGUACCGGUACAAGCCCGCCAGAACUCAAUCCGAGAGUCAGCCAAAUCCCGUUUUUUCGGGUUUUGGUGCAAGGCUUUGUACCACAAAUCUCAGGACACAUGCCAUAGGUCGCAACACAGUCAACGACCCACCAGAAAAUCUGGAAAAGUUCAGAACACAGCCAAUCACUCGAAUCUCGCAAUUUGCAAAGGUCCAGUGUGUUACACAACAUUUGGAGCUUUUGAACUUUUAUUAGACUUGUACCCUUAUGUGUAACUUGUAGAGUAUCCCAAAUCUCUUUGGCGGUUUCAAACACUGAAACACAAAAAAAUUUCGUUUGAGACAACGCAUUAAAUAAAGCAUUUAUUCCCUUUCUAUUGAACGAAGAUAACUCGUUUUCGUCUUUCGUCCAUUUAUUUCUAGGUUUAGGGACGGUUGCAUUAUCGACGACUUCGGUGGGAUACUUCGAGUAGAAUUUAAUUGAUUGCCACACCCGCUCAUCGAUGACAAUAAGAAAAGCUCUCAUGCAAACUUUCCAAUAAGCAUAGUUUGUGCCAUCGAAGAGUGGUGAUCGAUUAAUGUUACCGCCUUCACCCAUUGUGAUAGUUAAAAAUCUAGAUCCCACUCUGAUACCACUUGUAAGUUAUGGGAACCCUAGGAUCUAUCUAGAUAAUAUCUGUAAUAUACCGAAACCUCGCUAGAGAAUAUUGGACUUUAGCCAAAUUGACUAAAGCAUCCGACAGAAAAAGCUAGACAAAAUCGAAUUAAUAUUCCAACAAUAUUGGAAGGGUUAAAAAUGAGUUCUAAAAGAGUUAGAAAGGUUUAGCAUUACUCGGCGCGAAAAGAAGCUGAACAAGUGCUAAAACUACAAUCUGGGCAUUAGGUACCGGUACAACAUCGAGGUGGUACCGGUACUGCAUUAUAAACCGAGAGAAGCAGCUCUCGAGUUUGCCUCUGCGUAACCUUGUAACCAGUGACAAAAUUGUCCCAUACCAAUACUGUAAUAUACCGAAUAUUCGGAAAAUAAAAGUCGAACUUUAGUCAAAUUGACCAAAGUACGAGGAUGGAAUACUUCGGAAAGUCCGAAGGUGUUAAAAUGAGUAAAAGUGAGUUGUGGAAGGUUUUCGAGAGCCAAAGAAUCAAAUUCUACAAAACUGCAGAAUUUGAGCUCUCGGGGACCGGUCCCUGGUGGGAGAGACCGGUCCCCGAACGCGUAUGAAAUGAGACAGCCGAAAAAUCGGCUAAGUCCUGGAAGAUCAGCUCUCGGGAACCGGUCUCUGCCUNGUAAAUGUAAUGUAAGAAAGAAAUGAUGAAAUGAUGUAAUGAAUGUAAGAAUUCGAUAAAUUACUAGAUGGAUGCAAUGUAUAUGAUCUAAAAUGAAUCAUAUUACUUGUGAAUGUUUAGUUUCCUUUUUCUUUCACUUAUGGCUAUUGCUUACACUCGUGUAAGCCGUUUGUGUAUGUUUCCGCUAGUGCUUUUCUCUAUUGAUGAAAAUGUACGUGUGAUGAGCCUUGGGCGGAUAGGGAAAACUCUGUCCGUUCGGCGUCUGUUUGACGUGCUCGGGUCGGGCCAAAUUGGCAUCGGUCCCGGGGCGUGACAAAUACCAAGUGUAAAUACCCGAGCAGCAGCUCUCGGGUUUGGCUGUUAUGAAAUCGUGUAACUGAUGACAACCCAGCCCGUACCGGUACCAAGUGGACCUCGCAGCAAAAUAAAAACUGCUGCAAAUACAAGUGUUUGGGGGACCUUUUUGCUACUGUAGCACCUUAUAAAUGACCCCAACACCCCCUCCCACCUGGUUUACACAGCAAACUCCUCUCUCUCUCUCUCAUUUCUCUCUUUCUCUCUCUAGAGAUCAUUUCCUAGAGCAAGGAGGUGAAGGAGGAGAAGGCUUUGGAUGAGAUGAUUUGAAUGUUUGGGUCUCUCCUACAAGGUGGACUUGGGAGAGCUUAGGGCAAAGGUAAGGUUUUCUUGUGUAAGGUUUUCUUGUAAGAUCUAGGGCUUGGGUUUUAUGCCCUACAUCUUUGGAUUUGAGCUUCUUACAAGAGUAGAAACCUUCUAGAGGCUAUAGAACACAUGAAAAUAAGGUUUCUUCAUAUGCUCUCAUGGUGGAUCUCUAGGGCUUGGUUUGUUUGCCCUAGAAAUGAUUAGAAAAGCUUAGAAAAUGUUCUAAGAGGUUCAACAAGCUUUCUUUUGCUUGUUCUAGAGAUCUCAAACCCGAAGAUUGAGCAAAUGGCAUUGUUAGGGCACCGAAAUUAGGGCUUUUGCCCUAGAGUGGUUUAAAGGCAAAUUGACCUCAUAGAAACCUAAUUAGGGGUAUUUCUAACUAGAAUAUGAACUCGGUUCGGUGAUCCGACGAGUGUACGCCAAGAAAUUGACGAAAAGAUCGAUUUUGGUAUAGAUAGCCGCAGCACGCGGAAUAGACGCCCAAAAAUUCCAAGAAUUGAACCGUAGCACCUUUGCAACCAUACAAGGUAGGUGGUGCUUACCAAACUCUUUGAAAUUCCUUGUAUGUCUAAUGUGUCACUUAUUGAGCAUAUGUAUAUGUAUUGUUGCAUGCAUUGUAGGGUGAUUGAGAUUGUAUUUAUAUGAAUUGUUGCAUGUUGUGAGUACAAAUGUAUUAUGAAAUGGUUGAGAAUCUAUGAACCCUAUGUAUGCAUGAUUGGUGAUGAAAACCUAGAUGAGGUAAAGAACAAUGUGAUACUAUGACAAGUAGAUCGAGUGGCAUUAGUAAAUGCAAUGAAACACUAGAGUUAGUGUAUGGCAUUAAUGAGUCAAAAUUUACUAGUGUACAAUUGUGGCACUAAAUGAAUAUAUUGAAUGAUAGAGCAUGAACCACUAGAGUUAGUGUGUGUGGCAUUAUUGAGAAUUGAAUGCUAGAGAAUUGAGAAUAAAGAACUCGUGGUGUAAUGACACUAACGAAAGUAGAGAAUGCAAGUGCAUGUGAGAGUUGGCAUUAUGACAUCAACCUUAUAGUUAAGGGUCAUAUGAGCAUUGCUACCUUAUAGUUAAGGAAUGGAUUGAACUUGAAAUCUUUAUAGUUAAGGAUCGGAUCAUCCUCGCCUUACGCCUUGGCUCGGAAGGCGGUAGCUCCCCCUCGAGCGAUGAGCUCCAGAAUAGUCAUCACUGGGUCGUAGUAGUUCUCCCCAGAGGACGGUCCCGUACGGGUUGUAGGAGUUUCUCCCCGAUACUUGGGAUUAUGAGUUGGUGAGUCUAUUGACGCGAAACCUACGGGUAAGCCUAGAGAUUGGGAAUUGGAAAGUGACCUUGCAUUCAUCAUGAGCAUUCUUGUUGAGCAUUCUUAUUGAUCUCAUUGUUCAGGCAUAUUAGCUGCAUUUAUAUAGUUGGUUACCUAUCUAUCUGCUUAUUUCUUCUAUUAUGCCUGAGUUAGACCUAGUGGGAAGGUCGGCGAGAUUGGUGGCCAACUCACUGGGAACUUUGUUGUAAUUCUCACCCCACUAUUUCCACAGAGCCGAGACCGAGCGAGCCGGCGGACGACCACGGUAAAGGUAUCGCGCCAUAGCUAGAGACCACCCGAGUUGGUUUCAUUUUGGGUUUAGUUGCAUUACCCCUUUUAUACCAUCUUUUGUAUUUUGAUGGUUAUAGAUGUUUAAAGAAAAGAAUAUGAAUGAUGUAAAAGAAUUUAUAUUUGAAUGCAAAAGCUUUAUUUUGGAGAAUAUGUGAUGUAAAAAGAGAUGAUGUAAAGAAUGUAAAGGAAUUAUAUUAAAGAUGUAUGCAUGUAUGUGAUUUACAAUUAAUCAUAUUACUUGUAUGUUGAUUAGUUAAUACUUUCACAUUGGCUAUUGCUUGCCCUCGUGCAAGUCAUUAUGUUUGCUUCUGCAUGUGCAAAUUUUAUACUCUAUUUGUACUUGCUGUUGAGCCUUGGGCGGACAGGAGAGGCUCUGUCCAUUCGGCAUCUGUUCGACGUACUCGAACCGACCAAAUAGGACCGGGCUUGGGGCGUGACAAUAUCACACCUAGAGGAGGGGUGAAUAGGUGUAUAGCCCAAAAUCGUAAAUCUCAAUGCAAUAAAAAUAAAUGCGAAAAAUAAAAAUAGCACACCGAGAUUUACGUGGGAAAACUCCAAUUUGAAGAAAAACCCACGGGACCAACACGCGAAAAAAUAAUCCACUAAGAGAAAAGAUUAUAAGGUGAUUACCGACUCCACGGACUCUACCUCUCUUAACCUCCUAUAGAUCUCGUGCAAGCCUCCGGGUUGUCCACUCCCUCACGUUCGAAUCCACGAACGCCACGCACACAUCCGAAUCCACGGAUGCCACUCGAAUCCACGAGCUCACGAUCCGAAUCUUCGAACCGCCUUCGAUCACGCCGAAUCCACGACGCCGCACAUGAAGAGUAUCAUGCAUGUUUAUGGUGAUCCUUGGCUUAGAGAGUCGUUGAAGAACCAGAAAUAAGAACUCUCUGCAAAGUUUAGAUCAAUUCGACAUAUAGAUAUAGAAUUCAAUAUCUCGAAUUGAACUAAAAGAGGCCAAUUUGUGAAAAAUAGGUUUAGAACGAAAACCUAGCCUCUAGGGUUACUCUAUCAUGUAAUCUCGUGCUUCAUACUGAUUAGAGUAUAGCUUAUUUAUAGACUUUAGAAUCAAUUAGAGCUGAAUUAGAAGCUAUACAAGAAAAUUUUAUAUUGAGUACCGGUACUCGGAAAGUUGGUACCGGUACACCACGACGGAACAGAAAUUUUCUCAGGCUGAGUACCGGUACCAGGCCGAUGCAGUACCGGUACGCGGCCGAUGCAGUACCAGUACGCGGCCGAUGCAGUACCGAUACUCGGCUUUGGUACCGGUAGGCAAUACAAUUCGAAGAAUUGCAUCUCUCGAGUUUUGAGGUACCAAUGUGGGGUACCGGUAUUCUGUUUUGAAACUUAGUUUUUCAAUAUAGUUUUUGAGGAGCUGAAAACAGGUACUGGUACACAAUAUCAAAUAUUGUUCUAAUCAAUUCAAAAGUACCAAAACCCACUUCUAAUCCUUUAAACAUUGAUUUAUAUGAUUCUACUAUCAUAAAUAAGUAUGAAUCACCAUAACAUGAUUUAAAACCUUACCUGAGCCUCGUGAUCCAAGCAAUGAGAUGUUUCUGAGUUCUCGAAAUCUUGGAUUCUUCGAUCUUCAACAAUCACGCACCGAACCCUUCAAGACUCCGACUCAAAUCAUGAAACUUGCCAAUACUAAAUCCCUAAUACUUCCAAUGGAAAAGCCUCAAAAAUAAACCCUAGUUUUAUCAUGACCAAUUUUUCUACAAAAAUUUUUGCAAAUCUCACAAAUAGAGGAUGCAAGAAUGCUACUAACCUCAAUUUAGACUCCAAUGCAAGCUAUAAAAUGCUAGGGUUGAUGUUCAAGCCUCAAAUGUAAUAAUACCGAACUUCUACAAUUGUGGAGUUCUAGUGGAAUAGCUUAAAAGGCUAUUAAAUAGUUCUGGCGAAGUUUUGGGAGUUAUUCGGGUGUUUCCGGAUGAAUGAGGUUCCGGAUGCCCGAUUGUGAUUCCGAGCGCCCGAAAUGUAUUCCGAACUUAGGGGCAUUUAGUGAUUGUUUGAGGGCUUUUCUGCAAUUGUCAUAGGCCGAUAAAUGGGCGAACCAUCCUCCACACCUCCUUCAUUCCUUAUCUGAGAAGAAUCUUUUUUUCUCUUAUUUCCUCUCCCUUUUCUUUUCUCUCCCUUUUCUCCUCCUACUUAAGUUAGGGCCCAGCUUAGGAGGGACCAGAAGCAACGUUUUUAAGUACCCGUCGGCACGGGCCGUAUCAACCGUGUCAUACCGUACCAACAAGUUACCGGCACGAUACAAACCCCGUGCCGAUGGCACAACUCAAAACCCUAUAUUCUUUAAAUUAGUAAGUAAUUUUCUCAAUAAAGUUCAAAAAAUAUAAUAAAAAGACAUAAUAAAUAAUUAAAAUAUUUUGUUGCUAAAGAAAAUACAUAUUUCAUGAUAUUAUGUGUCAGCAGAUAAAAUUUUUUUUGAUUAGCACGCAUCGGUACAACUCGGCACGCACCGUGCCAUAUCGUACCGGCAAGUUUCCAGCACGACCCUGUACCACGGCACUUAAAUCUUUGACCAGAAGUUUAACUUUCUUCUGUUGAUGAUCCCUAAUUCAAGCGUAGUAGAGGGUAGUGCAAGCAUAGCGGAGGAUAGCUACUGUAGAGUGAGGACAGCCUUGGAUAACUAUUCUUCCAUCUUGUAUUGGAUUAGAGGAAGAAUGUAACAGAUGGGUUUAAAGAAAAUUAAAGUGGGACUUUGAUUGAUUAUGAUAUAAUAGUGGGAGAAGUUUUGACUCAUCAGAUAUAAAAUAUACACUAGCAUGAACCCGCUGUCAUACAGAAAGAUAUACUCUUGACAGGAAGAUUACUCGUCCACUUUUCUUGUUAUGCAUAUAUGCCCGGCCAGCUUGCAUAGGAUGCCAACACUUCAAUAGACGAAAUGGCAUCAAAAGAAAAAUAAAUAACACCCAUUACUAUAGAACUUCGCAAGAUUAAAAAUACAAAAUAAACCACAACAGUCCAUCCAAUCUGCAAAUAUACCAUGAUAAUAUGUAAUUCAGCACUACGGUACUUCAGCAGACAUUAGUCCUGACACAAAUUUUUGGAACUUCUAGUAGUGUACUUUAUUUGUUCGACUCAAAACUCAAAGGUAGUCAUUACAAUCUAGCAUUGGUAAUAAUUAGAUGUUAGAAGCGAGGUAAGGAGACAAUUUACUGACAACCUUUCACUUAAAAAACCUUGAUUUAUGAUCAUGAAAGGCAAUCGAAAUGCAACACUACUUUAACAAGAUACAAUUGCGAUACAACAAACAAAAGCAUAUCGUCAACUUAGUACGGAUGGUAUCGCCGUCCUCGGCUCCCAUCAAUGCCCCUACUACCUCCACUGUCACCCGAGCCACCCCUCCGGUCACCUCUUCGAGGGGGCGGUGGUGGAGCCUGCGCACCAGGCUGCUGCCUAAAAUAAUUCAAAAUUUCAGAUUCAAAAUUCAAAGUUCACGAGAACAAGGUACUAGUAGAAGUAUUCAGGGCUCAUCUGGACCAUCUAGAGUUUCAGUAGAAGUGUUGUUAUUAUAUUGUUUGUUCUAGGAACAGCUAACAGCUUUCUCAUUAAAUUUCUAAGCAGCUUUGUUGCCGUAAGAAUCAAAAGCCUGAAAUUCAAGUUUCAUUUUAGCUUCCCACAAAAGCAAAAGCAGUUGAUUUUUUUUUUAAGUCAAACUGCUGGCCUCUAAAAUCUUUUGCUUUCUAGAGUAAAGAAGCUGUCAGGAAGACAAUGAAAGACAGACAGUUAAUCGGCACAUAAAAAGUAAAAGCUGGAUGACAUCUUCUUACAAUACAUAGCCAAGGCGACCAUCAGGUAGAACCAUUGGCACCAUUCUCAUUCCAGCUGGCAUUGGUCCUCUACCGUAGAUCACAGGCUGCAAAAAAUUCGCAAACAAUGUUAACAUAAUGAAUACAGAUAGAGCCAGAAAUUUUUUAAAAAAAGACAUAGUAGUUUAUAUGCUUAAACCGCAAGAGAGGCAAACCUGGCCAUAUCCAGCACCAUAUCCACCACCAUAGACCCCAUAUGGAUCUCCAGGAUAACUGUAAGGAGGGUAUGGUGGUAAAUUAGGAAGUAACCCAGGUUUCUGUGGAUAUUCAGGCUUCUUGUCUGUCUGAGGUUUGGCAAGAGAGGCUUCUAUGACAUGCCCUGUGAUUGCAUAAAAUUUUGGUCACCCCCGUGGUAACAAGAACAAACAGUUUUAAGUUUUAACAGAACAGUUUUCAAGGACUGCUAAGAAAACAACAGUUAACUAUCUUUGGUAAAUGUUCAAAACCUUUUCAUUAAAAAAUGAUUUUCCAAACCUUGUUUUAUAUUAUAGCUGCAAUACAUAGCUAAAUGAAAGAAAGCCCCCUAUAAAUAUUGUAAUUGUCGCGUCACCCCCAUGGAAAUUUCAAAACCUACACGCGACACCCCCAUGGAAAUUUCAAAACCUACUAACUAAUGAACAAAAGGUUAAAAAUUGCUCAAGGGGAUAUUGAUAGAUAGAGACAAAGUGAAGUCUUCUGAUUUAACAGUUAUCAAGGCUUCAAAAGUUUGAGGGAGGGAAGUGAAAAUUAAGAUAUUUAUCAGAGGUUUCCUGCAAUUGAGCUGAAAUAUAUAUUUCGUGAGGUAAACAAUUUGUAUCAAGCAGGGAUAUGUCAGACAAGAUAAGUUUGAUAAAAACAGAAACAAGAAGAAACAGCAUAUUAACGUGCAUGCAUGCUGUGUUGCCUUCAUAGUAUGAACCUAACUAACAUGUCAUAUCAAAAGCAUCAGACGAAGAACUCAAACCAGCUAGCGUUGAAAAUGCAAAGCCAUAAAUAAAAGAAAUUACCAUCAACUUCAUAUUUUUCAGAUCCUUUUACUGCUUUCAAUGCACUAGAUCUCUCUGCAAAAUGAACAAACCCGAAAUCCCGCUUCUGUCCAGCUUUAGCGGGCGGUAGAACAACUUUUGUGACCUCUCCAUGACGUUCAAAAAGCUCCUUAAUCUUUUCUUUUGUUAUGUUUUCUGGUAGAUUUUUCAAAUAAAUAGCCUUCACCUGCAAUACAAAAAUGUAAUCAGAUGAUGGUCAUAAAAUGCAAGUCUUGAGAGAUCCUUAGUAGUACAUUUCCAACAUCUGACGCAUGAGAGAUAAAGCAUGAAUUAACUUGUAAGAUUAUGCCAUGCAACAUCAUGAAAAGAAAGAUUUUCAACAUUUCAAGAUCAAGGUGAUAGAACCGUAACACCAAGCAUUUGAGCUACUUGGCUGCAAAGAAAACCAAACCUUCUUUCCCUCACUCUAAAACAGAAUAAACUGAAAACUUUAAACACCUUCCUUCCCUCACUCUCUUUCACUCUCAUAUUCUCUUCAUUUUGUUCACCUGCAACCAAGCAAGUGCACCCGCAAUAUGUUUUCACAAUAUGCCAAAUCAAAUGGCAACAAAUCUAAAAUUUUUCAUUCUAUGAAAAGCAUUAUUCCCCUGAAAAACAUGUUCAACAGUUUUACAAUCAACCAAACAUCACAUGGUAAAUUUUUACAAUUGAAAGAAGCUUUCUGCAAGUUCCAGUGCGCCACAUAGCUUGUUACAUAUUUGGAAAGAUUUGCUACAACAAGUGCCUAAAGAUUUCUGAUUGCCUAAAGAUUUACAUCAGAAUUUCACUUCAAAAUUUGUGGACUCAUUUGAAGCUUACAUCAAAUUUGCAAGGUUGCAUCAAAUUUGCAAGGUUGAGCUGCAUUGACUAAAAAUGCAGAAGAUAAUUGAGCCAAAAAAGUGCAGGGGUUAUUAUUUAGCCCCAUAUAAAACUAAGGUAAAAAAGUAUAGAACUUGCCUAAACUGUAGACCAUUUUGUACACCAAUAUGACACAGAUUUGACUGUCUUUGCACUACAUUAACUGAUACUUCAAAAUUCAUUCAAAUGAUAACAUCUUUUUCUUUUGACAGGAAAGAAAUGAUACCAUCUUAAAGAGUUCGUUUAAUAUUACUUUUUUCCCAGAAUAACUUAUAUAAAGGAAUUAUAAUAAACAGAACUACAUGAAUAAGUUAUAAGUAGAAAGAAUAAACCAGAAUCAACGUAGGCAAAACUACAUGAACAAGUUACAAGUAGAAAGAAUAAACCAGAAUCAACGUAGGCAAAAGCAACAUUUAUAGUAUGUGUUUUCAUUCCGCAAAAGUGCCUUGGUAACGACAGCAAAAAAGGAAGGUAGAGUAGCGCAUUACUCAAGGAGAUGUGCUACUUAGACCAAAGCCAGAAUCAAGACGGUAUAUCAACAUUUAGAUUUUCUAGUUUUAAUGCCACAAAAGUGCAUUGGUAACAACAACAAAAAGAGAAGGUAGAACAUUACUAAGAGAAGGUAGAGCAUUUCUCCGAAAUUAAUAAACCAAGGAUUGUCGCGCCAAUAGCACUGGAUGUGCCACUGUGCCAACAGUAUGGCAUGGCACGGCAGCACGUCCAUGCUAAUAUCGGCACGGUCCUUCGUGCCAGUGGCGUGCAACUACCGUGACAUGAAUAGAAUAAUAAGCAUCUUAACAAAUCAAGAAUACAGUUUUAACAUGACAUGAAAGACACUCACAAAGACAUAAUUAUAGUCAAAAUUUAAGAAAAACUUACAGGAAGACACUAAGAAAAACUUACAGGAAGACACUACUAUUACUAAAUCAAAAUGAUAAAAGAAAUUGGAAGCAAUUGUCAAACUCACGUUACAUCAAAACAAAUUGGUCAAAUUAUGCGAUAGAACCCUCUAUUUCCACCAAAAAGUUAGUAGAUUUAUAAGAUCUACAUGUUUUAAGUUUAAGAAAAAAAACAUUAUGUAACUAUUUUACAUCAAUAAAAACUUAAAAAGAACCCCACAAAAAAUGUAAAUAGGACAAGUUUUCACGAUACGGUUCGACAUGCCGUCGUGUAGACAUGCCAAUCUCAACCCGUACCCGCAAGUACCCAAAGGUUACCCAUAAAUUUGCGGUUACGGGUACUAGUUUCUCUUACCCAAAAUAUUGUGGGUAAAACAAGAGGGUACCCAUUAAAUUAUGGGCAUUUUGGGCAACCCAUGGGUUCCCACAUAUAUAAUUUUUUUAAAAAAAAUAAAAAAGUGAAUAUUUUUUUUGUUUUUCACGUCCUUAGAACCCUACCACUAAUUUCUCUGAGAGUCAUUAUUUUUUUGUUUAUUAUCUGUUAUAUGUUGUGAUGUUUUAAACAAUAAUUUAUGUUCUGAUCUUUUAAAAAUAAUAUAUAUGUUAUUUGUGUUUGGAAAGUAUAAUAAAAAAGGGGAGAAAAUGUACCUUGUUGGUAAUCCAUAUACCCACCCACUCGCAAAAGAUUUGUAGUAAAUUCUACCUGUGCCUGCAUAACCUGCAGGUACGAUGACCCACCUGCAGGUUGCUCAACUCGCCCAUUUGUCAAGUCUACCCUCAUGCCACAUUCCGGCACUGCCUUAAAAUGGCGGCAGGGGGAAGAAUGCAUGGUUCAGGCACUCCUUGUAAUAAACACAACAUAGGGGGAGGAACUUCGGGGAGACGUGCAACUUUAGACCAAAAAAUCUAAUGGAACAUUAGAUCAGUCGGCAUGUUUUCUCCUAAAAGCACUCUCUCACAGUAAACAGUCGACAUGUUUCCUCCUAAAAGCACUCACAGUAAACAAGCAAUUAUGACUUUUGAAAUGUUGAAAAAGAGUUCUGCUAAAUAUAGUGAUCGGUAUGUUUUCAGAAUUUGCAUGGCUAGAAAAAUAGCAAAUAAAGCAUCAAAAAAAGAAAUUGUUUAGAACUGCAUGGUAUUGUUAGGUGAAAUUUUAAUAGAAAAUUCUAUCUACCAUCAAGAACAGGAUCAAUACUUCCGAUCUAAAAUUUGUCUUCUAUCACUGUUUUUUUAGAUUUUUAUUUUUUUUAGCCGUUCAUUUUGAGACUACUCAUUCACUAGGGAAAUGAAGUCAAAGAAUUAUGAAAUUUGGUUCCUAGAUAGUUUCAAUAGUGCAAAUCAUGUCCAAUGGAGCCAAUCAUCGAAUUGGAUGUCUCAUGAUCGAAAACAACUUGAAAGAACGAAAGCUUCUGUACUUUCCAAAGUAUAUACAUACAUAUAAAUGUAUAUAUAUAUAUAUAUAUAUAUAUAUAUAUAUAGAGUCCGGCUAUGGUGCUUGUAAAAGCACCAAGCACUUGGUGCUUGUAAAUUUUUUACCGUUAGAUCGACGCCUUUGAUCAUUUUUAUCCGUUAGAUUAUACUAUUCAACCAAUUACCCACUCAACCCUAGGGGGCCACAUCAUCCUAACCGCACAUCCCUUAAUCCAAGGGCCAAAAACUUACAAGUACCAAUGACUUAGUACUUUUAAAAGCAUAGGAGCUCAAUUCUAUAUAUAUAUAUAUAUAUAUAUAUAUAUAUAUAUAUAUAUAUAGCUAGAAUACACUCAAAAGUAUCAUGAAGGUGCUGCUUUUGAGUUUCUAGCCAUUUGAUGGAGAGAUGUGAGGUUGAGAUGAUGGUGGUAAGUGGAAUAGUGUUUGAUCCAAAGGCUAUUAGUAAUCAAGGAGUAGAUCCAAGGGUUAGAAACUUAGAAGUACCAAGGGGUUGGUGCUUCUAAAAGCAUUCUAGCUCAAUUCUAUAUAUAUAUAAAUAUAUAUAGAGUUGAGCUGGAAUACUAUCGGUAGCAAACGGACUCCGUUGCCACCCAUUUGUUUUCGAUGAUGGAGCCUUCAAAUCGACGAUCGACACCGUUGAACAUGAUCUAUACCCCUUAAACUAUCUAGAAACCAAAUUACAAAUCUUUUCGACAUCAUUUAUCUAAUAAUCAACGGGUUUCAAACUUUGUAAUUUUAAUGGUAGAUAUGAGGCGUUUUCUCAUUCAACGGUGUAAACCUAUCCAAAUCAAUUGAAUUUUGGUUAGAAAAUUCUUUAAACUAUUUAGAACAAGAUCUAUACUAUCGAUCUUGAUUAUAAAAUUUCUAUCAUCACUUUUUAGAGGAUAUUCAUUUUCAGCUGUUCAUUUUUAUGCCCACUUGAUGGAUAAGAGAACAAUAUCGAAAAAGUAUGAAAUUUGAUUUCUAGAUACUUCAAGUGGUAUAGAUCAUUUUCAACGGUGCCGAUCGUCGAUUUGGAGGCUCCAUCAUUGAAAACAAAUGGGUGGCAACGGAGCCCGUUUGCUACCGAUAGUAUUCUAGCUCAACUCUAUAUAUAUAUAUAUAUAUAUAUAUAUAUGCACACACAUACAUACAUACAUAUAUACAUACAUAUAUGUUUUAAAGUAUGGAGGGAUAAUAAGAAUAUACCCUAACUUUGGAGGAAUAUAUAAGCAAUUAUCCAUUGUUAAAAUGGCAAUCAGACAACAAAGUAUCUUGCAUUACAAAUCACACUUAGAUAGGAUUGGCAAAACGAUAUUGAGUGAGAUGACACAGAGAUUCUAAACUUUCUAGGUAAUAGUGGAGCACUAGAUCUCUAAAAUGGCCAAGAUGGUCAAUUAGGAAACACUAAAUAAAUUUCAGUUAUCCAGCGAGCAAAUAUUCAGAUUCCAAAGAAGCACUAGUAUAUAAAUCGCACUUUGAUAGGAUUAGCAAUACGAUAUUGAGUGAGAUGACACGGAGAUUCUAAACUUUCUAUGAAAUAUUCAAGCACUAGAUCUCUAAAAUGGCCAAGAUGGUCAAUCAAGAAACACUAAAUAAAUUUCAGUUGUCCAGUGAGAAAAUAAGCACUAGUAGCAAAGAAGAUUCUAAAUAGAAGAGAGCACAUUCUCAUAAUCAAAUGGCUAAGGCAGAAAUGAAAAUUCCACUACUCUGAGGUAAAUGGAUUGAUGGAGGUAAGAAGACUGCUUGAAUCAGAGAGUAAUGAAGUACGUAGAUUCCAAAGCAGUAGCAGCAAAGAAGAUUCUACAUAGAAGAAAGCACAUUCUCAUAAUCAAAUGGCUCAGACUUGAAGGCAGAAAUGAAAAUUCCAGCACUUGAGGUAAAUGGAUUGAUGGAGGUAAGAAGACUGCUUGAAUCAGAGAGUAAUGAAGUACGUGGUCCAAAAGCAAACUAGGAUUUCCGUAUGCUAUCCCACACCUCCUAAUGAGACUCCCAAAUUGGAAUAUGCUAUCAUGAAAGACCAUGACACAGGAUUUUACACCAAAUUAAACUCCAGUAUGAUGAUUCUCAUUUAUAGAUCCAAUGUCACAUUCAGCCAAGGAAAAAAAAUGAUAAAUGCAUAGUGUGUACUAAUGAGUACGAGCUUGCCCCACAGAUGCAUUGGAAAUGAUUCCUAGGGACAGAUGUAAAGCCAAGCAAAUUGCUGGCGCGCCAAGAGCUGAGGACUGUGUAGGUUGGAAGAAAUGCGAAUCUACCCGCCCAACAGAUUUUCUGAGUACCAGGGCCUGAAACAACUCGCAGCAUGACUCUAUCUUAUUGAUACAUUACAAAAAACUCCACUUGAAUCAUUUAUGAUUUCUCUUUACGGACGAAAAGCCUGUACUCAACAAAAUAUAUUAUUCCUAGGAUGAGUUUUUCUGGUGAAAACAUAUUCUGAAAGAGGCCGACUUCCCGGUCAGAUGAAGGGUCUUUCCUAGAAGGAGAGUGGAGUAAUGGCGGAUUCUCUAUUCCCAUCAUAGAGGGAAUAUGAUGUUAUACUGUAACAAUUUUUGUAUGCUUAGUAGAACUCCCAACGACUUAUGCAUUCUAUUAUCAUUUGCAUUAUGGAUUCUAUCAUCAUUUGCAAUGGAGUGAUCCAUUAAUGCAACUGAAGGAAGUUCUAAAUGGUUAAAUGUUUUCGAUUUUCACUACAGACUGGGAAUCUGCUGACUUUCCAUAGGACCCAUUUUACUGACAGGAUUAAUCACUAUUUUAGCAACUUUAGUGGCUCGUUAAGUUACUCGAAAUUCGUAGUUAUUCUAUUUCCUGAUUCAACCAAAAAAAAACAUUUUAAUGAAUUGAUAAUAUUAAUUGAACAUUUUAAAAACAAACUUUUGGAUUAAAUGAAACUUUUGGCUUAAUUUAAUGGACUUUCUAAAUCCUCUUAAAACCAAAAUUUCGGCUUAAACCCUUCCUUUGCCACCAAACAAACCUGAACUUUUCCAACUAAUAACAUUGGGCUGAAGCUUAUUUCGAGACUAGUUAGGAAGCUUUGUUUUAUUGCUAGUUGCUUACGUUAAUGGAAUUGUUAUACGAACGAGUUGUGAUUCAAUUAAGUUCUUGUUCAGCUUUAAUUCCAAUGAAAGUUAGUAUAUUUUCUUGGGGUUCAACUAAUCAUCUUAGUUUCUUUUUUUUUUGUUAAAUUGUAUAUUUCUUCUUAUAUUUAUAUCAAGUGGUUCUCUGAAUGUGGCUUAAAAUGUUAAGCAUGACAUCAUGAUGGCACACCAUAAAAUCAACUAUGGCCACAGUCAAAAUUAAACCAAAACUUUUAAAACAAAAUUUGAAACUAAACGGAUUAAAAUAAAGGCUAAAUUACAUAAAACCCUCCUGUCAAAACCUGAUUUUUCACUUUCCCCCCCAUGUCAUUUAAAAACCUACACUUUGCCCCCUUAUAAAAUGAUAAAUGUUCACAGGGGGUACGGUGUGAACUGUGAUGACCAGAUGACUAUUUUGCCCCUCACCAUUUUCGUCUUCUCCCUCAUCUUGCUCAUCCGCCGCCUAGAUCGGCCGCGAUUCGCGCCUCGAUCGGCCGCGGCUCCUCUUCAUUUUCUUCUCCACCUGCUCUCCUUCUCCUCUUGCACCCUCGUCGCCCCUCCAUUUCAGUGACAGUAGGGAGAAAAUUGAGAUGGGCGUGGAUGGAGAGGUGGGCAAGGACAACGAGGGCAAAGGCGAGGCGGCGGAGGAGAGCGAGGGGGUGUUUGUAGGAGCGGACAGAGAUGUGGGCGAGGGCGAGGCAGUGGAGAAGGGCGAGGCGGCGAGGCGGAGGAGGGCGAAGCAACAAUAGAGAGAGCGGAGGGUAUUUUUGGCAUAAAAAAAAAUAUUUUAUAACGGAUCACUAACGGUAAGGGGUGAAGUGAACAUUUUUCAUUUUACAAGGAGGCAAAGUAUAGGUUUUUAAAUGACAGGGGGGGGAGUGAAAAAUCGAAUUUUGACAGGAGGGUUUUCUGUAAUUUAGCCUAAAAUAAAUUAACUCAUUUUUAUCCUGCAUUACCAAUACUAUAAACAGCAUUAAUACAGCAAAACCAUAGUAUUGCCCCAAGGUAGGGGUGUCAAACUGAUGCAACAAAUAAACCUCAUUUUAUUUUUGAAUGCAAUUUUCUUUUAUUUUGUAGAUUCGUGUUUGAAUCGGACUUAAAUCAUUUAGUUUUAGUUGAUUUGGCUAACCCAAACCAUUUUCUCCAAUAAACAAAGAAACAAUCCCAAAAAGACCUUUGGAAUUCCCCAAAAAAAAAAGACCUUUGAAGUUCCCAAAAAUUGCUUCGUUUUCUAUGCAUGACUCUUGAGUGACCGUAUUAUGUUGAAAACGAAAAGACAAUAAUUUAUUAUAGGAGGGCUUUCAACACUAUAAAUAAAUGGUUUUGAAGCCUUAAGGGAGAUAUAUUUGGAUGAAUAGAAAAUUCUACUCUCACUCUUUAUCCUUGGUGUUCUACUUCCCAAUGUGAUCAUCGACGCUUCUUCCUCGCGCCGAGAUCGUCUUCUUUCUCAACUUGAUCGUUGCCGCUUUUUCCUCAUGACAAGAUCGGCUUCUACUUCUACCCCUCCUCUUCUUCCGAGUCACUACUUCAUCUUCUUCUUACCUGUUGCCAAAGUUCUACCCGUGGUGUAUCGCCCUCCUCGUCGAUCAUGGAUCUCCCGCAAUCGUGUGUACGGUGCACUUUUUGUAUCUCUCAUCUCCUGACAUCCUAUUAUCCCCUUUUAAUCUAGCCUUCCACCAUUACCAACCAUAUUUGCCAAACAACCAAACCUAAAGCUUUAAGUCCGAUAAAGCCGAAGUUACCUUUUGGAACUAUUAUGUGUAUUUUCAAUUGGUUGUUAUUAUCUCAUAUAUUGAAGGUUUAUCAUUAUCUUAGUAGUACUUCAAUUCGAUUUUAAUUUUUGUCUUGCUGAACUUUUUGCUUCCUUACUUAAAGUUCAUCGGAAUUGAUAAAUUGAACCUAGUUUUACCUUUAAACAAAAGCAAACUUAAAAAUUCAAUUUUGGCAACCUCUCGGUUUGCAUCAAUUGGUAUCAGAGCAAGUUCUUUUCGUAGAAGCGUUUGUUUUGAUCUAAACAACUUUGUCUUGGUAUUCAACUUUGGGCCAAAAUAUUUCAAAAAAAAAAGCAUCACUUUUUGAUCAACUUGUAAGCAUUUGGUAAUGACAGACAAUCGUGAAAAUCCUCGUGAUUUGAGAGAAGCGUAUGAGAAACAACAAGAUUACUUUCCUAAACCAAAAUCUAAGCCGAUUGAGUACCAAAAGCAACCCUCCAAUAAUGAGCAGAAAAUGAUGAUUUUGAACCAAAAUCUAAGCCGAACCAAAAUCUAAAUUACUUUCCCAAACCAAAAUCUAAGCCGAUUGAGUCCCAAAAGCAACCCUCCAAUAAUGAGCAGAAAAUGAUGGUUUUGAACAAAAGCAAAUUCUCUAAAGAUCUAGCAAAGUCUCCAGUGGUAUAUAUUCUUUUGGCAAAAGAAAUAUCGAAGAACACUGAAGUUCCUCAAGCUGUUCAACUAUUGCUUACUGAAUUUUCCGAUAUCAUGCCUGAGGAACUCCUCGAUGGCCUUCUACCUAUGAGAAACAUCCAACACUACAUUGAUUUUGUACCCGGUGCUAGUCUUCCACACCUAGCCCAUUACAGGAUGAAUCCCGCUGAACAUGAAGAGUUAUAUAGACAAGUCGCUGAACUUCUGGAAAAAGGUUACAUUAGAGAAAGUAUGAGUCCUGUCGCGGUGCCUGCCCUCACACCAAAAAAGGAUGGAACGUGGCGAAUGGGUGUUGACAGUCGUACAGUCAACAAACUUACCAUCAAGUAUAGGUUUCCCAUUCCUAGGAUUGAUGAUAUGCUUGACAUGUUAGGAGGUGCGAAGAUAUUCUCUAAGAUUGACCUUAAGAGCGGAUAUCAUCAGAUCCGUAUUCAACCUGGAGAUGAAUGGAAAACAGCGUUUAAAACUAAAGAAUGAGUAUACGAGUGGCUGGUUAUGCCGUUUGGACUAUCCAAUGCCCCUAGUACUUUCAUGCGCUCUAUGAACCAAGUCUUGCGACCAUUCAUUGGAAAAUUUGUCGUAGUUUACUUCGACGACAUUCUGAUUUAUAGCAGGAAUCCUGAAACUCAUAUAGAUCAUUUAAGACAAGUGCUUCAAACUUUAAGAGAUAACGGCUCAUACCUGAAUCUUAAAAAGUGUACAUUUCUGACCGAUAGCCUUACCUUCUUAGGCUAUGUGGUGUCCACUGAGGGAAUUAAAGUAGAUCCUGUUAAGAUAGAAGCAAUUCAAAGUUGGCCAACCCCAAAGACUAUAACUGAAAUCCGAAGUUUCCACAGGUUUGCGUCUUUUUAUCGGCGUUUCAUUCGAAAUUUCAGUUCAUUAAUUGCGCCAAUAACUGAUUGCCUAAAAAGGGGUAAAUUUACUUGGACACCUGAAGCUGAAAAAAGUUUUCAAUUAGUUAAGGACAAACUUACAAAGGCUCCAGUACUUGCCUUGCCCGACUUCGAAAAGGUGUUUGAGAUUGAUUGUGAUGCCUCACAUAUCGGAAUUGGAGGCGUACUGUCUCAAGAGAAACGUCCUAUAGCCUUCUUUAGUGAAAAAUUGAACGAUGCACGAGCACGUUACUCCACUUAUGAUCUUGAAUUUUACGCGAUCGUGCAGGCUUUGAAACAUUGGCGACCCUACUUGAUUCAUCGAGAGUUUAUUCUUAAUUCGGAUCAUGAAGCAUUGCGAUAUUUAAAUUCUCAAAAAAACUUGAACAAAAGACAUGCCAAGUGGUCUGCAUUCCUGCAAGAAUACACUUUUCACUUGCGGCAUAAACAAGGCAUUGCUAAUCGAGUCGCUGAUGCACUCAGUCGUCGAAACCAUUUGCUUAUCACUUCUUCCUUACAGAUAGUAGGAUUUGAGAUAGUUAAGGACCAAUAUCAAAAUGACCCUAAUUUCGGUCCUAUCCUAAAAAAGUGCCUAUCUCCUGACAAUGAUUCACCUUCUGAUUAUUGUUUGGACGGCGGGUAUCUUUUUAGAAAGUCCAAGUUGUGCAUUCCCCAGGGAUCGUUAAGAGAGUCCUUGAUUCAGAACUUGCAUAGUAGCGGGCUAGGGGGACAUUUCGGAAGAGACAAAACUUUGGGAUUAGUUCAAGAGCGGUAUUAUUGGCCUAACAUGAGUAAGGACGUUGAAAGGUUUGUCCAGCGGUGCAAGACUUGUCGAUCAUUUAAAGGACACUCAAAAUACAGGCUUGUAUACUCCCCUGCCCAUUCCCACUGUGCCCUGGGAGGAUAUUAGCAUGGACUUUGUCCUAGGUAUACCCAAGACUGCACGCCAAGUUGAUUCAGUUUUUGUGGUUGUUGAUCGUUUUACGAAAAUGGCUCAUUUUAUUCCUUGCAAGAAAACUUCUGAUGCAUCACAUUUUGCAAAAUUCUUUUUCAAUGAAAUUGUACGUUUACAUGGCAUUCCUAAAUCAAUCACCUCUGAUCGAGAUAUAAAAUUUGUAAGUCAUUUUUGGAGAACUUUAAUGUCAAAGGCAGGAAGCAAACUGAGUUUCAGCAACCCAUAUCAUCCACAAACUGACGGGCAGACGGAAAUAGUAAAUCGAUCUUUGGAUAAUCUCUUAAGAUGUUUAGCUGGAGAAAAACCAACACAAUGGGAUUUAAUUUUACCUCAAGCUGAAUUUGCUUAUAACAGUUCCAUAAACCGAACCAUUGGAAAAUCUCUUUUUGAAGCUUUAUAUGGCCGUCCUAUAGCCCACUUUCUUGACCAAGCACCAAUACCUUACCCUGGUAGAGUUAGUGCAGAGCCGACUAUUACCUAAAACAGAUUCAAGAGGUGCAACAACAGGUUCAUCAAAGGUUGCGGGAUUCCACUGUCAAGGAGUCAGCAGAUAAACAUCGCCGAGGUAUGACUUUUAAUGAAGGAGAUAAUGUCUUAAUCUAUUUUAGGAAAGAAAGGUUCCCAACUGGAGGCUAUAGCAACUUGAACAGGAAAAAGAACGAGCCAUUCAAAAUUCUGAAAAAAUUAGGGAAAAAUGCUUAUCUAAUUGAUCUACCUUCGGAAGUAACGACGUCCCCGAUCUUCAAUGUCAGUGAGCUAUACGAGUACCACGGUAAGGCCCCCUCUACUGUCGAUAUUGAUGGCUCGACAUCUCGCUCCAACAUCAAAACUCCAUCAGAUGGCGUGGAGGAUAUUCUGGAUGUGCGCGAGUCUGCAACGCAACGUGGUACUCAUCGCCGAUACUUGGUGCGUUGGUGUGGACGACCAUUGUCCGAUAGCAGUUGGGUUUCUGAGGCGCAGUUGCACCAACUUCGAGAAGACUUAUACCAGAGCUAUCAAGAUGCCAUCUCGAUGGAGUCGAGAUUUCCCCAACUCGAGGGGAACUGAUGAAGCAAAUAAACCUCAUUUUAUUUUUGAAUGCAAUUUUCUUUUAUUUUGUAGGUUUGUGUUUGAUUCGGACUUAAAUCAUUUAGUUUUACUUGAUUUGGCUAACCCAAACCCUUUUCUCCAAAAAACAAAGAAACAAUCCCAAAAAGACCUUUGGAAUUCCUAAAAAAAAAGACCUUUGAAGUUCCCAAAAAUUGCUUCGUUUUCUAUGCAUGACUCUUGGGUGACCGUGUUAUGUUGAAAACGAAAAGACAACAAUUUAUUAUAGGAGAGCUUUCAACACUAUAAAUACAUGGUUCUUGAAGCCUUAAGGGAGAUAUAUUUGGAUGAAUAGAAAAUUCUACUCUCACUCUUUAUCCUUGGUGUUCUACUUCCCGGUGAGAUCAUCGACGCUUCUUCCUCGCGCCGAGAUCGUCUUCUUCCUCAACUUGAUCGUUGUCACUUCUUCCUCGUGACAAGAUCGGCUUCUACUUCUACCCCUCUUUUUGCGAGUCACUACCUCAUCUUCUUCCCCGUUGCCGAAAUUCUACCGGUGGUGUACCGCUCUCCUCGUCGAUCGUGGAUCUCCCGCAAUCGUGUGAACGGUGCACUUUUUGUAUCUCUCAUCUCCUGACAUCCUAUUAUCCCCUUUUAAUCUAGCCUUCCACCAUUACCAACCAUAUUUGCCAAACAACCAAACCUAAAGCUUUAAGUCCGAUAAAGCCGAAUUUAUCUUUUAAAACUAUUAUGUGUAUUUUCAGUUUGUUGUUAUUAUCUCAUAUAUUGAAGGUUUAUCAUCAUCUUAGUAUUACUUCAAUUCGAUUUUAAUUUUUGUCUUGCUGAAAUUUUUGCUUCCUUGCUUAAAAUUCUUCGGAAUUAAUAAAUUGAACCUAGUUUUACCUUUAAACAAAAGCAAACUUGAAAAUUCAAUUUUGGCAACUUCUCGAUUUGCAUCACAAACCCACAACCCAGGCGGCCCGUGGGUCGGCCCAACCCAGCACGGUCAUGGGUCGUGCUGGGCUAUACUCACUUGGCUCGCAGCCCGACCUGGCCUAGCAUGCCAAGUGUGGCCCGGUACAUUCAUGACUAAGCCCAAGUAUCAGGCCAGUGGUUUAUUUUUUUCUUUUAUCUAAUAUAUUUUUUAGUUUUUUUAUUUAUUCUUCAAACUUAAUUUAAAGUUUUAAAUUAUUCAAAUUUUAAAUAAUUUUUCUAAAAUCAUCUAAAACUUAUUUAUCUAAUAAAAAAACUAUAUAUAUAUAUUAUAAAAUCAAUUUUAAAAUUAAAAUAGAAAAAAAUAAAUAAAUAAAAUAAAAUGGAUCGGCUCGUGACCCUGCAUGGCCCAGCCCGGUUCAAGCUAUGGGCUGUACGGCUGGGCCCGAAUUGGCCCAAAAAAUCUCGACCAAGACAUCCUGGCAUGGCCCAGAUUACAUCCCUACCCUUAGGCCAAAUACUCUCUACAGGAAUUGAGCAGGUAGUGCUCAUAGCAGGUCAUAUGAUAUAGUGCUUAAUCCACAGUGGGCUUGUAUUGUAGCAGUAAUGCUUGUAUUGUAGCAGUAAUGCAAACAUGGUUACCAGUAGUGGGUACUAUAGAACAAUACUGUAGCUCAAUAAGAAUGGGUAAAAAUAGGAAGAUGAAGAAGAAUGAAGAAGUAACAAGCAGCCAAUUUAGGUGCAAGUAUAAGAAGAAAACAAAGAAAACCCUAAAAAUUCAAAUCAAUUCAUCCAAUAUCCUGAUUACCUAACGAAAAUUUAAGGCCUAUUUACAAAAACUAUUCAGCAUCCUAAAACCUAAAUGACUUGCUAAAAAUUCUAGGGAACUUACUAUACCUAAUCAAUAGAUAAGAAAAAUAACAAACUCUAUCUUAAAAAAUGAAAAAGGAAAAAAAAAUCCAAGCCAAUUCAACCAAUUUACCUAACGUUGCAGCGACUAAUAACAAUCAGAAGUUCCAAAUAAAAUUUGACUUGACUCGAACCAAAAUGAAUCAACUCAAUUUAUGCUGCAGAAGCCCUCCAGCCAAGAAUCAUUAGAAGUACGAUUGGAUCCAUCUUAACCUUCAUUACAUUUUAUUUAGAUUGCAAACGGGUUACAAUAGUAUGUGUGAUUGACGAUGAACUUUUUUUUGGUAGUCUUAUAUAGUUAUAUAUGAUCAAGCUUAAUCAAGCCAAACACAAGUAAGCUAACCUAAGCCCAUGCUCUCAUUUAUUACUUAUUUGACGAGCCCCUGUCAAGCCAACAACAAGGUGUUUGCGAACAAUAAGCUCAAUUAAUAACCUUACUUCCACCUACCAGCUUCACACUAUACUACAUCCAAUAAAGUACAAAAUUUGUGCCCAAUCUUUUAUUUGCAAUAGAUUAUAAAGGUUGUUCUACAAGAUAACUACAUAAUAAAACAGUCACUAUACUUUUUAAGAAGUACAAAUCACAGCCCUAAUAUUGUUGAAUUUUGCAGAACAAUAUAAUAAUGAAGGCUAUUGUCAAAUAUAUACUGUUAUAAACACUAAUUUACGUUAAACUAGAACUCUAGAUAUAAAGGAACGAUAUCUAUUUAACUACAUUAAAGGAGGGUUUGGGGGGACCUUAGAGUCACACGUGUCCCCCCAACCCUCCUCUUCUCUCUCCUUCUACACACACACACACACACACACACACACACACACACACAUAUAUAUAUAUAAUACAAAAUUUAAAAUUUUGAUAUUUUUAAAUUUUAAAGUUUUAAAUUUUAAAUUUAAUAUUUUAUAUUUUAAAUUAUAAUAUUUAUUUCCAAAUUUUAAACUUUUCAAAAUUUAAAAUUUUAAAUCUCUAAAUUCUAAUAAUACGCGUAAUAAAUCGCGUAAUAAAAUCUAAUCUAAUAAAUACAAUUUAAAUUACAUAAAAUAUCGCUGUAUAAAAAAAUAUAGAAUUUAAAUUUUAGGACUAAAAUUUUAGAAAUAUAGUGCAUAUGUGUAUAUAUAUAAUUAAUUUUAUUAAAUAAUUUUUUUUACAAUUUUUUUUUAUUUAUUGGUUUUCUUAAAUUAUUUUGAUAGAUUUAUCUCAAAUUCUUUUCAUAUAAAUUUUAUAAAAUAAAUUAUUGUAUAAAUUUACUUUGCGCAUAAUUAUUUUUAUAUAAUUUUUUAGUUAAUUAAUAAUUAGACUUAUAAAACUAUAUAAAAAUAUUAAAAAAUAUAUAAUUUAUUAUAAAAAUAAUUUUAUAUCCGCAGCAUCGCGCGGGUAAUUCACUAGUUAGACAAUAAAGAGGUAGAAGGCAGAUAUGAAAGAGGCAAAGAAAAAAAAACAAAAUUCUGGCUUCUCCAUAUCCGAGUUGCCUACUUAGCUUAAACUAUACUAAAACUAGUCCACUAUGCCCUUUGACAGUAUUCAUAUAAUGAAAACUUAAAACCAUAAGAAAUCAGGAUCCACAAGAAAUUGGGAUCACAAGUAUCCAUCUAUCUAUAACCCUUAUAAAAGCCCGUUCUCUUUGUCCACGUGGCAAGAUUAGCUUAACUUAAUUUUUUGUGGGCCCUACCUGUCAUCUUAAGCUACUCUAUUAAUUAAUUAGUGAGUGGGGCCCACCCGACCAAUUUUCUUUUCGUCCCUACUCUUCUGGUUCCCAUUUAAUUUUCCUCCUUACUCUGCUUCCUAUUAACUGCUUCUAAUUAACUUCGUCUUCCACCCGAUGUGCCACUCCGGCUCCUUCGCUCGCCCCUCUAAAUGCCGCUCCGACUCCUGUUCCCUCUCUGGACGGAAUGUUGGGCCGAGUUCAUGGUUAGGCCUUCUUCCCGUCGCGCCCGUUCUCGUUAGCGACACUUCGUUUCGUUCGCCGCCUAGAUGCCGCUUCGCCUACUGUUCCCUCUCUGGACGGAAUGUUGGGCCGAGUUCAUAGUCCGCCCUUCUUCCCGUCGCGCCAUUCCCGUUAGCGACGUUUCGUUUCAGCUUAUUCAUCCCCUCCGGCCACGAAAAUGGUUCGGAUUCAUUCUCCGUGGUCCCUUCUUGCUGCCUAUAUAAUAUGCCUCUGUAAAAAUUUUAUUUGCAGCAAAAAAACUAUAUUUCUCUCCUGGUGAUUUUUUUCAUUUCUGAUUUGGUAGCGAGCCCUCCGCGGGCUUCGAUUUCACCUCCAGGAAGCGGAUCGAGCAGAAGCUUCUCGAUUACAAUCAAGAGGCCGAGCGGUUUAGAGGUGAGAAAAGGAAAAAGCUCCCUCUUUUGAUGUUCCUCUUUCGCUAUUCGGUUGUAGAAUUUUGAAAAUAUGAACAAAAUCUUAACUUUAGUUGUGAGUAUUGUGCCGUAUCUGAUAUGGCCAGAGCAUCAUAUACUUAGUCCAAGCAAUCACUCAGAAAAAUAAAAAGGAACUAUUUGUUGAAAAUGAGUAAAAAUAAUUUUUUCAUGGCCUCCCUCUUUAUAACGAAGCCGAAUGUUUUGGAGGUGAAAAAGUUUCCUUUUUUUAUGCUCCUCACAUAUAUAAAAAUGGCCUAUAGUUGAAGAGGUCACAACACUUUUCUUGUUUUUACAUCUUAAUUGUUGCAUAUUUAUCCCUGAAAUCUGAUGGCUCACUGCAUGUAUACUUACUUUGACCACAGCAUAAUAUAGAUCGAACAUUCUAUGGAAUUUAUUGGAAGAAAAAAAAAAGAACCAAAUUGGUCUAUUUGAGAAGUGCCUGAGCGGUGCUUGAGAUAAUGGCUAGGAGAGUAAGGAGGAGGACAAAGUAGAACAAACAGAACAAUACUGUUGUAAUUUGUCAGAGUGGAAGCAAAUAGGAUCUUAUUUUGCUACCUUGCCAAUUCAAAGCUACUACAAUGGUAUUAAUUUCUGUCUCUGAGCAGAAAAAAAAUUGAUAGAAUUUGAGGAAGUCUUAUUUAGCAUUGCUAUCGUUUAUUCUAAACAUUAUGAUGCUAAAUGGUUAGUCUGCAAUAAAACAAUUAAGAGGAAGAUGCGACUGUAAAGAAUAUUUUCUAUUGGAAUAUUGUAUAUGGUUUAGUUACUAAGCUAAAGUACUAGGUUUUUUAAUUCUUGAAGAAAGAUUUUCAAGCAUUGCUUUAUAUAAAUCAUGUACUAAGCUCUUGCUUUUGCUUUUGUUUUUACAUUGAUACCUGCCUUAUCUAGGUUUAAUUAAUUAAGUAAAUCAAACUAUUGGGAAGCAAUACUAUGCAACAUUUUGCAUUUUGAAGGUACAAUUCGCUUUAUCAUAUAUUGAAUUUAAAAUUUUACUUUCAACUUGCUUUUGUAAACUAUGUCCUAAAAUUCAAUUUGAGAAUUAUUUGUCAAUCUCAUAAGAUCCCAAUAUUUUUCUCAACUUUCUAUUAAUUCAAGAUCCUAAAGCUAAGGACUGAUGGUUGACGUUUGGUAACGACAGCAAAUUAUUGGAAUAUUGGCCUCCAAGAACCUUCCUUCUUCACCCGCCUAGCGAGGUACCAAUAUCAGAUCUUUCCCUUUUUUUGCUAUAGAGAUUAGAUAGGGUGUGUUAACGUUCUUCAGACAAAAUGCCAUUACUUCUUUAGGCUUCAAUCUCUCUUUCUCUCUCUUUUUUUUUUUCCAAUUUGACAUGACGACGGUGUCGGUAAUUGCCAUUGGGUUCGUUGGAUUAUUGGCUGUGAUAUCACAAGUCAUAACCAAGAGUUCAACAAAUUGAAAUAUAUUUUAACUUGCUUUCCAGCUCUUUAUAUAAAACCAGUCGAGAGGUAUUAACGGCUUUCUAAUACUCAUACAAAAGGAUAAAUAAGUCAAGAAGUUAACAAAGCUAAAUAUCAUAAAGUUCUAUAUAGUACAGCAUCUUGCUUCUAAACAAAUGUAUUAUAUCUUUAUUAUGAUAAUAUUGGACUUUAACUAAGCAAUGGUUAGAUCAGAUCUGAUUCUUUUUUUUUCCAUAAGAAAAAUAUUUAGAUAUGUAAUAAACUAACUAUGAUCACAGAAUAAAAAUCUAUGUUUAUCGAGCUUUUUCCACUAUUUUGAUAAGAAUACUAUAUGAUUAUAAAUAGGAGUUCAACCUAGAAAAUGAAUUCUAAUAUUAUUUAGAUAGAACAUAAUCAUUAGUUCUCCUAUUUCUUUUGUGCCACUUCUUAUUCAUGUUUGGUUUCCUGUUGCUUCAAUUUACUCCUGGAUUGUGGCUUGGCUAUUUAUAUUUUCUUUCGUUGUUGAUGUAGAUGUAUGUUAACUUCAAGCUUAUAAAUUUUGCUCAACAACUCCUUCCUGUUUGCCUAAUUUACAACAUAUUUAUCUGAAUUAUUAAUGAUAAAAAUUGCUGUUGAAUCUACUCUCAUUCUCUAUCUUUUUUUGUUGCCUGUUGCUCAAAGUAAAUUGAUGGCAAAAGGACAAGCAGUAGCGACAACGACAGCUGUAACAACGCGAUCGAUGGCAAAAAGAGAAUAAGAAGAAUAAGGAGAAGAAGAAGGAGAAAAAGAACCAGCAAUAACAGGAGCAGCAGUAGCAGUACCGAUACAAUUGAUGGCAAAAGGAGAUGUGAAAGAAGAACAAGUGCUUGAUGAUUAAGCUGAUUGAUCAUCUGAGCCUCAACAUAUCUAUUAUUUUUAGUUGGAAUUUUGUUUUCUAGGUUACCUUAUCUACAAAUCCAUCUAAAACUAUGUUUCCUUAUAAUUGUCGGGUUUAUAUCAUCUAUAGGGGGUGUUUGGUCCUUCUGAUGAAAAGUAAUUCUAAGGCCAAAAAUGAUUUUGGGCUCAAUAGAGUGUUUGACAACAAGUGCUAGAAAAUCCGAUUCUGCUUUUCAGAAUUUUUCAUUUUCAAGAUCCAGAAUUAAAAGCAGAAAAAAGCUGUUUCUUGAAAUCUAAUUCUGAUUUUGGACUCAAACUUCAAAAUAAGCUUUGUUUUCUUUUGAGUUUACAUUAUCUUACUACCUUUUGAGUUAUUUUUGUUUAGUUUGAGAGCUGGUUAGAAUUUGAUACAUAUUCCCUAUAUGCAUUAUGCGCAUUUAAUUUUAUUGAGCAUGCGGGAAGCUUAUCUUUGAUUUCAAAUAGCAUUGUCCCUCCUAAGAAGAUUGCCUCUCAAAGUUUCAGUAUGAGUAAGGACAAUCCAGAAAUUAUACUGGAUACUGAGAAUGAAAAAGAAAAGCAAAUAUACACCGAGUUAGAUAUUGAAAACGUGGGCUGCAUUGUUAUAAAACCGUGAAAAGAAUAUGGCAUAAAAGAAUUUAGCUUGAUUCUAAGAAAAAUAUAUGGAAGUAGGUCAAAUAAGUCUUUUUUUAAUUCGUUCUCUAAUUUUAUUAUAUUUCGGUCCCUAAGCUGUGUCAAUCUAAACUUUGCAGGUUACAAUUAGUUAUAAUUGUAAGUUUCCUCUCUUCUUCACCAUCUUGCAAUGGAUAUAAAAAAAUUAAUUAUGAUAUUAUUUUGCUUCUGCAGAAUCUUUCCGCCGCAACGCGCGGGUAUCUUCACUAGUAUAUUGUUAUUUCUUACAAUGAUUGUAGGUAGAAUAAAUCUGCAUAAUUAUUCUAAUAGUUAAUGUAGCAUAAUCUUUCAUGAUUUUGGUGAAAGCUUUGUAUCCUAUUAAUCUGAAAACAAGUUACUUAUGAUACCUCAAUUAGUCAAAGAUCCAGCUCUCAUUGCCAAUAGCUGAUGUCUAUGUUUUCAGCAAUAGAAAACUAACCACUGCUUGCUGCAAUAUACUAGAAAAACCAGGCAAACAAUAGUCCUUGGACCGAUUAGUUAUGACUUAUGAGAAUUUAACCUUUUUUUCACAAUGUCACUAUCCUCUACAAUUACUAUAGGAAUGCACACCCAAUAAAAUUAAGAGUCAUAACUCAUAAGCAAGAAAAAGGCAAUAAUUUUCCUCCUCUCAAUAUUUCAACAAAACAACAGUAAAUACUGACCUUGUAAUUAACUAAUUAUUCACCUUUCACGAGUUAUAUACUAAACAAAACUAGCUUUUUAAAAGCAGGUGAAAUGAUAGAAUGACGACCUCUAUAUGUUUUGUGAACGCAAUUUUCUGCGCAUUGGCAAUUGAGCAAGAAAACAUGCACGUAAACAGCAAGUUCAUAUGGCUUCUACCCCAUUAAGUUUAGCGGUUAACCAGAUAGGAGUAAUAACUAUGCAUAAACCAUAUAUAGCUAUUUAAGUUAAGGAAAAGAAAAGGUAAUUAAUUCAUUUGUGUCUAGAAACUCUACUUGAGCAGCUGCAGAAGAAUCAGUUGAACUCUUAGGAUCAGCCCAGCUGACGGUUAGAUUGGUUCCUUCAAUUUUGAAGUCUGGGCUCGACAUCUUCAGCCUUGCAUAGUCAGCACAGGCAUGGUUGUAGUACUCCACAAAUAGAAAACCACGAUUACGAUUAGGAUCCUGUAAAUCCUGCAAUCAUCACCAAAACAUAGUGAAAGAAUAUAAAAAGGAACUCAAAAAAUUAUUAUAUGCAUAGAUAGCAACUAAAGCUAAUUGCAAUUUAAAAAUAAUAAACCCACCUUGAAAAUUUCGACAUUCUCAACACCAGGAGCAUUUUCCUCUAGCAUUUUUCUAAGCUCUUCCUCUGUCAAGCCCUUUGGAACAUUUCCUACGAACAACCUAUGCUUAGCUUGCGACGAGGAACAUCUCAGGGUUCUCCCCUAGAUGAGUAAAAAUGAAAAUCCAUUAGCCACCUAAUGAACAAUGUAAUGAACUGACAAAACACAAGCAAUUAUGAUUAAUUUACCUUGAAUUCCUUGUCAUGGGUCUCUUCAAUGGCAUUUUGAGCAGCAUCCCUGGUAGUGAAUGUUAUAAAUGCAAAACCCUUGCUUUCUUUUGUGUCCUUAUCCUUCAUCAACCUCACCUGUUAUCCAUCAUCAUUACAUAAUAACCCAGCAAUCUGACAUGCAAACUCACUUGAAAAACAAUAAGAAUCAAACGUUCCCUAUAGACCAUUCUCUCACCUCGAAGAUCUCACCAAAGGGCUCGCAAAGUUCUCGAAGAUCUUCUUCGGUAGCAUUCCUCGGCAAGCCACCAAUGAAAACCUCCGACCCGUGAGGAGGGAGCGCCAGAAGCUCGGCCCACUUCCUUCUAUCCUCCUCAUCCUUAGGCCCAACUGGCUUCUCUUCUUCUUCCUCCUUCACCGCCUGAGAAGCUUCCUCUCCCCCAUCCGAGGCCAAAACCUUCUCGCCGCCCUCACCCUCGGAUCCCCUCGCCUCCAUCCCCUCCGUAAUCUCAUCAUCAUCAUCAUCAUCAUCAUCAUCAUCAUCCUCACCAUCAAAUUGCUCCCUUUCUUUCCUAUAGCCCUCAUCCUCCCCGCCGUCCUCAUCAUCCAUCAUGUCCUCAAUGUCGUUGUCGCCAUCGAGAUCGACCUGCUCCUCCGGCUCCACCGAUCGUUGGUGCUCGGCCAUGGCUUAGUCACCUCUCCCUAAUUCUUCUCUAUCUCCUUCCCUUAAUCGAUGUUCAAUUGACCACCAAAAAAGUGUGAGAUACAUGCGAAUCACACAGAAUCGAGAAGAGAAUAAGAAAUUGAUACCUUUUUCGAGGGAUUAAAAACGCGGAUUGUUAAAACCCUAAUCUCCGAAUAGGGAAUUAAAGGAGGGAUAGGUGAAGAGGGCACAAGUGGGGAAAACGAGAGGAGAAUCCGAAGAGAGAGAGCAUAAAUAAAGCGUUCCAUGAGAGAAUAAGAUUUUAGACUGAUGUAGUUAGUGGGGUUAAAAUGCAAGCUUACUGAUUUUCUUUGGCUCGACGUCUUGAUCGCGUGAUGGUGGUGGUGAGGAUUGGGAAAUGGAAGAAGAAUAGGAACGAGAACACGAGAGUUGCUACCCUUUUCUAGGGACGAGAACCUACCCAGGGCACGCCGGGCAGGGGUGUAAUGUGUACCACAUCUACCCGGGCCGAACCACUUUAGGGGCCGGCCCGGUCUGGCAAAUUCGGUCCGCAAUGUGACUAGCGAAGCAAAAUUUUUAAACUUCCGUCCCUAGUACGGGCCCGGCCCCCCAAUGCCCGCCAAUUAAACCCUCCAAAACUUUAGAUUUUUUUUUUUUUACUGACUAUGGGGAUAUCCGUGGAUCUAUCUUCUUUCAGAUUAUUACACUUGGUUUUCGUGUAUCUAUCUUUCAUAUCACACUUGAGAUUUUAACUAAUCACUUGAGACUCACGUAAACCGACUCUGUUUCGCAUAUUAUAAUUUUGGGGCAAUAGCCUAUAUACCUCUAAAAAGUUUUCGAUUUUCUUAUUUAUCCCUCUUAAAAGGCUAAUAUUGAAAAUACCCUUCUUAUGUUCCAAGUCUUUGUAAUAUAUCCUGGAGUUAAGUUCCGUGAGUGAGCUGCCGUUAUCUCUGAAAAAUUACCAUUUUGCCCAUUCCAAUAUACCCUUUACCGUAAAAAACUUUUCUUAUAUACCCUUUAUAUAGCAAAUACUUUUUUUAUUUACCCUUCAAAUAUCAAUUAAUUAAUUAAGCACGUCGGGAGCGAGCAGAUGCACGGAUGAAAUCGAUCGCAGCUAAACCAACCUUGGUGGCUGGAGGCAUAGUUAGUUAAUUCGGAUUCAUCAAAAAUUCGGUACGGAUAUAAUUCGCCAUAAAAUUCAUCUAUUAAAUUUUAAAUUCGUUGAAACAUACAGGCUAUAAAAACGGAUUCGGCAAUUACUACGGAUAAUGUGAUUUCUACGGGUAUAUGCGUGUACUAAUUAGAAAAUUGGCGACAAAAAUCGGCUAUUAUAAUCAAAUUAUACGUAAUAAUUCAUUAAUAUACUAUAUACUAUUAUUAUUAGACGUUUUUAUAUAUAGAUUAAAUAUUAUUAAAAUAUAAUACAUAGUAUAAUAUUAAAUAAUAAUAAGAGGUAUAUAUUAAGAAUAUUAAGUAAAAGUAAUCUACAAAUUUAUAAAUAAAAUAUUAUAUAAUAAUAUUUCUAUAUAUAAAUAAAUACUAUUAUAUAUAUAUAUUAUAUAUAUAUAUAUAUAUAUAUAUAUAAUAGUAUAUAUAUAACACGUGUAAUAUAUAUAUAAUGAGACCUCCCUCUCAUCCAGUCCACGAGGCCAAACUGACAUCGUGGACCGCGCGGAGGGCGUGCAGGGUGCGAAUUCGAAGCCGGAUCCGGAGCGGAGAGCGUGCAGCAGUCCGAUGGCGCUGCGGCCCUCUUGCUCCCGGCGCUGGCCAAGGCGGCGGAGGACGACGACGACGACGACGAGAGCGGCGGAGGAGGAGGACAACGAGAGCGGCAAGAGACGAGAUCGUCGCUGCGGCCCUCUUGCUCCCAGCUCCGGCCAAGGCGGCAGAGGAGGAGGACGACGACGACGAGACCGGCGAGAGCGGUGGUGUUGGAAGUAGAGGUAUAUAGUAGAGCCAUAUGUGUAUUAUGCAUGCAUGUGAAAAGUAUUCUUUAUUGCAAGUUGGAAACAUGUCUCAUAUGAUGAGAAUGACUCGAAUUAUGUACUCCUGAACACUAAACUCAUGCUUGGACUUAGUGGACAAAAGUGCCAUAAAGGGCACCCGACUUAGUAAACUGUGAAACUGCAACAUAGAGACAUAGUGACAGGCCAUUUGGACAUCGACUAUAUUCCAUGUGUUAGACAUGAUGACAUAGUGAUAGGCCAUUGAGACAUUUGCUACAUUCCAUGCUUUAGACAUGAUGACUUGAGACUUGAGACGGACUUUUACACUUACUUGCCAUUGUGUUCAUUCGCACAUGCUUGUGAGGGUCGCUCCUCAUAAGAUGGCACUCCGGAGAUAGCCAUCGCGACGCAUGCUUGUCCGUGCGGGAUUGGGCGCCGAAAUGGGAUGCCGUGGGGAGGCUCAUUCUUAGAGUGGGGAUGUUGACUAUCACUGGGCCAUUAGGUACGGCGCAGGCCGGACUACCUACGGAUAGGUCCUAUAGGAUUGGGAUUCUAAUGACAUAACACGCCAAGUGGACAUUGACUAGAAUAGUAAAUAAUGACAUCUGACUAUUUACAUUAUGGAUAUCAUGUUGGUUGUAUAUUCAUGCAUAUACAUGUUGGAAUAGCAUCAUACUUAUGCAAAUUUAUGCUAAGUAGAGAUAUCAUGGUAUAGUAAGUAUUCAUAUUUAUAUACUUGUUAUUCAUAUUGCUUAUCGUUUCGCACUUACUUGCUUAGCUCUUGGGCCUAGUGGUGCUUUUCACUGAAGUCAGUAAUUGCCCACUAGGAACUAUUAUUUAAUAGUUCUCACGCCCUCUGUUUUAUGGUUUUAUUUCAGAGCCUUCAGCACCGGUGGAGGCACGGGAUCGCGGCAAGGGGGUCGCGUAGUCGACAUCAACCUGCUCUUUAACUCUUCGAAGCUCCGAUCGCAAUCGUCGCUCCAAACAUACUUUACCCCCUUAUGCGUGAGGCGCAUUAGUGGAGUGGUUAUUUUGGCGAACCCCUCCACGAACCGCCGAUAGUAGCCCGCCAAUUCAAGAAAAAUGCGGAUCUCCGCUACAUUCGUGGGGCGAGGCCAAUCCUUUUGUUGCCUCUACUUUCUUCGGGUCUACUGACACUCCGUCGUCCGAUACCACAUGACCCAAAAAAUGUGACCUCCUUUUGCCAAAAGUCAUACUUCUUUAACUUUGCAUAGAGCUUCUCCUGUCUGAGCAUUUGCAACACCGCUCUUAGAUACUCUUCAUGCUCCUCUUCACUUUUCGAGUUAACCAAUACGUCGUCUAUAAAUACCACGACGCAUCGAUCCAAUAAUAGCCUGAAGACUUGAUUCAUCAAGUCCAUAAACGCUGCCAGGGCGUUAGUAAGCCCAAACGGCAUUACCGUGAACUCAUAAUGGCCAUACCGCGUACGGUACGUCAUUUUGUGCACAUCCUUCGGCCUGAUCUUUAAUUGAUGAUACCCCGAUUGGAGAUCAAUCUUCGAAUACACCUUGGACCCUUGCAACUGAUCGAAUAGAUCGUCAAUCCUUGGUAACGGGUACUUGUUCUUUAUCGUCACUUUGUUCAACUCGCGAUAAUCUACGCAGAGUCGAAGUGUGCCAUCCUUUUUCUUCACAAAUAGCACCGGAGCUCCCUAUGGUGACACGCUCGGCCUCACGAAGCCUUUAUCGAGCAAGUCCUAUAGUUGGCCUUUUAACUCCUUCAGCUCCACCGGUGCCAUUCUAUACGGAGCCUUCGAAACUGGUUCCGCCCCGGGAAUCAAGUCAAUGACUAACUCAACUUUCCGGUCCGGUGGCAGUCCCGGUAACUCCACGGGAAACACAUCCGGAAACUCGCACGCUACUCGAAUAUCUCCCAACUCUGGGUACUCCUUUCGAGCAUCCACCAUGGUUGCCAAAUAGGCCUUACACCCCCCUUUAAUCAUUCUCUUCGCCCUCACAGACGAUAUAGUCGCCGCGAAGCGCCUACUAUUGCACGCUUGGUAGAUUAACUCUUCUUGAUUAGGCUCACGAAAAGUGAUCACUUUGCUUUCACAAUCUAUCACCGCAUAGUACUUGGAGAGCCAGUUAUUCCCCAAGAUAACAUCGAAUCCCCACAUCUGAUCUAGCACUAGCAGAUCAAUCGGCAUAAUCCAAUCGCCUAUUUGCACUGGACACGCCAAACACUCGUUGUGAACACUGAAUGAAUGUUCUGGGGCAUUCACCCACCAGUAAUCCUCAUUGUACACCAUCUCUAUGCCAUGUGUCUUAGCAAAUGAUGUGCUAAUAAACGAAUGAGACGCGCCUGUAUGAAACACUGCUCUAGCUCUAAUGCCUUUAAUCACAAUUAUACCUGCCACGACGUCGUCGGGUGCUGCAGGUUGUUGCUCCUCCACCUGAGCGGCAAAGACUCGGCCGCUAGGCGCUCUCGAUCCCUCCGGCUGACGCGGUGAUGAUGUGCGCCCAGCCGACAUCGUUGGUGGUAACCUCGCAAGCUGUCUCGAGGUAGACGGUGCUGAAGCCGCCGUCGGCGCAGACGACGUCCAGCUCAGGCACUCCCGGAUAAGAUGUCCUAGUUGGCCACACUUAAAACAUUUGCCAUCUCGCUGCGAGCAAGUCGACACCUUGUGCUCACCACCACAAAUAACACAUCGAGGUGGUCUCCAAUUCCUCGCCUGCUGUCGGGGAUACCGAGGGGGUUUCUUAGUAUUUGGCCGGCCCCCGGCACCGCCCGCCGCUCUUUUCUUGCCCUUGUCCUUAGACUCGGCCAUAGCUUCUCGUUCCUCGCGUACGUGGGCGCUACCGUGCUCCGCCCACAAAGCUCUAUCAAAGACCUCCGCAAAGGUCGACAGCUUUAAGAUCUGCACCUUUUCAUAAAUUCGGGGCUGGAGUCCUAGCAAGAACAAGUCCGCCCAGUCCCGAUCAUCACGAACAACAUCGGGAACAUAGCCUAUGAUGUGGGAGAACUCUUGCUCGUAUUCUCCCACCGACCGAUCGCCCUGUCUCAACUUGCGAAACUUUUCUUGUAGCUUCCGCUUCACCGUGUCGGGGAAGUAGUUCGCGAAUACUGCUCUCUUGAACUCCUCCCAUAGCAUAAGCGGAAGAUCAGUAGGUCGAUCCUGCUUCACUCGCUUCCACCAUACCAUCACCGCCUUCCAUAGACAAUGAAUGGGUGGCGAGGUACACUUUGUCUUUCUCUAAGAUAUUUAGGUCCUCGAAGAGCGUCUCCAUCGAGUCGAUCCACGACUCCACAACCGCCGGCUCUACCAAUCCGCCUUCAAAGGUAGGUGGAUCGAACUUUUUGAACUGAAUGAGAGCCGCCAACGUGCGCUCUCGCUCCGCUUCUACCGCCGCACCAUCGGGAUUUGAAGUUCCCGAUCCGGCCGGUACUAGCGUGACUGGCGCAGCCGCUACUGCCGCCGCUCCCUCGACUGCCCUCGGCACCUCCGCAGGGGGCACAGAUGGCUCCACGCCCACUUGGGCCGCCGCAGACUGUUGACGCUCCAAGGCCUCCUGGAGCCUCUGAAUCUGCUCCCCUUGGCGUUGAACAAACUCCGCUUGUUGCCGCACUACACCAAUAAGCGCGGCCAUUUGCUCCCUAAGCUCUCCGUCGCCACUCUCUCCGGAUUGCUCGGGCACCGCAUUCGUUUCCUCCGGCAUCAACCUUGUCUGCGAUCGAUGUUGAGGUGCCAUUGCUUCCUGAAAAGAAGCAACUCGCAUUAGUCACUUGACCAACAUUACUCGACCAUACCCAAUUAGGCGAAAGCAACAUGCACAUUCAUCCUUGCCUCAAGCGUCAUGUCGUCAGCCGCCCGACACAACACUAGAAGUAGAGGAUAAACGAAAUUUAAACUUAGCCUCUAAUCACAUUAGAGACGUCCCAACUUAACCCAAUCAUAUGCUUUCGCUAACUUUGAUCCCACGUCACUCACGUUCCCUAGAUCCUUAAGGUCUUCCAAUCCUAAGGGUCUCUAGGUCCAUCCCUAUCAUUUCACUCUUGGCUCUGAUACCACGCUAUCUGUCACGCCCCGGGACCGAUACCAAUUUGGCCCGACCCCAGCACAUCAAACAGACGCCGAACAGACAGAGUUUUCUCUAUCCGCCCAAGGCUCAUCACAUGUACAUUUUCAUCAAUAGAGAAAAGCACUAGCGGAAACAUACACAAACGGCUUACACGAGGAUAAGCAAUAGCCACGAGUGAAAGAAAAAGGAAACUAAACAUUCAUUGUACUAUGAUUCAAUUUAGAUCAUAUACAUUACAUCCAACUUGUAAAUUAUCGAUUUCUUACAUUCAUUACAUCAUUUCAUCAUGUCUUUCUUACAUCACAUUUACCUCAAAAUACACAUUACAUUCUUUCUUUACAUUAUUUCUCAUCAAGUACAAAAGAUGAUCAUAGGGUACUUUACUAGCAAAAUGUAACCCAACUCUGGUGGCCUCUGACUAAGGCGCGAUACCUUUACCUCGGUCGCUCGUCGGCUCGCUGGGUCCCGGCUUUGUGGAAUAGUGGGGUGAGAACUACAACAAAGUUCCCAGUGGGCUCGGCCUCAAUCUCACCGACUUUUCUACUAGGAUUAACUCAGACAUAAUAGAAAGAAUAAGUUGCAUAUAGUAACCAAUCUAUACAUGAUGCUAAUAUGCCUAAACAAUAAAGCAAGGAGUAUGCUCAACAUUAAAUAAAUACAGAUUAUGCAAAUUCUUUGUUCUUUUCACUUUACUCUUUGUUCUUUGUUCUUUGUUCUUUGCACUUUGUUCUUUACUCGUUGUUCUUUAAUCUCAAGGCUAAGCCGGGGGUAUCGCCACAUUGACUUGCUUCACAUUAAGUCCAUCAUCGUAGGAACUCACCCGCUAGGACCGUCCUUCGGGUUUACUCCAACCCGUGAUGCAUAACUCCGGAGCGCAUCGCCCGAGGGGGAGCGACCGCCCUCGAGCACGGAACUCAUAGCAAGUAUGAUCAUAUCCUUAACUCAAAGGAUUUAUAAGUUCAAUCUUGACUUUACACUAGCUCUAGUGUUCAUUACAUCACUUUAUGUUGCUACUCUAGCAAUCAUUGUUCUUUACCAUUCAUUACUCUUGCUAACUCUAGCAAUCAUAUUCUUUACAUUCUUUACUUUUGGCUACCUCUAGAACUUCAUGUUCUUUACUCCCCACAUUACUUUAGCUUUAAACAUUGUCAUUUUCAUCAUUCUUUAUAAUACACUUGUUCUUUACCUCACACUAUCUUUAGUGUCAUUUCACUUUAACUUUAUCGAAUGCCACUCGAUCUAUGUCAUUGUGUCACUCUAUUCUUUUGCUCACUUUGGGUGCUCACUUUUCUCUUAUGCAUACACAUAGGGUUUUUGACGUUCACAUAGUUCUCAUUCAUCAUAAAAUGCAAGUUGUACUCAUAAUCAUGCAUCAUCACAUUUUCAUCAUCACUUUACCCUAAAAUGCAUGCAACAAUAUAUAUACACAUGCUCAAAUGAAUGACACAUUAGGCAUAGAGAGAAGUUCAAUGAGUUUGAGAAGCACCACCCACCUUGUAGGUCUCUUUAGGUGCUCCGACGAUUUUCUUGGGAUUUUUAGACACCCGGUUCACUACCUGCGGCAAAACGAAGCCCUAUUAGGCCAUUUGCUCAUAUCUUUACAUUGGCUUUUCGUAAAUACCCCCAAUUAGGUUUCUAGACGGUCAAUUGCACUUAGGAACCCCCAUGAGCAAAAGCCCCAAUUUGGGUGCCCUAGCUCCAUAGCAUCAUCAAACCUAGGGUUUGAUCUCAAUGGGAAGCAAAAGUAGCUUCAUUAUACUCUAAAAAGUCCAUUAGAACCAUCUUUAGACAAAUCAAAACCCUACUUAGGGUUUCACCAUGAGAGGUGAUGAAGCUCACCUUAAGCUUCACUAUUUCUAUGGUCUUGAUCUCAAAGGAAGCAAAAUAAAAGCUUCAAAUACUCAAAUGGUUCCAUAAAACCCAUUUAAAGCUUAAUCCAAACCCUAGAUUAGGUUCUACCAUGAUUAGGGUUCAAAGCUUACCUUGUAAGCUCUUCUUUUCCAAGCUAGAGAUGAGGAAGAGGGAGUUUCUUCACUUCCUCUUCUUCAUCUCCACUUUCUUCUUCUUCUUUUUCCUUCCUUUCCUUUGUCUUCUUCUUCUCCUUUGUCUUCUAGAGAGAGAGAGAGGGAGAGAAGAGAGUGUGAGAGGGUGAGGAAAUGAGAGAAAAUCUCAUUAGCCCCCAUAACAUAGCCAUUGGGUUGCAAAAUUGCAGCCAAGCCCCUCAACUUUUACUCUUUCACACAGCCUAGACUGGGUUGUUCGCGCAGGCGGGGACCGGUCUCUCCUUCAGGGAUCGGUUCCCCAAGGCUCUUCCCGUGAGCAGCAGGGUGCACGCGCAGAGCAACCGGUCUCUCUUUGGGGGACCGGUCUCUCGAGGACCGGUCUCUCAGGCAGGGACCGGUUCCCGAGAGCUAAUUUCUCAAGACUUAGCCGAUUUUUCGGCUAUCUCAUUACAUACGCGUUCGGGGACCGGUCUCUCCCACCAGGGACCGGUCCCCGAGAGCUCAAAACUGCAGGAUGCAGAUUUUGAUCUUUUAGCUCUCGAAAACCUCCCAUAAUUUACUUUUGAUCAUUUUAACACCUUCAGACUUUCCGAAGUGUACCAUCCUCGUACUUUGGUCAAUUUGACUACAGUUCGAUAUUUAUUUUCCGAAUUUUCGGUAUAUUACAAGCGACCAACACAAGUUCUGAACAGACAGCGAGUAUGAUCCAAUCCUCUCAACUCGAGGAUACCCUAUCCACUAGGGCUAACAAUCACUCGGGAAUCCACCUAUCCCAAAGUCCAUAUGCAAGUGUUUAACUACACUAAGUUCUCGUUCAAUGACUCAUCUCUAGGGAAUCCGCCUAUCCCUAAGUUCACACGUCAAGUGUCAUUGUUAUUUACAUGCCACUCAUUAUGUCUUUUGUCAACUAUCGAGUCCAUCUCUUAUCUCGGCACUAUAGGAUUCAAUGUCUCGACCCAAUCCUCAUCUAUCCACUAUAUCAAGCAUUCCACUCAUACUAUGAUAUUAUCUAGGAAAGCAUAAGGAAAUAGAAAUGCACAUUAUCCUACAAUGCAUAUAUGCAAGAGAUGCAAGAUUUAAAUUACACUAAGACAUAAAGAGGAGCCCGGUUGCUUCGGGAUGACACCACCCACCUUCUGGCAUUGUCAUGACUCUAGGAAUGAAGUUCGGCGAUUUUACGACGUCGUCUCGGCCUCCCAGGCGGAAACGAAGCUCGGAAGGUCCUUUUUGCCAAUAACUUUGUACUCGCUCGACGAAUCGUCGAACCGUCUUCGCCUACGAGUUUAAACAUCUAGCAAUUAGGUUUACACUUGAUCAAUUUAGAUCAAUACCUAACAAAUCACAAAACCCCAUUUUCGGAGCUCUAACGUGCAAUCAUGCAAGAAUCUAUCGCUAAACCUCCAACUCAUGCAUUAAAACAUCUAUUUAGCAUGCUAGAGUUUCAACUAAACCAUUCUAAAGCUUAAAGACCAAAACCCUAGAAGUUCACCACAGUUGAGCCUAGAAGCUUACCUCCAAAAGCUUGCUCCAAGCUUGAGAGGAAGAAGAAGAUGACGAAGAUCCUUCUCCUUGCUUGCUUCUCCACCAAAACCCUUCUCUUCUUCACCUUCUAGAGAGAGAGGAAGAGAGUUUAGAGAGAGAGAGAGGGAGUUAGGGUUGAGUUUGGGAGAGAAAUGAGAGAGAGAGAGCUCACCCUCUCAUAUACCCCUAACUCAUGCUACAAAUGCAUAAAAGCCCCUCAACUUUGCCAACAUGACACAGCCCAUCUUGGCUAAAUUCAGGCUACGGGGAUCGGUCUCUCCAAGAAGGACCGGUCCCCGAGAGUGGCUUAUUUACGGAAAAAGGCCUUUGCCCCCUUUUCCACACUUACGGGAACCGGUCUCUCCAAUGAGGGUGUAAGGAAGUGAAUUCUCGAAAUCCGAGAGUUGUACUUCGUCAAGUAUCGACUAAUUGUCGAGUGAGUACCCUUCGUAGGAGCUAAAGAUAUCCAAAGCACCAAAAGUGCAUUAGGAACGAGUCCACGAGAGCAAAAAGUGCAAAAACCUGCACUGGGAGAGAAUUGCUCUCGGGGACCGGUCCCUGGCAAGGAGAGACCGGUCCCCGAGGCUGGUGGUUGCUGGGGAUUCUUGAUGCAACUGGUCCCAGGCUGAGGCAACAGAUCCCCGUGUGCGGCGCCAGCGAGAGAAGGCCAAAAUCGGCUAAGUUCUGAAAAUCAAGCUCUCGGGGACCGGUCUCUCAGGCAAGGACCGGUCUCCUGAGGACCGGUCUCCUUGGGAGAGACCAGUUUCCGAACACAUGAUAUCUGGGGAGGCUCUUGGGGACCGGUCCCAGACAGGAGAGACCGGUCCCUCGGCACGCAGACUGCCCAGUAAGGGCAGUGCACAGAGACAAAAGUUGAGGGAUUUUUAUGCAAAAUGGCAUUAGUUGGAGGGUGAUAAGAGGGAAGAGAGCUCUCUCUCUCUCUCUCUCACAUUUCCUCUCACACUCCCACACUCCCUCAUUUCUCUCCCUCUCUCUCUCUAGAAGGAAAAGAGAAGAAGGAAAAGAAGGAGAAGAAGAAAAGAGAAGGAGAAGAAGAAAGAAAGGAAGGAGAAGAAGAAUGAGAAGAAGGAGAUCAAGCUAGAAAAGGCUUGGAGCAUCUUCCUCUCUUCCUCUCCUCUCCAUUGGUGUAGCUCAAGAGGUAAGCUACAAAUCCUAGCUUGUAGAACUUACGGUUUUUGGAUUUUGAGCUUUGAAAAUGUGGUCAAAUGGACCCCUAGCACCAUUGUUGGUGGAUUAGAGCCAGAGCUAGGGUUCCAAAGUGCAAAUGGCAAGAUGGAACCCUAGGGCUCCAAAAUGGGGCUUUUGGUAAAGUAUGAGAUUGAUCUAAUUUGAGGCCUUGUAAACCUAAUUGAUAGGUGUCUAAACGCGGAGACGAAGACGGAUUGAGCAUUCGUCGAGUCGGUGAAAAGCUAUCGGCAAAAUAAGGCCGAUUGAGCAUUGUUUUGGACCAAGGAUGACAAGACCUCGUCGUAAAGUACGUCGGAGGGCACUUCUAGAGCCUUCGAACCUUCAAAAAGUGGGGGGUUGUCAUCCCGAAGCAACCGAACUCUUUUUUAUGUCUUAGAAAUACAUGAUUUGCAUCUCCUGCAUGUUGCAUUGUAGUAUUGCAUUGUAGUACCUUUUCCUUAUGUUUCUAAAUGUAAACCUAGUGUACAUGGAAUGCUUGGUGACUUGGAUAGGUGAGGAUUGGGUCGAAACAUGGAUCCUAUAGUGCCAAAGGAAAGAGAUGGACACGAUGGGUGUUUGGUGACAUAGAAAAUGACAUCUAAAUGUUAGAGAACAUAUCGAGUGGCAUUAAAGUAAUGUAUUUGACACUAGAGGUUCUUGUGAACUUAGGGAUAAGUGGACUCCCUAGAAAAUGCCUUGUGGACAAAGAACUUAGUAAAGCUAAGCACAUUGCAUGAUGGUCGGAAUAGAUGAGUUCUGCGAGAUGUUGACCCUAGUUUGUAGGGUAUCCUCACAUGGAGAGGAUGUAGAUGAUACCAAGAGAUAUGUUGACCCUAGCGGUAGGGUAUCCCUACAUCGAGGGAAUAUAUCGAGCUCACGGUCUGUUUUGGGGUGGUAUAGCCAUCCAUAUCCUCACAUGGAGAGGAUUGUCGUCGAGUACUCCGGAGUGUCGGGCGACUAGGACCACAUGGAGGUCUGCAGACAGUCCCGGGUUUGGGGGCACAUAGAGCUCCCUUGCCCAAUACGGGAUGGAAAGGUGAGUUGUAGGCGAGCCCAAGGGUUUCGCCACAGAUUGGGUAAAUGAACAGUUAACAAUGCCAUGGAACAUUAUCAUUCGAAUAUAGAUCGAAUUUGUUAGCAUGUUAGUAAACCUUUACUAUAUGAUGCAUGCAUUCAUUAUACAUGAUUAUGGGUAUAGUAGCAUAGUUUUUCUUUAUGCCUUUACAGCUUUGAGAUAUCUAUCUAUCUAUCUAUCUAUUUGUUGUUACUUGUGCCCACUUGGACCUAGUGGGGAGAUCGGCGGAGUCUGCGGCCGAGCCCACUGGAAACUAUGAAAGAUAGUUCUCACCCCACUCUAUUUUCAGUGGUAGGUACAGGGUUGCCGAGAGAGGACCGCGGCAAGGGCAUCGUGCCCGAUCAGUGAGACCGUGGUAGUAUAGUAGCUUUCCUUUUUGCAUUAGCACACCUAUGCAUUUGAGAGAGAUUCAUUGUAGGUGAGGAUUUGGAGAGCUAUGUAUUUUGGAUAAACCAAUGUAUUCAUUUUGAGGCAAAAAGAUGUAAAUGGAAAAGAAUGAAACUAUUGUAAUAGUUAGUAAAGUACUCUCUUUAUUUCAAAUGCUUUAUCUUGUGGAUUACUUGCUCUUCUUGUUGUUGGCACUGUUUGUGCCCUCGUUGAAUGCGUAUGUUUAGAAUUUAAAUCCCUAGGUAAAUUCUUGUACACAUUCCUAUUGUUGAGCCUUGGGCGGACAGAGGAGGUGCUGUCCGUUCGGCGGUCCGUCCAGCCCGCCCAAACCGUGCCAAAUUGGUAGUGGUUUCGGGGCGGGGCGUGACAGUGUUCGUGGUAUCAGAGCAUUAAGAGCAAGUAAAAAGAGAAAGUCUAGGAUGACCUAGGAGAUCCUAGGUUGGUGAACCCUAAGGUUAUAGGUGCGUGAGCGGAACGUGAACCUAUAACGAUGGCGAAAGUUAAUUCGAUUGGGUCGAGAUUGAAGUUACGUCUCUAGUACCGACUAGAGGUAGAUUCAAGCGGUAUUAGCUCUUGACUUGAGGUGGUUGUGUGACACACUGGACCUUUGCAAAUUGCGAGGUUCGAGUGAUUAGCUGUGCUCUGAGCUUUUCCAGAUUUUUUGGUAGGUCGUUUACUGUGUUCCGACCUAUGGCUCGCAUCCCGAGAAUUGUGGUUUUAAGCUUGAUACCAAAAUCCAAAAAUUGGAUUCAUUGGACAGCUCUCGGGUUAGCCUGCAGCAGAGCUUGUACCGGAACAAGGUUGGUCUUGUACCGGUACAAGGUUGAUGGUUGUACCGGUACAGCCAUCGGAGCUUGUACUGGUACAGAGCCGCAGAGCCCAGCAACCCGAGCCUCGGGUUUGGAUUUCGUGGACCUUAUACCGGUACAAGGGCCCGUGUACCGGUACAAGGCGGCAGAAUUUGAGCAGUUUGAACUGCAGGGGUGGUUUUGCGUUUGUGGGUCUCUUAUAUCAGCACCCACGCCUCUAGGGCCCUCCUUUGAGCUCACCAUUGCAGGGAGAAAGGUAGGGCACCUCUCCCCUUCACCCCCUUUGGAUUUGAUCUCUUUUUAGCUUGGGAUUUAAGUGUUGAUCCUUCUCUUUUUCCUUUUCUUUGCUUUUCCACCAUUGUGAAGCUUGGAGCUUGGUCUUGGUGGAUUGUUGAGGGAAGAUCUUGGGAUUUCAAGAGUUUAGAGCUUAGAUUGAAGCUUCUAAGAGGUAAGCCACUUAUUCUCUCCCUUUAGAUUGGAUUUUUAUUGAUGGUUUUGAGAUGAAACCCUAGAAUGAGGUUUUAGGGCUUAUAUUUGGGCAUUUUUGAUCUAGGACUUUUGGACCUAAAUUAGUUGGUUUAGAACCUUCCUUGGGCUUGGAUUGGAAGGAAUUUAGCUCUCUUUUAGAGCUUCAGAGAGAUUUUUCACUCAUUGGGUGAGUUUUAGCCCUUUUGUUAAAUUUGUUAAAGUUUGAUCUUAUAGUUGAUCGUAAUGCCCGUGUAUCUUGUCGCUCAAUACUUUUAGGGUAUUUUGAGACUCGGGGACAACUUUGUUCGGCGAAUCGAGACCCUACGCGACGGUUCGGUGGGUUUGACCUAGCCUACAUAUGAGAAAUUCUCAUAUAUGGUUAUAUAUGUUCCGUAAAUUGAAAAAGCAUGCAUGUUCAUACUAAAUGUAUUUAUUAUGAUUUUUAGAAUGCUUAAAAUGUAUAUGUGAUAUAUAGUGGAAUUUUGGACCCCUAUGUAGUAGAGAGUUGCUUAGGAGAUCUUUGGUUGCAUUUAGCAUUCUUUAUGAGACUUGGUUUCAUGCUUCUAUAGUAUAAAUGAGUUCGGAUUCAUGCAUUUAAACUUGAGUUUACUUGUGACAUGAAAGAUGACAAGAUUGCCAUUUAGAAGGUAUGUGAACUAGAGAGCUAAUGUCAUCAAGCGGCAUUGAGCUCGGGACAUGCGAGAAUCUAGCGGAUAGAGCCAUUGAGGGAUUUGGAAUACAUGUUGAACAUCAAAUUGCCUAAGUGUCAUCAAGGGGCACUAGACGUAGCAAAUAUUGAAACUUCACCUUGUGACUUAAACUAGAUUUUCGGGAUGUUAGUGACCAUACCAUGUUAGAGAUAUGAGGAUUGGAUACUUGAGACUUGGACUAUGCUUGCUUGCCAUUUGUGCUCAUUCGCAUAUGCUUGAGAGGGUCGCUCCCUACAAGCCGGCACUCCGGAGUUGGCCUAUGCGAUUUUUGUUCGCUCGUGCGGUAUUGAGGAGCCUACGGGGUCGAGUAGGACAGACACAUUCCAUGAGUAGGAAUGUCGGGCUACCACAGUCACUUAGGCGGUAGGCGGUACAAGCUGGACUACCUUGGGUAGGUCCCUAAUUGGAAAUGGAAAUCGACACGGUUUGAGAAUGAACAAUCACUACUAGAUAGGUUUAGUAGUUGGAUUACAUUUACAUGCUUAUAGCAUAGGGUUGAGACACGUAGUAUACUUGACAGUUACCUAUUUCGUCACAGUGUACUUGGUUGCCAUGAUAGAGCUUAUACAUCAUGUAAGAAUAAAGGUUUAUAACAGUAAACUAUUGCCGUUGGUCACUUUUCCUUAUGGUAGAAUAGAUGUACAACAUUUUGACAUCGUGCUUAUGUGAGAUAUAGUAGUAUAGCAUUUUACUUAUGCUCUCUCUUUCAGCAGUUUAUUUAAAUGCUCCUUUUUAUUGCUUAUUGCUAUUAACGUUACUUACCCUUGUUUUUGGGGCCUAGUGGAGCAGAAGCUGAGGUCAGUAAUUGCCCACCGGGAACUAUAAUUUAUAGUUCUCACGCCCUUUUUUUCUCGAUGUUUUUCAGAGCCUUCCACGCAGGGUGAGGCCAGGGAUCGCGGGAAGGGAGUUGCUUCGAGCUAGCUUCCUUCGAGGACGAGUUGCUAGGUGGUCUACCUCUCGAUUUAUAUUUCUUUUUGUGAGAGGUUGAGAGUUGUACCCGUAUAUGUAUAGAGACCACCAUUUUUGUACUAGAGACAGAUAUUGUACUACUUAUAGUUUCUUUUAUUGACUAGCUUCAUUUCUUUACCUUGGGUAGAUGAUAGAACUUUACUUGCUCUGAUAUCAUUAGUUGCUAGUUAUUUCACUUCUUUUAUUUGUUCUAUCUCCUGCUUUACUUCCGCUUUUCUUGUAGACGCCUUAUAUGUGUAGACAUAUGGCGGGUCUGGGCACUGGGCGUGACAGGUUGUGUCAGCGGCCGACGACAUGAUGCCAAGAGUCGGGAACGAGUACACUUGUGUGCUUCUGCCCGAUUUUGUUGUUGAGUCGUUAUAUGAAUCGUAGUCAUGACGAGGUGGUUGGUUAAAGUACUGACCAAGUAUUGGCAUUUCAGGAACUUAUGGCACCAAGGGGACGCCCUAGCACGAGAUCUACUCCGGCACUGCCCCCUGAUGUGCCCGAGCAGGCUGAACCAAGCAUGAUGGAUCAGUUGCAAGCACAGGUGUCCGCGUUGACCAAUGUGGUGUAGCGCCAGGAGACCCGAUUCGAGCGGCUCCAGGAUCUUUUGGAGCAGCAGGUUGCGGCGGCGGCUGCGACGGUGAACGAGGGCGCUGGUCUGGACCCUCGACUCAUGUACCCGGAGCGGCAGAGGGUGAGGGUAUAGCGGCGGUUCCGGUGACGGCACGCCCACAGCCGACGAUUAUUCCACAGACGGCGUCGCGAUCGGCUACACCCGAUGUGACGGCCGAAGAUGUGGAAGGAGAGCGCGCAUUGCUGGCUCUUAUUAAGUUUAACAAGUUCCAUCCGCCCAUUUUCGAGGGCGAGAAGGUGGAGCCGGCGAUGGUCGAGUCAUGGAUCAACUCGAUGAAGACUCUCUUCGAAGACCUGCGCACUUUGGAGAGGGAUAAAGUAUACCUUGCCACCCAUUGCUUGGAGAAGGCGGCAAAGGUGUGGUAGAAGCGUGUCAAGCGAGAUCGGCCUUCUGAUCUUCCACCGACGUUAUGGAGGAAUUCAAGCGGGAGAUGUUUGCUAACUAUUUUCCCGAUACGCUGAAGCGGAAGCUCAAGGAGAAAUUUCGCAAGCUGGAGCAGGGGGACCGCUCAGUAGCAGAAUAUGAACAGGAAUUCUCCCACAUCAUAGACUGUGUCCCGGACGUAGUGAAGGACGACCGGGACCAGGCCGAUUGGUUCCUGCGAGGACUUCGGCCGGGGAUCUACAAGGCCGUGCAGAUACUUAAGCUCACGACCUUCGCGGAGGUCUUCGACCGAGCACUCUGGGAAGAACACGGAGAAGCCCACGUUCGAGAGAAGAACGAACCGUUGGCCGAGUUCAAGGACAAAGACAAGAAAUGCCAAGGUGGCGGCGGUUCGGGAGGACAAGCACGUUCCAAGAAGCCCCCGAAGUAUCCGCGGACUCAGCCAAAGGGCGGUGGAGCGCGACGGUGCAUCAUAUGCAGCGGAGACCACCCAGUCUCGCGAUGUGAGCAGGGCCGAGGCAAGUGCUACAAGUGCGGGCAACCGAGGCACUUCAUUCGGGAUUGUUCGGGAGGAGGAGCCUCACCUGCCCCAUCGACCGUGUCGGCGCCAGCGAUUCUAGCUCACUAUAGAGGAGCUCCACCGGUGGCCGCAUCGACGGGACGUGCGAUGAUGCCGCGUCAACCCGAGGUGACGCGAUCGGCCUCGAGCGGUUGGGUAUUCACCGCUCAGGUCCAAGCUGAAGAGCCUGAGGAGGCGGAGGAGCAUCGCCUCGUGGUAGGCAUGGUUUUAAUUAACGGAGUUCGCUCCAGGGCUUUGUUUGAUACAGGCGCCAUGCAUUCAUUCAUUAGUAGAUCAUUCGCACCCAUGCAUUACAUACUCAUUGAGGCGAGUGACAAGUGGCGGGUGGAGGGCCCUAGGUCGAACACCUAUUCGGAGUGUUCAUCGUGUCCGGUACAAGUAGGCGAUUCGAUAAUGCCUAUUCGGAUGUUGGAACUCAAGAAGCUCGAGGCGUACGACGUCAUUUUGGGCAUGGACUGGCUCUCAAAAUAUCACGCAACGAUCGACUGCAAGAGCAGGGUGAUUACGUUUCGUGAGCCAGGACAGAAGGAGUUCAAUUAUCGGGCUUGUCAGAGCUCGUGCUUUGUCGACGGUGUCAGCGACGAGAACGAGAAAGUUGGUCAGCCGCGGUUGCGUAGCAUUCUUGGCGACCAUUGUGGAAGUGGAACGAGUAGCUCCAACAUUGGAGGAGAUAUCGGUGGUGCGGGAGUUCCCGGAUGUGUUUCCCGCGGAGUUACCGGGGAUACCACCGAAUUGGGAGAUCGAGUUCGUCAUAAACUUGGUUUCCGGUACCGCACCGAUCUCGAAGGCUCCGUACCGAAUGACGCCGGCGGAACUAAAGGAGUUGAGGAGUCAAUUGCAAGACCUCCUCGACAAGCAAUUUAUCCGGCCAAGUGUAUCACCGUGGGGAACCCCGGUGUUAUUUGUGCGGAAGAAGGAUGGAUCGUUUUGACUCUGCGUGGAUUAUCUAGAAUUAAACAGAGUCACGAUCAAGAACAAGUACCCACUACUCUGAAUCGAUGAUUUGUUUGAUCAGUUGCAGGGGUCAUGUGUGUACUCGAAGAUAGAUUUGCAAUCCGGCUAUCACCAGUUGAAGAUCAAGCUGGAAGAUGUGCAGAAAACCGCGUUUCGCACGCGGUACGGGCACUAUGAAUUCACGGUCAUGCCAUUUGGACUUACAAAUGCUCCAACGGCAUUCAUGGAUUUGAUGAACCGUGUCUUCAGGAGGUAUUUAGACCGAUUUGUCGUAGUCUUCAUAGACGACAUAUUGGUCUAUUCUCGCAGUGACGAAGAACAUGGCGAGCAUUUGAGAAUAGUGCUUCAAGUCCUUCGGGAGGAGAAACUAUACACUAAGAUAAAGAAGUGUGACUUCUGGCUCCGAGAAGUCACAUUUCUAGGGCAUGUGAUUUCCGCGGGUGGAGUUUCGGUAGACCCAAGGAAAGUUGAGGCAAUCAAGGAUUGGCCGCGCCCGACGAAUGUCACGAAGGUUCGAAGCUUCGUGGGCUUAGCGGGCUAUUAUAGACGGUUCGUGGAGGGCUUUUCGAAGAUAGUAACUCCACUUACUCGUCUGACACAGAAAGGCACCAAGUUUGUGUGGAGCGAAGAGUGCGACCGUAGUUUCAACGAGUUGAAGCAGAGAUUGACUUCGACUUCGGUGCUCGCUCUACCGGAAUAGGGCGAAGACUUCGUAGUCUACAGCGAUGCUUCCUAUCUAGGAUUGGGGUGUGUAUUGAUGCAAAACGGGAGAGUAAUCGCUUAUGCGUCCCGUCAGCUGAAGAGCUAUUAAAAGAAUUACCCCAUCCAUGAUUUGGAGCUAGCGGCGAUAAUUUUCGCCUUGAUGCUGUGGAGGCACUAUCUAUAUGGUGCCCAUUGUGAGAUUUAUACUGACCAUAAGAGCCUGAAGUAUCUGUUCACACAAAAAGAGCUCAACAUGCGAUAGCGGCGAUGGUUAGAACUGCUAGAGGAUUACGAUGUGGAUAUUCUUUACCACCCUGGGAAAGAAAAUGUGGUCACGGAUGCACUAAGCAGGAAAUCGGCGGAGAACCUCUCUAUGUGGGUCACAAACCAGACGCCUUUAUGGCUGGAUAUGGAACGGUUAGAUCUAGAGGUGGUUGCUCCCGAGAUUCCGGCUCAGUUGAUGGCACUCGUUGUCCAACCGACCUUGUUGGAGAGGAUUAAAGAUCUACAAUCUGCGGACCCGAAACUCCAAAAGGUCUGGCGCAACAUCGAGGAAGGACGAGGCGGCGAUUUCAAUAUAAACGCCGAUGGUACACUUCAGUUUCGAACCGGAGGUGUGUGCCCAAAGACGGAGAGCUUCGCGAGUUGAUUCUGCAAGAAGCACACCGAUCUACGUAUGCUGAUCACCCGGGCGGCACCAAGAUAUAUCAAGGACUAAAAAUGCACUAUUGGUGGCCAGGAAUGAAGGGUGAUAUUGGACGCUUUGUGGCGAAGUGCUUAACAUGCCAACAAGUGAAAGCAGAGCGUCGGUUUCCAGCGGGAAAGCUUCAAAGCCUACCAAUCCCCGUUUGGAAAUUGAAGGAUAUAUCAAUGGACUUCGUGGUUGGCUUGCCUCGCUCAACGGGCGGCCACGAUGUAAUUUGGGUACUUGUGGACCGAUUGACGAAGUCGGCUCACUUAUUGCCGAUCCACACCACGUGGUCGAGUGACAAGUUAGCGCAGGUAUACCUCGACGAGAUAGUGAGACUGCAUGGGAUGCCGAAGUUGAUCGUGUCGGAUCGUGACCCCCGGUUCACUUCACGCUUCUGGAAAAGCCUGCAGGAAGCCCUUGGCACACGGCUCGAUUUCAGCACCGCAUUCAUCCUCAGACCGAUGGGCCAACAGAGAGAACCAUCCAAACCCUGGAGGAUAUGUUUCGAGCGUGUGUCAUCGACUAUAAGGGAAGUUGGUGUGAUCACCUACCGAUAGUCGAGUUCGCCUACAACAAUAGUUAUCACGCUAGUAUGGAGAUGGCACCGUUUGAGGCCCUCUACGGGCGGACGUGUCGAUCUCCUAUACACUGGAGUGAUGUAGGUGAGCGUGCGGAGUUCGGCCCCGAUGUUCUGCGAGAAGCGGAGGAGAAAGUCCGCCUUGCUCGCAAGAGAUUGCUCACGGCGCAGUCGAGACAGAAAAGCUAUGCUGAUAGGCGUCGUCGAGACAUAGAGUUCGUGGUCGGCGACCGCGUAUUCUUGAAGGUGUCACCAAUGCGUGGCGUGAAGCGAUUUGGAGUUCGGGAAAAACUAAGUCCCCGGUACAUUGGACCUUACGAGAUAUUAGAGCGAGUUGGCACGGUGGUGUAUCGGCUUGCCUUGCCGCCGAAGCUCGCGGAUGUAACAAUGUGUUCCAUGUCUCCAAUCUCCAUAAGUAUAUUCACGACCUCGAGCACGCGAUGCUAUAUGAGCCACCGGAACUUCAAGAGGACUUGAGCUAUGAAGAGUUUUCGGUGAUGGUUAUCGCCCGAGAGGUGCGAAAAUUGAGAAAUCGAGAAAUUCCCUAUGUGAAAGUUAGGUGGAGCAAUCAUGAUGAUCGUGAAGCCACCUGGGAACUCAAGGAUCUGAUGAGAAAGCACCACCCUCAUCUAUUCGAAGAGUGAGGAAAGAAUUUAAGUUAAAAUAAAGAAUUGAGUUAGUUUCGAGGACGAAACUCCUUUUAAGGAGGGGAGGAUGUAAGGAAGUGAAUUCUCAAAAUUCGAGAGUUGUACUUCGUCCAGGAUCGACUAAUUGUCGAGUGAGUACCCUUCGUAGGAGCUAAAGAUGUCCAAAGCACGAAAAGUGCAUUAGGAACGAGUCCACGAGAGCAAAAAGUGCAAAAACCUACACUGGGGCAGAAUUGCUCUCGGGGACAAGUCCCUGGCAGGGAGAGACUGGUCUCCGAGGCUGGUGGUUGCUGGGGAUUCUUGAUGCAACCGGUCCCAAGUUGAGAAAAUCGGUCCCCGAACGAGGCGCCAGCGAGUGAAAGCCAAAAUGGGCAAAGUCCUGAAAAUCAAGCUUGAAAGAUAUGGAUCCCAAGGAUCUAAAAGGUAAGUAACACCUAGAGGGGGGUGAAUAGGUGUAAAAACGGCAAACUCAAAAAUCUCGAUACAAAUAAAACGAAAUAGCGGAAAAUAAAACAGCACACCGAGAAUUUAACGUGGGAAAACUCCAAGCCGGAGUGAAAAACCCACGGGACCGAUCAUGCGAAGAAAAUCCACUAAGAAAACUUGAGUACAAGUGAUUUUGACAAAAAUACACGACUCAAUUUACCGAUUUCCCGUUGUUCGUGAUCUUCGCCGGUCCUCGAUCGAUAGGAAUCCUCCAACUGACCUCGCCGCAAAUCCUUGCAGCGUCAACGCCUCAACUUCUCGAAGCGUCCACCGAAUCCUCGGCUUCACACGAGAUCCAUGCGUCGAACCUCCUUCCGGAGCUUGUAGAACCGAAGAUUUAUGGUGAUUAAGCCUUAGAAUCCCAUAAGCGAUGAGGGUCUACUUUUUAAUCAAACAUCUACUUGAUUCUCGUAUAAGUUCUCGAGUAAAAACGAAGAAACAAGUCGAUCGUUGAUUGUUAGAAACUUGUUAUUGGAAUGGAAUCAUAGGAACAAGAAAAAUAAGUUUCUAGGGUUUAGAAUGAGUAGAAAUUCAAAGCCUUUUUUUCUUUAAGAUGACCCCCAUGGCUUAUUUAUAUGUUUAGAAGAUUUAGAAGUAGACUAAGAUUGCAAAAAGUCCUUUUUAAAAACAUGUGUCGUCCUCAGAGACCGGUCCUCUCGAGGAGAUCGGUCUGUGAGAGACCGGUCUCUCAAGUGAGAGAGCGGUCCCUCGCUGCGUGACAAAAAUCACAACGUUCGAGAACCGGUCUCUCAAGCCAGAGACCUGUCCCUCGCUGCGUGACGGAAAUACCAAUGUUCGGGAACCGGUCUCUCAUCUCAGGGGACCGGUUGCCUCAACAUUCACGCAGUGAGGACCUUAAGGGAACCGGUCUCUCAACCUAGGGGACCGGUCCCAGAACACAAAAAAGCUCAGUUUAAGAAUGUUUAAGAGUUUAAAAACAAUCUAAGUUUUCUAAACUUAUUAUAAUUAAAUAACUUCACCAAAAAUCAUCUAUUCUUCAUACUUUAGGUGUCGAGCUUUCCGAAUGAGUCUUUGUUCUUCAAUUUGAAUCUUUUCUUCAACCUUCCGCAAUCAACUCUCUAAGACUCUAUUCAACAUUACGAAAUCCGCCAACCUAUAAAAUCCUUAACAAUCUCCCCCUUUGGCGAUUUCGUGACAAAAUAUACUACAAAGCUCGUACACAACUCAGAAACAAUAAAAAGAAGAUCAUCGCAAUCACCAAACGACGAUCUCCUGCAUGAUCGAUCCAAUAAACGAAAAUUACAUCUUUCACAUCCUUAAAACAGACUCUAUGACUUAGAUAUAGAGUCUUGAAGUAUUGAAUAUUCCUGCAAAAACAUUCUUAAAUCACAAUCAAGAUUCAAGCAUACUUAUCAUAAAAGAUCAAACGUAAACGUCAAAGCAAUCAAACGUCAAAGCAAUCAAAGCAACAAGUCAUAGUUCAUAGUUCAUCCAAGCAACCAUCUAAUCUAAAUUUACACAGCUAAGCUAAAAGCAUCAAAAGACUAAGCUAAAAGCAUCAAAAGACAUCAGACAUCAUCAUCAUCAUGAGCCAAUAUAUCUAGAUUGAAGGAUUCAUACCAAUAGUCUUUCUUAAAUGCAUAAAACGUUUUUGAUCCAAAGGUUUGGUUAAAAUAUCUGCAAGUUGAUUUCCAGUCGAAAUAUAUUCAANUAUGCAUGCAACAAUAUAUACAUAUAUGCUCAAAUGAAUGACACAUUAGGUAUAGAAGGAAGUUCAAUGAGUUUGAGAAGCACCACCCACCUUGUAGGUCUAUUUAGGUGCUCCGAUGGAUUUCUUGAGAUUUUUAGACCUUUCGUUCUUUACCUGCGGCAAAACGAAGCCCUAUUAGGCCAUUUUGCUCAUAUCUUUACAUUGGCUUUUCGUAACGUUAAUCCGAGCGCACCAACGCGUCGGAACUACCACCAAUUAGAUUUUCGGAGGGUCAAUUGCACUUAGAAUCCCUCAUGAGCAAAAGCCCCAAUUUGGGUGCCCUAACUCCAAUGUAUAUCAAAAUCUAGGGUUUGAUCUCAUUGGGAAGCAAAAGUAGCUUCAUUAUACUCUAAAUAGUCCAUUAGAACCAUUCUUAGCCUUUCCAAAAUCCUAGUUUGGAUUUCACCAUUAGAGGUGGUCCAAGCUCACCUUUAUAGCAAAUCUAGGUUUUGAUCUCUUUAGAAGCAAAAGAAAGCUUCAAUCCACUAGAUCUUCCACUAGAAACCAUCCUUAGGUUCAUUCAAACCCAUUCCUAGAGUUUUAGCAUGAUUAGGGUUGAAGCUUACCUCAAAGCUUUCCCUAACUUGCACUAGAGAGGAAGAAGAUGAAGCCUCUUUGCUCCAAAAGCUUCUUCUUCACCUUCUUCUCCUUCUUUUCCUUCCUUUCUUUCCUUCUUCUUCUUCUCCUUUGCCUUCUAGAGAGAGAGAGGGAGAGAAGAGAGUGUUUGAGAGGGUGGGAAUGAGAGAAAAACUCAUUAACCCUCAAUACAUAGCUAUUGGGUUGCAAAAUUGUAGCUAAACCCCUCAACUUUCACUUUAAUACACUGCCCGAACUGGGCAUUCCGCGCAGACAGAGACCGGUCUCCCCGAGUAGGGAUCGGUUCCCGAACGUCCACCCUGCGCAGCCAGAGCUGCUGCGCGCAGGGCAACCGGUCUCUCCUUAUGGGACCGGUCUCUGGGGGACCGGUCUCUCAGGUAGAGACCGGUUCCCGAGAGCUGAUUUCUCAGAACUUAGCCGAUUUUUCGGCUGUCUCAUUUCAUACGCGUUCGGGGACCGGUCUCUCCCACCAGGGACCGGUCCCCGAGAGCUCAAAAUCUGCAGUUUUGCAGAAUUUGAUUCUUUAGCUCUCGAAAACCUUCCACAACUCACUUUUAAUCAUCUUAACACCUUCGGACUUUCCGAAGUGUUCCAUCCUCGCACUUUGGUCAAUUUGACUAAAGUUCGACAUUUUUAUUUUCCGAAUUUUCGGUAUAUUACAUAACGAGCACAAAUUCCAACACUGAAAGCAAUAUCUGGUCUGCUCGCAGUUAAGUACAAUAGGCUUCCAAUCAUGCUUCCGUAUUGUUUCUCAUCCACGCUCCGUCCUUCCGAAUUCAUUCCAAGUCAUUUGUUACUUGUACCCAUCGGAGUGUCAAAAUCCUUUGCACUGUCCAAUCUAAAUUUCUUAACCAAAUCUUUCGCAUAUUUGGAUUGACACAAGUGAAUUCCAUCUUUAGUUUGUUUAACUUGAAGUCCAAGGAAAUAAUUAAGCUCCCCCAUCAUCGACAUCUCAAACUCGCUUGUCAUCAAUUUUGCAAAAUCAUUGGCAUCCUUAUCUUUAGUUGCCCCAAAGACUAUGUCAUCAACAUAAAUUUGUGCCACAAUGAAAUCAUUCUUUAAGUGUUUUACAAAGAGAGUUCUAUCCACUCCCCCUCGGUUGUAUCCCUUUUUCAAAAGAUAUUUUGUUAAGCGCUCGUACCAUGCUCGUGGAGCCUGCUUUAGUCCAUAAAGUGCCUUUUUCAGUCGAAAAACGUGAUUUGGAAAAUUUGAGUCUAUGAAAUCUUUCGGUUGUUCAACAUAAACUUCCUCUUUUAAAAAUCUAUUUAGAAAUGCACUUUUAACAUCCAUUUGAAAAAGAGUGAUUUUAAAAUGGCAAGCAAUCGCAAAUAAAAUACGAAUUGAUUCAAGACGGGCAACCGGGGCGAAGGUUUCAUCAAAGUCUAUUCCCUCAAUUUGUGAGUAGCCCUGAGCAACAAGUCUCGCUUUGUUUCGAACAAUGGUACCAUCCUCAUUUUUCUUAUUCUUAAAGAUCCAUUUGGUACCUAUUAUAUGUUGCUGCUCAAGACGAGGCACUAAUUCCCAUACAUCAUUGCGAAUGAAUUGACCAAGUUCUUCUUGCAUUGCAUUUAUCCAAUAUUCAUCAUAUAAAGCUUCGUCAAUAUUCUUUGGCUCAAUCAAAGAUACAUAGCACACAAAUUCACACUGUAGUUGACUUCUUGUUCGCACACCAACAUUAGGAUCCCCAAUUACAUUCGAUAAAGGAUGAUCUCUUGACUCCGUCAGGGAUGUAGUCUUAGGAGUUAUGCUAGGGAUUUCAGAUGAAGUGCUUUGAGGCUCAGAUGAAUCAUUUGAUGCAACAUUUUCAGAAGAUGCAAUGGAAUUAUCAAGUGCAGAAACAUCAUCAUUCACAGGCAAUACAAACGGGGAAUCAUUAUCAUCAUCAUUCACCAAAGAAUUAGAAGAACCAUUCACAGAAGGGCUUACAGAAGAAGCUUCAUCUACUUUUAUAUUAAUGGAUUCUAUCACCGUCUUAGAUCGUAAAUUGUACGCACGAUAAACACGACUUGUGGUAGAAUAACCAAGAAAGAUUCCUUCGUCACUUCGAGAGUCAAAUUUUCCAAGAUUUUCACGAUCCCGAAGGAUAAAACAUUUACUCCCGAAAACACGAAAGUAUUUAAUAUUAAGUUUCCUACCAAGCCAAAGUUCAUACGGAGUAUUCAAAGUACCCGCGCGCACAUAAAUCCGAUUGAUAACAUAGACAGCCGUGUUAACAGCUUCGGCCCAAAAAUAUAAGGCAAUUUUCUUACUAUGAAGCAUAACAUGUGCCAUCUCCUGUACAACCCGAUUCUUGCGUUCAACUACUCCGUUUUGUUGAGGUGUAUAAGGAGCCGAGAAUUCAUGUUUUAUGCCAUAUGAAACACAAAAAUCAACAAAUUUUGAAUUUAUAAAUUCUCCCCCUUGAUCACUUCGAAUACGUACAAUUUUAUCAUUCCGUUCAGUCAUAAGACGAAGACAGAUUUCAGAAAAAGAAUCAAAAGUAUUAGCUCUUUCUCGUAAGAAGGCACUCCAAACAAAUCACGUAAAAUCAUCAACAAUAAGUAAGAUAUAACGUUUUCCACCCAAACUUUGAAUCCUAGAUGAUCCCAUCAAGUUCAUGUGAAGUAACUCUAAAGGCUUAGAUGUCCCUAAGUGGUUCAAAUUCUUAUGUGCGGAUCUAGCUUGUUUCCCCAAUUGACAACCCCACGCACAGUGUUCUCUUUGAAGUCUAUCUUAGGUACACCUCUAACAACCUCCUUCUUUGUUAUCUUGGAUAGCUUCUUAAAGUUUAUGUGACCUAGUCGUUCAUGCCAUAAAGUUUCAGUCUCUAAUGACGCUAGGUUACAAUGUUCAGUCGAAGAACUAGGAACUACAUAACAGUUAUUCUGAGAUCUAACGCCCUUUAAGAAAAGAUUAUCAUCACGAGUCACAUGGCAUUCUUUAUCAGAAAAAUUUACAGAAUACCCAUCAUCACACAGUUGGCUUAUGCUUACGAGAUUAGAUUUAAGCCCCUCAACAUAAAAGACAUCAUUCAACGUAGGGCCAUCUGAGAUAGUCACUGUUCCUUUUCCAACGAUUUUUGACGAUCGACCGUCUCCAAAAACAAAAAGUCCUCCAGAGAUUUUGUUCAAAGAAGUAAACCAAUUUCUAUCUCCGGUCAUGUGACGGGUACAGCCACUAUCUAGAUACCAUGAAGUAUUAUCGUAAGCAUGAAGCGAAGUGUGAAUGACUAGGCACGGGAAGAGUUCACCUUUGCGCACCCAAACCUUACGUGUUUUGGGUUGCGACAGUUUGCUUGCUUUUGUUGAUGUUGGCUUGUCGACGAUUUUAAUUGACUUCUUCUUCAUAUCCUCCUUCUUUGGUUUCCAUGUUUGUUUUGCUUUUGAUUUCAGCGCAUUUGGUGUCCAUGUUUGUUUCUUCUUAUGAUCAACCUUCUUUGGAGUCCAAGUUGACUUCCCUUUUAAUAUAGGAUUAUUCUUCAUAGGUGAUGUUCUUUGGUUCAAAGGUGUUGUUAAGCUCUUUCCCUUUUGCUUGCAAAAUUUUUUUAUGUGUCCUAAAACACCACAAAGAUGACAAGUUUUGUUAGCCAAAUUAUUUUUAGGAGGGACGAACUUACCAUAAAGCUUAGGAACUCCUUUUGUUGAAUGUUCGUUAUCUUUCUUCGUUGCUUGAUCAAUAUAUGUCCGUUCGUACCCAAGUCCAAGUUUAUUUGUUUGACCAAGUCCAAGCAUCUUGUCAAGUUUGCUCGAGCCAGACGAAAAUUGGUUCAAAUCCGACUUUAAUUGAAUGAUUAUCUUGGUGAAUUCCAUAUUUGCUUCUCUAGCUUCCGAGUAUUGCUUGGUGAGAAAAUCGAUGUUUUCAACAUGAGUCGCUUUUUCCUUUUCAAAUAACGAACACUUCUCAAAUAAAGAUUUGUAGGCCUUAGUCAAACCAUCUCUUUCUUCUUCUAGAUCCUUUGAUAAUGAGGCCAAUCUCGAAUUCUCUUGUUCCAACUUAUGUAGACUUCGUCGCAGCCUCUUGUUAUGUUUUGCCACCUUCUUUGAUUCGAUUACCAAUUGAUGAUAUGCUGCGACCAUGUCAUCUUUGUCCAAUUCUUCAUCCGAUGAUUUCUCCGAAGAAGAUUUUUCAUGUAUAGACGACAUUGAGAGAGAAUCUGUAGAUGCCAAACACAUGAAGGUUGAAUCCUGUGCUAUCAGUGCCGUGGCAUUGACAUCCUCAUCACUUGAAGUUGAAUCGUCAGAAGAGGAGUCAUCCCAAGUAAUAGCCUGCAUCGCUUUCUUUUUCAAAAACUUUUUAUUUGGACAGUCCGAUGCAAUAUGGCCAAAUCCCCCUACACUUAUAGCAUUGAAUUUGACCUUCACUGCUUUUCUUCUCUUUUGUAGAGUCCUUUUGAAGAUUUUUCGAUUUUCUGAAUUUUGAUGAAGAGGAAGACGAACUCCCUUUAGAUUUGCUUGACUUGGAAGAAGUAGACUUGGGAGAAAACUUCUUUCUAAAGUUCCGACGAAACUUCUUUGUUAGAAGUGCUAGUUACUUUUCAAAGUCCUCCAGGGUUUGUUUCGACUCUGAGUUCGAUGAAGUUGAAGUGACAUCUCCUUUUGUUGUUUUUAGAGCCAUCCCCGAAGCUUUAGAAGAAGACUUGAAAGAGGACGAAUUAGAAGGAAAAGUCAUCUCAUAAGUUUGAAGAGCACCUACUAAUUCUUCUACCUUAAGUUCAUCCGGAUGUUUAACCGUUUCAAUAGCCGCAACCUUAGGACGAAAUCGUUCGGGAAGGGUCCUCAAAAUUUUUCAAACAAUUUUGGAAUCGGAAAUUUUCUCGCCCAAGUUAGCACACGUGUUUACAAUGUCUUGCAAACGAGUAUAAUACUCGGUAAAAGAUUCAUGUUCUUCUAUACGGAUAGAAUCAAAUCUACUAGUAAACAUUUACAAUUUUUGAAUCUUUACCAAGCUUGUACCCUCGUAUGUAACUUGUAAAGUGUCCCAAAUUUCUUUAGCGGUUUCACACGCCGAGACACGAGAAAAUUCAGUUUGAUUUAAAGCAUUAAAUAAAGCAUUGAUACCCUUUCCGUUGAACGAAGAUAAUUCGUUUUCCUCUUUCGUCCACUUAUUUCUCGGUUUCGGACCGGUAACAUUCUCGACAACUUCGGUAGGAUAUUUCCAUCUGAAUUCAAUGGCUUGCCAUAUCCGCCCGUCGAUGGCAAUAAGAAAUACCCUCAUACGGACUUUCCAAUAAGCGUAAUUAGUGCCAUCAAAGAGAGGGGGUCGAUUGAUGUUACCACCCUCGGCCAUGAUUUACAACCUAUACCUGUUUUGAUACCACUUGAAAGAUAUGGAUCCCAAGGAUCUAAAAGGUAAGUAACACCUAGAUGGGGGUGAAUAAGUGUAAAAAGGCAAACUCAAAAAUCUCGAUGCAAAUAAAACGAAAUAGCGAAAAAUAAAAUAGCACACCGAGAAUUUAACGUGGAAAAACUCCAAGCCGGAGUGAAAAACCCACGGGACCGAUCAUGCGAAGAAAAUCCACUAAGAAAACUUGAGUACAAGUGAUUUUGACAAAAAUACACGACUCAAUUUACCGAUUUUCCGUUGUUGGUGAUCUUUGCCGGUCCUCGAUCGAUAGGAAUCCUCCAAUCGACCUCGCCGCAACUCCUUGCAGCGUCAACGCCUCAACUCCUCGAAGCGUCCACCGAAUCCUCGGCUACACGUGAAAUCCACGCGCCGAACCUCCUUCCGGAGUUUGUAGAAUCGAAGAUUUAUGGUGAUUAAGCCUUAGAAUCCCAGAAGCGAUGAGGGUCUACCUUUUAAUCAAACAUCUACUUGAUUCUCGUAUAAGUUCUCGAGUAAAAACGAAGAAACAAGUCGAUCGUUGAUUGUUAGAAACUUGUUAUUGGAAUAGAAUCAUAGGAACGGGAAAAACAAGUUUCUAGGGUUUAGAAUGAGUAGAAAUUCAAAGCCUUUUUUUCUUUAAGAUGACCCCCAUGGCUUAUUUAUAUGUUUAGAAGACUUAGAAGUAGACUAGGAUUGCAAAAAGUCCUUUUUUAAAAACAUGUGUCGUCCUCAGAGACCGGUCCUCUCGAGGAGACCGGUUUGUGAGAGACCAGUCUCUCAAGUGAGAGACCGGUCCAUCGCUGCGUGACAAAAAUCACAACGUUCGGGAAUCGGUCUCUCAAGCCAGAGACCGGUCCCUCGCUGCGUGACAGAAAUACCAAUGUUCGGGAAUCGGUCUCUCAUCUCAGGGGACCGGUUGCCCCAACAUUCAGGCAGUGAGGACCUUAAGGGAACCGGUCUCUCAACCCAGGGGACCGGUCCCAGAAUACAGAAAAGCUCGGUUUAAGAAUGUUUAAGAGUUUAAAAACAAUCUAAGUUUUCUAAACUUAUUAUAAUUAAAUAACUUCACCAAAAAUCAUCUAUUCUUCAUACCUUAGGUGCCGAGCUUUCCGAAUGAGUCAUUGUUCUUCAAUUUGAAUCUUUUCUUCAACCUUCCGCGAUCAACUCUCUAAGACUCCAUUCAACAUUACGAAAUCCGCCAACCUAUAAAAUCCUUAACAAAGCUCUCGGGGACCGGUCUCUCAGGUAAGGACCGAUCUCCCGAGGACCGAUCUCUCGGGGAGAGACCGGUUCCCGAACGCGUGAUAUCUGGGGAGGCACUGGGGGACCGGUCCCAGACAGGAGAGACCGGUCCCUCGGCGCGCAGACAGCCCAGUAAGGGCAGUGCAUAGAGACAAAAGUUGAGGGGUUUUUAUGCAAAAUGGCAUUAGUUGGAGGGUGAUAAGAGGGGAGAGAGCUCUCUCUCUCUCACACACAUUUCCUCUCACACUCCCACACUCCUUCAUUUCUCUCCCUCUCUCUCUCUAGAAGGAAAAGAGAAGAAGAAAAAGAAGGAGAAGAAGAAAAGAGAAGGAGAAGAAGAAAGAAAGGAAGGAGAAGAAGAAGGAGAAGAAGGAGAUCAAGCUAGAGAAGGCUUGGAGCAUCUUUCUCUCUUCCUCUCCUCUCCAUUGGUGUAGCACACUAGACCUUUGCAGAUUGCGAGGUUCGAGUGUUUGGAUGUAUUUCGAGCUUUUCCACACUUGGUGGAGGGUUGUAGAAUAUUUUCCGACCUAAAAAGUUCGAAAACUAGAAUUCUGGACAAGUCCUGAGAGUUUUUACUCUUGGGGACCGGUCCCUGAAAGGAGAGACCAGUCCCCCAGUGAGCAGUGUUGCGGCAGUCUUGAGGCAACCGGUCCCUGGCAGGCGAGACCGGUCCCCGAGCGCGCCUACGCAAUGAGAGACCGGUCCCGCGCAGGGAGAGACCGGUUCCCGAACGUUGGUUUUUCGGGUUCGCAGCGAGAGACUGGUCCCUGCUGGGGAGAGACCGGUUCCUCUGGGCGAAAAAUGCCCAGACCGGCCUGAUGCAAUAUUGGAUUUUGAGGGGCCUCACAGGAUUUUGUUACAAGAGAUGGCUUAUAUGGCCACUUCGCCUUCUCCCCUUCCUCACUUCACCAUUUCUUUUGCUUCUAGAGAGAGAGAGAGAGUGGGAGAGGAAGGAGAAGGAAGGAGAAGAAGAGCUCGUAGAGGACUUGGAGCUUCAUCUCCACCCUUUCUUCUCCCUUUUGGUGGAUUGGAGCUUGCCUUUGGAGCUUAGUGGUGGACCACUUCAACCCUAGGGCAUUUUGAGCUUGGAUUGAAGCUUCCAAAGGGUUAGUAACAUGUUUCUUCCUAUAGAUUCUUGUUUUGGUGAUUUUUGGGAGAUGAAACCCUAGAAAUGAGAUUUAGGGUUGAUUUUGGGGCUUUUUGAUCUAGGGCUUUUGAGGCUAGAUUUUUUUGGAUUAGAACCCUCCUUUGGGUUAGAUUGGAAGGAUNNNNNNNNNNNNNNNNNNNNNNNNNNNNNNNNNNNNNNNNNNNNNNNNNNNNNNNNNNNNNNNNNNNNNNNNNNNNNNNNNNNNNNNNNNNNNNNNNNNNNNNNNNNNNNNNNNNNNNNNNNNNNNNNNNNNNNNNNNNNNNNNNNNNNNNNNNNNNNNNNNNNNNNNNNNNNNNNNNNNNNNNNNNNNNNNNNNNNNNNNNNNNNNNNNNNNNNNNNNNNNNNNNNNNNNNNNNNNNNNNNNNNNNNNNNNNNNNNNNNNNNNNNNNNNNNNNNNNNNNNNNNNNNNNNNNNNNNNNNNNNNNNNNNNNNNNNNNNNNNNNNNNNNNNNNNNNNNNNNNNNNNNNNNNNNNNNNNNNNNNNNNNNNNNNNNNNNNNNNNNNNNNNNNNNNNNNNNNNNNNNNNNNNNNNNNNNNNNNNNNNNNNNNNNNNNNNNNNNNNNNNNNNNNNNNNNNNNNNNNNNNNNNNNNNNNNNNNNNNNNNNNNNNNNNNNNNNNNNNNNNNNNNNNNNNNNNNNNNNNNNNNNNNNNNNNNNNNNNNNNNNNNNNNNNNNNNNNNNNNNNNNNNNNNNNNNNNNNNNNNNNNNNNNNNNNNNNNNNNNNNNNNNNNNNNNNNNNNNNNNNNNNNNNNNNNNNNNNNNNNNNNNNNNNNNNNNNNNNNNNNNNNNNNNNNNNNNNNNNNNNNNNNNNNNNNNNNNNNNNNNNNNNNNNNNNNNNNNNNNNNNNNNNNNNNNNNNNNNNNNNNNNNNNNNNNNNNNNNNNNNNNNNNNNNNNNNNNNNNNNNNNNNNNNNNNNNNNNNNNNNNNNNNNNNNNNNNNNNNNNNNNNNNNNNNNNNNNNNNNNNNNNNNNNNNNNNNNNNNNNNNNNNNNNNNNNNNNNNNNNNNNNNNNNNNNNNNNNNNNNNNNNNNNNNNNNNNNNNNNNNNNNNNNNNNNNNNNNNNNNNNNNNNNNNNNNNNNNNNNNNNNNNNNNNNNNNNNNNNNNNNNNNNNNNNNNNNNNNNNNNNNNNNNNNNNNNNNNNNNNNNNNNNNNNNNNNNNNNNNNNNNNNNNNNNNNNNNNNNNNNNNNNNNNNNNNNNNNNNNNNNNNNNNNNNNNNNNNNNNNNNNNNNNNNNNNNNNNNNNNNNNNNNNNNNNNNNNNNNNNNNNNNNNNNNNNNNNNNNNNNNNNNNNNNNNNNNNNNNNNNNNNNNNNNNNNNNNNNNNNNNNNNNNNNNNNNNNNNNNNNNNNNNNNNNNNNNNNNNNNNNNNNNNNNNNNNNNNNNNNNNNNNNNNNNNNNNNNNNNNNNNNNNNNNNNNNNNNNNNNNNNNNNNNNNNNNNNNNNNNNNNNNNNNNNNNNNNNNNNNNNNNNNNNNNNNNNNNNNNNNNNNNNNNNNNNNNNNNNNNNNNNNNNNNNNNNNNNNNNNNNNNNNNNNNNNNNNNNNNNNNNNNNNNNNNNNNNNNNNNNNNNNNNNNNNNNNNNNNNNNNNNNNNNNNNNNNNNNNNNNNNNNNNNNNNNNNNNNNNNNNNNNNNNNNNNNNNNNNNNNNNNNNNNNNNNNNNNNNNNNNNNNNNNNNNNNNNNNNNNNNNNNNNNNNNNNNNNNNNNNNNNNNNNNNNNNNNNNNNNNNNNNNNNNNNNNNNNNNNNNNNNNNNNNNNNNNNNNNNNNNNNNNNNNNNNNNNNNNNNNNNNNNNNNNNNNNNNNNNNNNNNNNNNNNNNNNNNNNNNNNNNNNNNNNNNNNNNNNNNNNNNNNNNNNNNNNNNAUAAUUGUGCAUUACAUAAAUGCCGUGUUUAAUUGCAAGUAAUAUUUUAGCAUUUUCAUUAUGCUUUCAUAGAUGCAAAUUACUCGUUAUUGCUAUUGCUUUUGACUUACCCUUUUCUUUUGGGCCUAGUGGUGUAAUGAGCUGAGGUCAGUAAUUGUCCACUGGGAACUAUAAUUAUAGUUCUCACGCCCUCUGUUUUAUAUUUUCUUUCAGAGCCUUCCACGCCGGAAGAGGCUAGGGACCGUGGGAAGGGCGUCGCUUCGAGUUAGCCCUUCAGCGAGAGACGAGUUUAGGUGGUCUACCUCUCGAUGUUUUAUUUUGUGAGAGGAUGAGAGUUGUACCCGUAUAUGUAUAGAGACCACCUUUCUUUUGGAUCUUGGUAUUUCUUUUGAGGAGUUAGUAUUGUAUCCCCUUAUGUUUUACUUUCUUCGUCUUGGUAUAUUUCCUUUACUCUGGUGUAGAUAAUAGAACUUUACUUGCUCUGAUAUCAUUAGUUGCUAGUUAUUUCACUUCUUUUAUUUGCUCUAUCUUCUGCUUUACUUCCGCUUUUAUUAUAGAUGCCUUAUAUGUGUAGACAUAUGGCGGGUCUGGGCACGCUACCGGGAGGGCCUUCGCCGGUCCCGGGGCGUGACAAUUGGUGUAGCUCAAGAGGUAAGCUACAAACCCUAGCUUGUAGAACUUAGGGCUUUUGGGUUUUGAGCUUUGGAAAUGGGUUCAAAUGGACCCCUAGCACCAUUGUUGGUGUAUUAGAGCUAGAGCUAGGGUUCCAAAGUGCAAAUGGCAAGAUGGAACCCUAGGGCUCCAAAAUGGGGCUUUUGGUAAAGUAUAAGAUUGAUCUCAUUUGAGGCCUUGUAAACCUAAUUGAUAGGUGUCUAAACGCGGGGGCGAAGACGGAUUGAGCAUUCGUCGAGGCGGUGAAAAGCUAUCGGCAAAAUAAGACCGAUUGAGCAUUAUUUUGGACCAAGGAGGACAAGACCUCGUCGUAAAGUACGUCGGAGGGCAUUUCUAGAGCCUUUGAGCAUUCAAAAGGUGGGGGGUGUCAUCCCAAAGCAGCCGAACUCUUUUCUAUGUGUUAGAAAUAUAUUAUUUGCAUCUCUUGCAUGUUGCAUUGUAGGAUUGCAUUGUAAUACCUUUUCCUUAUGCUUCUAAAUGUAAACCUAGUGUACAUGGAACGCUUAGUGACUUCGAUAGGUGAGGAUUGGGUCGAAACGUGGAUCCUAUAGUGCUAAAGAAAAGAGAUGGACACGAUGGGUGUUUGGUGACAUAGAAAAUGACAUCUAAAUGUUAGAGAACAUAUCGAGUGGCAUUAAAGUAGUGUACUUGACACUAGAGGUUCUUGUGAACUUAGGGAUAAGUGGACUCCCUAGAAAAUGCCUUGUGGACAAAGAACUUAGUAAACUUAAGCACAUUGCAUGAUGGUCGGAAUAGAUGAGUUCCGCGAGAUAUUGACCCUAGUUUGUAGGGUAUCCUCACAAGAAGAGGAUGUAGAUGAUUCCGAGAGAUAUGUUGACCCUAGCGGUAGGGUAUCCCCACAUGGAGGGGAUAGAUCGAGCUCACGGUCUGUUUUGGGGUGGUAUAGCCAUCCAUAUCCUCACAUGGAGAGAAUUGUCGUCGAGUACUCCGGAGUGUCGGGCAAUUAGAACCACAUGGAGGUCCGCAGACAGUCCUGGGUUUGGGGGCACAUGGAGCUCCCUUGCCCAAUACGGGAUGGAAAAGUGAGUUGUAGGCGAGCCCAAGGGUUUCGCCACAGAUUGGGUAAAUGAACAAUUAACAAUGUCAUGGAACAUUAUCAUUCGAACAUGGAUCGAAUUUGUUAGCAUGUUAGUAAACCUUUACUAUAUGAUGCAUGUAUUCAUUAUACAUGAUUAUGGGCAUAGUAGCAUAGUUUUCCUUUAUGCCUUUACAGCUUUGAGAUAUCUAUCUAUCUAUCUAUCUACUUGUUGUUACUUGUGCCCACUUGGACCUAGUGGGGAGAUCGGCGGAGUCGGCGGCCGAGCCCACUGAGAACUAUGAAAGAUAGUUCUCACCCCACUCUAUUUUCAGUGGUAGGUACAGGGUUGCCAAGAGAGGACCGCGGCAAGGGCAUCGCGCCCGAUCAGUGAGACCGUGAUAGUAUAGUAGCUUUCCUUUUUGCAUUAGCACACCUAUGUAUUUGAGAGAGAUUCAUUUUAGAUGAGGAUUUGGAGAGCUAAGUAUUUUGGAUGAACCAAUGUAUUCAUUUUGAGGAAAAAAGAUGUAAAUGGAAAAGAAUGAAACUAUUGUAAUAGUUAGUAAAGUACUCUCUUUAUUUCACAUGCUUUAUCUUGUGGAUUACUUGCUCUUCUUGUUGUUGGCACUGUUUGUGCCCUCGUUGAAUGCGUAUGUUUAGAAUUUAAAUCCCUGGGUAAAUUCUUGUACAUAUUCCUAUUGUUGAGCCUUGGGCGGACAGGAGAGGUGCUGUCCGUUCGGCAGUCCGUCCAACGCGCCCGAACCGUACCAAAUUGGUAGUCAAGUGGACAGUCAUCGCAAUGCACGGAACUAAAUCCUCAAAUCGCACUAUUUCGUGCUCAAAAUCCUCAAGGCGAGUCAAGUCAGCUCGCAAUCCAAGAGUACUAGGUAUACACAACAACUCCACACUAAGUAAGGCCAAUCCAUUUGUUGGCACAGAAAACAAUCUCACAUGGUAGGGUGUUCGAAACGACACACCCGAUCAACCGAUCGUCCUACAAGCGUCGAAAAAGUUCAACGCUAACAAAAUCCUCGGGUUGGGUAACCACACACUCGGUGUAUUCUCGAUCUCACGAUCCAACACGUGGCAUUCCACGUUCCAAAGUCAAAGCUCAGACUACCAUCCUGGCCAAACUCUGCCCUACCCGUAGGUACCGGGCCGCUGUCAUGCACAGCUGACUGCGCCUGCCCAAAGGGCCUCGGCUCCACAGUCUACAAACGGUCCAGGCACGGUCGUCUCCAAGCACUAUCCGGCGAACAGCCGAUCAAGGGAUGCAACUAAUGCAAUCAUCGUGAGAUCUGCAAAGCAUAGCGAAACAUGCUACCCGCUACCCGCAAAUCACUCGCCUAGCUCAAGAGGAGCUACUCGUUAUCACAAACAGCGAACCAACGGGAUGCCAUGCAACUCGGCAAAUAGCCGAUCAAAGAAUGGAUGCAAUGCACUGAUAUCAAACAAUGCACAACUCGAAUGCCACAAAAGAAACUGAUACCUGUAGCUACAAACUCGGCUGCUACCGCCUCCUUAGUCUGGGCCGCAUACAUGCGCUCGCCCGGGGCCUGUCGUGACCCCUCCGUCUGUCUCAGGACAGGUGGCCUCUUGGCCUGAUAGUAAGCAGAAGGCGUCUCCUGGCUGGGACUCGGUAAAGCUGGUGCAGAUGCUGAAGAUGGCGCUGGUACUGAGCCCCUCUGGCAGUCCAACUGGAAGUGACCCUCCUGGCCACACGAGUAGCACCUACCUCGACCCUGCGAGCACUACCAUGGGUAAUGACGACCACCGCAGAUCACGCAGCUCAGAGUCUGACGACGUUCGGAUCCUCCCUGCUGUGCAGAUGUGCCCCGUCCUCGCGACUGGGUCCUAUUCCUGGGAUGUCUCGGCGGCCUCCCAGAGUGCGUCUGACUCGCACCCUCAGCCGCGGGCCAUUUGCCCUUUUCUUUGUUCGAGCCUUCUCGACGCUCCUACAAAUCCGCCGCGCCGCUCUCCACAAUGAGCGCGCGGUUUACCACAUCUCGAUAAGUCUGAAGGUUGGAGGAUUGCACCCACUGAAGAUCGACGACUUAAGUCCUCGCUCAAAGAUGCGAGCCUUAUUCUCAUCGUCCCGCACAACAAAGGGCACACAGUGUAGAAGCCGAGAGAACUCUCUCUCGUACUCAGCCACGGUCCGAUCCCCCUAGCGCAUCUCGCGCAGAUCCUGCUCCAUCUUCCUCUUAACACGGACGGGGAAGUAAUGCUCCAAUAAGAGUUCCUUGAACCUCUCCCAAGAAAUUGCUGCUAGGUCAGUGUUCGGAUUAUCCUUGAUACCCAACCACCAGCUGUAGGCCUUGCCGUCCAAAUGGUGAGUGGCGAGCCAAACUCUGUCUCUCUCCUUCACAAAAGUGUCGCGGAAUAACUUCUCCAUGUGCAUCAACCACUUAUCAACAAUCCAGUGGUUGGCUUUCUCUCCAUCAAAGAUCCUUGGAUCGUACCUCCUGAACUCCUUGAGGCGAUCCAUGAGCCACUGCUGCUCUGCUCCCUCGACCAUCAUGGGGAAAACCGCCGCUGCCACAGGCACCUGAGCUGGUGGUGCCGCAAAUACCUCCUCCCGAGGUGCUACCGCAGGUGUCGUCCACAAAGUGUCGAGUGCAGGGGACGACCCCCUAGGUGCAACCGUCUCUACCAGUGCUGGUGGUAUAAGGACCUGAGUCUCCCUAGCAGCCGCCUGCUGUAGUAGAAGAUCCUCUAGGCGCUGCAUCCGUGCCUCCUGCCAGCGUGCUGCAUCUGCAUGCUGUCGAGCCGCCACCACCUGCUGCGUCACGAAGUCAGUGAGGGCCGCAAGCUGGCUCCUCAACUCACGGACCUCGCCGGAUCCGGAGGUAGCGGAUGUCUCCGUAUAGCACACUUGACCUUUGCAAAUUGCGAGGUUCGAGUGUUCGAUUUGUAUUCCGAACUUUUCCACACUUGGUGGACGGCCGUCGUUGGUAUACCGGCCUAAAAGUUCGAUCUCGAGAGUUUUGGCAGAGUCCUGAGAGUUUUUACUCUUAGGGACCGGUCCCUGAUAGGAGAGACCGGUCCCUCAGUAAACAGUGCUGCGUAGCCGGCGAGGCAACCGGUCCCUGGCAGUUGAGACCGGUCCCCGAGCGCGUCUGCGCGGGGAGAGACCGGUCCCGCGCAGGGAGAGACCGGUUCCCGAACGUUGGAUUUUCGGGGGCAGGCUGAGAGACCGGUCCGCAGGUCGGGAGACCGGUCCCCUCUGGCGAAAAACUGCCAGACAGGGCUGAUGUGAUUUUGAGUUUUGAGGGCCUAUGGGAUUUGUUACUUUAGAGGCUAUAAGCACCCUCUCCUCCCUCUCACUCCAUUUUCUCUCCUCACACCUCUUCCUACACUUCUAAGAGAGAAAGGGAAGGAGAAGAAAGGAGAAAGGAGAGAAAGAGCUUGUGGUUGAGGCCUUGAGCACCAUUUUUUUCCUCAUUUUCACCUUUGAGGCUUGGAGCUUGCGUUGGAGCUUUGUGGAGGAUCAAAACUUCAACCCUACUUGGUUUUGAGCUUGUUUGGGGCUCCUCUUGAGGUGGUAGCUUGUAAUCCCCAUUUGUUACAUGUUUUCCUAGGUUUACUAGAUGAAACCUCUAGAUUUUGGGAUUUACGGUUUUGUUUUGGGGGUUUGUGGAUUUGGCGGGCUUUGAACGCACAAAUUGAUGGUUUAGAACCUUUGUUUAGUUAGAUUGAAGGACUCUAACAACCCCAUUUGGAGAUCGAGAGACCUUCUUCACAAUCGGAUAAGUUUUUCCAACCCUAGCUUGAGAAGCUUAAUGAUUGAGAGCUAUUUGCUCUUUGUUUCGUUUGGGUGACCCUAUUUUUGAUGUUUCUAGGGUACUAGGGAGCUCUGUGGAUACCUUCGUUCGGGCGAAACGAAGAAGCCGAUUUUUGGUGGUUGACUUCAAUGAAAAUAGGGCAAAAUGGUUCCCUAUGCCUUCUAAACUUUUGUUAAAGUAUUUUUGAAUUAAAUUCAUGCUGAAUAUGACUCAUGUGAAUUUUAGAACACUUAACAUGCAUGCCUCAUAUAUCGUAAAAUUUGUACUCUAUAAUAGUUAGAGCUAUAUGUGUAAUGCAUCAUCGUGGAUAGUGCUUGUUUGCAAGUUGAGAACAUGUCUUCCAUGCUAGAGUUGAGUGAAUUAUGCAUCAUGAACAUAUUAAUGCCACUUGGAACUCGUUAACAAAAGUGUCAUCAAGGGCACUUGAAACUAGUAAACUGUUAAACAAUCAACAUAGAGACAUGUUUGAUAGCACCUACAUAUCUACUACAUUCGCAUGUUAGAGACAUGAUGACAUAGAGAUAGCGCCAUUGAUAUAUUUGAUAUAUUCCAUGUUAUUAGACAUGAGAGACUUGUAUUGAGACGGAUCAUUGCUUCGUGCAAUUGUGCUCAUUCGCACAUACUUGUGAGGUCGCUCCCUACAAGCCUGCACUCCGGAGAUAGCCAUGCGCGACAUAUGCUCGCCCGCGGAUUGGGCGCGCGAAGUGGAUUGCCGUGGGGGAGGCUCAAUCCCUAGAGUGGGGAUGUUGACUACCAGGGGACCAUUAGGCACGCGCGCAGCCAGACAGCCUCGGUGGUCUUAUAUGAUUGGGACUUAGUUACAGAACGUGCUAUGUGAACUUUAAAACUACUAAUGGACUUGACUAGAAUAGUAAACAAUGACAUCUUUACUAUUUUGAAUGAGAACAUUGGAUUAUUUGCAUUCCUACGCUUAUGCAUGUCAUUCAUACACAUCCACGUACAUUCAUGAUAUAUUGUUGCUUUAUUACUAUGCAAUCAUGCUAAGUGGAGACUCUAUGUUAUAGUAGGUUACUUUUACUUAUCUUAUUAUAUUGCAUUGUAGUCACUGACCCUCUUCUGUAGCUUUUUGGGCCUUAUGGCGCAGUUCACUGAGUCAGUAAUUGCCACGAUGGGAAACUAUUUUCAAUAGUUCUCACGCCUCUGUUUUAUGGUUUUACUUUUCAGAGCCUCGCAGCCGUCGAGGCACGGGAUCGCGGCAAGGGGAUCGCAUAGCUAGUUAGCGUGAGGCGAUCUUUGCCUAGGUGGUUUACUCUUUCGUUAUGUAGUUGAGAGAGAGAGAUUUUUGUAUCCAUGUAUAGAGACCACCUAUGUAUCUACCUAUAGCACUUGUAUCUGGGCUUUCCUUGUAUCCCCUUAUUUUUAUCUUAGUGGAUUUACAGUUUUAUUCUUAUUCCUUGUUGUAGCAUUUAACAAUUUAUAUGCUCUGAACUACCUAGAUGUUUUUAUUAUUACUUGUUAUUGUUAUUUUUAGAUGCCUUAUGCUUUUAAACGUAUGCGGGUCUGGGCAGUGCCGGGCGGCUACGCUGGGCUCCGCGGGGCGUGACAGAUUAAUUUGGUAUCAGAGCCUAGGGUUGAGUCUUAGGGGACCUAGCAAACCUUAGGCCGGUUGGACUAUAGGAAAUAGGCUCGUGAGAGACGAGGUCUAUUCGAGUUGUGAGCGAAAGUAUCAUGAUUGGAUAUUAUGAUAACUCUAAAAAGUUAGAGUUGAUUGGAGUGUUUAGCUUCUAACUUCGCGGAGGGUUACGUUGGCGGCCGACAACGUAACAUCGGGAGUUAGUUGUGGAUAACACUUCCUUACUUUCGCAUGAUUUGGGGUUUGUCUUUUAAGCGGGGAUGCGAUAGCGUGAGUAUUUCUAACUUGCGCUUUUAUGUUUUGUAGUGACGAUUCCGAUUACUCGCUCCCAAUCUGCCGGGGCGGACAAUGUGGCAAACUUCGAGGAGGCGGAGUGUCACGCGCACGGGACUCGCGGAAGCCCGCCCGGCUACGUGCCCAGACCGCCAUACUGUCUAAAACGCAUAAGGCAUCUAAAAACAAAAUAACAAAAGUAAUAAUAAAAGACAUCUAGGAGUAUCAGAGCAUAAUAAAUGUCUAAAUGCUACAACAAGGAAUAAGGAUAAAACUGUAAAUCCACUAAGUAAAACAUAAGGGGAUACAAGGAAAGCCCAGAUACAAGUGCUAUAGGUAGAUACAUAGUGGUCUCUAUACAUGGAUACAAAAAUCUCUCUCUCAACUACAUAAAGAAAGAGUAACCACCUAGGCAAAAUCUGCUCAUCGGCUAACGUUAUGCGAUCCCUUGCGCGAUCCCGUGCCUCCGCGGUGCCGAAGGCUCUGAAAAGUAACACAUAAAACAGGGGCGUGAGAACUAUUGAAAAUGUUCCCAGUGGGCAAUUACUGACUUCAGUGAACUGCGCCACAAGGCCCAAAAGCUACAAGAAGAGGUCAGUGACUAACAAUGACUAAUAUAAGUAAGUAAAACGUAACUUAACUAUAACAUAGAGUCCUCCACUUACCAUGAUUUGAUAGUAAUAAAGCAACUAUAUCAUGGAAUGUACGUGAUGUGUAUGACUGACAUAAGCGUAGAAUGCAACUAAUCAAUGUUUCAUUCAAAAUAUUAAAGAUGUCAUUGUUUCCUAUUCUAGUCGCAAGUCCACUUAGUAGUUUUAAAUUCACGAUAGCACGUUCUGUCACUAAGUCCAAUCAUAUAAGACCACCGAAGGCUGUCUGGCCUGCGCCGUGCCUAAUGGCCCCGUGUAGUCACAUCCCACUCUAGGGAUGAGCCUCCCCCACGGCAAUCCACUUCGGCCCCAAUUCCGCCCGGGCGAGCAUAUGUCGCGAUGGCUAUCUCCGGAGUGCCGGCUUGUAGGGAGCGAACGCCUCACCAAAGUAUGUGCGAAUGAGCACAUGGCAAACAAGAAUGAUCGCUCAAGUACCAAGUCCUCAUGUCAUAAUAACAUGGAAUAUAUCAAUAUCUCCAAUGGCCUAUCUCUAUGUAUAUGUCUCUAAUAUGGAAUGUAGCAGAUAUGUAGUGGCCUAUCAACAUGUCUCUAUGUUGCAGUUAAACAGUUCACUAUUUAGGGAGGAUGGUCGCAGCAUCUACCUAUGGCGGAGUUUGCUUAUAACAGCAGUUAUCAAGCAAGCAUCAAGAUGGCGCCCUUCGAAGCACUUUAUGGACGGAAGUGUAGAUCGCCACUUCAUUGGAGCGAAGUUGGCGAGAGUUUGGCUUUAGGCCCUGAUGUGCUCCAGGAAGCUGAGGAGAAAGUUCGAAUUGCUCGGGAGCGACUUGUGACGGCGCAGAGUAGACAGAGAAGCUACGCCGAUCGACGACGGCGAGACUUGGAGUUCCAAGUUGGAGACCAUGUUUUCUUGAAGGUCUCGCCAACUAGAGGGAUAAAGAGAUUCGGGAUCCGGGGAAAAUUGAGCCCCCGUUUCAUUGGACCGUAUGAGAUCUUGGAGCGUGUGGGUCCGGUAGCGUAUCGACUUGCUCUACCACCGAACCUAUCCGGCGUGCACGACGUCUUUCAUGUAUCGGUCCUUCGGAAUUACAUACAUGAUCCAGCUCACGUUUUGGAGACUAUACCAGUGGAGCUGCGCGAGGAUCUGAGCUUCGAGGAGCAACCUGUGAAGAUUUUAGCUCGCGAAGUGAAGAAGCUGCGGAAUCGGGACAUUCCGUAUGUGAAGGUUCUUUGGAGCAACCAUGCGGAGCGCGAGGGCACGUGGGAGCUUGAGAGUGCACUGCAGGAGCGCUAUCCCCAUCUUUUUCAGAUGGAGCCUUGAGGUAUGCUUUUGCCUUUGAGUUUCGCGGACGAAACUCCUUUUUAGGAGAGGUGAAUAUAGCACACUGGACCUUUGCAAAUUGCGAGGUUCGAGUGUUCGAUUUGUAUUCCGAACUUUUCCACACUUGGUGGACGGCCGUCGUUGGUAUACCGGCCUAAAAGUUCGAUCUCGAGAGUUUUGGCAGAGUCCUGAGAGUUUUUACUCUCGGGGACCGGUCCCUGAUAGGAGAGACCGGUCCCCCAGUGAACAGUGCUGCGUAGCCGGCGAGGCAACUGGUCCCUGGCAGUUGAGACCGGUCCCCGAGUGCAUCUGCGCGGGGAGAGACCGGUCCCGCGCAGGGAGAGACCGGUUCCCGAACGUUGGAUUUUCGGGGGCAGGCUGAGAGACCAGUCCCAGGUCGGGGAGACCGGUUCCUAUGGGCGAAAACUGCCAAGACCGGGCUAAUGUGAUUUUGAGUUUUUGAGGGGCCUAUGUGGAUUUUGUUACUUUAGAGGCUAUAAGCAGCCUCUCCUCCCCUCUCACUCUCAUUUUCUCUCCCUCACACUCUUCCUACACUUCUAGAGAGAGAAAGGGAAGGAGAAGAAGGAGAAGGAGAGGAGAAGAGCUUGCUUGGAGGCCUUGGAGCACCAUUUUCUUCCUCAUUUGCCACCUUUGGAGGCUUGGAGCUUGCGGUUGGAGCUUUGUGGAGGAUCAAACUUCAACCCUACUUGGUUUUGAGCUUGGUUUGGGGCUCCUCUUGAGGUUGGUAGCUUGUAAUCCCCAUUUGUUACAUGUUUUCCUAGGUUUUACUAGAUGAAACCCUAGAUUUUGGGAUUUACGGUUUGUUUUGGGGGUUUUUGGAUUUGGGGGCUUUGGAACCAAAUUGAUGGAUUUAGAACCUUUGUUUAGGUUAGAUUGGAAGGACUCUAACUCCCAUUUGGAGAUCGUGAGAGCCUUCUUCACAAUCGGUAAGUUUUCUCCAACCCUAGCUUGAGAAGCUUAAUGAUUGAGCUAUUUGCUCUUCGUUUCGUUUGGGUGACCCUAUUUUUGAUUUUUCUAGGAUACUAGGGAGCUUGUGGAUACCUUCGUUCGGCGAAACGAAGAAGCCGAUUUUUGGUGGGUUUGACUUCAUGAAAAUAGGGCAAAAUGGUCCCUAUGCCUUCUAAACUUUUGUAAAGUAUUUUUGAAUGUAAAUUCAUGCUGAAUAUGACUCAUGUGAAUUUUAGAACACUUAACAUGCAUGUCUCAUAUAUUGUAAAAUUUGUACUCUAUAUAGUAGAGCUAUAUGUGUAGAUUGCAUGCAUUGUGGAUAGUGCUUGGUUUUGCAAGUUGAGAACAUGUCUCCAUGCUAGAGUUGAGUGAAUUAUGCAUCAUGAACAUAUUAAUGCCAUGCUUGGAACUCGUUGAACAAAAGUGUCAUCAAGGGGCACUAAAUAGUGAACUGUUUAACUGCAAAUAGAGACAUGUUGAUAGGCCACUACAUAUCUGCUACAUUCCAUAUUAGAGACAUGAUGACAUAGAGAUAGGCCAUUGAGAUAUUUGAUAUAUUCCAUGUUAUUAGACAUGAGGACUUGGUACUUGAGCGGAUCAUUGCUUGUUUGCCAUUGUGCUCAUUCGCACAUACUUGUGAGGGUCGCUCCCUACAAGCCGGCACUCCGGAGAUAGCCAUCGCGACAUAUGCUCGCCCGUGCGCGGAUUGGGCGCCGAAGUGGAUUGCCGUGGGGGAGGCUCAUCCCUAGAGUGGGGAUGUUGACUACACGGGGCCAUUAGGCACGGCGCAGGCCAGACAGCCUUCGGGUGGUCUUAUAUGAUUGGGACUUAGUGACAGAACGUGCUAUGUGAAUUUUAAAACUACUAAGUGGACUUGCGACUAGAAUAGAAACAAUGACAUCUUAUAUAUUUUGAAUUGAGAACAUUGAUUAGUUGCAUUCUACGCUUAUGCGUCAUACACAUCAACGUACAUUCAUGAUAUAGUUGCUUUAUUACUAUCAAAUCAUGGUAAGUGGAGGACUCUAUGUUAUAGUAAGUUACGUUUUACUUACCUUAUUAUUAUUGCAUUGUUAGUCACUGACCUCUUCUUGUAGCUUUUGGGCCUUGUGGCGCAGUUCACUGAAGUCAGUAAUUGCCCACUGGGAACUAUUUUCAAUAGUUCUCACGCCCCUGUUUUAUGGUUUACUUUUCAGAGCCUUCGGCACCGGCGGAGGCACGGGAUCGCGGCAAGGGGAUCGCAUAGCUAGUUAGCGAUGAGCAGAUCUUUGCCUAGGUGGUUUACUCUUUCUUUAUGUAGUUGAGAGAGAGAGAUUUUUGUAUCCAUGUAUAGAGACCACCUAUGUAUCUACCUAUAGCACUUGUAUCUGGGCUUUCCUUGUAUCCCCUUAUGUUUUACUUAGUGGAUUUACAGUUUUAUCCUUAUUCCUUGUUGUAGCAUUUAGACAUUUAUUAUGCUCUGAUACUCCUAGAUGUCUUUUAUUAUUACUUUUGUUAUUGUUGUUUUUAGAUGCCUUAUGCGUUUUAGACGUAUGGCGGGUCUGGGCACGUGCCGGGCGGGCUUCCGCUAGGUCCCGUGGCGUGACACUCCGCCUCCUCGAAGGUUGCCGCGUUGUCCGCUCCAACAGACUUAGGGCGUGCAGUCGGCAUCAUCACAUCAACAUCGUAAAAGCGCAAGUUAAUAAGACCCACGUUAUCGCAACCUCGCUCAAAUACCAAUGCCCAAAUCAUGCGAAAGUAAGGAAGUAUCUUAUAGUACUAACUCCCGAUGUUAUGUUGUCGCUGUCAACGUAACCCUCCGCGAAGUUAGAAGCCAUACACUUCAAUCGAACUCCAACUUUUGGAGUUAUCAAAAAAACCCAAUCAUGAUACUUUCGCUUACAAAUCAAAUAGGCCUCGUCCCUCACGAGUCUAAUUCCUAUAGUCCAACCGGCCUAAGGUUCACUAGGUCCACUAAGACUCAACCCUAGGCUUUGAUACCAAAUUAAUCUGGCACGCCCCGACGACUAGGCAUAGGCCCGCCCGGUGCGUGCCCAGACCCACCAUAUGCCUGCACAUAUAAGGCGUCUACUAUAAAAGCGAUAAAUAACCUGUGAUACAAACAUCUAGAGAUAUCAGAGCGAGUAUACAACUAAGUUCUAACAACAAGUAGAGUCGAAAGAGAACUAAACAACUAAAGCAUAAAGUAAACUAAUACAUCAUAAAUCUCAAGAUACACAAUAGGGUGGUCUCUAUAACCAGGUAAACUAAUGCAUAGCAAUUAUGUUCUAUCAUGGCUACUAAGUAUAAUAUGAUGCAACAGGUAAUAUUAUGAAGUAUACUAUAUGUCCCAAAGUACAACACAUAUCUAGUAUGUACUAUCAUGGCAAUUAAGGGUACCACAAUUCCCAAUGUCAACUGAAUCCAACUACAAUAUACAAUCAAGUAGUGCUUAUCACUUAUUGUUUACUGUUCUAGUCAAUGUCCACAUAGAAUGUCACUACUUUAAGGUUCCAAUCUUGUAAGACCCGCCCGUAGGCUGUCUGGACUGAAGACCCACCCGUAGGCUGUCUGGCCUGUGCCGUGCCUAAUGGCCCCGUGGUAGUCAACAUCCCCACUCUAGGAAUGAGCCUCCCCCACGGCAUCCCACUUCGGCGCCCAAUCUCGCACGAGCGAGCAUGUGUCGCGAUGGCUAUCUCCGAAGUGCCGGCUUGUGGGGAGCGACCCUCACAAGCAUUUGCGAAUGAGCACAAUUAGCAAGUAAGCGUAUAAGUCCGUCUCAAAUCCCAAGUCUUCAUGUCUAAAAUAUGGAAUGUAGCAUAUGUCUCAGUGGCCUGUCACUAUGUCAUCAUGUCUAAAACAUGAAAAUACUCACUAGCAACCCAUAGGUCUAGUCUAUGCCUCGAGUGAAGGUUUACUAAGUUCACUAUGUCCAAUGCCUCUUUAUGGCAUUAUCUCCUUAUGUCCAAAACCAUUCCAAGCUUAAUGCCGCUUUAUGACAUUAGCUUACUAAAUCCAUCUCUAGUCCAAGCCUAAUGCCGCUUUAUGACAUUAGCUUACAAUUUACAUACACUCUAGCAUAUGUCACUCAAUGACAAUAUGUCCAACCAUGCCAAGCAUGCGUUCUAAGUCCAAGAGUAUAAUCUACAUGUCAUAUGCACUACAUGCAACAUGAUCUCAAUCAAAUGUAAGAAUGCUAACCAUAUGCAAGGUUCCAAAUAUGAACAGUUCUCUACUACAUAGCGGUCCAAUGUACAUUAUACAUAACAUGCACAUAUUAAGGAUUUAAAAAUUCUCAAAUAUUCUAUCUAGUAAGAAUAUGUAUGCAUUUUUAUUUUACGAAAAGUAAAAACCAUCAUAAGGAUGAUUUAUCCCAUUUUGGUGAGGCCAAACCUACCGAGAGUUCCACGCGGCCUUCGUUUGCGCCGACGAAAGUGCCCACAAGCUUCCUAGCUCCCUAAAGGUUAAAGUAGGAGCGAUACAUGAAUGUUACGAACAACGAAUAUGUUAAACAUUAACCAACUCAAUAAAAGGGCCAAAAACUCACCUAUAGUGAAGAAAUCCCUUCACAAGCUCCAAAUGGGAGAUAGAACCCUUCCAAUCCAACCUAAAGGGAGGUUCUAAACCGAUCAAUCGAGCUCCAAAAGCCCUAGGUCAAAAAUUUCCAAAAUAAACCCUAAAUCCUCAUUUAUAGGGCUACAACAAGAAGACCAUCAAAACACAAAUCAAGAGGUGAGAAUAAGCUUCUAACCUCUUGAGAAGCCUCAAACCAAGUUCAAAGUCCACUAGGUAUGGAGAUCUUCCUCCAAACAAGCCUCAAACUCAAGAUCCAAGCUUCAACAAUGGUGAAAAAUGCUCUAGAAGGCAAAAGAGAGCAAAAACCACAUAAAAAUCAAGAAAAAGAAAGAUCAAAUCCAUGGAGAGGUAAAGAAGACUCACUCACCUUGUUUCCUCUGAGUUCUAGGCUCAGGAAACCAAAGGGGGGGCAUGGGUGGUAAUAUAGAAGGCCACAAUCGCAAAAACAUCCCCGCAGUUCGAACCUUUCAGAUUCUGCCAAAGUCUACCGGUGCACGGGAAAGUGUACCGGUACAAAAUCCUAUACACGCAAACCCGAGGCUCGAGUUGGCAGAAAAUAAUCUUCUGUACCGGUACAACCAUCAAAGUGUACCGGUACAAAAUGUGUUCCGGUACAACCAUCAAGGCUGUACUGGUACACAGCCCUGCUAAGGUUAAUCCGAGAGCAAACCAAAUAUCCAUCUUUUUGGGUUUUAGUGCAAAAUUUUAAUCCACAAAUUUCGGGAUACGAGCCAUAUGUCGGAACACUGUCGACGACCCUCUAGGAUAUCUGGAAAAACUCGAAACAUAGAUUAAACACUCGAACCUUGCCAUUUGCGAAAGUCCAGUGUGUUACACUUACUUAAUUUAGACCUAAACUCAUGCCUCAAUUCAGCUUGUUAAAGAGGUGAGGAUAAUGCUCCCGCAUUGCACUCUCGAGCUCCCAAGUAGCUUCCCGAUCAUUGUGAUUGCACCAAUGAAUCUUAACAUACGGAAUCUCGCGAUUUCGUAGUUUUCUUACUUCUCGAUCGAUGAUGUAUGCCGGGAACUCUUCAUAGGUCAUGUCCUCUUGGAUCCCGGAUGGUUCAAACGACGGGACAUGCUCGGGGUCGUGAAUGUACUUGCGGAGAUUCGAUACAUGGAACACGUCGUGUACUCCCGCAAGCCUCGAUGGUAAUGCUAUUUUGUACGCCACCGCACUGACCCGCUCCAAUACCUCAAACGGUCCGAUGUACCGAGGACUUAGCUUCCCCCGGAGCCCAAACCGUCUAAUUCCUCGCAUCGGCGAUAUCUUUAAGAACACGUGGUCUCCAACGGCAAAUUCUAUAUUCUUCCUCCAUCUGUCGACAUAGCUCUUUUGCCCAGAUUGCUCCGUAGUGAGUCUUUGGCGGGCUAGGCGAACUUUCUCCUCUGCUUCCCGCACUACAUCGUGGCCGAGAGCUGCUCUCUCGCCCGCGUCGCUCCAAUGGAUUGGAGAACGACACUUCUUUCUAUAAAGGGCCUCGAAUGGUGCCAUCGCGAUACUCUCUUGGUAGCGGUUAUUGUACGCGAACUCCGCCAUUGGUAGAUGAUCGUGCCAACUACCCUUGUAGUCCAGUACACACACUUGGAGCAUAUCCUCAAGUAUUUGUAUCAUCCUUUCCGAUUGACCAUCACUUUGAGGAUGAAAUGUCGUGCUAAAAUUGAGCCGUGUGCCCAAAGCCUCCUGUAGACUCCUCCAAAAGUGAGAGGUGAACCUCGGGUCCCGAUCUGAUACAAUAGACACUGGUACCCCGUGAAGUCUCACAACCUCGUCAAUAUAUAGUUGAACCAACUUGUCCCACGACCAUGUAAUAUGAAUCGGUAAGAAAUGCGCCGACUUCGUCAACCGGUCUACAAUUACUCAAAUUGCAUCGUGUCCACCUUGAGAUCGAGGCAACCCGGUCACGAAGUCCAUUGCGAUAUUUUCUCAUUUCCAAACGGGUAUAGGUAGGCUUUGUAAUUUUCCCGCCGGAAAUCGUCGCUCCGCUUUUACUUGUUGGCAAGUAAGACAUUACGCAACGAAUUCCCCAAUGUCUUUCUUCAUGCCCGGCCACCAAUAGUGCAUCUUCAAAUGUUGAUACAUUUUGGUGCCGCCCGGGUGUAUACUAUAUGGAGAUUGAUGCGCUUCUUGCAUAAUCGCCCUGUGGAUGUCCUUGUUCUUGGGCACAAACCAACAGUUUCUAAACCGGAGUGCGCCGUUGGUCCCAAUGUCAAAAUCAUCGGCACUACCGCUCUCAACUUCACCGCACACCUUUUGGAGAUACUCAUCGAAAGCUUGCAGCUCUUUUAUCCUCUCCAACAAGGUCGGUUGCACCACUAACGGGCAAGUGUAGCCGGCACUCCCGGCUCCACUACUUCCAAACCAAGCCGUUGCAUCUCCUUUUACAAUAAUAGUAAUUGCCGAAGCCAGAUUUUUUUUCGAUUUUCUACUAAGUGCAUCGGCUACAACAUUUGCCUUCCCGGGGUGGUAUAGAAUAGUAACAUCACAGUCUUUAAACAAUUCUAACCACCGCCGCUGUCGCAUGUUUAGCUCCUUUUGGGUGAACAAGCAUUUAAGACUUUUAUGAUCCGUAUAGCCCUCACAAUGUUCCCCGUAUAAGUAAUGCUUCCAUAACUUUAGCGCGAAAAUAACCGCCGCUAGCUCAAGAUCGUGAAUCGGGUAAUUCUUCUCAUGAGUCUUCAAUUGGCGCGAAGCAUAUGCUAUAACUCGGCCGUUUUGCAUCAAGACACACCCGAGUUCAACGUAGGAAGCAUCACUAUAUACCACAAAGGUCUCCCCCGGCGUCGGUAGAGCAAGCACCGGGGUCGUGGUCAAUCUUUCUUUUAAUUCCUCAAAGCUCCGCUCGCAUUCGGGGCUCCAAACAUACUUUACCCCUUUGCGUGUAAGGCGUGUUAGUGGAAUAGUUAUUUUAGCAAACCCCUCCAUGAACCGCCGGUAGUAGCCCGCUAGCCCAAGAAAACUGCGGACCUCCGAUACACUCGUCGGGCGAGACCAAUCCUUAAUUGCCUCUAAUUUCCUUGGAUCCACCGAGAUACCAUCGCCCGAAAUUACAUGACCAAAGAAAGUGACCUCCGAUAGCCAAAAGUCGCAUUUCUUCAACUUGGCAUAUAACUUCUCUUUUCGGAGUAUUUCCAACACAGUCCUCAAGUGCUCCUCGUGUUCCUCCUCGGUCCGGAAAUACACCAAUACGUCGUCAAUGAAUACCACGACGCACCGGUCCAAUAACGGACGGAAGACUCUAUUCAUUAAGUCCAUGAACGUCGCCGGGGCGUUAGUAAGUCCAAACGGCAUCAUCGUGAACUCAUAAUGGCCAUACCGCGUACGGUACACCGUCUUGUGCACAUCCUCGGGCCGUAUCAUCAAUUGAUGAUAUCCCGAUUGUAGAUCAAUUUUAGAAUAUACCUUUGACCCUUGCAACUGAUCGAAUAGAUCGUCAAUUCUAGGCAACGGGUAUUUAUUCUUGAUCGUUACUUUAUUCAAUUCGCGAUAGUCAACGCACAGUCGAAGUGUGCCAUCCUUCUUUUUAACAAAUAGUACCGGGGCUCCCCAGGGUGACGCGCUCUGCCUCACAAAGCCUUUGUCGAGCAAAUCUUGCAACUGUGCCCUAAGCUCCUUUAGCUCCAUCGGUGCCAUUCUAUACGGAGCCUUCGAAAUUGGAGCCACCCCGUGUACCAAGUCAAUAACGAACUCGAUCUCCCGGUCCGGUGGCAAACCCGGUAACUCCUCCGGAAAUACAUCCGGAAACUCACACGCCACCCGAAUACCACUAAGUUCCGGGUGCUCCUUCUGAGCUUCUACCACUGUCACCAAAUAGGCCUCACAACCACCUUUUAUCAUUUUCCUCACCUGUGCCGCCGACACGGUCGCAGCAAAGAGCGAGCUUUUAGAUGCCUGGUAUACUAGCUCCUCUCGAUUAGGCUCACGAAAUGUGAUCACCUUACUUUCGCAAUCUAUCACAGCAUAAUACUUGGAGAGCCAGUUGGUCCCCAAGAUCACGCCGAAACCCCACAUUCGAUUCAAUACCAACAGGUCGAUUGGCACGACCCAAUCACCUAUACGCACUCGGCACGCUACACACUCUUCGUGAACAUGGAAAGUAUGCUCGACCGAAUUUAUCGUCCAAUAGUCAUAAUGAUGGACGAUUUUAAUGCCAUGAGUCCUAGCGAAUGAUGCAUUUAUGAAUUGAAAGUUUUGAGUAGCCCGAGGAUCUAUCUAGAUUGUAUCUAUCACCUAGAGGGGGGUGAAUAGGUGAACGGCCAAAAAACCACAAAUCUCGAUGCAAUAAAAAUAAAUGCGGAAAAUAAAAAGCACACCGAGAUUUACGUGGGAAAACUCCAACUUGGAGAAAAACCCACGGGACCAACACGCGAAAAAACAAUUCACUAAGANCUCCACCUGAGUGGCAAAAAUCCGCCCACUCGGUGCCCUCGAUGCCUCCGGCUGACACGAUGAAGACGAGCGUCCAGCCGACAUAGCCGGCAGUAACCCCGCCUGCUGUCUCGGGGUAUAAGGAACUGAUGUCGAGGUCGGUGCAGAUGAACCCCAGCUAGGGCACUCUCGUGACAUAUGCCCAGGUUGGCCACACUUGAAGCAUUUUCCCUCCCGCUGCGGGCAUGUCGGCGGUUGAUGGUUACCGCCGCAAAUAACACAACGAGAUGGCCUCCAACUCCUCGACUGCGGUCGGGGAUACCGAGGGGGUUUCCUAGCAUUUGGCCGACCCCCGGUGCCACCCGCCGCCUGCUUCUUGCUCUUCUCCUUUGCUUGGGCUGCGGACUCGCGCUCCUUGCGUUCGUGGGCAUAGCCAUGCUCCGCCCACAAAGCCCGAUCAAAGACCUCCGCAAAGGUCGCGAGCUUAAGAAUUUGCACGGCCCUAUGAAUCCCCGACCGCAAUCCUCGUAGGAACCAGUCUGCUCGGUCCCGGUCAUCCCUAACAACAUCCGGGACGCAGUCAAUGAGGUGGGAGAACUCUUGCUCGUAGUCUGUUACCGAGCGAUCUCCUUGCCUCAACUUGCGGAAUCUCUCCUGCAACUUCCGCUUCACUGUAUUAGGGAAGUAGUUGGUGAACACCGCCCUCCGGAACUCCUCCCACAACAUAGGCGGAAGAUCGGGUGAUCGGUCCCGCUUAACACGCUUCCACAACACCUUUGCCGCCUUCUCAAGGCAAUGUGUGGCGAGGUACACCUUGUCCUUCUCCAAGGUGUUAAGAUCCUCGAAAAGUGCUUCCAUGGAGUCGAUCCAGGACUCCACCGCCGGUUCCACCACCCCCCCUUGGUAGGUGGGUUGAACUUCUGGAACUGAAUGAGAGCCACCAACACGCGCUCCCACUCCGCCUCCUUUGCCGCACUAUCGGGAUUUGAGGUCCCGAAUCCAGCCGGCACCAUUGUAACUGGCACGGCCGCCACAGCCACACCCUCGGCCGCACUCGGCACCACUGCAGGAGGCACAGGGUGCACAGCCUCCACGGGCGCCGCCGCCGCCACCUGCUGCCGCUCCAAGGCCUCCUGGAGCCUUCGGAUUUGCUCCCCUUGGAGCUGAACGGAUUCCGCCUAGUGUUGUACGGAUUCCGCCUACUGCCGCACUACGCCAAUAAGCGCGGCAAUCUGCUCCCGAAGCUCCCCGUCGCCACCUGCUCCGGGUUGCACGGGAGUCGCACUUGGCUCCUCGGCCAUAGACCUCGUCCGCGGUCGACCACUAGGCAACUUAGGUCGUCCAUGAGGCGGCAUUGCUUCCUGAAGUGAAGCAAUUCACAUUAGUUACUUAGACAAUGUACUCGAUUAUACCCAAUCCGGCGAAAGCAUACAAGUGCAUUUAUUUUCCUUCCAAAGCAUCAUGUCGUCGGCCGCCGAUCACAACACAAGGAAAAGAAAAGAAAUAACAACUUAAAUUUAGCCCCUAACCACAUUAGAGAUAUAUUAACAUUAACCCAAUCAAAAGCUUUCGCUAUUGUUUUGAUUUCAUGUCGCUCACAUUUCCUAGAUUCUUAAGGUUUUCCAUUCCUAAGGGUCUCUAGGUGUAGUAUACUGAACUUAUGUACAUUGCGAAGUUCGAGUAAAGGGAAUAAUAUUUGGAACCUUCCCGCAUGUUAUAAAGAGUUUAAAGUUAUUUAUGAGUAAGUCUGAGAGUGAUCGGAGUGUGGGAAGCGAGAAAGUGCCUUGUAAUAUCGAACUGGGCCUUUUCUGCAUUGGUGUACCAGUAUAAGCAUGAUGCUGUACCGGUACAGCAAGCAGUAGAGGCAGCAGCUGCGUGGCAAUCAGGCCAUUUUGGUCUUUUGGCAUCUUAUGCUUAUCUACUUGAUCCAGCACGACCCCAGGAGCUCUGUAGAAGUUGCUGGAGCUCAGAGCAAGCUUCUUCCCCUUCUUCCUCCUUCUCUCUCUAGGGUUUUUCUCUCUCUACNUAGGGAUCGUGGCAAGGGAGUCGCGCCUAGCUAGGCACUACUAGGAGCGUGCUAGUCGAUCACCUUGUUACUCGGGCUACGGCCGAUGGUGAUGUCCUUAUGUAUAGAGAGACUACCAUUGUACCUACUUUUUGUAUACCCAGUACUGUAUAUCUACUGUAUGAAUCAGAUACUUUAGUUGUGAUACUCAUCUUUUGGUUGAGAUUUCUGGACUAUACUCCUUUGCUCUAUUGUUCAUAGUAUUGUUGACUGGUACUUUGCUCUGAUAUCGGGAUAGAAUUUUCUAUGAUCUUCUUCUUAUCGACUUGCUUGGUUGUAGACGCCUUAUAUACUGCAGGUGUAUGGCGGGUCUGUGCACGUACCGGUUAUGCUUCCACUGGUACUCGGGCGUGACCCUAGGUCCAUCCUAUAUUUUCACUUUUUGGCUCUUUUCUGCUCUGAUACUAUCUUAUCUGUCACACCCCGAGCCGGAUCCUUUUAGCCAAUUCGAGAGCGUCAAACAGACGCCGAACGGACAGAGCCUCCCCUGUCCGCCCAAGCCUCCACAACAUGUAUCAAUAGGAUAAAAAUUUGCAUAAGCGAAAGCAUACACAAUGGCUUGCACGGGGGCAAGCAAUUUCUUGUGUUUUGGCUCAUUUUGAUCUCCUCCCUUUACUCUUCUUUGCUUUUGGUUGGGGUACCUCCUUGAAGAGAGUACUAGAGUGAGGAUUGGAGCUUGUGGAAAGGAAGAACUUUAACCCUAGCUUACUUGCAAACUUGGUGUGGAGCUUUAGAGAGGUUAAUAAGCCUAAUCUAUUUCUUGAUUCAUGUUUUAGUAGCUUUUACUAAAUGAAACCCUAGAAUUAGAACUUAGGAUUUAUUUUGGGGAUUUUGGAUUGGAUGCUCUUGGAACCAAAUUGAUUGGUUUAGAACCUUUGUUUAGGUUGGAUUAGAGAGCCUCUAACUCGCUUUUGGAGAUCGAGAAAAGUUUCUUCGCAUUCGGUGAGUUUUCUUCACCUUUGCUUUAGUUGCUUAAUAUUUGAGCAAUGGGUUGUUCGUAACGUUCGUGUAUCUCUCUUUUCUAUACCUUUAGUGUAGCACACUGGACCUUUGCAAAUUGCGAGGUUCGAGUGUUCGAUUUGUAUUCCGAACUUUCCCACACUUGGUGGAGGGCCGUCGAUGGUAUACCGGCCUAAAAGUUCGAUCUCGAGAGUUUUGGCUGAGUCCUGAGAGUUUUUACUCUCGGGGACCGGUCCCUGAUAGGAGAGACCGGUCCCCCAGUGAACAGUGCUGCGCAGCCGGCGAGGCAACCGGUCCCUAGCAGUCUAGACCGGUCCCCGAGCGCGUCUUCGCGGGGAGAGACCGGUCCCGCGCAGGGAGAGACCGGUUCCCGAACGUUGGAUUUUCGGGGGCAGGCUGAGAGACCGGUCCCAGGUCGGGGAGACCGGUCCCUCUGGGCGAAAACUGCCCAGACCGGGCUGAUGUAAAUUUGAGUUUUUGAGGGGCCUAUGUGGAUUUUGUUACUUUAGAGGCUAUAAGCAGCCUCUCCUCCCCUCUCACUCUCAUUUUCUCUCCCUCACACUCUUCCUACACUUCUAGAGAGAGAAAGGGAAGGAGAAGAAGGAGAAGAAGAGGAGAAGGAGCUUGCAUAGAGGCCUUGGAGCAUCAUCUUCUUCCUCAUUUCUCACCUUUGGUGGCUUUGAACUUGCGGUUGGAGCUUUGUGGAGGAUCAAACUUCAACCCUACUUGGUUUUGAGCUUGGAUUGGAGCUUCUCUUGAGGUUGGUAGCUUGUAAUCCCCAUUUGAUACAUGCUUUCCUAGGUUUUACUAGAUGAAACCCUAGAUUUUGGGAUUUAGGGUUUAUUUUGGGGGUUUUUGAAUUUGGGGGCUUUGGAACCAAAUUGAUGGGUUUAGAACCUUUGUUUAGGUUAGAUUGGAAGGACUCUAACUCCCAUUUGGAGAUCGUGAGAGCCUUCUUCGCAAUCGGUAAGUUUUCUCCAACCCUAGCUUGAGGAGCUUAAUGAUUGAGCUAUUUGCUCUUCGUUUCGUUUGGGUGACCCUAUUUUUGAUGUUUCUAGGGUACUAGGAAGCUUGUGGAUACCUUCGUUCGGCGAAACGAAGAAGUCGAUUUUGGUGGGUUUGACUUCAUGAAAAUGGGGCAAAAUGGCCCCUAUGCCUUCUAAACUUUUUGUAAAGUAUUUUUGAAUGCAAAUUCAUGCUAAACAUGAUUUAUAUGAAUUUUAGAACACUUAACAUGCAUGCCUCAUGUAUCGUAAAAUUUGUACUCCAUAUAGUAGAGCUAUAUGUGUAGAUUGCAUGCAUUGUGGAUAGUGCUUGGUUUUGCAAGUUGAGAACAUGUCUCCAUGCUAGAGUUGAGUGAAUUAUGCAUCAUGAACAUAUUAAUGCCAUGCUUGGAACUCGUUGAACAAAAGUGUCAUCAAGGGGCACUUGAAACUAGUAAACUAUUAAACUGCAACAUAGAGACAUGUUGAUAGGCCACUACAUAUCUGCUACAUUCCAUGUUAGAGACAUGAUGACAUAGAGAUAGGCCAUUGAGAUACUUGAUAUAUUCCAUGUUGUUAGACAUGAGGACUUGGUUCUUGAGACGGAUCAUUGCUUGCUUGCCAUUGUGCUCAUUCGCACAUGCUUGUGAGGGUCGCUCCCUACAAGCCGGCACUCCGGAGAUAGCCAUCGCGACAUAUGCUCGCCCGUGCGGGAUUGGGCGCCGAAGUGGAUUGCCGUGGGGGAGGCUCAUCCCUAGAGUGGGGAUGUUGACUACCACGGGGCCAUUAGGCACGGCGCAGGCCAGACAGCCUUCGGGUGGGUCUUAUAUGAUUGGGACUUAGUGACAGGACGUGCUAUGUGAACUUUAAAACUAUUAAAGUGGACUUGGACUAGAAUAGUAAACAAUGACACCUUUGCUAUUUCUGCAUUGAGGACAUCAGAUUAAUUGCAUUUCUAUGCUUAUGCAUGUCAUACACACCCAUGUACAUUCAUGAUAAUGUUGCUCUAUUACAUAUGCAAUUCAUGCUAAGUAGAGACUGUAUGUUACAGUAAGUUACAUUUUACUUACCUUUCGCUUUGCUACUUUUAUAGUCACUGACAUCUUUUGUAGCUUUGGGCCUCGUGGUGCAUUCACUGAAGUCAGUAAUUGCCCACUGGGAACUAUUUUUAAUAGUUCUCACGCCCCUGUUUUAUGGUUUACUUUUCAGAGCCUUCGGCACCGGCGGAGGCACGGGAUCGCGGCAAGGGGAUCGCUUAGCUAGCUAGCAAGGAGCGGUACUUCGCCUGGGUAGUUUACUCUUUCUUUUGUAGUUGAGAGAGUGAGAGGUUUUGGUAUCCAUGUAUAGAGACCACCUAUGUAUCUACCUAUAGCACUUGUAUCUGGGAUUUUCUUAUAUCACUUUAUGUUUUAUUUAGUGGAUUCACAGUUUUAUCCUUAUCCCUUGUUGUAGCAUUUAGACAUUUAUUAUGCUCUGAUACUCCUAGAUGUCUUUUAUUAUUGCUUUUAAUUAUUGUUGUUUUUAGACGUCUUAUACGUUUUAGAUGUAUGGCGGGUCUGGGCACGCGCCGGGCGGGCUUUCGCUGGGUCCCGGGGUGUGACAUUUAGGGUGCUAGGAGAGUAGUGAGCAACUUUGUUCGGCGAAACGAAAGGUUGCGAGAGUCACGGUGGGUUUGACUUCAUGAAAUAGGGGAGAAAUAUUCCCUAUGUGUUUUAUCCUUGUCGUUUCAUCGAGAUGCAUACAUAUUCAUGCUAGAUAAGAUUUUUAUGAAUUUUAGAAUACUUAAAAUGCAUGUGUUAUAUAUCAUGAAAAUUCAACUCUAUAUAGUAUAGUCAUAUGUGUAUUCUGCAUGCAUGUGAAAAGUAUUCUAUAUUGCAAGUUAGGGAUAUGUCUCAUAUGAUGAAAGAACUAGAAUUGUGUACUCUUGAACUCCUAACUCAUGUUUGGACAAAGUGAACAAAAGUGCCAUAUAGGGGCACCGACUUAGUAAACUGUGAAACUGCAACAUAGAGACAUAGUGACAGGCCAUUUGGACAUCGACUAUAUUUCAUGUUUUAGGCAUGAUGAUAUAGUGAUAGGCCAUUUAGACACUUGCUUUAUUCCAUAUUUUAGACAUGAUGACUUGAGACUUGAGACGUACCUUUACGCUUGCUUGCCAUUGUGCUCAUUAUCACAUGCUUGUGAGGGUCGCUUCUCACAAGCCGGCACUCCGGAGAUAGCCAUCGCGACACAUGCUCGCCGUGCGGGAUUGGGCACCGAAAUGGAAUGUAAUACACUGGAUCUUAGCAAAUGGCAAGAUUCGAGUGUUUGAUCUGUGUGUGGAGCCUUUCCAUAGUUUUUGGAGGGUCCUUGAUAGUGUUCCGACCCCUGGCGCGCUUCCCGAGGAUGUUGGAGUGAGACUUGGCACCAAAAUCCCAAAAUUGGAAUUUAUGGUCAGCUCUCGGGUAGCCUGCAGCAGGGCUUGUACCGGAACAAGACUGGUCUUGUACCGGUACAAGGGUUGAUGGUUGUACCGGUACAGCCAUCGGGCUUGUACCGGUACAGAGCCGCAGACCGCGCGACCCGAGCCUCGGGUUUGCAUUUUCGUCGGCCUUGUACCGGUACAAGAACCCGUGUACCGGUACAAGGAGGCAGAUUUCGUGCAGAAUGAAACUGCAGGGGGUUUUGUGCGUUUGUAGCCUUUCAUUAGGUACGCUCGCCUAGGGAUCCCUGAAGGGAACCUGGAGGGGGAAAUGGUGAGGAAGCCCUCACACCUUCCUUUGUGACUUUCUUUGAUUUGGUUGGUGGUUUGUAAGGAGAAUUACACCUUCCUUUUUGCUCCUUUGCUUGUUGGAAGCUUUCCCACCAUGGAGCUUGAUUUUGACUUGCAUAUGAGUGAUUUGGGACUUGGAUAGUUUUUUGAGCUUUGGAUUGAAGCUUUAAGAGGUAAGCACAUGUUCUCUCCUCUAUCAAGUNNNNNNNNNNNNNNNNNNNNNNNNNNNNNNNNNNNNNNNNNNNNNNNNNNNNNNNNNNNNNNNNNNNNNNNNNNNNNNNNNNNNNNNNNNNNNNNNNNNNNNNNNNNNNNNNNNNNNNNNNNNNNNNNNNNNNNNNNNNNNNNNNNNNNNNNNNNNNNNNNNNNNNNNNNNNNNNNNNNNNNNNNNNNNNNNNNNNNNNNNNNNNNNNNNNNNNNNNNNNNNNNNNNNNNNNNNNNNNNNNNNNNNNNNNNNNNNNNNNNNNNNNNNNNNNNNNNNNNNNNNNNNNNNNNNNNNNNNNNNNNNNNNNNNNNNNNNNNNNNNNNNNNNNNNNNNNNNNNNNNNNNNNNNNNNNNNNNNNNNNNNNNNNNNNNNNNNNNNNNNNNNNNNNNNNNNNNNNNNNNNNNNNNNNNNNNNNNNNNNNNNNNNNNNNNNNNNNNNNNNNNNNNNNNNNNNNNNNNNNNNNNNNNNNNNNNNNNNNNNNNNNNNNNNNNNNNNNNNNNNNNNNNNNNNNNNNNNNNNNNNNNNNNNNNNNNNNNNNNNNNNNNNNNNNNNNNNNNNNNNNNNNNNNNNNNNNNNNNNNNNNNNNNNNNNNNNNNNNNNNNNNNNNNNNNNNNNNNNNNNNNNNNNNNNNNNNNNNNNNNNNNNNNNNNNNNNNNNNNNNNNNNNNNNNNNNNNNNNNNNNNNNNNNNNNNNNNNNNNNNNNNNNNNNNNNNNNNNNNNNNNNNNNNNNNNNNNNNNNNNNNNNNNNNNNNNNNNNNNNNNNNNNNNNNNNNNNNNNNNNNNNNNNNNNNNNNNNNNNNNNNNNNNNNNNNNNNNNNNNNNNNNNNNNNNNNNNNNNNNNNNNNNNNNNNNNNNNNNNNNNNNNNNNNNNNNNNNNNNNNNNNNNNNNNNNNNNNNNNNNNNNNNNNNNNNNNNNNNNNNNNNNNNNNNNNNNNNNNNNNNNNNNNNNNNNNNNNNNNNNNNNNNNNNNNNNNNNNNNNNNNNNNNNNNNNNNNNNNNNNNNNNNNNNNNNNNNNNNNNNNNNNNNNNNNNNNNNNNNNNNNNNNNNNNNNNNNNNNNNNNNNNNNNNNNNNNNNNNNNNNNNNNNNNNNNNNNNNNNNNNNNNNNNNNNNNNNNNNNNNNNNNNNNNNNNNNNNNNNNNNNNNNNNNNNNNNNNNNNNNNNNNNNNNNNNNNNNNNNNNNNNNNNNNNNNNNNNNNNNNNNNNNNNNNNNNNNNNNNNNNNNNNNNNNNNNNNNNNNNNNNNNNNNNNNNNNNNNNNNNNNNNCACGGGAUCGCGGCAAGGGUGUCGCGUAGCUAGCUCGCGGAGAGUUCUUUUGCGAUAGGUGGUUACUCCUCUAUUUUAUAUUUUGUGAGAGAGGGAGAGAUUUUGUACCUUGUAUAGAGAGACCACCUUAUACUCCUUUUGGCACUUGUUAUGGGAUUCCUGUUGUAUUUACUUUAUGUUUUAUUUAGUGAAUUUACCGUUUUAUCCUUAUUUCUUGUGGUAGCAUUUAGACAUUCUUUAUGCUCUGAUACUCCUAGAUGUCUUUUAAUAUUGCUUUUAUUAUUGUUGUUGUUAGACGCCUUAUGCGUUUUAGACGCAUGGCGGGUCUGGGCACGUGCCGGGCGGGCUUCCGCUGGGUCCCGGGGCGUGACAAGAUCUCUCUCUAGAAAUUUGAGGGUUGGUGGAGAGUGAACUUGCGAACGCGUUGGGAGCGAUGGAUUGAGCUUUCGUGCACCCGUUGGAGCGGCGUGCUUUCGUCGCGGCAUUCACAUUUUGGUAAGCUUUUGGGAUUUUGUUUAAAUCCUUCAUGAAUGAUGUUCUAAUAGUAUCUAGAGUGUUCUAAACAUGUUUUCUUCAUUUAAUUAGGAUUAUUUGGAGGAUAUUUGCACGUUAGGGCUCCGAAUGGGGUUUUGUAAAAUAGUUGGGUUUGAUCUCAUUUGACCCUCCGUAAACUUAAUUGCUAGGUAAACGAACGCGUUGGCGAAGUCGGUUUGGCGAAUCGUCGAGCCGGUGCGAAGUUAUUAAAGAAACGGACGUUUAGGCUUCAUUUCCGCCUGAAGGGCCGAGGCGACAUCGUAAAAUCAUGGAAACAGAUUUGGAGCACCGUAACAACAAAGCGAAGACCCUUUUUGCCCGAGGCUAUGAAGCAAUGCGCGGUUGGUGAGGAAUUUCAAAUUCGGGCCGAACCGGGCACCGGGUGCCGCGGGAGGCCGAUUGCAAGUGUCGACAAGCAAUCGGAACGCGAAACGAGGUGGGUUGUGCUUACCGAAGCGACUAGGUCGCCUACAUGUCAAAGUGGAGUUCCAUUUCAUUGUUGAUGCAUAUGUGUAUGCUGGUAGUAAUAUGAGAAUUUAUGCUAAGAUGAUACUUGCAUAUAGAUGCAUUGAAAAUACAUGUUGGAUAAAAUGCAUAAUGACAUAGAUUAGAAAUGCUAAAUGAAAUGCAUGAUUGCAUGUUAGUAUAAAUAUGCAUAAUGAGAUUAUAUGCUAGGUAAUACUUGCUUGUUGAUAGGUGCAUAUAUAUAUAUAUAUAUGCUAGUUGAUAGUUGUAUGUUGACUUGUAUUAGAACAUGCUAGAGAACAUGAGCAUAGAAAUGAAUGUUAACAUAUUGUUGGUCAUAUGAGUUAUGAAAUCAUGUUAGAGAGCAUGCAUAUUAACGUAUUGUUGAUUAUACUAAAGGUAUAUACAGGUUGGCAUUAUAGAAUGCAUGCUAGAGCACAUAAAUGAAUGUAACAUAUUGUUAAAUUUGUGAGCUUAGGAGGCAUGUGAACAAUGUGAGCAUAUUGCUAGAUCAUGUAAAUAGGUAUAUGGCAUUUAAACCUAAUGUCGUGAACUUAGUAUAGAUCGGAUGGCAUUAACCUAGUGUCGUGAACAUAGGUUGAACAAGUGAACCUAGAAGCAAGAUCUAGGAAGAAUGACAUCGAACCUAGUGUCGUGAACAUAGGUUGUGGAUUGAACCUAGAGUUAAUUAAACCUAGGUUGUGUGAUGAGGGCAUUUAACCUAGAGUCAGUUAGAUCUAGGUGAAUGGCAUGUGAAAUAUAAGUGUAGUAUUAACUGUCACGCCCCCAAUCCCCGCCAAUAUGGUCGGGUUCGGGUCACGUCAACAGAUGCCGAACGGACAGAGCCUCCCAUGUCCGCCCAAGGCUCUUACAACAUGUAUAAAUAAGCAAUCAACAAGAGAUUUGCAUAUAUAAUAUAAGGCUUGCACGAGGGCGAGCAACAACGGAAGCGAAAGCUCUAAGCUACAUCAUAUAACAUACAAGAUACUUUAUUGCAUUUGAACCAAAUACAAGUAAAUAAAACUAUUACAUUUCCAUUCAACCAUCAGUUCUUUUUACAUUUAGCCAUCCACCAAAAUUACAUGAUUGUUUACAACUUUAUAUUUCUAAAUCAACAAAAUAAAGUUGAUGCAUGUAUACCAAAAGGAAAAUGGCUACAAAAUAGGAAAAGUCCCGGUGGCCGCUAUCUAUGGCACUAUACCCUUGCCUCGGUCCUCCGCCGCCCCGCUCGUGCUAGGACCUGUAGGGUUAGUGGUGUGAGAACUACAAUGAAGUUCCCAGUGGGUUCGGCAUCCGACCUCGCCGACUUACCCACUAGGCCUAUCCAAGCAUAAGUAUUUCAAGGAAAGAAAGUAACCAGUUCUAAUGCAACUAAUACUAUGCCUGCAAAAGAAUGUCAGUGGAUACAUAUACUCGAGGCAAUAAUAGAAAAUGCAUGCAUGCUCAAAUCAUAAUAAGCUUUGGCUCUUACCCAAUCUUACCAGUUAACCUUGUUAACCCCAAUAACUCAUAGCCCAAAUUCCUUUAUUACCAGGGAGGCUCCAAGCACUACCGACCCGAGGGACCGUCUUCAGGGACCGCGCUCCCUGUGGUGACGAUUUUCAGAAACACACCGCUUGAGGAGAAGCGACCUCCCUCAAGCCAAGACUUGUCAUGAGUGUCGAUCAAAUCCCCAAGUUGAGGAUAUUUAGCCGCAUGUCACAUUGCCACUUUUGUGAUAGGUUUUCUACCUAUGUUCUCAUGCCACUUAUUAGUCGAUCUCGUCCAGAUGCCACUAUAGUUAAGUCUAUGUUUAACAUCCAUUUGUCCAGGCCAAUCUAUCUCUCUAUUGUUAUUGUCACCAUUUGUUUACUUACGCUAAGUCCAAGUCCCAUUAUCAUGCAAUUCCUAGGGUUCAAUAACACAUGCCCAUCAUGGUUCCAUUUCUCUCUAUUUUCAAAUACCCUUGGAAUAAACAUAAUGAAAACAACCAAAGUUCACAUGUGAAUUAACCCUAAUAUGCAUGACGGAAUAAACAACCAUAUGCUCAAGAAUAGAGAAAUAGACAUAGAGGGGAAUCCAACGAUUCCGGCGUGCACCCCCCACCUCUAAUGGUCGUGUGGGUGUAGAAUACGAAGACUCCCGAACGCUACGAACGCCGGCUCCCCGUCCUAUAACCAAAUUAGUGCCCCAUUAGGCUGUUUAUACACGAACUAUACUUAAACAUUUUCGUAACGUUGAACGGAGUUGUCGAACAUGUUUAGGACACCCCUAAUUAGAUUUCUACGGGGUCAAUUUGUCCCCGAAAAAUUCUAGGGUAAAAGCCCCAAAUUCCAAGCCCUAACAAUGCCAUUUAGGGUUUCCCCUUGGAUUGAUCUCGUUGCUAAGCAAAUACUAGCUUAGAAUCACCUAGGAAGCAUUCUAAUAAGGUUUCUAGACCUUUGGUACCAACCCUAGGGCUUCUAACCCAACUUCCAAGGGUUCACCAUGAGAGCACCUUGAGCUCUCAUGGGUUCCUUGUUGUUCAUGGCUCAAAAGAGCUUCUAAAGCCUCUAAGGAGCACAAAGCUCCAAAUCCUUAGCUUAAAACCCAAACCCUAGAGGAAACCUUGCAAGAACUCACCUCUAGUCCAAGCUCUACUGUCACGCCCCGCCCCGAAAUCACUACCAAUUUGGCACAAUUCGGCCGCGGCGACAGACCGCCGAACGGACAGCACCUCCCCUGUCCGCCCAAGGCUCCACAACAGGAAUGUGUACAAGAAUUUACCCAAGAAUUUAAACUCUAAACAUACACAUUCAACGCGGGCACAAACAGUGCCAACAACAAGAAGAGCAGGUAAUCCACAAAAUAUACGAGUGAAAUAAAGAGAGUACUUUACUAACUAUUACAAUAGUUGCAGUCAUUACAUCAUUUUUCAUCCAAAAUACAUAGCUCUCCAAAUCAUCACCUACAAUAAAUCUCUCUCUCUCUCAUACAUAGGUGACUAAUGCAAAAAGGAAAGCUACUAUACUACCACGGUCUCACUGGUCGGGCGUGACGCCCUUGCCGCGGUCCUCUCUCUGCAACCCUGUACCUACCACUGGAAAUAGAGUGGGGUGAGAACUAUCUUCCAUAGUUCCCAGUGGGCUCGGCCGCCGACUUUGCGAUUUCCCCACUAGGUUCAAGUGGGCACAAGUAACAACAGAUAGAUAGAUAGAUAGAUAUGUAUCUGAAAGCAUGUAAAUGCAGUAGUAGGAAAACUAUGCUACUAUGCCCAUAAUCCAUGAAUAUGAAUGCAUGCUGUCAUAUAAUAAUUUUGCUAUCAUGCUAACAAUUCGAUCCAUGUUCGAAUAGCAAUGUUCAACUGACGUUAAUAACCUUUCCAUUUACCCAAUCUGUGGCGAGGCCCUAGCGGCUCGCCCAUGACUCACCUUCAAAUCCCAAAGUGGGAGGGAGCUCCAUGUGCACCCAAGCCGGGACCGUCUGCGGACCUCGAUGUGGUCCGGACCUCCAAGUGGUCCUAGUCGCACGACACUCCAGAGUACUCGACGACAAUCCCCUCCAUGUGGGGAUUGGAUGGCUAUACCAUCCCAAACGCAGACUGUGAGCUAGAUCUACCCUCUCCAAGUGGGGUGCCCUACGUCUAGGGUCAAUACCCAAUCGAAUCCUCUCCAGUGAGGAACACGAUCACUGAGGUCCACACCCAAUCCAAUCCUCUCCAUAUGAGGGUGCCCUCCAACUAGGGUCAACGACUAUCGCGGAAUCAUUUGUCCCCCGACAUUCAUGCAAUGCUAUUUGGCGUUUCAAAUUCAUUGUUUCACAAGGCAUUUUUCUAAGGGAUCCACCUAUCCCUAGGUCCAUCGACCUCUAGUGUUAUUUACACUACGUUAAUGCCACUCGUUAACAUUCAAUGUUUGGAUGCUACUCGUUGUUCUUUUGACAAUAACACUACUUUUAUGUCAUCAAUACCCCAUCGGGUUCAUCUCUUUUCUUUCGCACCAUAGGAUCUGUUAGAACGCAGCGGAAGUAUUGGUUCGUACCUUUUGCGGAAGCGAUUCGCGCAACAACGCCGAUGAGCCCCGAUCGUUUAGAUUGAUUCACGUGUCCUCGGAUCGUUCUUGAAAACUUCUCACGCUCCACGAACUCGCGGUGGAUCGAACUACAACGAGCGCGAUCGCAAAUCCACCGUGCAGUCCCUCUAGAAUAUAGGUCAAUGGAGGAUGUGCGUUUCUCUCUAUUAUUUUCUUAUUCUCUCUCUUUCGGUUCUUUCCGUAUAAUGAUUCGUUAUGUGGGAUCGCCCGCAGUAUUUAUAAGGAAUUUCAAAAUCCUAAUGGCGUUAGAGAUAAGAGCCAAAUCGGUUAUUAAUUGUUAUCUCUAUAUGACUAGAUUUAUCUCUAACUAACUUUCCAAUUUGAAAGCGAGAUUAAUUCUAAUCAAUUAGAUAACAUAACAUCCUCGGAUCGAACCCGCUUAUGGGCGUACCCGAUUCGAUUAAAACCGAAUGCAACAUCUCCCACUCGCACAUGACGGGAUCGAUGCCAUCGUAACCACUUCCUCAACAUCACACCACUAUUAAUUCUAUCAUACAGGGAAUGAACAGGUGCGGACCGCGAGUCACUCUGCAUUUCGGAGUCUAUACUAGAAACCGCAUCCGCCAGCAUAGAGACAUCAACCCUCAAAAAAAGAAAAAUAUUAGACUUCGUGAUGCCCUAGACCAUUGAAUUACAUCAGGUUCAGCAUCUUAAUCCCUCGAAGACCAUGCUAACCUCUGUUGCGCACAUUAUGACCUAUAUCAUGAUUGUUUCGCUUAUACUGAAGCGAUACAACCUGUCGACAAUGAGUCAAAGUGUUUUAAUGUAAUUCAACUAGUCUUCCUUGAGCCCUCAUGCCACUGAGUUGAGAACUGAUUGCUUUCCGCAGCAUGCCCCGUGAAGCCGCAUCACUCAUAGCGUAGUGUAACAUGCCAAAUAGCAACAUCAAUUCUUUCACUUAAUGACAUAGUCAAAAGUCACUAAGGGCAUCUAACAUAUAUGGGACAUCGUCUCAAAAUAAUGUCCGUAAGAACUCACACGAUGAGGAAGCAGGGAUCCAUUCACUCAUCUUCUUAUUUAGUCGCCCAGCACAUGUAGUAUGAAAUACAUGCUAUGACAGCAGAAAUCAAUAAGCGUAUGUCUUUCUCAAUGUCAUACGGAUCUUAGCUCAGUCACUCCCAGAGUGUCUAGCCUGAGUUCUCCAUUUGCUCGCUAUCUCAAGCGUCAACACGGUGAACUCACAUCCGCUCUCAAUAUGCAGGCCAUACGAAUCGUGGACUUUUCGAUAUGCGGUCUCAUUAAUGACCUCAUCUUGGUGCAACCAAGGCGGCUUCUAUUAAUGGCCUCAAUUUUCGCUCGCUCUCUUACAGCGCCGAAAAGAAUUUGCCGUGUGAGAGGGCCAAUCAGCCUGUGACAUACUAUCAAUCAGUUUAAUAAUAAUGCACGUUACUAAUUUUACCAAAUAUCUUUUUCAGAAUAAUAAUUUGUAAUUAAAUAACUAAGAAAUUACAAAAAAAUAAUCGACUGUCUACACAAUCAAAUCUACGGAGUCCAAGUGCCUUAACAUGAGCCAAAAAAAACUCUCUAACAAUGGCUUAGUCAGAGAUCCGCCACCAUGCGACUCGUAGAGAAUGUGUUCCAGGAUUAUUUCUUUCUGCGCCAUGCUUCACGAACAAAGUGAUAUUUUAAGUCGCAUGUGCUUUUGUCUUGCCAUGAUAUUUCGAGUCCUUCGUUGAUAUGCAAUCGACUGCAUACUGUCACAAUAGAUCGUUCACAAACGGAAGUACAGACGACAAUCCCAAUAUCUCGAAGAAACUUCCUCAAACAGAUAGCCUCCUGGGCUGCUGCAGAAAACGCUCACGAACUCCGCCUCCAUGGUGGAAAGAGCUAUUAACAGUCUGUUUCUUACUACUCCAAGUUAUGGCGCCAUUGCCAAGUAAGAAUGCAUAUCCUGAGGUCGACUUACGCUCAUCUAGAGUCACCAGCCCAAUCCGCAUCGCUAUAACCGAUGAACGUAAAAUCCGUACCUUGAUAGCACAGCACAUAACUAUCGUCACUCUCUGAGGUAACGAAGUAUUCUUUAACAGCUUUCCACCGUUCCAAUCCGGAUUGGACUGAAAACGCUAACCAAGCCCACGGCAUAGCAUAUAUCAGGCCGAGUACACAUCAUAGCAUACAUCAGGUCUCCCGACCUGCAUUAGCAUAUGGAAUCCGAUUCAUCUUGUCUUUCUCUUCCAAAGUUUUAGGGCACUGUUUAAGUUCAAACUCUCACUUUAGCAAUAGGAGUGUCAAUGGUUUGCAAUUUUGCAUCUAAAUCUUUCUAAAACUUUUCUUAGGUAAGUUCUUGAGACAGACCUAAAAGUUUUUUGAACGAUCUCGUAGAUCUUAACUCCGAACACAUAAUUCGCUUCACCAUGUCCUUCAUCUCAAAAUUAUGAGGACAGCCACGUCUGUAGUGGCGACCAAUCAUCUCCUUAUUAUUCCCGCCAAUAGAUGUCAUCAACAUAUAAGAAAGGAUUAGAAAAAUCCUUUGGACCGUUUAACAUACACACAGUGAUCUUCUAUCAAUCAUCGUAAAUCCAUCUUCAGUUAUGGCUCGAUGAAAUCGAAUAUACCAACUGUGAGGACUGCUUCAAUCCAUGAAAUGGACGUCGCGAGCUUACAAACUUUUAUGCUCCUACCCUUUACAGAGAAAGCCAGCGGGCUGAUCCAUAUAGUCUCCUCAUCCAUCUUCCCCAAAUUGGAAUGCAUUUUUAACGUCAUUUGGGUUAAAGUUCAAAAAUCCAAAAAAAUGCGACAGUGGCCAAAUGCAAACGGAUCGAAGCAAAACCUCACAUACAGAGAAAAAGUUUCUUCGUAAUCAACGCUUCUCGCUUGGGUUAAAACCUUGCUACACAGCCGAGCUUACUGUCAUAUCGAUAGAAACCGUCUGCCUUGCGCUUAAUCUUGAGAAACCAUUUAUUCCCAACUUGUUUUUUGCGCACUGGUGGCAAUAGUCCAACAAGUCCCCAGACAUUAUUUGACUUACAUCGAUUUCUCAUUUCCUCCAUCAUUGCAUCCAAUCCAUUUACUUAUGAGUAGUAACUGAGAGAGCCUCUUGAAGGGAUCUAGGCUCAUCAUCAUCUGUGCAGCAACAAUGAAGCUUCCACUCAAUCUUCAAAACGCGACGGGAAUGCCUACAAUGCGCUCCUACGAAGUUGAGGUCCAUCAUUCCAAGAGCAAGUCGCUCCCACUAUCCCCAGGAGGGUUAAUCGGAGUUUGCCUCCUCUAACUCACAUGAGCGAUAGAAUGCCAAUGUCAGAGUCAUCCAUCUCAUGAACUCAGUUUCAUUACGUAAACUCACUUCUAUAAGGAAAAUCCUCUCGAGGAUUCAACAUCUGUGACUCACAUCUCAGUCAAACUUCCCUCAGGCGCUUUUCCGAUGAAAACGUAUCCUUAGAGUGUUAGAGUAUCUUAUAAAGAUACACUUUCCCCUCUAGGACCAAAACUUCCAUCAAUUGUGGAGAAUAUUUGUGUACAUUAAGCUGCCGAACCCAGACACACAGGAUGCCUCCAAAUUUGGUUUCCUGCCCUGUCCAUGAAUUCAGUAAGGGGUGAAGGUUCUGUUUUGAGUACACGAUUAAGAAUGUAAGGACCAGAGUUACAAUUGGUCUCCCAAAAGAACAGCAACAUUUUGCUUCGCCAUCAUUGACCUAAACCAUGUCAAGCCAAGGUGCAUUCUCCUCUCCGCUACACAUUUUUGCUGCGGAGUGCCAGGAAUCGUCCAGCUGUUUUCCCCUUUUUUUUAUUAUUCCCUUUUUCAUCACCAUCAAAUUUUUGAAUUGUUCGAUAGAUACUCGACGGCCUCGAUCAGUUUUAAGCUUUUAAUUUUCAUAUCUAACUGCAUUCUCAACCUCAUUUCAUAUAACGUCUAAAACAAUCAAAAUGUUCGACUUAUGGGAAUCAGAUUAAACCAUGACGCAAGCGCGUAUGGUCAUCUAUAAAUGUGAUGAAGAAAAAGUCACAGUCUCUGCUCACAACUCUUGGGCCCAAAUGUCGGAAUGGAUUAAUUGUAAAGAAAUUCUGCCUUGGCUUUUAUAAAUGGUUUUCGGCGUGGCCUUUCCCGCUAAAACAAUGUUCACACAAGUGGGUAUUCGACUUUAGUGAGCGAGCUCAAUAACGUCUCUAACUAAUUAGUCAUUCUAUCCUGCCCAAUGACCAAGACCUCAAAUAGCCCUAUUUAAUUUAACUCUGUAUCAUUCUCCAACAGUAAAUAGCCAGGGAAAAAAGAAUCACCAAUUAUUAUAUUAUAAUCAAUGUCCAAAACCAUAAAACCAUUCGACAUAAAACCUCUUCCAUAAUAAAUAGUUCCAAGAUGAAUCUCAACUACAUCACUCUCAAAACGAAAAGAAAAGCCUAACUGUAGCAUAGCAAGAAUAGAAAACAAGUUCCGCCGAAUUUCUGGAGCAUAAAGUACAUCAUGUAGAUAUAAAGUUCGACCACCUUGCAUGAUCAACUUGUAUGUGCCAAUGCCUAACACAUCGACACUUGAAUCAUUCCCCAUGUAUACUUUUCUGCUCGAAGCAGGCACUCGACGGUACUCGACGAAUCCCAUCCGAUCCCUCGCUACGUGGUCUGUUGCUCCUGAGUCUUCUUCGGCUCAGUGCAAUCACGAGCGAAGUGUCCCAGCUGAUUACAGUUGAAACAAGUCAUCUUUGACUUGUCUUUCUUGCCACCUCGUUUGCUUCUCUUUCUUUUAGUGCUCUUCGGGUUCUUAGGCGCGGAUCCGCUACGAUUUUGAGCCCCAGUAGUCCUCUUUCGCUUGAACCCAGAUGUCCUGCGAAAGUUUGACUCAGCAGCAUUGACAGUUGGAGUUUUAACAGCCUCAAGGCGCUCCUCCUCCAACUCCAAAUGCCGCGCAACAUUCUCAAAAGUUUUGAUAUUAUCGUUAUGGGUCAAAUUUACUCGCAUAUGUUCCCACGAAUUGGGAAGAGAGCGAAUCGUAGCUUGGAUCUGCUGCUCAUCAGUCAAGGUGCCGCCAGCCGACUUUAACUCGCGAAUCAUGUUUGACAUUGUUCUAACGUGCUGCUUCAUAGUCUGAUCGGCACGCUUCUUAUAACUGUCAAACCGCAUAGUCAGACUGCGCAACCUUGUAGCCGAAGUUGCACCAAAUUUUACUUUGAGAGCCUCCCACAUGUCAUACGCAGUCGGAUACUGCUCACACUCGCACAAGAGAUCAUUCUGCAUACUGCUCAGCAAUGUGAUGCGAGCAAUGCGAUCCUUCUUAAGCCAAUUAUUAUAGGCUUCCAUAUCUCGGCGAGCCUGGGCACUAGUGCCCUCCGUGGGUUGGUCGAUUUUAUUACUCAAGUUUUCCAGAACCUCUUGCUCAGCGAGAACAUAUUGAAUUUUACGGUGCCAAAUAUCAUAAUUGUCACCAUCCAAUUUCUCGCCCUUGUUAAAUCCGCAACAAUUUGUUUGGAAGCCAUUAAAUCUCACUUUGUUCAUGCAAUGCGCAGAAAGUAUAUUUUAAAAUUAGUACACCAUACAUGCAUUCAAUUUUAUCGCAUCUCUAAUUAAAUAAAUUAAAAAAUUAGAUCAUACAUGCAUAAAGGAAAAUUUCGCUAUGCUCGUAAUCACAUCACACACCAUAUGUCAUAAUUUUUAAUUUAUUUAAUUAAGAUGCACAAAAAUUUGGGAGUAAAAAGUAUAUAAUUUACUCUACCAAAGUCAAAAGACUCCCACUAGAUAAGGUAUGCAUAAAAUAUAUGCCUAAAGUUACAUCUACAUAUCAUAACAAGCAUUAUAAUAUCAAAUAAAAAUUGCAUGCAUUAUAAAAGGCCCUGACGUCCUCGUCAGUCCAAUCACACACACAGCCCAAGAUCACCAGGCGAUGUGAGACUCGUCUCGCUAGCCCGUCAUCCAGACCCUGGCUCAGCCGAGACUCGCCACACAUGUCAAGCUGAUGAACCGACUCUGAUACCAAAUGUAACGACCCAGCUCACUAGCAAUAAUAACUCGUUGGGCCCAACCACAGCCCAAAAUGCUUAAGCCCAGUUAUUAUUACUAGUGUCUAAGUCUCUUAUAAACCCACUAACAACCCCACUCCCAUCCGAUGUGGGAUUAUUGGGGUGUCACAAACAAACACCAAACUGAACUAUUUUAAUAAUCUGGAAAUGCGAAAUAAGAAGAAUAAUCAGGUGGUGAUCGCUAGAGCAGUCUAGCUAAGACGUCCUUCCGGCACACCUUGAACCGUCUCCUCGCCCGCACCACCUGGGGAAAGAGGGGUGAGAAACCACAACAAGGUUUCCUAGAGGGUACAAUAGGGCCACGAAGGCAAGUUGUAAUCACCGAAGAACAAAAAAAGUAGGGUAAACAGAGUACAAGUGNNNNNNNNNNNNNNNNNNNNNNNNNNNNNNNNNNNNNNNNNNNNNNNNNNNNNNNNNNNNNNNNNNNNNNNNNNNNNNNNNNNNNNNNNNNNNNNNNNNNACAUUAGGUUCAAGCUAUACUCAGCGUUUUCCCUUUUCUUCAAGCUAGAGAUGAAGGAUUGAAGGAGGUUUCUUUCACUUCUUCUAUCUUCCUCUCGUCACUUAUCUUCCUCUUCUUGUCUCUUCCUUUUUCUCCUUUCGUUCUUACUUUCUCUUUUUUGUCUUCUAGUAGAGAGAGCGGAGAGAGAGAGUGUAAAGAGGGAGUGAAUGAGGGAAAUAUCUAUUUAACCUCACUACACUAAACGAUUGGGGGCUGCAAAAAAUGCUGAUUAAAGCCCUCAACGGUUUCACCUUAAUGCACUGCCCGAACGGGCAGUAUCGCGCAGGCAUGAGACGGUCUCCCGAGCAGCGGACCGGUUCCCGAACGUCCACCCUGCGCAGCCAGAAGUCGCUGCGCGCGAUCGCGACGGUCUCUUCUGAUGGGACCGGUCUCCUGGGGACCAGUCUCUCAGGCAGAGACCGGCAUUCCGAGAGUAUCCCUUCAGGACUUAGCGAUUUAUCGGCGAUGUUCUCAUUUCUGCACGCGUUCCGCCGCGUUCUCCCUUCCAGGGACCAGGUCCCGAGAUUCUGAAAAUCUGUUGCAGUUUUGCCCCAGAAUUCAAUUCUUUAGCUCUCGAAACCUUCACAAUCACUUUUAAUAUUUUAACAUUCGGACUUUCGAAGUGUUAUCCAUCUCGCACUUUUGGCUCAAUUUGACUAAAGUUCGACAUUUAUUUUCCGAAAUUUUCGCGUAUUGCACAUACCCUCUCUCAUUUUGUAACAAAAUGCUAAGAAGCCCCUCAACUUUUCGUCUCUUACACAACCCUUACUGGGCGUUCUGCGUGCGAAGAGACCAGUCUCCCCGACCAGGGACCGGUCCCCGGGGCCUCCCCCCGCGGACACGUGUUCGGGAACCGGUCCCUCCCUUAGAGACCGGUCCUCGGGAGACCGGUUCCUCUCAGAGAGACCAGUUCCCGAGAGCUAAACUCUUGGGACUUAGCCGAUUUUCGGCUCUCCUCACUAGUAUAGCAGGCUGGGACCAGUCCCUCCUCUGCUAGGGACCGGUUGCAUCAACAGCCCCACAACCUUCAGCUGAUGGGACCGGUCUCUUACCUCCAGAGACCGGUCCCCGAGAGCAACUUCAGCCCAAAAAUGCUGAUUGCAUUAUUUGCUCUCGCGGACUCCAUUCCAAUGUACUUCUCGGCUUUCGUGCAUCCUUAGCUUUUUUCAAAGCUUAUCCAUUCGACCCUUAGUCGAUUCUAGACGAGGUGCAACCCUCGGAUUUCGAGAGUUCACAUUGUUACAAGGAUGGCACCAGCAGAAUUGAAGGAGCUGAAGGCACAGUUACAGGAUCUUCUGGAUAAAGAUUUUGUGUGACCGAGUGUGUCACCUUGGGGAGCACCGGUCCUAUUUGUGAAGAAGAAUGAUGGAUCACUUCGCUUGUGCGUGGACUAUCGUGAACUUAACAAAGUCACGAUCAAGAACAAGUAUCCAUUACCGAGGAUUGAUGAUUUGUUUGAUCAGCUCCAGGGAUCGAGUGUGUACUCCAAGAUCGACUUGCAGUCGGGAUAUCACCAGUUGAGGAUCAGACCUGAGGAUGUAUCGAAGACGGCUUUUAGAACACGGUAUGGACAUUAUGAGUUUACCGUUAUACCGUUUGGGCUUACUAAUGCCCCAGCAGCUUUUAUGGAUUUAAUGAACCGUAUUUUCAAGCCUUAUUUAGACAGGUUCGUCAUAGUAUUCAUCGACAACAUUUUGGUCUACUCCCAAAGUGAUGCGGAUCACGAGGAACACUUGAGACUUGUACUUCAAGUGCUUCNNNNNNNNNNNNNNNNNNNNNNNNNNNNNNNNNNNNNNNNNNNNNNNNNNNNNNNNNNNNNNNNNNNNNNNNNNNNNNNNNNNNNNNNNNNNNNNNNNNNNNNNNNNNNNNNNNNNNNNNNNNNNNNNNNNNNNNNNNNNNNNNNNNNNNNNNNNNNNNNNNNNNNNNNNNNNNNNNNNNNNNNNNNNNNNNNNNNNNNNNNNNNNNNNNNNNNNNNNNNNNNNNNNNNNNNNNNNNNNNNNNNNNNNNNNNNNNNNNNNNNNNNNNNNNNNNNNNNNNNNNNNNNNNNNNNNNNNNNNNNNNNNNNNNNNNNNNNNNNNNNNNNNNNNNNNNNNNNNNNNNNNNNNNNNNNNNNNNNNNNNNNNNNNNNNNNNNNNNNNNNNNNNNNNNNNNNNNNNNNNNNNNNNNNNNNNNNNNNNNNNNNNNNNNNNNNNNNNNNNNNNNNNNNNNNNNNNNNNNNNNNNNNNNNNNNNNNNNNNNNNNNNNNNNNNNNNNNNNNNNNNNNNNNNNNNNNNNNNNNNNNNNNNNNNNNNNNNNNNNNNNNNNNNNNNNNNNNNNNNNNNNNNNNNNNNNNNNNNNNNNNNNNNNNNNNNNNNNNNNNNNNNNNNNNNNNNNNNNNNNNNNNNNNNNNNNNNNNNNNNNNNNNNNNNNNNNNNNNNNNNNNNNNNNNNNNNNNNNNNNNNNNNNNNNNNNNNNNNNNNNNNNNNNNNNNNNNNNNNNNNNNNNNNNNNNNNNNNNNNNNNNNNNNNNNNNNNNNNNNNNNNNNNNNNNNNNNNNNNNNNNNNNNNNNNNNNNNNNNNNNNNNNNNNNNNNNNNNNNNNNNNNNNNNNNNNNNNNNNNNNNNNNNNNNNNNNNNNNNNNNNNNNNNNNNNNNNNNNNNNNNNNNNNNNNNNNNNNNNNNNNNNNNNNNNNNNNNNNNNNNNNNNNNNNNNNNNNNNNNNNNNNNNNNNNNNNNNNNNNNNNNNNNNNNNNNNNNNNNNNNNNNNNNNNNNNNNNNNNNNNNNNNNNNNNNNNNNNNNNNNNNNNNNNNNNNNNNNNNNNNNNNNNNNNNNNNNNNNNNNNNNNNNNNNNNNNNNNNNNNNNNNNNNNNNNNNNNNNNNNNNNNNNNNNNNNNNNNNNNNNNNNNNNNNNNNNNNNNNNNNNNNNNNNNNNNNNNNNNNNNNNNNNNNNNNNNNNNNNNNNNNNNNNNNNNNNNNNNNNNNNNNNNNNNNNNNNNNNNNNNNNNNNNNNNNNNNNNNNNNNNNNNNNNNNNNNNNNNNNNNNNNNNNNNNNNNNNNNNNNNNNNNNNNNNNNNNNNNNNNNNNNNNNNNNNNNNNNNNNNNNNNNNNNNNNNAAAUCGGCACAUUUCAUACCUAUCCACACUACUUGGACUGGUGAGAGACUCGCACAGGUUUAUUUGGAUGAGAUUGUGCGAUUGCACGGGGUACCUACUUGUAUAGUAUCGGAUCGAGACCCCCGUUUUGUAUCCCAUUUUUAGAGGAGCCUACAGGACGCUUUGGGUACGCGCUUGGAUUUGAGCACUGCUUUCCACCCCUAGAGUGACGAGCAGUCGGAGCGUACUAUACAGACUCUCGAGGACAUGGUUCAAGCCUGCGUGAUUGACUUCCAGGGAGGAUGGUCGCAGCAUCUACCGAUGGCAGAGUUUGCUUAUAACAACAGUUAUCAAGCAAGCAUCGAGAUGGCACCGUUCGAGUGAAGUUGGCGAGAGAUUGGCUUUAGGCCCAGAUGUGCUCCAGGAAGCAGAAGACAAGGUCCGCAUUGCUCGGGAGCGACUGUUGACAGCCCAGAGUAGGCAGAGGAGUUAUGGUGAUCGGCGUCGACGAGACUUGGAGUUUCUGAUUGGAGAUCAUGUCUUCUUGAAAGUCUCGCCGACUCGAGGGAUUAGAAGGUUUGGAAUCCGGGGUAAGUUGAGCCCCCGAUACAUUGGACCGUAUGAGGUUUUGGAGCGUGUAGGCCCGGUAGCAUACAGACUUGCUCUACCGCCGAACCAUCGGGUGUACACAACGUAUUCUAUGUAUCGGUCAUUCGGAAGUACAUCCAUGAUCAGGCUCACGUGUUGGACGCUAUGCCAGUGGAGCUGAGGGAUGAUUUGAGCUUCGAAGAGCAACCUUUAAGGAUUUUGGCUUGCGAGGUAAAAAGAUUGCGGAACCGUGAGAUCCCCUACAUGAAGGUGCUUUGGAGCAACCACAACGAGCGCGAGGCCACUUGGGAGUUGGAGAGCGCACUGAGGGAGCGCUAUCCCCAUCUUUUCCAGAUGGAGACUUGAGGUACUUGUCAUUUCGAGUUUCUCGGACGAAACUCCUCUUUAGGAGGGGUGAAUGUAACACACUGGACCUUUGCAAAUUGCGAGGUUCGAGUGAUUGGAUGUAUUUCGAGUUUUUCCACACUUGGUGGAGGGUCGUAGAAUAUUUUCCGAUCCAAAAAGUUCAAAAACCUGAGUUCUGGACCAGUCCUGAGAGUUUUCACUCUCGGGGACUGGUCCCUGAAAGGAGAGACCGGUCCCCCAGUAAACAGUGUAGCGCUGUCGGCGAGGCAACCGAUCCCUGGUGGGCGAGACCGGUCCCCGAGCGCGUCUUCGCAGUGAGAGACCGGUCCCGCGCGGGGAGAGACUGGUUCCCGAACGAUGGUUUCUCGGGUGCGAUACGAGAGACCGGUCACUUUUAGGAUAUUUUGAGACUCGUGGACAUCUUCUUUCGGCGAAACGAAGGACACCGCGACGGUUCGGUGGGUUUGACCUAGCCACGCAAUGAGAAAAUCUCAUUUGUGAUGUUUUGAGUAUCGUUAAAUGGAAAAGCAUGCAUAUUCAUACUAAAUGUAUUUAUUAUGAUUUUUGGAAGGCUUAAAAUGCCUAUGUUACAUGUAAUGAAAUUUUGAAUCUCUAUGUAGUAGAGAGUAGCAUAUGAAGCUUAUGCGGGAUUUUUGGCGUUCUCAUGUUGGACCAUGUUCCUUAUAGUGUAAAUGAGCUUUGAUUCAUGCAUUUAAACCUAAGUUUAAUUGAGACAUGAAAGACAACAAAAUUGCCAUAUAGGGGCACCGGACUAGAACAUUAUGUAAAUUGGAGAGCUAAUGUCAUCAAGCGGCAUUGAGCUCGGGACAUGUGUGAACCUAGUGGAUAGGGCCAUUGAGGANNNNNNNNNNNNNNNNNNNNNNNNNNNNNNNNNNNNNNNNNNNNNNNNNNNNNNNNNNNNNNNNNNNNNNNNNNNNNNNNNNNNNNNNNNNNNNNNNNNNNNNNNNNNNNNNNNNNNNNNNNNNNNNNNNNNNNNNNNNNNNNNNNNNNNNNNNNNNNNNNNNNNNNNNNNNNNNNNNNNNNNNNNNNNNNNNNNNNNNNNNNNNNNNNNNNNNNNNNNNNNNNNNNNNNNNNNNNNNNNNNNNNNNNNNNNNNNNNNNNNNNNNNNNNNNNNNNNNNNNNNNNNNNNNNNNNNNNNNNNNNNNNNNNNNNNNNNNNNNNNNNNNNNNNNNNNNNNNNNNNNNNNNNNNNNNNNNNNNNNNNNNNNNNNNNNNNNNNNNNNNNNNNNNNNNNNNNNNNNNNNNNNNNNNNNNNNNNNNNNNNNNNNNNNNNNNNNNNNNNNNNNNNNNNNNNNNNNNNNNNNNNNNNNNNNNNNNNNNNNNNNNNNNNNNNNNNNNNNNNNNNNNNNNNNNNNNNNNNNNNNNNNNNNNNNNNNNNNNNNNNNNNNNNNNNNNNNNNNNNNNNNNNNNNNNNNNNNNNNNNNNNNNNNNNNNNNNNNNNNNNNNNNNNNNNNNNNNNNNNNNNNNNNNNNNNNNNNNNNNNNNNNNNNNNNNNNNNNNNNNNNNNNNNNNNNNNNNNNNNNNNNNNNNNNNNNNNNNNNNNNNNNNNNNNNNNNNNNNNNNNNNNNNNNNNNNNNNNNNNNNNNNNNNNNNNNNNNNNNNNNNNNNNNNNNNNNNNNNNNNNNNNNNNNNNNNNNNNNNNNNNNNNNNNNNNNNNNNNNNNNNNNNNNNNNNNNNNNNNNNNNNNNNNNNNNNNNNNNNNNNNNNNNNNNNNNNNNNNNNNNNNNNNNNNNNNNNNNNNNNNNNNNNNNNNNNNNNNNNNNNNNNNNNNNNNNNNNNNNNNNNNNNNNNNNNNNNNNNNNNNNNNNNNNNNNNNNNNNNNNNNNNNNNNNNNNNNNNNNNNNNNNNNNNNNNNNNNNNNNNNNNNNNNNNNNNNNNNNNNNNNNNNNNNNNNNNNNNNNNNNNNNNNNNNNNNNNNNNNNNNNNNNNNNNNNNNNNNNNNNNNNNNNNNNNNNNNNNNNNNNNNNNNNNNNNNNNNNNNNNNNNNNNNNNNNNNNNNNNNNNNNNNNNNNNNNNNNNNNNNNNNNNNNNNNNNNNNNNNNNNNNNNNNNNNNNNNNNNNNNNNNNNNNNNNNNNNNNNNNNNNNNNNNNNNNNNNNNNNNNNNNNNNNNNNNNNNNNNNNNNNNNNNNNNNNNNNNNNNNNNNNNNNNNNNNNNNNNNNNNNNNNNNNNNNNNNNNNNNNNNNNNNNNNNNNNNNNNNNNNNNNNNNNNNNNNNNNNNNNNNNNNNNNNNNNNNNNNNNNNNNNNNNNNNNNNNNNNNNNNNNNNNNNNNNNNNNNNNNNNNNNNNNNNNNNNNNNNNNNNNNNNNNNNNNNNNNNNNNNNNNNNNNNNNNNNNNNNNNNNNNNNNNNNNNNNNNNNNNNNNNNNNNNNNNNNNNNNNNNNNNNNNNNNNNNNNNNNNNNNNNNNNNNNNNNNNNNNNNNNNNNNNNNNNNNNNNNNNNNNNNNNNNNNNNNNNNNNNNNNNNNNNNNNNNNNNNNNNNNNNNNNNNNNNNNNNNNNNNNNNNNNNNNNNNNNNNNNNNNNNNNNNNNNNNNNNNNNNNNNNNNNNNNNNNNNNNNNNNNNNNNNNNNNNNNNNNNNNNNNNNNNNNNNNNNNNNNNNNNNNNNNNNNNNNNNNNNNNNNNNNNNNNNNNNNNNNNNNNNNNNNNNNNNNNNNNNNNNNNNNNNNNNNNNNNNNNNNNNNNNNNNNNNNNNNNNNNNNNNNNNNNNNNNNNNNNNNNNNNNNNNNNNNNNNNNNNNNNNNNNNNNNNNNNNNNNNNNNNNNNNNNNNNNNNNNNNNNNNNNNNNNNNNNNNNNNNNNNNNNNNNNNNNNNNNNNNNNNNNNNNNNNNNNNNNNNNNNNNNNNNNNNNNNNNNNNNNNNNNNNNNNNNNNNNNNNNNNNNNNNNNNNNNNNNNNNNNNNNNNNNNNNNNNNNNNNNNNNNNNNNNNNNNNNNNNNNNNNNNNNNNNNNNNNNNNNNNNNNNNNNNNNNNNNNNNNNNNNNNNNNNNNNNNNNNNNNNNNNNNNNNNNNNNNNNNNNNNNNNNNNNNNNNNNNNNNNNNNNNNNNNNNNNNNNNNNNNNNNNNNNNNNNNNNNNNNNNNNNNNNNNNNNNNNNNNNNNNNNNNNNNNNNNNNNNNNNNNNNNNNNNNNNNNNNNNNNNNNNNNNNNNNNNNNNNNNNNNNNNNNNNNNNNNNNNNNNNNNNNNNNNNNNNNNNNNNNNNNNNNNNNNNNNNNNNNNNNNNNNNNNNNNNNNNNNNNNNNNNNNNNNNNNNNNNNNNNNNNNNNNNNNNNNNNNNNNNNNNNNNNNNNNNNNNNNNNNNNNNNNNNNNNNNNNNNNNNNNNNNNNNNNNNNNNNNNNNNNNNNNNNNNNNNNNNNNNNNNNNNNNNNNNNNNNNNNNNNNNNNNNNNNNNNNNNNNNNNNNNNNNNNNNNNNNNNNNNNNNNNNNNNNNNNNNNNNNNNNNNNNNNNNNNNNNNNNNNNNNNNNNNNNNNNNNNNNNNNNNNNNNNNNNNNNNNNNNNNNNNNNNNNNNNNNNNNNNNNNNNNNNNNNNNNNNNNNNNNNNNNNNNNNNNNNNNNNNNNNNNNNNNNNNNNNNNNNNNNNNNNNNNNNNNNNNNNNNNNNNNNNNNNNNNNNNNNNNNNNNNNNNNNNNNNNNNNNNNNNNNNNNNNNNNNNNNNNNNNNNNNNNNNNNNNNNNNNNNNNNNNNNNNNNNNNNNNNNNNNNNNNNNNNNNNNNNNNNNNNNNNNNNNNNNNNNNNNNNNNNNNNNNNNNNNNNNNNNNNNNNNNNNNNNNNNNNNNNNNNNNNNNNNNNNNNNNNNNNNNNNNNNNNNNNNNNNNNNNNNNNNNNNNNNNNNNNNNNNNNNNNNNNNNNNNNNNNNNNNNNNNNNNNNNNNNNNNNNNNNNNNNNNNNNNNNNNNNNNNNNNNNNNNNNNNNNNNNNNNNNNNNNNNNNNNNNNNNNNNNNNNNNNNNNNNNNNNNNNNNNNNNNNNNNNNNNNNNNNNNNNNNNNNNNNNNNNNNNNNNNNNNNNNNNNNNNNNNNNNNNNNNNNNNNNNNNNNNNNNNNNNNNNNNNNNNNNNNNNNNNNNNNNNNNNNNNNNNNNNNNNNNNNNNNNNNNNNNNNNNNNNNNNNNNNNNNNNNNNNNNNNNNNNNNNNNNNNNNNNNNNNNNNNNNNNNNNNNNNNNNNNNNNNNNNNNNNNNNNNNNNNNNNNNNNNNNNNNNNNNNNNNNNNNNNNNNNNNNNNNNNNNNNNNNNNNNNNNNNNNNNNNNNNNNNNNNNNNNNNNNNNNNNNNNNNNNNNNNNNNNNNNNNNNNNNNNNNNNNNNNNNNNNNNNNNNNNNNNNNNNNNNNNNNNNNNNNNNNNNNNNNNNNNNNNNNNNNNNNNNNNNNNNNNNNNNNNNNNNNNNNNNNNNNNNNNNNNNNNNNNNNNNNNNNNNNNNNNNNNNNNNNNNNNNNNNNNNNNNNNNNNNNNNNNNNNNNNNNNNNNNNNNNNNNNNNNNNNNNNNNNNNNNNNNNNNNNNNNNNNNNNNNNNNNNNNNNNNNNNNNNNNNNNNNNNNNNNNNNNNNNNNNNNNNNNNNNNNNNNNNNNNNNNNNNNNNNNNNNNNNNNNNNNNNNNNNNNNNNNNNNNNNNNNNNNNNNNNNNNNNNNNNNNNNNNNNNNNNNNNNNNNNNNNNNNNNNNNNNNNNNNNNNNNNNNNNNNNNNNNNNNNNNNNNNNNNNNNNNNNNNNNNNNNNNNNNNNNNNNNNNNNNNNNNNNNNNNNNNNNNNNNNNNNNNNNNNNNNNNNNNNNNNNNNNNNNNNNNNNNNNNNNNNNNNNNNNNNNNNNNNNNNNNNNNNNNNNNNNNNNNNNNNNNNNNNNNNNNNNNNNNNNNNNNNNNNNNNNNNNNNNNNNNNNNNNNNNNNNNNNNNNNNNNNNNNNNNNNNNNNNNNNNNNNNNNNNNNNNNNNNNNNNNNNNNNNNNNNNNNNNNNNNNNNNNNNNNNNNNNNNNNNNNNNNNNNNNNNNNNNNNNNNNNNNNNNNNNNNNNNNNNNNNNNNNNNNNNNNNNNNNNNNNNNNNNNNNNNNNNNNNNNNNNNNNNNNNNNNNNNNNNNNNNNNNNNNNNNNNNNNNNNNNNNNNNNNNNNNNNNNNNNNNNNNNNNNNNNNNNNNNNNNNNNNNNNNNNNNNNNNNNNNNNNNNNNNNNNNNNNNNNNNNNNNNNNNNNNNNNNNNNNNNNNNNNNNNNNNNNNNNNNNNNNNNNNNNNNNNNNNNNNNNNNNNNNNNNNNNNNNNNNNNNNNNNNNNNNNNNNNNNNNNNNNNNNNNNNNNNNNNNNNNNNNNNNNNNNNNNNNNNNNNNNNNNNNNNNNNNNNNNNNNNNNNNNNNNNNNNNNNNNNNNNNNNNNNNNNNNNNNNNNNNNNNNNNNNNNNNNNNNNNNNNNNNNNNNNNNNNNNNNNNNNNNNNNNNNNNNNNNNNNNNNNNNNNNNNNNNNNNNNNNNNNNNNNNNNNNNNNNNNNNCACCAUGACAUCAUGCUUACUUGAGACAUAGUAGUAUAGCAUUUCAUUUAUGCUUUCUUUCAGCAGUUCUUAUACUCACUCUUUAUUGUUUAUUAUUAUUGUCGUUACUUACCCUUUUCUUUUGGGGCCUAGUGGUGCAUUGAGCUGAGGUCAGUAAUUUCCCACUGGGAACUAUAAAUUAUAGUUCUCACGCCCUCUGUUUUAUAUUUUCUUUCAGAGCCUUCCACGUCGGGAGAGGCUAGGGACCGCGGGAAGGGAGUCGCUUCGAGCUAGCUUCCUUCAAGGACGAUUGGAUAGGUGGUCUACCUCUCAUGGCUUUCUUUUUGUGAGAGGUUGAGUGUUUACCCAUGUACUAGAGACCACCAUUUUGUACCUUUUGAGGCGGUUACUGUAUUACCUUAUGUUUUCUUUCUAUGGUUUAGUGGUGAUCUUGUACUCUCUUUAUAGAUGAUAGAAACAUACUUGCUCUGAUAUCUCUAGCUGUAGAUUAUUUCUUGCUUUUACUUCCGCUUUUAUUAUAGACGCCUUAUAUGUGUAGACAUAUGGCGGGUCUGGGCACGCUACCGGGAGGGCCUCCGCCGGUCCCGGGGCGUGACAAGCGGAAACACACAAAUACGGCUUACACGAAGGUAAGCAAUAGCCACGAGUGAAAGAUAGGAAAACUAGCAUUCAUUUUGUACUAUGAUUCAAUUUAGAUCAUAUACAUUACAUCCAACUUGUACAUUUUCAAUUCCUUACAUUUAUUGCAUCAUUUCUUCCUUACAUCAUAUUUACCUCAAAAAAAAAAGCUUUAUAUUCUUUUCUUUAUAUCACUAAUCAUCAAGUACAAAAGAUGAUAAAAGGGUAACUAUUACAAAAUGUAAACCCAACUCUGGUGGCCUCUGACUAAGGCGCGAUACCUUUACCUCGGUAGCUCGCCGAUUCGCUCGGUCCCGGCUCUGUGAAAAUAGUGGGGUGAGAACUACAACAAAGUUCCUAGUGGGUUCGGCCUCAACAUCACCGACUUUCCUACUAGGACUAACUCAGGCAUAAUAGAAAGAAUAAACUGAAUAUAGUAACCAAUCUAUAACAUGAUGCUAAUAUGCCUGAACAAUAAGCAGGAAAUAUGCUCAAUAUUAACAUAUGCAGGUUAUGCAAGUUCUUUUGUUCUUUGUUCGUUACUCUUUGUUCUUUACUCUUUGUUCUUUACUCUUUGUUCUUUAAUCUCAAGUCUAACCCGGGGGUUUCGCCACAUUGACUUGCUUCACAUUAAGUCCAUCAUCGCGGGCCCUCAGCUUCCUUCCGCUAAGACCGUCCUUCGGGUUUACUCCAAACCGUGAUGCAAAAACUUCGGAGCGCAUCGCCCGAGGGGGAGCGACCGCCCUCAAGCACGGAACUCAUAGCAAGUAUGAUCGAAUCCUUAACUCAAAGGAUUGUAUGUUCAAUCUUGACUUUACACUAACUCUAGUGUUCUUUACAUCCCAUUAUGUUGCUACUCUAGCAAUCACGGUUCUUUACCUUUCUUUACUUUUGCUAACUCUAGCAGCCAUGUUCUUUAUCUUUCUUUACUUUUGCUAACUCUAGCAAUCUUAUUCUUUAUGCCCCACUUUGUUUUCACUUUAGUCAUUAGCAUUAUUCUUUACAUCACAUCGAUCCUUUGCCUCACACUACCUAUAGUGUCACUUUACUUUACAUUAUCAAAUGCCACUCGAUCUAGGUCUCAUUGUGUCACUUUGUUCUUUCGCCUCACUUUGGUUGACUUGGGUACUCACAUUUUCUCUCAUGCAUACAUAUAUAGGGUUUUUAACAUUCAUAAGGUUCUUAACCAUCACAUUAUGCAAGUUGUACUCACAAUCAUGCAACAUCACAUUUUUACCAUUACUUUAUCCUAAAAUGCAUGCAACAAUGUAUAUACAUAUGCUCAAUUAAAUGACACAUUAGGCAUAGGGGGAAGUUCAACGAGUUUGAAAAGCACCACCCACCUCGUAGGUUCUCAAAGGUGCUCCGAUGAUUUUCUUGGGAUUUUUAGGCUUCUCGUUCUUUACCUGCGGCAAAACGAUGCCAAAUUAGGCCAUUUUGCCCAUAACUUUACAUUGGCUUUUCGUAACGCUAAUCCGAGCGCACCAACGCGUCGGAAAUACCCCCAAUUGAGUUUCUAGAGGGUCAAUUUCACUUAGGAACCCCCAUGAGCAAAAGCCCCAAUUUGGGUGCCCUAGCUCCAUUGCAUAUAUCAAACCUAGGGUUUGAUCUCAAUGGGAAGAAAAAGUAGCUUCAUUCUACUCUAAAGAGUCCAUUAAAACCAUUCUUAGGUUAAUCAAAACCCUACUUAGGGUUUCACCAUGAGAGGUGGUUGAAGCUCACCUCUAAGCUUCAUUACACACACCAUUUCCAUGGUUUGAUCUCUAAAAGAAGCAAGAAAAAGCUUCAAAUACUCAAAGAACUCUAUCAAAACCAUUUCUAGGGUUUUUAUCACAAUAGGGAUCAAAGCUUACCUCAAAGCUUUCCCUCCUUGCUUCAAUGAGGAAGAAGAUGGAGUUGCCUCACUCCCUUGGCUUCUUCACUUUCUUCUCCUUUUUCUUCUCUUCUUUUUUCCUUCUCUUCCUUCUCUUCUUCUUCUCCUUCUUUGUCUUCUAGAGAGAGAAAGAGAGGAGAGAGUGUGAAAGGGUGAGAAAUGAGAGAAAUUUCCCAUUUACCCCUAAACAUAGCUCAAUGGAUUGCCAAAAUGCAAAUAAACCCCUCAGCUUUUACUUUAUUCAACUGCCUAGACUGGCCAGAUUUCGAGCUCGGGGACCGGUCUCUCCAUCAGGGACCGGUUCCCGAAAGUCCUCCCAGCGCAGCCAGAGCUGCUGCACGCGAUGCGACCGGUCUCUCUUUGAGGGGACCGGUCUCUAGGGGACCGAUCUCUCAGGCAGGGACCGGUUCCCGAGAGCUGGUUCUCAGGGACUUAGCCGAUUUUCGGCUUUUCUCAUUUCUUGCGCGUUCGGAGACCGGUCUCUCCCACCAGGGACCGGUCCCCGAGAGCUCAAAAACUGCAGUUUGCAGAUUUUUGAUUCCUUAGCUCUCGAAAAUCUUCCACAACGCACUUUUACUCAUUUUAAAACCUUCGAACUUUCCGAAGUGUACCAUCCUCUCACUUUGGUCAAUCUGACUAAAGUUCGAUAUUUAUUUUCCUAAUUCUCGGUAUAUUACACCUUAUCCUUCUCCAAGGUAUACAAGUCCUCGAAGAGCGUCUCCAUGGAGUAGAUCCAUGACUCCAUAACCGCCGGUUCUACCACCCCCCCUUCGAAGAUAGGUGGGUUGAACUUAUUGAACUGUACGAGAGCCGCUAACGCACGCUCCCGUUUCGCCUCCACUGUCGCACUAUCAGGGUAUGAAGUCCCCGAUCUGGCCGGUAUCGCCGUAACUGGAAUGGCCGCCGCGGCCACCCCCGCCGCUACUCCCUCGACCACCAUCGGCACCACUGCAGGGGGCGCAGGAUGCUCAGCCUCUACAUGUGCUGGCGCCGUCUGCUGCCGCUCUAAGACCUCCUGGAGCCUUUGGAUUUGCUCCCCUUGGUGCUGAAUGGACUCCUCUUGUUGCCGCACUACGCUAAUAAGCGCGGCCAUCUGCUCCCGAAGCUCCCCGUCGCCACCUGCUCCGGGUUGCACGGGAGCUGCACUUGGUUCCUCAGCCAUAGUCCUCGUUCGCGGUCGACCACGAGGCAUCUUAGGUCGUCCACGAGGUGGCAUUGCUUCCUGAAAUGAAGCAAUUCACAUUAGUUACUCAAUACUAUACUCGAACAUACCUAAUUCAGCGAAAGCAACGAGUGUAUUUAUUUUCCUUCCAAAGCAUCAUGUCGUCGGCCGCCGAUCACAACACAAGGAAAAGAAAACAAAUAUCAACUUAAAUUUAGUCCCUAACCACAUUAGAAACAUAUUAACAUUAAUGCAAUCAAAAGCUUUCGCUAUAUUUCGAUUCCACGUCACUCACGUUUCCUAGAUCCUUAAGGUUUCAUUCCUAAGGGUCUGUAGGACCAUCCUAUACUUUCACUUUAGGCGCUUUACGCUCUGAUACCAUUAAAUCUGUCACGCCCCGAACCCGGUCCUAUUUGGCCAGUUCGGACUCGUCGAACAGACGCCGAACGGACAACACCUCCUGUAACAUACCAUGUCCCUCGUAAAUCGUGCUGAGUUCCGUCGAAUCGAGCGGGACGCGGAGUGGAACGAGCGGGUAUAGGCCCUAGUGCAUUUGUCACGCCCCGGGACCGGCGGAGGCCCUCCCGGUAGCGUGCCCAGACCCGCCAUAUGUCUACACAUAUAAGGCGUCUACAAUAAAAGCGGAAGUAAAGCAAGAGAUAGAACAAAUAAAAUAAGUGAAAUGACUAGCAACUAAUGAUAUCAGAGCGAGUAGAGUUCUAUCAUCUACACCAGAGUAAAGGAAUAGAGUUAGACAAUAAAAGAAACCGUAAGUAGUACACUAUCAGUCUCAAAAGUACAAAACUGGUGGUCUCUAAUACACUGGUACAGCUCUCAACCUCUCCAAAAAGAAAUACAUCGAGAGGUAGACCACCUAAACUCGUCUCUCGCUGAAGGGCUAACUCGAAGCGACGCCCUUACCACGGUCCCUAGCCUCUCCCGGCGUGGAAGGCUCUGAAAGAAAAGCUAAAACAGAGGGCGUGAGAACUAUAAUUUAUAGUUCCCAGUGGGCAAUUACUGACCUCAGCUCAUUGCGCCACUAGGCCCCAAAGGAAAUGGGUAAGUACAAUACUAAUAGCAAUAAUGACGGCGAUAUAAAAGCAUAAUUAAAAUGCUAAAUUACCAAACUCAAGUAUAAACGAUGUCAUGGUGAUGUACAUCUACGAUAUCAAAGUCGUAAAUCAUUAACCUAUAUGAAUACAUUAUGCAUAUGUUCUGUCAUCACUAACAAGUAUGCUUUAAUGCAAAAGGAGACUAUCAAGUACACUACAUGUCUCGACCCUAUGCUAAAAGCAUAUAAAUGUCAUUCAACUACUAAACCUAUCUAGUAGUGAUUAACCAUUCUCAACACCGUGUCGAUUUCCAUUUCCAAUUAAGGACCUACCAAAGGUAGUCCAGCUUGUGCCGCCUAAGUGCCUGUGAUAGCCCGACAUCCCUACUCGUGGAAUGUUUCUGUCCCAUCGACCCCGUAGGCUUCUCAAUACCGCACGAGCGAACAUAAGUCGCGUAGGCUAACUCCGGAGUGCCGGCUUGUAGGGAGCGACCCUCACAAGCAUGUGCGAAUGAGCACAAAUGGCAAGCAAGCAUAGUCAACGUCUCAAAUACCCAAUCAUCAUGUCUCUAACAUGGCAAUAUUCACUAGCAUCUCGAAAAUCUAGUUCAAUGUCUCUAAGUGAUGUCACAACACUCACUUGCUUAGUGCCUCUUUAUGACACUUAAGCAUCACAACAAAUCAAGCCCAAAUCUUGUUCUAUGUUUCCAUUAAAACAUCAAUACCAAUGAUUACCAUGACCCCGGCCCAAUGCCUCUUUAUGACAUUGUCCCAAUUCUCAAAUAGUCCAAGUUCUCAAGCCCUCUCUAGGCUUCUAACAUUCCUAAUGUCACAAUUGGCAUAUAGGUUAAAUGCAUGAAAGCAAGGUUCUAUUAACAUAAUAAGGAUCAUGGUUCUGAAUCGUAAUAAGAAGCUAAACCUGAUCAAGUUCCACAUGCUAGCUCUCUACUACAUAGAGGGCCGAAAUUUUCACCAACAUGUAACUAGAGCAAAUUAAGCCUUCUAAAAAAUCAUAAUAAAUGUAUCUACCAUGGAAAUACAUGAAUAAACAUUUAACAGUACUCAAAUCAACACCAAUGAAUUUUCUCAUUGUGCUAGGCCAAACCCACCGAACCGUCUGCUGCUUCUUCGAUUCGCCGAACGAGAUUGUCCACGAGUCUCAAAAGACCCUAAAAGUGAUCAGCGAAGAGAUACGAGGGCAUUACGACAACCAUAAAUCAAACAUUAACCUAGGAGCAAAAAGGGCCAAAACUCACCUCAAGAGAAGAAAUCUCUUCCAAAGCUCCAAAAGAGAGCUAGAACCCUUCCAAUCCAAGCCCAAGAAGUUCUAAACCAAUCAAUGACCUCAAAAGCCCUAGAUCAAAAAAGCCCAAAAAUCAACUCUAAUACCCAUUCUAGGUUCCAAAGGUAAAACCUACCAAAAAUCAAGGAUCAAAGGUAGAAUCCAAGUACUAACCUCCAAGAUGCCUCCAAACAAGCUCCAAAUCUUCUAGGGUUGAAGAUUGGUCCACCACCAAGCUGCUACAAGGAAGCUCCAAGCCUUGCAAAGUGGAAAAGAGAGAAAAUGGGGUUGAGCUCAAGCUCCCUCAGCUGAGCUCCUCUUCUUCUUCUCCUCCUUCUUCUUCUUCUCUCUCUAGAAAGUGUAGGGAGAGGGUGAGAAUGAGAAAAUGGGAGAGGGAAGAGGAGGAAAUGGCUAAUAAGCCCAUCUAGUGUAACAAAAUCCGGAGAGGCCCCUCAAAAAUUCAAAUUUACAUCAGCCCGAACUGGGCAGUUUUCGCCCAGAGGGACCGGUCUCUCCCCAGCAGGGACCGGUCUCUCGCAGCGAACCCGAAAAACCAACGUUCGGGAACCGGUCUCUCCCUGCGCGGGACCGGUCUCUCACUGCGAAGGCGCGCUCGGGGACCGGUCUCGCCCACCAGGGACCGGUUGCCUCAGGGCUGCCGCAACACUGCUCACUGGGGGACCGGUCCCUCCCUCCAGGGACCGGUCCCCGAGAGUAAAAACUCUCAGGACUCAUCUAGAACUCAGGUUUUCGAACUUUUUUUGUCGGAAAACAUUCAACAACCCUCCACCAAGUGUGGGAAAGCUCGAAAUACAUCCAAACACUCGAACCUCGCAAUUUGCAAAGGUCCAGUGUGCUACAGCAUUGGAGCCUAUAUAUGGUGCAAAGGGACCCGAGAGAGAGUGAGAUUUCAAAAUCUGGCUAAGUCCCAGAUUUUGUGUUCUCGGGGACCGGUCCCUGGUCGGAGAGAUCGGCCCCCGUACAUGUAGCCUGCCAGGAAAUCCUGAGGCAUCCGGUCCGUAGCAGUGACAUCGGUCCUCGGGAGACCGGUCCCUGAAGGAGAGACCGGUCCCUCGUUGUGCAGCAACUGAAAAAGCCAGAAAAUCGGCUAAGUCCUGGAAACCCAACGUUCGGGAACCGGUCCCUGGUCGGGGAGACUGGUCCCCGACAGCGAAAAAUGCCCAGUCUGGGUAGAUUAAUGGGAAACAAGUGGAGGGGCCAAAGUGCAAUUAUUACAACACUUUAUAUGGGCCAUCCCUUCUCUCCCACAGCUAUUUCUCACCUCCUCUCUCAUUUUCUCUCUUUCUCUCUCUAGAACUCCUCUAGAACUUGGAGAAGAAGAAGAAGAACUUAGAGAAGAAGGUGCAUUUGGUGCUUUGGAGGUUCUAGGAGCUCUCCAACAAGAAGAACCUUGGUGGAGCUUGGACUAGAGGUAAGUUUUGUAAGAUUUUCCUCUAGGGUUUGGAUUUUGGUUUAGGGAAUUGGAGAUUUGUGCUCCUUAGAGGCUUUAGAGGCUCUUUUGAGCCAUGAAUGCCAUGGUACCCAUGAGAGCUCAAGGUGCUCUCAUGGUGAACACUUAGGGGCUAAGGUAGAUGCCCUAGGGGUGGUUCUAAAGGCUUGAAAACUGUAAUAUACCGAAAAUUCGAAAAAUAAAAAUGUCGAACUUUAGUCAAAUUGACCAAAGUGCGAGGACGGUGCACUUCAGAAAGUCUGAUGGACUUCGGAAAGUCCGAAGGUGUUAAAAUGAUUAAAAGUGAGUUAUGGGAGGUUUUCGAGAGCUAAAGGAUCAAAUUCUGCAAAACUGCAGAUUUUGAGCUCUCGGGGACCGGUCCCUGGUGGGAGAGACCAGUCCCCGAACGCGUAUGAAAUGAGACAACCGAAAAAUCGGCUAAGUCCUGAGAAAUUAGCUCUCGGGAACCGGUCCCUGAAGGAGAGAUCGGUCCCUGAGAGACCGGUCCCCCAAGGAGAGACCUGUUGCCCUGCGCGCAGCAGCUCGGGCUGCGCGGGGAGAGCCUUCGGGAAUCGGUUCCUGAGACCGGUCCCCGCCUGCGCGAACAGCCCAGUCCAGGCUGUGUGAAAGAGUGAAAGUUGAGGGGUUUAGCUGCAAUUUUGCAACCCAAUGAGCUAUGUAUUGGGGUAAAUGAGACAUUUCUCUCAUUUCUACCCUCUCACACUCUCUUCUCUCCCUCUCUCUCUCUAGAAGACAAAGGAGAAGAAGAAAGAAAGAAAGAAAAGAAGGAAAAGAGGGAAAAGAAGGUGAAGAAGAAGGUCAAUAGGUGAAGCAACUUCAUCUUCUUCCUCUCUAGCUUGGGAAAGGAGAGCUUACAAGGUGAGCUUCAACCCACCUCUCAUGGUGAAAUCCAAACUAGGGUUUGGAAUGAGCUAGGAAUGGUUUAGAUGAACUCUUUAGAGUACAUUGAAGCUACUUUUGCUUCCCAAUGAGAUCAAACAAUGAGAUCAAACCCUAGGUUUGAUAUAUGUAUUGGAGCUAGGGCACCAAAUUGGGACUUUUGCUCAUGGGGAUUUCUAAGUGCAAUUGAUCCUCUAGAAACCUAAUUAGGGGUAUUUCCGACGCGUUGGUGCGCUUGGAUUAACAUUCCGAAGAACCAUGAAAAGAUAUGAGCAAAAUGACCUAUUAGGGCUUCGUUUUGCCGCAGGUAAAGAACGAGAAGCCUAAAAAUCCCGAGAAAAUCGUUGGAGCACCUUUGAAAGCCUACAAGGUGGGUGGUGCUUCUCAAACUCAUUGAACUUCUCUCUAUGCCUAAUGUGUCAUUCAUUUGAGCAUAUGUUACAUAUUUGUUGCAUGCAUUUUAGGGUAAAGUGAUGAUAGAAAUGUGAUGUUACAUGAUUGUGAGUACAACUUGCAAAAUAUGAUGAAUGAGAACUAUGUAAACAUCGAAAACCCUAUGUGUAUGCAUGAGAGAAAGUGAGCACUCAAAGUGAGCAAAAGAAUAGAGGGACACUAUGACAUAGAUCGAGUGGCAUUUGAUAAAGUUGAUAUAAAAUGACACUAGAGAUAGUGUGAGGUAAAGAACCAAUGUGAUGUAAAGAAUGAUGAAAAUGACAAUGCUUAAAGUUAAAGUAAUGUGGGGAGUAAAGAACAUGAAGUGCUAGAGGUAGCCAAANNNNNNNNNNNNNNNNNNNNNNNNNNNNNNNNNNNNNNNNNNNNNNNNNNNNNNNNNNNNNNNNNNNNNNNNNNNNNNNNNNNNNNNNNNNNNNNNNNNNNNNNNNNNNNNNNNNNNNNNNNNNNNNNNNNNNNNNNNNNNNNNNNNNNNNNNNNNNNNNNNNNNNNNNNNNNNNNNNNNNNNNNNNNNNNNNNNNNNNNNNNNNNNNNNNNNNNNNNNNNNNNNNNNNNNNNNNNNNNNNNNNNNNNNNNNNNNNNNNNNNNNNNNNNNNNNNNNNNNNNNNNNNNNNNNNNNNNNNNNNNNNNNNNNNNNNNNNNNNNNNNNNNNNNNNNNNNNNNNNNNNNNNNNNNNNNNNNNNNNNNNNNNNNNNNNNNNNNNNNNNNNNNNNNNNNNNNNNNNNNNNNNNNNNNNNNNNNNNNNNNNNNNNNNNNNNNNNNNNNNNNNNNNNNNNNNNNNNNNNNNNNNNNNNNNNNNNNNNNNNNNNNNNNNNNNNNNNNNNNNNNNNNNNNNNNNNNNNNNNNNNNNNNNNNNNNNNNNNNNNNNNNNNNNNNNNNNNNNNNNNNNNNNNNNNNNNNNNNNNNNNNNNNNNNNNNNNNNNNNNNNNNNNNNNNNNNNNNNNNNNNNNNNNNNNNNNNNNNNNNNNNNNNNNNNNNNNNNNNNNNNNNNNNNNNNNNNNNNNNNNNNNNNNNNNNNNNNNNNNNNNNNNNNNNNNNNNNNNNNNNNNNNNNNNNNNNNNNNNNNNNNNNNNNNNNNNNNNNNNNNNNNNNNNNNNNNNNNNNNNNNNNNNNNNNNNNNNNNNNNNNNNNNNNNNNNNNNNNNNNNNNNNNNNNNNNNNNNNNNNNNNNNNNNNNNNNNNNNNNNNNNNNNNNNNNNNNNNNNNNNNNNNNNNNNNNNNNNNNNNNNNNNNNNNNNNNNNNNNNNNNNNNNNNNNNNNNNNNNNNNNNNNNNNNNNNNNNNNNNNNNNNNNNNNNNNNNNNNNNNNNNNNNNNNNNNNNNNNNNAUCAUCUUUUGUAUAUGAUGGUAAAUGAUGUAAAGAAAAGAAUGUAGUACGUAUUUUGAGGUAAAUGUGAUGUAAGAAAGAAAUGAUGAAAUGAUAUGUAAGGAAUUCGAAAAUGAACCAGAUGAAUGCAUGUAUAUGAUCAAAAAUGAAUCAUGGUACAAGUGAAUGUUUAGUUUUCCUUUCUUUCACUAAUGGCUAUUGCUUACCCUCGUGUAAGCCGUUUGUGUAUGUUUCCGCUAGUGCUUUUCUCUAUUGAUGAAAAUGUACAUGUGAUGAGCCUUGGGCGGACAGGGGAAACUCUGUCCGUUCGGCGUCUGUUUGACAUGCUCUGGUCGGGCCAAAUUGGUAUCGGUCCCGGGGCGUGACAAAAACCUUGUUAGAAAGCUUCUUAGAUGAUUCUAGACUAUUAUUUGCUUAGGGUUGAGAUCAAUUCAUGGGGAAACCCUAAAUGACAUUAUUAGGGCUCAAAUUUGGGGCUUUUGCCCUAGGAUUUUUCGGAGACAAAUUGACCCCGUAGAAACCUAAUUGGGGGUGUCCUAAACACGUUGGACAACUUCGUUCAACGCUACGAAAAUGUUUAAAUAUAGUUCAUGUAUAAAAGGCCUAAUAGGGCGCUAAUUUGGUUAUAGGACGUGGAGCCGGCAUUCGUAGCGCUCGGGAGUCAUCACAUUCCACACCCACACGAUCAUUAGAGGUGGGAGGUGCACACCGGAAUCAUUGGAUUCCCUUCUAUGUCUGUUUUCCCUUUUUUUCAGCAUAUAUCUAUAUAUAGCCAUUCAUGCAUAGUAGGGUAGAUACAUGUGGAACUUGGUUUGAUUUCAUUUAUAUGCUUCUAACGUAGUUGAACACAGAGAAUGAUUGAACCAAAAAUGGACAUGUGUGAUAGGACCCUCAAGAUGUGUGAAUGUGAGGUUUGGACAUGGACAAUAGAAAAUAAAGGUGACAUUGACAUAGAAACAAGAUUGGCGUUAAGAGAUGAACCGUUAAACAUAGUUUAACUAAUUAUGGCAUCAUCGCAAGUAUAGCCUAGAGAGUGGCAAGAAUGAAUAGGUAGAGACCUAUCAUGACACUGACAUUGUGAAUUAGUGGCUAUGAAUCCUCCAGUUGAGGAUUGGAUCGAUACUCACGAUACGUCUUGGCUUGAGGGAGGUCGCUCCCCCUCGGGCGGUGCACUCCGGAGUUGGUCACCACUAGUCGUGGUAAAGUCCCACCAGAUGACGGUCCCUAGGGAGGUUCGAGUCCCCCGUUAUUAAGGGAUUUUGGGUUGUGAGUUAUUGGGGUUAACGAGGUUAACCGGUAAGAUUGAAUAAGAGCCAAAGCUUAUUUAUGAAUUUAGCAUGCAUGCAUUUUCCAUUAUUGCACUGAGUAUUGUAUCCACUGACAUUCUUCUGCAGGCAUAGUAUUAGAUGCAUUAGUACUGGUUACUUUUCUUUCCUUAAAAUACUUAUGCCUGGAUAGACCUAGUGGGUAAAUCGACGAGGUCGGAUGCCGAACCCACUGGGAAUUUCGUUGUAGUUCUCACACCACUAACCCUACAGAUCCUAGCACGAGCGGGGCGGCGGAGGACCGAGGCAGGGGUAUAGCGCCGUAGAUUACGGCCACCGGGACUUUAUACCUUUUGUAGUCAUUCCCCUUUUUGGUAUAUAUAUAUCAACUUCUUUUGUUGACUUAGAGAAGUAAAGUUGUAAACAAUCAUGUAUUUGGUGGAUGACUAAAUGUAAAAAGAUAUGAUGGAUGAAUGAAAAUGUAAUAGUUUUAUUCACUUGUAUUUGGUUUAAAUCUAAUCAAAUAUCAUGUAUGUUGUAUAAUUAGCUUAGAGCUUUCGCUUCCGUUGUUGCUUACCCUCGUGCAAGCCUUGUAUUAUAUAUGCAAAUCCCUGGUUGAUUGCUUAAUUAUACAUGUUGUUAGAGCCUUGGGCGGACAGGGGAGGUUCUGUCCGUUCGGCGUCUGUUGACGUGACCCGAACCCGACCAAAUUAGCAGGGAUUGGGGCGUGACAGAUAUAAUGGUAUCAGAGAGAAGUGGAAAGCAAAAGUCUAGGAAUUACCUAGGAACCAUAGGUGUGGAGACCAUAGGGACCUAGGAAAACGUUUAACGUGAACUUGGUUUAUGCGAAAGCGAAUAAUUGGGUUAACGGUAACACUUCUCUAGAAGGAAGUAGAGAUGGACUAGAAGGCGUACUUGUUGUCUACUUAAGGGACUUUGUGGGGCGGCCGACCACAUGACACCAAGAGUGGAAACGAUUAUGCUUGUUGCUUUCGCUUAAUUGGGUAGUUGUUUGGAACGUAUAAGAGUCACGUGCUUCGAGUACUAAUGUGUGCGUGCAUUACGUUUCAGGACGCGAUGGCACCACCAAGGAGAGUUACGAGGUCCACACCGGCGGAGCCUUGGGAGGAGCCCGGGCAGUCGGGGUCGGAUGACGUGCGCGAGUUGCGAGCCUAAGUAGCGGCCUUGGCCGGGGCUAUGCGGCUUCAAGGGGAGCAGAUUGGGCAGCUCCACGAGAUGAUGGCGCAAUAGGCAGCGGCGGCAUCAGUGCCAAGGGAUCCACCCCCACCGGUUGCUCCUGUAGCACCACCUCCUACGGUGGCGGCAGCGCCAGUGACGAUGGUUCCUCCGACGGUAUCGGGUUCAUCGACUCCUAUUCCCGCUGUAUUUGAGGCCGAGCAGGAGCGCACGUUUGCGGCGCUGACGGCAUUCAAGCGAUUCAACCCUCCGACCUUCAACGGGGAUGUGAAGGACCCGUGGACGACGGAGAGUUGGCUAGCCGCUAUGGAAGCCUUGUUCGAGGAUAUCUACACCCUCGAGAGGGAUAAAGUUCAUCUUGCGGCUCAUUGUUUCGAUGGGUCGGCCCGAUUGUGGUGGAAUCAAGCGAAGAGAAAUCGCUCGUUAGAGCACCCUUUUAUUACUUGGGAGGCGUUUCGGGAGAUGCUGCUUAUGGAGUAUUUCCCCGAGAGCGACAAAAGAAAAAUCAAGGAGGAUUUUCGGAAGCUAAGGCAAGGAAGUCGAUCAGUGCGGGAGUAUGAGAAGGAAUUCACGCACAUGAUUAACGGCGUACCGGGCUUGGUUCACGGUGAUAGGGACCGAGCGGAGGUAUUCAAGCGCGGGUUGCGACCCGAAAUUUUUAAGGUUAUACAUGCCUUCCGGUUGAAGACCUAUAAGGAAGUUCUUGAUCGCGCGCUUUGGGUGGAGCGCGGGAAUGCCAUCGCGCGUGAUGAGCACGAGACUUUUGAGAGAGACAGGGAAAGAGAUAGGACCAAGAAGCGUCCGGCUGGUGGAUCUGUGAGGCAAUCGAGUUCUAAACGACCCCCGCGACCUCAGCGAUCACAAUGGCGGGGAGGUAGGAGUCAGGCACAAGGCCAGACUACCUACCCGUGCGUGAUAUGUGGCGGAGAACAUAGAGCCACCACUUGCCCACAGCGGGAGGGGCGGUGUUACCGAUGUGGCCAACCGGGGCACAUGAGCCGAGAGUGCCCGGGCGGCGCAUCCCGAGCCCCAUCAUCAGCUUUAGUUCAGUACACUCAGUGGCAGUUGGCGGGACUGCCACUCGCAACAUCUGCUGGACGAUCGUCGGCGCCUCGUCAGCCGGAGGCCUCUCGAGCACCUAGUGGGUGGGUAUUUGCCACUCAGGUGGAGGAGCCACCAAUUGUUGUUCUCGACGACGUCGUGGCAGGUAUUAUUCUUAUUAGAGGCACUAGAGCUAGAGCCAUAUUUGAUACAGGUGCAUCUCAUUCAUUCAUAUUAACAUCAUUUGCACAAGCUCAUAACAUAGAGAUCACUCAUAGCGAAGAGUAUUGGUCGGUGAACACUCCCGAGCACUCGUUCGACGUUCAUGAUGAGUGCUUGGACUGUCCAGUACAGAUAGGUGAUUGGAUUAUGUCGAUCGACCUUUUAGUGUUAAAAGAAAUGUGGGGUUUCGAGGUAAUCUUGGGGAUGAAUUGGCUCUCCAAGUACUACGCGGUUAUAGAUUGCGAAAGAAGGGUGAUCACGUUCCGUGAACCUAACCUAGAGGAGUUUGUCUAUCGGGCGUAUAAAGGCAAACGCUUCGCAGCCACUAUAUCGACGGUGAGGGCGAAAAAGAUGAUCAAGGGUGGUUGUAAGGCUUACUUGGCGACCAUCGUGGACCCUCGAAAGGAGUACCCGGAACUGGAGAGUAUUCGCAUUGUGCGGGAGUAUCCGAAUGUAUUCCCAGCGGAGUUACCGGGACUGCCCCCGGAUCGGGAAGUCGAGUUUGUCAUUGACUUGAUUCCCGGGGCGGCGCCAAUUUCGAAGGCCCCGUAUAGAAUGGCACCGGUGGAGCUAAAAGAGUUGAAAGCUCAAUUACAAGAUUUGCUCGAUAAAGGCUUCGUACGGCCGAGUGUGUCCCUGUGGGGAGCUCCAGUGCUAUUUGUAAAGAAGAAGGACGGCACACUCCGACUCUGCGUCGAUUAUCGCGAGUUAAAUAGAGUGAUGAUCAAGAACAAAUACCCGUUGCCGAGAAUUGAUGACUUAUUUGACCAGUUGCAAGGGUCAAGGGUAUAUUCAAAGAUUGAUCUGCAGUCGAGGUAUCAUCAGUUGAAGAUACGGCCCAAAGACGUGCGCAAGACGGCGUACCGUACGCGGUAUGGCCACUAUGAGUUUACGGUCAUGCCAUUCGGGCUCACUAAUGCCCCGGCGGCAUUCAUGGACCUAAUGAAUCGAAUCUUCCGUCCGCUAUUGGACCGGUGCGUCGUGGUUUUCAUUGACGACGUAUUGGUAUAUUCUCGGACCGAAGAAGAACACGAGGAGCAUCUAAGGCUCGUGUUGGAGAUACUCCGGAAGGAAAAGCUUUACGCAAAACUAAAAAAAUGUGAGUUUUGGCUUUCGGAGGUUACCUUCUUGGGUCACGUUGUAUCCGGAGAUGGUAUCUCGGUGGAUCCAAAGAAAGUUGAGGCGAUUAAAGAUUGGCCUCGCCCGACAAGCGUAGCGGAAAUCCGUAGCUUCCUUGGACUUGCGGGCUAUUACCGGCGGUUCGUGGAGGGGUUUGCCAGGAUAACAACUCCGCUAACGCGCCUUAUGCACAAAGGGGUGAAGUUUGUGUGGAGCCCCGAGUGUGAGCGGAGCUUUGAGGAGCUAAAGAAUAAACUGACGUCUACUCCGGUGCUUGCUUUGCCAACACCAGGAGAAAGCUAUGUCGUAUACAGUGAUGCUUCAUACAUCGGUCUCGGGUGUAUCUUAAUGCAAAACGGCCGAGUCAUAGCUUAUGCUUCGCGCCAGUUGAAGAGUUAUGAAAAUAACUACCCGACUCACGAUCUUGAGCUAGCGGCGGUUGUUUUCGCGCUAAAACUGUGGAGGCAUUACUUGUAUGGGGAACAUUGUGAGAUCUACACCGAUUAUAAAAGUCUCAAAUACUUGUUCACCCAAAAGGAGCUAAACUUGCGACAACGGCGAUGGUUAGAGUUGCUCAAGGAUUACGAUGUCACGAUUCUCUACCACCCCGGAAAAGCGAACGUCGUAGCUGAUGCUUUAAGUAGAAAGUCGACAGAAAAUUUGGCGACGAAAAUUACACCUCAACUGGCUUUGCAAAAGGAGAUGCAGCGGUUUGGUCUAGAAGUUGUGGCGCCGGAAGUGCCGGCAACACUUGCCACCUUAGUUGUGCAACCUACCUUGUUGGAGAAGAUUAAAGGAUUACAAAUAUCGGAUGAAUUUCUCCAAAAGGUGCGGGGCAAAGUUGAGAGCGGUAGUACCGAUGAUUUUGACAUUGGAACCGACGGCGCACUACGAUAUCGGGAUCGUUGGUGCGUGCCCAAGGACGACGAUCUUCGAAAGGCGAUUAUGCAAGAAGCGCAUCAAUCUCCCUAUAGCAUUCACCCUGUCGGCACCAGAUGUAUCGAGACUUGAAAUUGCAUUAUUGGUGGCCGGGCAUGAAGAAAGAUAUAGAAGAGUUCGUGGGGCAGUGCCUCACGUGCCAACAAGUGAAGGCGGAGCGUCGAUUUCAGGCGAAAAAAUUGCAAAGUCUACCUAUACCCGUGUGGAAAUGGGAAAACAUCGCGAUGGACUUUGUGACAGGUUUGCCUAGGUCACAGGGUGGACAUGACGCGAUUUGGGUAGUUGUGGACCGGUUGACAAAAUCGGCACACCUUUUGCCGAUCCACGCUACUUGGUCGGGAGAUAAGUUGGCUCAGGUCUAUAUUGACGAGGUGGUGAGACUUCACGGGGUUCCGGUAUCUAUUGUGUCGAAUCGGGACCCUAGGUUCACAUCUCAUUUUUGGAAGAGCUUAUAGGAUGCAUUGGGCACGCGGCUCGACUUUAGUACGGCAUUCCAUCCUCAAAGUGACGGUCAAUCAGAAAGGACGAUUCAAAUACUUGAGUACAUGCUUCGAGCGUGUGUGCUUUAUCAUAAGGGCGGAUGGCACGAUCACUUACCGAUGGCGGAAUUCGCAUACAACAAUAGCGAUCAAGAAAGCAUUGCGAUGGCGCCAUUCGAGGCCCUUAUGGAAGGAAAUGUCGCUCGCCAAUACACUGGAGCGAUGUGGGUGAGAAGCUAGUUCUUGGCCCGGAUGUGGUGCGGGAGGCGGAAGAGAAAGUCCGCCUUGCCCGACAAAGAUUGGUGACGGCGCAAUCGAGCCACAAGAGUUAUGCCGACAAGCGGCGAAAGGAUAUCGAGUUCGCGGUAAGAGACCGCGUAUUUCUAAAAGUAUCGCCGAUGCGAGGAGUUAAACGAUUCGGUGUUCGCGGGAAGCUAAGCCCCCGCUAUAUCGGACCCUUCGAGAUUCUGGAACGAGUUGGCGCGGUGGCCUACAAGUUGGCAUUACCACUGAGGCUCGCGGGAGUACAUGAUGUAUUCCAUGUAUCCCAACUCCACAAGUAUGUGUACAACCCAGAUCAUAUUCUCUCGUAUAUACCGAUAGAACUUCAAGGGGAUAUGACUUAUGAGGAGUUUCCGGCGCACAUUGUGGAUCGGGAAGUAAGAAAGCUUCGGAGCCGCGAAAUCCCGUAUGUUAAAAUUCAUUGGUGCGAACAUGAUGACUGGAAAGAAACGUGGGAGCUCGAAAGCGAAAUGAGGGAGCGUUAUCCUUACCUCUUCGAGGAUCCGAAGUGAGGUAUGAAAUUUAGAUUUCAAACUUAGUAGCUUCGCGGACGAAACUAAAUUCAGGUGUGGAGAAUGUAACAUACCACGUCCCUCGUAAAUCGUGCCGAGUUCCGUCGAAACGAGCGGGACGCGGAGUGGAACGAGCGGGUAUAGGCCCUAGUGCAUUAGAGCCUAUAUAUACUGCAAAAGGACCCGAGAGAGAGUGAGAUUUCAAAAUCUGGCUAAGUCCCAGAUUUUGUGCUCUUGGGGACCGGUCCCUGGUCGGAGAGACCGGUCCCCGUACGCGUAGCCUGCCAGGAAAUCCUGAGGCAUCCGGUCCCUGGCAGUGAGACCGGUUUUCGGAAGACCGGUCCCUGAAGGAGAGACCGGUCCCUCGUUGCGCAGCAGCUGAAAAAGCCAGAAAAUCGGCUAAGUCCUGGAAACCCAACGUUCGGGAACCGGUCCCUGGUCGUGGAGACCGGUCCCCGACAGCGAAAAAUGCCCAGUCUGGGCAGAUUAAUGGAAAACAAGUGGAGGGGCCUAAGUGCAAUUAUUACAACACUUUAUAUGGGCCAUCCCCUCUUUCCCACAGCUAUUUCUCUCCUCCUCUCUCAUUUUCUCUCUUUCUCUCUCUAGAACUCCUCUAGAACUUGGAGAAGAAGAAGAAGAACUUAGAGAAGAAGGUGCAUUUGGUGCUUUGGAGGUUCUAGGAGCUCUCCAACAAGAAGAACCUUGGUGGAGCUUGGACUAGAGGUAAGUUUUGUAAGAUUUUCCUCUAGGGUUUGGAUUUUGGUUUAGGGAAUUUGAGCUUUGUGCUCCUUAGAGGCUUUAGAGGCUCUUUUGAGCCAUAAAUGCCAUGGUACCCAUGAUAGCUCAAGGUGCUCUCAUGGUGAACACUUAGGGGCUAAGGUAGAUGCCCUAGGGGUGGUUCUAAAGGCUUGAAAACCUUGUUAGAAAGCUUCUUAGAUGAUUCUAAGCUAUUAUUUGCUUAGGGUAGAGAUCAAUCCAUUGGGAAACCCUAAAUGACAUUGUUAGGGCUCAAAUUUGGGACUUUUGCCCUAGAAUUUUUCGGGGACAAAUUAACCCCGUAGAAACCUAAUUGGGGGUGUCCUAAACAUGUUGGACAACUCCGUUCAACGCUACGAAAAUGUUUAAGUAUAGUUCAUGUAUAAAAGGCCUAAUAGGGCGCUAAUUUGGUUAUAGGACGUGGAGCCGGCAUUCGUAGCGCUCGGGAGUCAUCACAUUCCACACCCACACGAUCAUUAGAGGUGGGGGGUGCACACCGGAAUCGUUGGAUUCCCUUCUAUGUCUGUUUUUCCUUUUAUUGAGCAUAUAUCUAUAUAUAGCCAUUCAUGCAUAGUAGGGUAGAUACAUGUGGAACUUGGUUUGAUUUUAUUUAUAUGCUUCUAACGUAGUUGAACACAGAGAAUGAUUGAACCAAAAAUGGACAUGUGUGAUAGGACCCUCAAGAUGUGUGAAUGUGAGGUUUGGACAUGGACAAUAGAAAACAAAGGUGACAUUGACAUAGAAACAAGAUUGGCAUUGAGAGAUGAACCGUUAAACAUAGUUUAACUAAUUAUGGCAUCAUCGCAAGUAUAGCCUAGAGAGUAGCAAGAAUGAAUAGGUAGAGACCUAUCAUGACACUGGCAUUGUGAAUUAGUGGCUAUGAAUCCUCCAGUUGAGGAUUGGAUCAAUACUCACGAUACGUCUUGGCUUGAGGGAGGUCACUCCCCCUCGGGCAGUGCGCUCCGGAGUUGGUCACCACUGGGCGUGGUAAAGUCCCACAAGAUGACGGUCCCUAGGGAGGUUCGAGUCCUCCGUUAUUAAGGGAUUUUGGGUUGUGAGUUAUUGGGGUUAACGAGGUUAACCGGUAAGAUUGGGUAAGAGCCAAAGCUUAUUUAUGAAUUGAGCAUGCAUGCAUUUUCCAUUAUUGCAUUGAGUAUUGUAUCCACUGACAUUCUUCUGUAGGCAUAGUAUUAGAUGCAUUAGUACUGGUUACUUUUCUUUCCUUGAAAUACUUAUGCCUGGAUAGACCUAUUGGGUAAGUCGGUGAGGUCGGAUGCCGAACACACUGGGAAUUUCAUUGUAGUUCUCACACCACUAACCCUACAGGUCCUAGCACGACGGGGCGGCGGAGGACCAAGGCAAGGGUAUAACGCCGUAGAUAGCGGCCACUGGGACUUUAUACCUUUUGUAUUCAUUCCCCUUUUUGGUAUACAUGUAUCAACUUCUUUUAUUGACUUAGAGAGGUAAAGUUGUAAACAAUCAUGUAUUUGGUGGAUGACUAAAUGUAAAAAGAUAUGAUGGAUGAAUGAAAAUGUAAUUGUUUCAUUCACUUGUAUUUGGUUUAAAUCUAAUCAAAUAUCAUGUAUGUUGUAUAAUUAGCUUAGAGCUUUCACUUCCGUUGUUGCUUGCCCUCGCGCAAGCCUUGUAUUAUAUAUGCAAAUUCCUGGUUGAUUGCUUAAUUAUACAUGUUGUCAGAGCCUUGGGCGGACAGGAGAGGCUCUGUCCGUUCGGCGUCUGUUGACGUGACCCGAACCCGACCAAAUUGGCGGGGAUUGGGGCGUGACACCUCCCCUGUCCGCUCAAAGCUCAACAUCAAGUACAAAUAGAGUAUAAAAUUUGCACAUGCGGAGCAAACAUUAAUGCUUGCACGAGGGCAAGCAAUAGCCCAAGUGAAAGUACUGUCUACUCAACAUACAAGUAAUAUGAUUAACUUUAAAUCACAUACAUGCAUACUGCUUUAAUCAAAUUCUUUACAUUCUUUGCAUAAUUUCUUUUUACAUCACAUGAUCUUCCCAAAAUAUGCCUUUGCAUUUAACAUCAUAAAAUAUCUUUAAUACAAUUACCUUAAACAUCUAUAAUCAUCAAAUACAAAAGAUAAUAUAAAGGGGUAUGCAACUACAAAAUGUAAAAGUAUCUCGGGCGGUCUCUGUCUAGGGUGUGAUACCCUUACCGCGAUCGUCCGCCGGCUCGCUCAGCCCCGGCUCUAUGGAAAUAGUGGGGUGAGAACUACAACAAAAUUUCCAGUGGGUUCGGGCCCGAUGUAACAUAUGGAAACUUGGAAUUGCGAUGUCAACUUUGACCUAGAGGGUCAAAGUGAGGAUUGAGCUAGUUGGACAUCAUCCUCGAGUGAUUUGUGAUGCGUUGGAAUGAAUUUCGGAGAUAAAUAAGUGUUUCGGCGCAAAUUGGGCGCGAAACAAAAUAUAAAGAGAGUUUCGGAUUUCCGACGCUAACUUUGAUUAAAAGAAAUGAAAGUAAGGCGUAAAGAUAAAUUGUGGCAUCUCCGAAUCAGUUGGGAAGUCUUGGAAAAGCCAAGGGUGUGUUAUCAAAGGGCUUUGAAGAGCUCAGGGCGAAGUGGUAGUGUGAAAAAGGAGAAAGUGCAUUGGAGCUGAUUCUAUUUCUCAUUCGGCUCCAAUAAUGUCAAAAUGAAAAGGAAUGGCUUCCAAAUUGAAUUGGUAGCUUGUGAAGGUCCCUUGGUAUAUUUUGGACAUGUUUGGAAGAAAUCGGAGCGAAAACGAAAAAUGUAGAAUUUUCUGUAAAGAACGGGACUGAGAAAAUUAGCAGAAAAUGCACAGUGUCAGAAAAUUAUGAAAAUUGGCAGAGAUGUCAGGAACAUUAUUAUGAGGCUAGAUUUGAAGUUUCAGAUUUUUCUGACACCUGUAGAGAGAGAAAUUACAUCAUAAAGUGAUCUGAUAAAGAUUACAGUUCGGGACAGUUCGCAGUGACCAAACGGGGUCGAAACUGAAAUGUUAAAAUUUCAGUGGACCUGUUAAGUAAAAACGAACAUUCCUGCCAAAUUUGAGCUCAAUCGGACUUUCGGAAGGGCCUGCGAAAGGUAUUUGAUCCGCGCGGCUAAACGGAUAAGUCGAGGGGCAAAAUGGUAAUUAGCUAUGGCUUAGUGGAAUUCCACUAAACCUGCCAACAGGGGAGCUCCAUCCUUAUCCCCCUCUGCAGCCCAUACGUAGAGAGAGAGAGAGAAGAAGAAAAGAAGAGAAAAGAGAAGAAGAAGAAGAAAAAGAAGAAGAUAAGAGGUGAGUUUUCUACCUCUCCCUGUCAUCUCUCUCCCUCUCAUCUCUCUCCCUGCUGCUACUGGUUGUAGCAGCAGCAGCAAUAGGAGCUUCAGCAGCAGCAGCAGCUUAGCCUAGCUGCUGCUAGGCUGUCAACAGCAGCAGCAGCUUCAGCUCAGCAGCAGCAGCUCAGCUUCAGCAGCAGCAGCUUCAGGAGCAUCAGCAGCAGCAGUCAGCUUCAGCUGCAGCUUGCGCAGCAGCAGCAGUCAGCAGCUGCAGCUUCAGCAGCAGCAGCAGUGCAGCAGCUGUAGCAGCAGCAGCAGCAGCAGCAAGCAGCAGUAGCAUCAGCAGCAGCAGCAGCAGCAGCAGCUUAGCACCAGCAGCAGCAGCAGCAGCAUGUGCCAGCAGCAGCAGCAGCAGCAUGCGCCAGCAACAGCAGCUGCAGCUUCAGCAGGAGCAGCAGCAGCAGCUGCAGCUUCAGCAGGAGCAGCAGCAGCAGCAGCUUCAGCAGGAACAGCAGUAGAAGCCUGCUGCUGCAGGGAAAGAAAAGAAGGAAAGAAAGAAAAGAAAGAAAAGCAAAAGAGAAAGAAAAAGAAAACCUGCAGGGAAGAGAAAGAAAGAAAGGAAAGAAAAGAAAAGAAAAGAAAAGAAAGAAAAAAAGAAAAGAAAAGAAAGAAAAUGAAAGAAAGGGAAAUGAUAGAGAGAAAAAUGGAAUUGAAGUAUUUGGACAGUUUUUAUUAACUGUUUUGAGGCUCUUGGGCUAAUAAGAAUUGAAUUACGCUAUGUAAUUGUGAAAAUUGCAUUGAAACGGGAUUUUUAUAGAAAUUGACCCCGAUAAUGCACUUUUGCAGGAUAGAGACCCUGACGUGAAAUUGACCGCGUACAAACCUAAUUGGGGGUAAAAGAAACGCGCUGGCGAAGUCGGUUCGGCAAUCCGUCGCUCCUACGCGAAGAUAUCGCCAAAAGAAGAUUUUCGGCGUCGAUAGUCGCGAGCGCGGGUCGCGGUUCUCGGGAAAGCGCUAGAAGCGCAUUUCUCCCUUUCCGGCAUCAAAUAAAGGUGGGUGGUGCUAUCCGAAGUCUUUGAAUCACCUUUUAUGUCUAUGCUAUUCAUUGAGCAUAUUUACUUCUGUAUUCAUGCAUUAUAGGGUAUGGGCAUUGGCAUUAUGCAAGUGAUAUUGAACGUGUGAAUUCUUAUUGAUAGUAAGAACAUAUGAACAUAGAAUGUGGACAUAGAACCCUAUGAAUGUAUGAAACUGUAAAGGACCAAGACAAUAGUAAACUUGGUGACAUCAUGACUAGAGAUUUGGUUAGCAUCGAGAAAUGCAAUUAUGAAACUAGUAUAAAGAACUAGUUAGAGUUAAAUUGUGACAUUGUUGUCAGUUGAAUCCUCUAAAGGGGGAUCAGAUCUUACUCACAUAGUCUGUUUUCUUAGCUUGGUGGUGGUCGCUCCCCCCAGGCAGUGAGCUCCGGAGUAGUCACUUGUUGGGCUAACGUACUUGCCCCAGGACUAACGUACUUGUCCGACAGACGGUCCCAUCGGGAGGCAGCUUAGGGCCCGUGAGGGAUUUCGUUGGUGAGUUAUUGUUAACCAAAGGGUUAACCACUGAAUUGGGUAAAUUUAUGGGCUAACGUACUUGCCCCAGGACUAACGUACUUGUCCAGCUGUUAACCAGAGGGUUAACCAAAAGAUUGGGUAAAGUUAAUGAAAAGCAUGCAUGCAUAUUUACAGUUUUCAUAUCUGUUACUUCUUUCAGCUUUGUACAGGCAUUGUAGUAGUUACAUGUUAUAGUUGGUUACUAUCUGCUUACUUUUCUUGCCUACAUAUGCCUGAGUAGACCUAGUGGGUGAGUCGGCGAGGUCGGCAGCCGAACCCACUGGGAACUUUCUUGUAGUUCUCACACCACUAACCAUACAGGUUCCAGUGCGAGUUUUGAGGCCGAGGAUCGUGGCAAGGGCCCUGCAGCUUAGCUAGCUGACACCAGAGUUUAGCAAUUACCAUUUUGAGUUCAUGUAUCAUCCAUUUUGAUGUACAGAGACAUGUAAAUGAAUGUAUAAAAAGCAUGUAUAUAACUAAAUGUUUCAGUUACAAGUUCAGUUGUGUAAAAUUUUAAAUUACAGUGAAUUUCAUUGUACAGUUAGUUUACUAUCACUUGUGUUUGUUGCUUGCCUUCGUGCAAGCCAUGUAUAUUGAAAUGUGAUCCUGGGAAUUAUUUAUUUCUUUAUACAUGUACUCGUUGUUGUUGAGCCUUGGGCGAACAGAGGAGGUGCUGUUCGUUCGGCGUCUGUGCGCGGGCCCGGAUCGACCAAAUUGGCGAUAGCGGGACGUGACAGAUAAAGUGGUAUCAGAGCAAGUGAUAGUGAAAGUCUAGGGUGACCUAGGGGACUUAGGAUUGGAAACCUAGGGACCAGGAACGCGAGUGGCGUGAAUCUAAUGAUAGCGAAAGCCAAACAAUUGGGUUAGUUGUUAGCAAGUCUCUAAUGUUAAUUAGGGGCUGAUCCGAGUGUUAUUUAUAUGCAACUAAAAAGAGUUAUGUUGAAUGGCCACAACAUAAAGCUAAGGGUUGAGUAUAAAUGCACUUGAAUUGCUUUCGCCUGAUUGGUUUUGUUUUACUAAUGUGAAUGGUUCGUUUCAGGAGAAAUGCCACCGCGACGUGUGACGAGAUCCACUCCGGCAUCACCUUCUGAGGUGCCAGAGCAGUCUGGGUCUGAUGAGGUUCAGGAGUUGCGUGCUCAGGUGAGCGCGUUAGUCGGGGCUAUGCAGAGACAGGAGGAGCAUAUAAAGAGUUUACAGGAUCUAAUGUCGCGACAGGCGACGACAGCAGCACCUGGGAGUCAGGAUGUACCUAUAUCUGAGGCGCCGACGAUCGUGCCUCCUGUUCCGCUGACUGUUCCUCCAGUGAUUUUUGGGCCCUCUGAUUCUGAUGUGACCGCGUUAGAGGCUGAGCGCGCACGAUUUGUAAAGGUGUUAGAGGCAUUUUUGCGGUUUAAUCCGUCUAUGUUUGAUGGAAAAGAAGCCAAUCCGUGGGUAGUAGAGACAUGGCUUACAGCGAUGGAGGUAUUAUUCGAGGACAUUUACACUUUGGAAAGGGAUAAAGUUCCUUUGGCGGCACACUGCUUUGAGAAAGAUGCUCAGAUCUGGUGGCAAAAGGCCAAGAAGAAGCGGGCAUCAAACCUACCACCGCUCACUUGGGAGGAGUUUCGCGAGAUGUUAUUUAUGGAGUACUUUCUCGACAGCGAUAAAAGGAAAAUGAAGGAAGACUUCCGCAAGUUGAGACAGGGAAACCGUUCGGUACGGGAGUACAAACGGGAAUUUACUCAUUUGGUGAACUCUGUGCCUGGUAUGGUUCAUACGGAUUGAGAUCGAGCGGAGUACUUUGAGCGGGGGUUGCGACCUGAUAUAUUCAGGACAGUCAAUGCUCUGAAGUUAAAGACAUUUGAGGAGGUCCUGGAUCGAGCUCUUUGGGUUGAGCGCGGGAAUGCGAUUGCGCGUGAUGAACGCGAAUCGUUUGAAAGAGAACGAGAAAGAGAAAAAGGAAAAAAAAGGACUACUAGUGGUGCCGGGGGACAAUCGAGCUCUAAACGGCCCCCUCGGUAUCCACGUUCUCAGUCGAGGUAUCAGGGACCCCCGAGGUGUGUGAUUUGUGGCGGGAAUCACCGACCGUCGGUUUGUUCACAGCGUGAGGGCAAGUGUUACAAGUGUGGGCAGCCGGGACAUAUGAUUCGUGAUUGCCUGAGGGGAGCAUCACCUGCACAGUCCACAGCUUCAGUCCAGUCACCCUCCAGACAGCGUUCUGGUCUACCACCUGCUAUGUCAGCUGGACGUACUUUUGUGCCGCGUCAGUACGAGCCAUCUCGAUCUGCAUCGAGUACCCGUAUGGACGCACCUCGAUCUGCACCGAGUGGUCGUGUAUUUGCAGCCCAGGCAGAGGAGCCGGCCGUAGUUGAUGACGUCGUGGCAGGUAUUGUUUUACUUUAUGGCACUAGAUCUCGUGCAUUAUUUGACACAGGUGCAUCGCAUUCAUUCAUCAGUAGUUCAUUUGCUAAGACGCAUGACAUUGAGAUUUCGGAUAGUGCUGAUGCCUGGUGGGUAUAUGCCCCUGAGCACACAUUUAGUGUCCAUGAAGUGUGUGCGGCAUGUCCAGUACAGAUUGGUGAUUGGAUUAUGCCAGCAGAUCUGUUAGUGUUAAGCCGCAUGAAAGGUUUUGAUGUGAUCCUUGGAAUGGAUUGGCUUGCAAAGUACUAUGCCACGAUUAAUUGUGAAAGUAAAAUUAUUACUUUUCGUGAACCCGGGCAAAAAGAAGUUGUAUAUCGAGCGUGCAAGAGUUCGCUCUUUGCACUGACUGUAUCGUCGACGAGAGCAAGAAAGUUGAUUAGUAGUGGAUGUGCGGCUUAUUUGGCGACUGUAGUGGAGACUCAAAAAGAACUUCCAGCACUGAGUGAUAUUCCAGUGGUUCGAGAGUUUCCUGAUGUAUUUCCUGCGGAGUUACCGGGGUUGCCGCCGGAUCGGGAAAUUGAGUUCGUUAUUGACUUGGUUCCCGGAACGGCGCCAAUUUCGAAGGCUCCGUACAGAAUGGCACCUGCUGAGUUGAGAGAGUUGAAAGCUCAGUUACAGGACUUGAUGGAUAAAGGCUUUGUGAAGCCUAGUGUAUCACCGUGGGGAGCCCCAGUUCUGUUUGUAAAGAAGAAAGACGGAACGCUUCGACUGUGUGUUGAUUAUCGUGAACUGAACAAGAUCACAAUCAAGAAUAAAUAUCCAUUGCCGCGAAUCGAUGAUUUAUUUGAUCAGUUGCAAGGUUCACGAGUGUAUUCGAAGAUUGAUCUUCAAUCGGGUUACCACCAACUGAAGAUCAAACCAGAAGAUGUGCACAAGACAGCGUUCCGCACUCGUUAUGGUCAUUACGAGUUUACAGUGAUGCCGUUUGGGCUGACCAAUGCCCCUGCAGCAUUCAUGGAUCUGAUGAACAGGAUCUUUAAGCCGCUAUUGGAUCAGUGUGUAGUGGUAUUUAUAGAUGAUAUCCUGAUCUUUUCUCGAAGUAAUGAGGAGCACGAAAAACACUUGAGAACAGUGAUGCAAAUUCUUCGGGAGAAACAGUUAUAUGCCAAAUUGAAGAAAUGUGAAUUUUGGCUGCGGGAGGUCGCAUUUUUGGGGCAUGUGAUUUUUGAGGGUGGUGUAGCUGUUGACCCAAAGAAAGUAGAGGCAAUUAAAGAUUGGCCUCGCCCGACGACUGUGCCAGAGAUCCGCAGUUUCCUUGGACUCGCGGGAUACUAUAGGCGGUUCGUGGAGGGGUUUGCGAAGAUUACUACUCCAUUAACGCGCCUUACACAUAAAGGAACUAAAUAUGUUUGGAGCGAAGAUUGUGAUCGUAGCUUUAGGGAGUUGAAAGAAAGGUUGACUUCGACUCCUAUUCUGGCCUUGCCGAUUUCAGGGGAGAGUUUUGUGAUCUACAGUGAUGCUUCCUACAAUGGACUUGGGUGUGUACUUAUGCAGAGUGGUCGAGUGAUUGCUUAUGCGUCUCGCCAGUUGAAGAACUAUGAAAAGAAUUAUCCUAUUCAUGAUUUGGAAUUGGCGGCGGUGAUCUUCGCACUGAAGUUGUGGAGACAUUAUCUUUAUGGCGAACAUUGUGAAAUCUAUACAGAUCACAAGAGCCUGAAGUAUUUAUUCACCCAGAAAGAGCUGAAUAUGCGACAACGCCGGUGGUUAGAAUUGUUGAAAGAUUAUGAUGUUAAUAUUCUAUACCACCCAGGAAAGGCGAAUGUGGUUGCUGAUGCAUUGAGUAGGAAGUCAGUGGAGAACUUGGCUAUGGUGAUCACACAUCAACCGUCGUUGCAGAAUGAAAUGCGGCGGUUCGAUCUUGAGGUAGUAGCUCCAGAUGUACCAGCUAUUCUUGCCGCUCUAGUUGUUCAACCGACUUUGUUGGAACGGAUUAAAGAUCGGCAAUCUUUAGAUCCGUAUCUCCAAAAAGUGUGGUGUGAAGUUGAGAGCGGGCGAGGGGAUGAGUUUAUGGUGGGAUCUGACGGUGCCCUACGGUUUCGCAACCGGUUGUGCGUACCUAAAGACGAGGAGGUUCAGAGGGCUAUACUACAGGAAGCUCAUCAGUCACCUUAUAGUGUACAUCCAGGUGGCACUAAGAUGUACAAAGAUCUUAAAGUACAUUAUUGGUGGCCUGGAAUGAAGAAGGAUGUUGGACAGUUUGUAGCGCAGUGUUUGACUUGUCAGCAAGUUAAAGCUGAGCGCAGAUUUCCCGCGGGAAAGUUACAGAGCUUGCCUAUUCCGGUCUGGAAGUGGGAGAACAUUGCGAUGGAUUUCAUUAUUGGAUUACCUCGAUCACAGGCUGGACAUGACACUAUUUGGGUGAUUGUUGAUCGACUGACGAAAUCGGCGCAUUUCUUGCCGAUUCAUGUUACUUGGUCAAGGGACAAGUUGGCACAGGUGUACCUCGAUGAGAUUGUGAGAUUACACGGAGUCCCGACGUCGAUUGUAUCUGAUCGAGACCCGCGGUUUACAUCUCACUUCUGGAGGAGUUUACAGGAUGCUCUUGGCACACGUCUUGACUUUAGUACAGCUUUUCAUCCUCAGACCGAUGGACAGUCUGAGAGGACGAUCCAGAUUUUGGAGGACAUGCUACGGGCAUGUGUACUUGACUUCAGAGGGAGUUGGCAUGAUUCCUUGGCGAUGGCUGAAUUUGCUUAUAAUAACAGCUAUCAAGAAAGUAUCGCAAUGGCACCGUUUGAAGCCCUCUACGGGAGAAAAUGUCGAUCCCCUAUCCAUUGGAGUGAAGUGGGUGAAAGAAUGGUUCUUGGUCCUGAUGUACUCCAGGAGGCGGAGGAAAAGGUACGCCUAGUCCGCCAAAGAUUGCUGACGGCUCAGUCACGACAGCAGAGUUAUGCAAAUAAGCGCCGAAAGAAUUUGGAGUUUGCGGUUGGCGAUAAGGUGUUCUUGAAAGUAUCACCAAUGCGCGGGAUAAAGAGAUUUGGUGUUCGAGGAAAGCUUAGUCCUCGAUACAUUGGACCUUACGAGAUCCUAGAGCGAGUUGGAGCAGUAGCUUAUAGAUUGGCUCUACCGCCGAACUUCGAGGGAAUUCACAAUGUAUUUCAUGUUUCGAAUCUCCGAAAAUAUGUGCACCAUUCAGGGCAUGUUAUGGAGUACGAGCCUGUAGAUUUACAAGAGGAUAUGACUUAUGAAGAGUAUCCAGUAUGCAUCCUUGAUCGAGAAACGCGAGAACUGCGAAAUCGCACUAUUCCCUACGUGAAAGUACAAUGGAGUAAUCACUCAGGACGAGAGGCCACUUGGGAAUUGGAAGAAGCUAUGCGUGAAUCCUAUCCCCAUCUAUUCGAUCAAGAGGACUAAGGUAUGAAUUUAAGUUUCGAGGACGAAACUGUUUAAGGAGGGGAGAUUGUAAUGCAUUGAAAAUUUAUCUCGAGCUAAUUGUGAUCAAAGUGGUCGCAAUAAUGCUAAAAUGGAAAUUAAGUAUUUCUAAACUUAAUUAGUAGCUUGAGAACAGCAAUUGACAUGUUUUUAAAGUAUGAGAAUAGACACGAAUGGAAUCGAAGUGGCUAAAGACCUCCAAUUGCUAUUGCUACAAAAAGCUGAAAUUUUUAGUCGAUUUAGUCAAAAUGAUCAAAUUAAUACAAAAUUGAAAAUUAAAUGCUUCCAAAUUAAAUUGGUAGUUUGGGCAUAGAGAUUAGCAUGUUUUGGAAGUGUUGGGAUGAAAUCGGAGCGAGCUAGAAGUGAGAAAUGGGCUGCCAAGGCUGCGGCUGCUAGCGGGGACUGUUUUGUAAACUGCAAGGACUGUUUCGUAAACUGCAGGGACUGUUUUGUGAAAACUGCAGUUGCAGCAUUGUGGAGGGGCGUAAUUGCAUUUUUUCUUAGUCUUAUCUACAGCCAACAACCCCGGCAGCUUCAUACGUAUGGGAGCUUAUCUUCUCACCUCUUUUUUUUAGCUUUUUCUUCCUCUCUUUCUCUAAAGCACUAGAAUGGUUUUUUUGAAGAAGAGUUUAGUGAAUUUGGAUAUUGUGAGAUGAGAAGAGGCUAGUGAGCAGGAAUUCAGCUAGAAAGAAAGAAAUUGAGGUAUGAAUUAGAAUAUCUCUUAAUUAGAGUGAUGUUAUCUACUCUAGAAUGAGUUGAACAAAUGGAUAAUUAGCUUUUAGAGCUUAUAUCACCAUGAGCAAAUCUCUAAUAAGCUAUAUGUUGGAAAGAAUGCAUAUGAAUUAUUGGUUAGAAAUAUGAACAAGACUUAAGUUGGUUGAGAUCUUAAUUAAGGGUUGUUCUAACUACCUAUGAGAGGGUUUUAUAUGAUUAAAGGCUUGUACGUAGUAGUAUGUAGAAAGCCUAGAGAUUAUAAAAAAAAUAUAGCAUAUCCAUGUCUAUAUAUAUAUAUAUAUAUAUAUAUAUAUAUAUAUAUAUAUGCCUAGCUUAUUAAGAAUGAAGUUUGGAGUAAAUUAGCUCAAAUUCCUGAAUGGGAAUGAUGCUAAUUGCUGUAUAAGAAGGUUAAAUUAUGCAUAAUUUAGCUUAUGGAGUUGAUAUAACCAUGGAUUAAACUAUAAAGAGCUAUAUGUAGUAUAGUAUAUAGGUGAAUUAUGGAAUAGGGAUAAAAACCUGAAAUAGGUUGAUCCUAUUUCCUAUUUAAUGUUAUUGUGUUUAAAUUAGGGAAGAGUUUGAAUGAUAGAUUAUGAUUGUUAAGCCUCUAAGUGCCAUGUGAAACCUAGAGCAAAAUGUCUAACUUAGAAUUUCUAAGUUGCUAAUGUCUAUUUGACUGUAUGAAUCCAGAGAAUGCUCUAUGUUGAUGUCAAGUGGACUAGUUUGGGUGAAAAGUAGUUAAUGUGAAAGUUCUAUAUAAUAUAAGGUGGUGGAAUGUGAACAAGUUGUACAUAUAAAUGUAUAUGUACAUGUAUAUACGUAUGAAUGUAUAUAGGCUUAGUGUUGAAAUAGAAAUUGAAUUAAGUAAGGUUGAAGUUCUGCAUUAGAAUAAAUAAAACUGCUGGGUAAAAGAAUGGAAUAAAAGAGUAUAUGUAUAGAGGCCUUAACACUAUACAUAUAUAUAUGUAUGUUAAAGUGAAAUGCAAGUUUUGUUAGAAUAGGAGUAUAACAUAAGUUUAAUCUCUUUUAUUCCUUUAUAAAUGAAAGUUAAACUUGCUCGAAAGUCUAAAUUGACAUUCCGACAGGUCGGCGACGCACUAAUUACAGUAGAAGCCAAUUCGGCUCUAAUUGCAUUGAGUCGCGUGAUAUUGUUGUUGGCACAGUUCGAGACGUGGAUUCUAGUUCUUGACACCACUACAGGUGGGUGGUGCUAUCCGAAAUCUUUGAAUCGCCUUUUAUGUCUAUGCUAAUUUAUUGAGCAUAUUUACAUUGUAAUCAUGCAUUUUAGGGUAUUGUUAUUAUGUAAGUGAUAUUGAUUAUGCAAAUGCUUAUCAACCAUGAAAAUAUAUGAACAAUAGAAUGUGGAUAUAGAACCCUAUGAAUGUAUGGACUAUAACAAUAGCAAACUUGGUGACAUUCUAAUUAGAGAUUUGAAUUGUGAAACUAGCAUAAAGGGUUAGUUGGAGUCAAAGUGUGACAUUGUCUAUUGUUGAAUCCUCUAAAAGAGGAUCAGAUCAUACUCACAUUCGUUUGGUUCAAGGUAGGUCGCUCCUCCUUGAACGAUGAGCUCCGGAGUAGUCAUCUUUACUGGAUCAGGAGGUGCGUCUCCCCCAGUUGACAGUCCCAUCGGGUGCAGGUUGCGUCUCCCCGAUAUUUGGGAUAGUGUCAGUGAGUUAUUGUUAACCAAAAGGUUAACCAAGAGAUUGGGUAAAUUCAGUAAAGGCAUGCAUGCAUAUUUACAGUUUUAUAUAUAUUGCUUCUUUCAGCUUUGUACAGGCAUUGUAGUAGUUACAUAUUAUAGUUGGUUACUAUCUGUUUACUUUCUUGCCUACAUAUGCCUGAGUAGACCUAGUGGGUGAGUCGGCGAGGUCGGCGGCCGAACCCACUGGGAACUUUCUUGUAGUUCUCACACCACUAACCAUACAGGUUCCAGUGCGAGUAUUUGUGGCCGAGGAUCGAGGCAAGAGCCAGCAGCCUAGCUAGUGGACACCCGAGUACUAGUGGUAUACCAUUUUGGGCUCAUGUAUCAUCUAUUUCGAUGUACAGAGAUAUGUAAAUGAAUGUAUAUAAAGCAUGUAAUAACUAAAUGUUUCAGUUAUGUAAAGUUUUAAAUUACAGUGAAUUUCAUUGUACAGUUAGUUUACUAUCACUUGUGUUGUUGCUUGCCAUCGUGCAAGCCAUGUAUAUUGAAAUGUGAUCCUGGGAAUUGUUUAAUUUCUUUAUACAUGUAUCCGUUGUUGUUGAGCCUUGGACGAACAGAGGAGGUGCUGUUCGUUCGGCGUCUGUGCGCGCGCCCGGAUUGACCAAAUUGGCGAUAGCGGGACGUGACACCCGAUCUCGCCGACUUUCCCACUAGGUCUAAAUCAGGCAUAAUAGAAGAAAGAAUAGAUAGUAACCAACUAACAAAUGCCGCUAAUAUGCCUGAACAAUAAACAAUGCUAUGCUCGAUAGAAUGCUCAUGAUGAAUGCAAGAUUACAUUUUCAUUGCCGAAUCUCAUGGCUAGCCCGUAGGUUUCGCCCUCAACAAAC
rnacentral:lncRNA from 1 species